rnacentral:lncRNA from 1 species
GGGCACGAUCAUCUGAAGCAGCUGUGCAAACAAGACUCCAAACUUGGCCCCAUUUUUCAGUAUCUUGAAAUUCUAAGAGUAUAUUAUUGUCAAAGUCUGUUAAUUCUAUUGCCAUCAUCAUCGGUAUCUUUUGGGAACCUAACAAAACUUGAAGCUUUCGGUUGCAAGGAAUUGAUACACUUGGUAACAUCCUCCACAGCAAAAACUCUAGUGCAACUCGUCACAGUGCGUAUAUAUGGAUGCAGAGCAAUGACAGAGGUGGUAAUAAAUGACAAAGGAGUUGAAAAAGAAGAGAUUGUUUUCAGCAAAUUGAAGACAUUAGAACUUUGUGAUUUAGAUAGCCUCACAAGUUUCUGCUCUGCCAAUUACACCUUCAGAUUCCCAUCUUUGGAAUAUCUGGAAGUGAUUGGUUGUCCCAAGAUGAAGAUUUUUGCUACAGGAGAAUCAAUCACGCCUCCAAGAGUAAAUGUCUGGUAUGGAGAGACAGAGGAUCGAUGGCUUUGGACCAAUAAUGAUCUAAACACAACCAUACAACAAUUACACGCUGAAAAGGUACGGAUAUACAUAGUACUCUCUAUCUCCCAUGGAAACAUUUUACAAAAUUUUUUUUUUUAAUAAAAUAUAGAUAAGAUAGUUGUUAUAAAGUAAAAGUUUAAAUUGAUGAAUAAGAAUUUUAUUUUCAGCUGUUGGCGGUGCCGUCGAUAUUCUCUACCCAGUACUAAUUUCAUAGGCUUCUUAUGACUUGGGAGUUGUGUAUUUUUAGAAGAAAGCCUCAGCUGGUAAUUAAUUUUUAUUUCAUUUAUUUGAUCUCAUGGCUUGUUUCGCAAUUUCAUCUGAAUUAUUUAGAAUGGGUCAAUCGGCUUACUGUUAAAUUUGGAAUGCAAUUUUAAUGAUUCGUUCAGACUUUUGUGGACAGAUUUUGCAUCAUUGAAUGUCUUCUAGUCUAGUUUAAUUUGAGUUUUUUUUCUUUUUUUUGAGAGUUCCCCUUGUUUUCUAAAAUUUUAUAAUUCCUUGCAUACUUUGUAUGAUAAAAUUUCAUUAAAAGCCUUCAUAUUUUAUAAUUCCUUGAAAACAUCAUUGCUGUUCUGUUAUUUUAGUUUGGUUUGCUUCACACCUAUCUUUCUUUGGAAAUUUUUUUUUUUUUUUUUUUGAUGAUCUUUCGAAAUGCUCUUCCCUAUGAACACAUAAUUAAGACCAGCUGAAAAUCAUUCAUCGGAUAAAAAAUUAAAAAUAAACAAAAUCUAAUCAGAGCAUUAUGCCUAGAACAAAUCCUUAAACCAUCAAAGCAAAACUCUUCGCUAUGAAAAAAUAUACUGUGGAAAUAUUGUUUGAAAACGUUGGAUACCAAGAAAGGGACUAAUUUGGUCUAGUUUUAUGAGAAGUAUAGAAGAACGUUGUUUUCUCUGUUUUUCCUGUUAGAACUCUUUACUCUGUGAUUGUAGAAUGUCUGGAUACUGAUGAAGAUUCAAGUAACUCUUCUCCUAUGCAUCAUUUGAAAUAAGGUUUUUUUUUUUGGGGGGGUAAUAUCUCCUACUGGGUUAUAGUUCAUACAAAGAGAUUCUUAAAUCAAGCCGGAUACUGCUAGAAACAAGUGGGGAAGUAGGCACUGAUAAAAUGGUUAAUCCUGUCGAGACUUAAUCAUUGAAGCAACUCCAAACUGGACUCCAUUUUAAAUAUCUUGACAUUCUAAGACUAUUUUACAAGCAUUUAAGUCUAUUCCCAUGAUCAUCUAUAUCUUUUGGGAAUCUAACAGAACUGUUAGUUUUCCAUUGCAAGGAAUUGUAACAUCCGUCCACUACAGCAGAAAGUCUAGUGCGGCUCGUAUCAAUGAAGGUAGCUGGAUGCAGGGCAAUGACAGAGGUGGUAAUAGGUGACGGAGAAGAAGAUGAAGCACCAAAUUUAAAUUCAAAACAAGAGAUUGUUUUCAGAUAAAGAUUCUUGAAAUUGUCCUACUUACUGCUGACAUUUCCACAAGAAGUUAGAGAAUAUAAAAAAUUCAUUAAUCGUUAGUUUUUAAUUUCAUUAUUCAAUGAAAAGCCCUGUCAAAUUAAAUUGCAAAUCUCAAUGUGCAAGUACCUAAAUUUACAAAAUUUACUUUAAAUUAAUGAAUGAAAGAAUUUAUAUUCUGCUGUUGGAGGAGUCGUCAUCUCUCUCGACAUAGUAUACGAUAUGUUUUGAUCCCAUAGGCUUUUUAAUAUAUUACCUUGUGUUGUUUGAUCUCUAGGUUUAUUUUAUCGUUUCAUCUUAUUAUUUGCAAUGCGUCAGUUGGUUUAUUUGUUAAUUUUGGAAUGAAGUUGAUGCAGCUGAUGGUUGCAUAGGAUGAGUAGGAUAUCACUCCUAUAUCAUAACUUGAGCGGGUAUCUAUUCGGCAAGAAAUUCUGUUUAUUUCGUAGUUAUUUUACAAAGUUUAAGUUAUUUUCUUAUUUUUCUUAUUAUUUUCAAUAUUUUUAUAUUUUUUCUCUAAAUAUAAGAUUUUAAGUAUGAUUUAUUUUAUUUUUCUUAUUUCAGUUAGGAGAACGUUAUUAUGUAAUAAUAUUUCAAGUUUGUCUAUUUUGAUAAAUACAUAAUAUUUAGAAUUUGUGUAAAAAGGGUCCAAUACCCUAAUUUUGUUAUUCAAACUUCUAUUAAUAAAAUUUCAGACUUUUUAAAAAAAUUUCUCUAUGUUUUCAAUCUCAACAUCUAUGUUUCCCUUUCAUCAUAAGUUCUAAUGUCUGGUUCUGAGCUAGCUUUAUGUGCAUAUUAGACAUCAUUGAAGGUCUUUUGAUCUGAGUUAUGAUCAAAAAAUUAUGCUCGCUUCUGUCUGGUUGUAUGAAAAUUGUACAAAAUAAUAUUCUUAUAUAAUUUUUAUCCUCCAUUGUUACAGAAUCCCCAAGCUUCGAAUUUGUAAACUUUGAAAGCAUGGCAGAAAACUUAGUACUUAAUAAGGCUCUGGAAUAAGACUCUUUAUGGCUUCAAUAUUUUACUUAACAUGAAAUUUUCUUUCUAGCUAGCAUCAUUGUGAAGAUAAAUUGUGGUAGUUCUGACAAGUACUGCACAAUUAAUGUUACCAGCAAUCAAUUGGCGUGAGCACCAACAACCAUUUUCAUAUUUAAGCCUUUAGAAAAGUAACACAAAAUAUGGCAAGUGGCAACCACAUCAAACAAUCAAAUUGUUGAAAGAUUUUGAAAGCUUUAAUUUGCUUGAUAUAUAUUUGAAUAUUUCAACAGAUGCAUCUUUUCUCCACUCAUGGGGCACGUUGAGUUAGAAACGGUUUGAAUGUCAAUAUUACUCCAAGUGCCUCCACCGAAUUCAGAAUGAAAAAAAUCAUCUGGUUACCUGCACUUUAGUUUAAGCAGCUAACUAAGCUAAUUAGCACCAAGUAAUUCACAAACUAGUGAGAAAUUUCAUUAGUUAAUUAUCAUACCUGUUAUUAUACCAUAAACCAACCAAUUAAUUUAAACUUUGGCACAUACAAAAUUUGAAAAAGCUGAAAGCAUGGAAAUGUACUAAACAAACAAAAGAAAAUAUAUUUACCACUGCUCUAUUUUGCAGAAGGAACAAUCCAGUUAUUGUAGACACCUGAUGUUACAAUUCAGGAAAAGUAAAAAAGAAUUACAGCAAUUCUAAUAAAAAAGACAUAAAAUAAUUUUAUACAUACUUUCUGGUGGAUAAUAUAACCUAAGUAUAUGGAUCAAUGAUUAGGAUAUCCACUUACAGAUAAAACAUUCUUCAUCACAGAAGCACAGUUUAUCAAAAAGGCAAGGCUGAACCCAGAUAGCAUUGCUAUGUAAGUGUAACUUGUCAAAAGCGGUAUCGAUAAAACCUGUACAUACAUAGAAAGUUAUGGGACCAAAACCAUGAAGAAAAGUAUUUUAUAAACAGAUAUGUUUGAAACAAACUAUCAAAUGGUCCAAAUGCCGCAUGAGGUGUUCAAAAUAUUACCCCCUGCAAUUCAUGUUAUGAUUAUUGGCCCAAUAAUCCUCUCGACGUAAGGGUACAGAGUAAGUUGAAAAACAAGGAGAAUGAAACCUAUAGUAAGUUCAAAAUGAGGACAAUCGACAAUCGUCAAGCAGUUUUGUGGGGGUGAUGCAUGCGAAAGCAAGUACAGAAAACAAGUAACAUUUUUAGUUUCGUAAUAAGUUUGGUGCUGAUCGCGCAAUAUUUCACAUGCAUAUGCCUCGUGGUGUAAGAGAAGUUUGAGCACAAAUAUUUACAGGAACUAAAUUGGAAUUAUCAAUAAAUACCCCCAAUCAACACCUUUAUUGGUCCAAGUAAACCAUUCAAUUGAAAGAAAUUGAGAGAAAAUAUUGUUUGGUUGCUGAGAAAAUAUCUCAGAAAAUUUCCAGAGAACUUUCGGAUUUCUUGUAUUUAUUUUUCUUAGAAAGAAAUGUUAUGAUUACAACUUAUUUAUACUCAAAACUCAAGGAUUACUAAAGCUAAUGACUAACUAAUUCAGUAGAAUCUCCACAUGCAUAACCACAGCUCGAUAUACAAAGUAAUCACACCAGACUGUUAACUACUUAAGCUGAGGUGGCAGCUGAGCUGUCAUUCUGCUUACAUUCAUCUGACAUCACCAGCUUGCUGGUUUUCCUUAGCUUGUGCAGCUUCCUCUUUUCUGCACAAUGAGCUUCUCUAACAGCCCCCCUCAAACUCAAAGGACAAGAGUGAACAUUGAGUUUGGCCCUCAAGUAAUUAAACUGUAUGAAGGAAAGAGGUUUAGUCAUUAUGUCUGCAACUUGAUCUGCACUUGCUAUAUAUUGAAUGCUGAGCUCCUUAUUAAGAACCUUGUUGCGAAUAAAAUGUAUGUCAAUCUCAAUGUGUUUUGUUCUGGAAUGGUAAACUGGGUUCUUGGCCAAUUCAGCUGAACUAAUGUUAUCACACCAAAUAAUAGGUUUAGCUAUGCAGCAUACUCCAACUUCAGCAAACAAGGACUGUAACCAAGUUAAUUCUGCACUAGCUGAUGCCAAUGCCCAGUACUCACUCUCGGCACUUGACCUAGCUAUUACUCCUUGCUUUUUAGAAGACCAUGAUAUAAGAUUAUUACCCAGGUAGAUACAAUAUGCACUCACUGAUUUCCUGUCAUCUAAAUCACAUGCCCAAUCAGCAUCUGUAAAUCCAGUAAGCUCUAUAUUGCCUUCUUUAAUGAUCUUUAAACCAUAGUCCUGAGUGGCCUUUAGAUAUCUUAAAACCCUUUUACAUGCCAUGAGAUGCUGUAGUGUAGGAGCAGAUACAUACUGACUGAGUUUGUUAACUGCAAAAGCAAUCUCAGGUCUUGUCAAAACCAGAUACUGCAUGCUUCCAACAAUGCUUCUAUAGUAUGUAGGAUCUUCAAGAUAAUGACCAAGCUGUCCUUGAACAGACUUCUGUAACUUCAGACCAGUGCUUAAAGGAGUAUCAAUGCCCUUACAAUUAAUCAUAUCAACCUUAGCUAACAAAUCUCUGAUGUAUUUCCUCUGAGACAGAAAUAUGCAAUCUUCAUCAUAUAAGACUUCUACCCCAAGAAAAUAAGAUAAAAUGCCAAGAUCUUUUAAAGCAAAAGUUGAGCUUAGUGUUGCAAUAAAAUGUUCUAAUUCAGCACUGCUAGGACCUGUAACCAAGAUAUCAUCCACAUAUAUCAACACAAGAAUCAUGGAAGUAUGACUCCUUUUCAAAAACAGAGAUGUAUCAGAAGUAGUAUUAGUGAAUCCCCACUGCAGCAAGCAGCUCUUAAGUUUAUCGUACCAAGCUCGAUGAGCUUGUUUAAGUCCAUAAAGAGACUUGUGCAAUUUACACACAUAACCAGGCUUUGUGUUGUCAAUAAAACCUGUUGGCUGAGACAUAUAAACUUCUUCUGUCAAAUCCCCAUUGAGAAAUGCAUUAUUGACAUUAACUUGUCUAAUUUUCCAUUUGUUCAUCACUGCUAAGCUUAAUACCACUCUGACAGUUGCUGGUUUAAUAACUGGACUAAAGGUUUCAAAGUAGUUUACCCCUGCAAUUUGUUGAAAACCUUUGGCAACAAGCCUAGCUUUGUAUUUGGCUACACUCCCAUCAGUGUUGUAUUUAAUCCUAUACACCCACUUAUUAUCCACAAUCUGUUGAUCAGUCUCUUUAGGAACCAAGGACCAAGUAUUAUUGUGAACUAAGGCAUCAUACUCAUCUUGCAUAGCCUUCACCCAUCUAGAAUCACUCAAAGCCUCUUGCACUGAAUCUGGUUCUUUGUGAGUGAGAAUGGUUGUAUACACUUUUGGUUUAAAAGUGCCAGAUUUGCUUCUGGUGCUCAUAGGAUGAAUGUUGGAUUGUAUUUGAGGUAAGUCAACAGGAGGAGUUAAUGAUGUUGUAUUAUCAGAAACAGAGGCAGAUAAGAAAUAUUGUGUAUUAACAGGUAGAUGAGUUUGAGAACUUACUUGCUGUGAAUUUUGAUCAUUUGUUGUUUGUGCAGGAUUUUCUGAGUGAGUUGAGUUGCUGCUAUCAGGGUUUGCAGAUAAGGAAUAACCAGUGCUAUUUUCAGUAAAUGAUUGAACAACAGGCAAAGUGGAAAGAUGAUAUAUUUGCUGAGGAGAAAAGGAAGUAGAAGAAAGAGGUGAUGAUGAUGACUCCGUGAAACAAUGAAAGCUAGAAUCAGUAGAGUAAGAAAAAGUGAGUUCAUCAAAUAUGACAUGUCUUGCUAUGUAAAGAUGACCUGAAGGAUGUAAGCACUUGUAACCUUUGUGUGAUGAACUAUAUCCUAGAAAAAUACAUUUACUGGAAUGAUAGUCAAAUUUGUGUUGGUUAUAAUCCCUCAAGUAAGGAUAGCAUGCACAACCAAAACACUUAAGCAUAUCAUAGUUGGGUUGGUGUUUGAAAAGUUUCUCAUAGGGAGACAAAAGUUUGAGAACAACAGAAGGCAAUCUAUUUAUGAUGUACACAGCUGUAUGAAAUGCUUCCCACCAAAAUUUAAAGGGUAAUUUAGAUUGAGCUAGCAGUGUAAGUCCCAUUUCAACAAUAUGCCUAUGUUGUCUCUCAACCAAUCCAUUUUGAUGAUGAGUGUAUGGGCAGGAGUGUCUAAAAAUGAUACCACACUGAUUUAAGAACUCAGUGAAAGGUCUGUACUCACCCCCCCCCAAUCAGAUUGUAACUGCUUAAUGGUGGUUUGAAACUGAUUUUCAACCUGUGUUUUGAAAAGCUUAAAGACACUUAGAGCUUCAGACUUAAACUUUAGAGGGUAGAUCCAGGUAAACCUGCUAAAAUCAUCCACAAAACUGAUAUAAUAGUGAUAUCCAUCUCUAGUGUAGACAGGUGAAGGACCCCAGAGAUCUGUAUGUAUCAGUUCUAAAAACUUGGUUGUUUUGGUUGUGGAUGAAGGGAAAUGAAGCUUAUGGCCUUUGCCCAUUUGACAAGCUUCACAGAUGUAUUGCAGUGCUUGUAUUAUUUGAUUAUCAGAAAAAUUUGCAGACUUGAUGUUUUUGAGAACAAGCUUUAAGAUAUAUUGAUUGGGAUGACCAAAUCUAUUAUGAAACAAAGCAAUCUUAUUCACUGAUGUUGUACAAGAUAAUGCAGUAGAUGAAUAACAAGAUUUUGAAUGGCUACAAUCUGCAUUAUUAACAUCAGUUACAGAAUUAAAAUGAAAACAUCACAACAUUGACAUUGGCUUAUUUGAACUGAUCUGAGAUAGAAAAGAUGAUUUAGAGAAUGAGUAUGGUUUGAAUAACAGCCUGUAUAAUCCUCUUUCAGCAAUACCCUGUAGCAGAACUUCCCCCUUCAGAGCAUCCUUCACAUAACAAAUAUUUCCAAGAAAUUCAACAGACAAAUGGUUAUCAGAUGUGAGUUUAGAAAUACUCAAUAAAUUUUUGGUAAUUGAAGGGACAAGAAGAAUAUCUUUCAGUACUAUGUGUGGGUGUUUGUGUUGAGCAAAUGAAGUUUUAAAAACAAAUUUAGCAUCACCAACAUGAGUUAUGGGCAAACCUUGUCCAUUUCCAAUGAUAAGCUGAUCAGAACCAUUGAAUUCCUCUCUGACCUGUAUAUUAGCCAUGUUGUUGGUUAAGUGAUGAGUUGCUCCACUAUCAAGAUACCACCCUUCAUCAGCAGGCCCUUCAAAAUUUGCAAGAUAAGCAGCUCCAGGUGCAGAAGACAUUUCAGAUGAACAAUGAGGCAUAGAAGAAUAUGUCACUGGAUCCAGAUUGUAAGACUGAUAAUUUAAGCAGUUCAUAGCAUAAGAAUCAUCAAAAUAUGGUGCAAACUCAGCAUGUGAGUUAAAUGUAGUCAUAUAAGCUGACUUAGGUCCUCUUCCUCUACCAAAAUGCCUUGACUGUGGCACAUAAUUCUCAAUAUAUAUGUGCCAACAAGCAUCAGCUGUGUGCCCUGACUUAUGACAUAUCUGACAAACAGGAAUGUUAUCAUCUGAUUCAGUUCCAGCUAACACAAAACCUUGACCAUAAGGCUUAGGAUGUGAUAAGACUUUGUGAAACUGCAUUGGCAUAGAGUUGCCUCUUCCAAAAUUAUGACCACUGUUAUUAAAGCCUCUAGGAUAUGUAUUAAACAUCAUUCCUCUUCCAGCAUUUCUGUUUCCAUUAUGAAUUUGUCCACGAUAUCCUCCAUAACCAAAACCUCAUCUUCUAUUAUUCCCUCUGACUUGAGAAUAAUUGGAAUUCAUCACUCUAUAGUUAGCAUUGAACAUGACUUUAGUAUUCUGAUUGGUCUGACUUUGUUCUAAUCGUGCCUCAUGUGUUAACAGUAAGGCAUAAGCAUCAUCAUAAGACAUCUUAUUAGCUGUGAUAAUAGAUGCAAGAUCUAAAUAACCAGUCCCUAAUCCAUUUAGAACUUGCAUUAACAAAUCCCUUUCUGACAUAGGACUACCAGCACAGGCAAGUUUAUCAGCUAAUAUUUUGACUUUUAAGCAAUAUUCUUCAACAGACAUGGAUUCCUUUCUAAGUACAUUCAAUUCAUAACGAAGUUGCAUUAUUUUAGCUUCAGACUGAGCUCCAAAUUGUUUCUCAAUAGAUCUCCAAGCAUCUCGUGAAUUGUCACAGUUAAGAAUAGAACUGAGAAUACCUUCAUUAACUGAUGGUAACAGCCAGCCAAGUAGUAUUUGAUCUUGAGCUCUCCAAUUUAUGUAUGCUGGAUUAUCCACUUUCUGCACUGAUCCAUCAGCUGUUGUUUGAAUGAUAUGUUGCUCUGGUAUGAUCUGAUUUUCAGAUAUGAAAUCUUCAAGCCGAUUUCCUCUGAUUGAUGUAAGAACUUGUUUUCUCCAGAUUAGGAAAUUAGAUCGAUCUAGUUUUAUUGGAUUACUGAAUGAGAAUGAGAUCUGUGAAGGUUGAUUUGCAUUUGUUGAAUUUGAAAGUGUUGUUGUGUUGCUGGAACUAGCCAUAUUGGCUCUGAUACCAUGAAAUAAAUUGAGAGAAAAUAUUGUUUGGUUGCUGAGAAAAUAUCUCAGAAAAUUUCCAGAGAACUUUCGGAUUUCUUGUAUUUAUUUUUCUUAGAAAGAAAUGUUAUGAUUACAACUUAUUUAUACUCAAAGCUCAAGGAUUACUAAAGCUAAUGACUAACUAAUUCAGUAGAAUCUCCACAUGCAUAACCACAGCUCGAUAUACAGAGUAAUCACACCAGACUAUUAACUACUUAAGCUGAGGUGGCAGCUGAGCUGUCAUUCUGCUUACAUUCAUCUGACGUCACCAGCUUGCUGGUUUUCCUUAGCUUGUGCAGCUUCCUCUUUUCUGCACAAUGAGCUUCUCUAACAAAAGCCCCAAGGAGAAACCUUGUAGCUAUGGCCAUCCAGAAAUUCACACUAAGCCCAAAAAGAGUGUUAAAAAUAAACCCUGUGAGCAUUUUAAGACAGACAAGAAAUCCAGAAAUUGCCGAAGUAUCAUCAAUUUCAAGCUUGAUCAUAUGAAAAUAGAAGUCACUAACACUGUGAUGCUUCCUAUUAUUAUUACAGGCUUUCGACCACAGCGGUCAGCCACCAUUUCUCACAAAACAGAUGUUAGAGCUCGGCCAAGCAUGUAUGAAGACCCUUCAAUUUCAUCAAGGUAUUAAGAUGUUUGUUAGGAUAACUUCUUGAGGAAUUUGAACUGUUAUAUUGGUCGUACGUACAUACACACACACACACAUACAUACAUAUAUACAUAUAUACAUACAUAUGUAAAUCGUUUCCAGGUGCGAACAUAUGUACUUUUUAAAGCAUAGACUUGGCCCUUUAAAGUUGUAAAGACGCGGGUCCGUAUUGUAAAGCUCUUGUACAGUGCGUUUACAGUGAUGUAAAGUCUCGGUAGAAUGUCUUCCCAGAGUUGUAAAGGCGUGAGUCAGCACUUUAUAAGGCGUGGACAUUCGUACCCAAGACGGACUCCAUACUGUGUGUCAGAAUUUGUUAUACCUUUUUUCUCUUCGUGUGAACGCAAGUUAGAGUGACAUCUAACAAACCACUGCGCAACUUCAAUUUCAUCAUGGUAUUAAGAGGUUUGUUAGGAUAACUUCUUGAGGAAUUUGAAGUGUUAUAUUGGUCAUACACACAUACAUACACACAUACAUACAUAUAUACAUCCAUACAUGUAGAUAUGUAAAUCGUUUCAGGUGCGAACAUAUGUACUUUUUAAAGCAUAGACUUGGCCCUUUACAGUUGUAAAGACGCUGUGAAGCGUUUGUACAGUGCGUUUACAGUGUUGUGAAGUCUCGGUAGAAUGUCUUUGUAGAGUCGUAAAAGCUUGAGUCUGCACUUUAUAAGGUGUGGACAUUCGUACAAAAAACGGACUCCAUAUUGUGUGUCAUUUAUUAAAUACAAUAAAAAAACAUAGAAUAACUCACCCACGUAACCAGCAUAGAAUCCAAUAUCUUGAUCCUUUUUGCAAUGUGAAAAUUCCUAAACUGAAAAAAAAUCAUAAAUGACUGCUGUGAAAAAGCAAUGAAUUAUUUGAAAUAUAAAACUUGUCUUUUCUUAUAUUUCUCAGAAAAUCACCAAGCAUGAUAGGAAAAUAUAAAUUUUCUCACUAAUAACCACUACGCUGAAGGCAAUAAUAAUCCACUCACCAUAAAAUAAAGGAAGGGAAAGAGAGAUGCGACCGGCAGAACUGAAAAAAAAAAUCACAAAAGAAUUGAAAAUCAUUGUAAAUGGUUCUCUCCAAAAUCAUUAUAUCGAGUUGAAGUUGAAAAAUUUUCCAGUUGCAAGCACAACAAUCCAAAUAAUUAAAAGCUUACGAAUUGGUAAGCCUCGUUCCGACUCUUUAAGCUUAUCAACCUUACAGCCUGAGCAGUUCUUAUAAUAUUUCUUCUUCAAUAGCGGCUCUCUCACUUUCCCCUCCGCCAUACUUGAAAAAUUUUCAGCUCAAGUAAUCGUCUUUGUCUAUUCAAUCCUAUUUCAAUGCUUAAAUAUAAGUACUUAGAAAAGAAGUAACAAAAUCAAUACAAAAGAAUCAAUGAGCUUAAGGAUAUAAUCAAACUAGAGAUAUAGUGAUCAUUUAAAGAAUUUUCAACAGAAUUCUAAAAUCAGUUGAUUUUCCAGCUGGGUCUGUCACCACCAUGGUAAUUAAAAUUAUUGGAUCCCAUGCAAAACAAAAAUUUUUCAUUACAUGCCCUCAUAGCUGACGUCCAAUUAAUCAUUACUCUUAUGAGAAUAAUUUUUGGUGACAAGAACAGCGGCAUCCUUGGACGUGGCAAAAUAAUCACAAAAAUCCCUUAUUUUAAAAAAUGAUCAUGAAAAUUUAUUGAGGAACACACAAAUUCAGGAUCUGUGUAACUAUUGUUAAAUACAAAAAAAGGUCUAUAUGCAUUAAAAAAGAGUUUGUAUGUUCAUUUUUUAAAAAUAAGGGAUAUUCAUGAUUACCAUGUUAAGCCACGAGAUGUCGUGUUGUUUUCUAAUUUUUCAUUAAAUCGUUGUUACACAAUUCGACAUGUAAAAGUAAUUUUUUUUUUUUGAGAGAUGGUAACAAACAUAGUGACAAAACUAUCAUAGUACCGUCUAAUGAUGAAACUAAUUGUUAAUUAAUUAAUAAAAAUACUAAGUGAUUGUAACGGUUCCGGUCACAGUCACAGUCAAAUAUAAUUAGGAUAAUUUAAUUUAAAUAAUGUGUAAUUAAAAAAAAAACCCUUUUUCCUUCGCCGCCUCUAUAAUUUAAUUUUGGGUUUGAUAUCUUUAGUUUUAAGAUUUUUGAUUAUUGGGUUUCUUUUUAUUGAAUUUUCUUAGUAUGAAUUUAUUUUGUAAAAGAAUUUUACAAUGAAAUUUGCUCUCAAGGAUUUUGGUAUCAUUAGUUUAGGGUUUCUUUCUAUUGGGUUUUAUUUGUUUUGGUGGGAUUAUUGGACUUAUUUUGUAAUGUACUGAUGAAUGUGUGUUUGAUUUUUUUCUUUCACAUUGGAAUCAUGCUUUGCCUCUGAUUUUGUAAUUUACUAGGUUUAUAAUCUUGGGUUCGUAAUCCGGAAAAAAAUCGUUUCCAUAUAAUUUUAAAAAUAUUAUAAUAAAUUUUUACUUUUUGAUUUAAAUUUUAUUAGUUGUAAGGGUAUGUUAGUACUUAUAUACCCAAUUCAUUUCAAAAUAGGGGUAGUAUAGUCUUUUAAAUUUAUAACAGCCUAAACAGUUAGAAUUAGUUGAUUUUUUUAACAGAAAUAGGGGGAGGUGCAUAUGGUCAAAAGAUGUGGGUGCGCUGUGUGAAAUACUGAACAAUUGGGAGCUGAUGCUUAAUGGAAGGAACAAAAUUCAGGAAAAGAGGAAUCAAAGUGCAAAAUGAAUUAGGAUACCUGAAAAGAAAGAAUGAAAAUAACUUUUUUUUUUUAAAUUAUUUAUUUGGACAUUGUGACAAACAAGUGAUGUGCAUUGUUAAUUCAGAUUGCCCAAAAUGUCAAGUCUUGAAAAACGACAACAUUACAUGAUUCAUGAGAAGCCUAUCACUUUGAGAUUAAUUUAAUUAAAAAAAGUUCCGUUUGCUUAAUACUAAAAUGUCACGCGCAAGUUGUCCUGGACUAGAGAGUCGUUCACCCGUACUUACACCCAAAAGUCACGAGGAUCAAAACCAGAUCUGUCACUGCAUUUGCUUGAAAAAUGAUUUUACUAAUAUAAAAUAUUAGUAAAUAUAUAUUUUGAAAAAUUAAUAUUCGUGUUUCGAUAGCUUUCUAAGUGGUUUAUUUACAGGUAUUCAAAAUAUAUAUAUUUAGUAAUUUCUAUUAAAAUUUUGCGACAAUUGUUUGGCUGGAAUAUUUUUUUAUAAGAAAAAUAGCGAUCUCACACUGAUCCACAGUUGAGCCAAUUACCUAGUUAAAAGCUACCUCAAUAUUUUUUAUUUUUACCCUAAUGCAUGUCUGAUUCUUUUAAAAUUUUACGUUAUAUAUAUUAAACAAAAAUUAUAAUUUUAAUCAUUGAAAAAUUAAUGACAGACAUCUUUUGAAUAAUUUUUUUUUGAAAAAUACAGAGCUAGAGAUAAUGCUAUAAUUGAUUGAAUAAGAAGGCUACAACUUGAUGAUAACUUUAUUGCAAUGUUGCGUGAUCUCAAUAUAUUAUUGGCUUGUGUGAGUAAAAGCUGCUGGCUCUUGUUUUACUAAUUUGCCUUUGUAUUUGACUGGCUCGACAAAGAAUCGAUUUACCUCAUACUCAAAUUACAAACAUCGAAACCGGAUCUGUCAUUACGUUAAUUGGCCUCCUAAAAUAAUCAAUCACUUUCUCUUUAGUCUACCAUCCACUCUUUCCAGUCGCUUAGUUUCAUUCUAAUCAUCUAAACGCUCUUUGCUACUGUUUCUUCUAUUCGUCAUUGUUCUUGUUCUGUUAUUAUUUAGCUUUGCUCACUCCUCAGUCUCAUUUCUUAUUCUGUACCCAUCAGCUCUUUUAGCUCUUUACGUCGUGAUCGAAACCCUUUUCUUGUUUCCUUCAUUUCAUCUGAAAAACACGAACUGCCUGUCCUAUCGCUGUCUCUUUGUUUUUACUUUCCUUUGGCUUUCUUAGCUUCUACGUUUUUGUCAGGAUUCGAGAUGCUGGAAAUCAUUGCGACUAUCGUCUUGGAACUUGUAAAAUGCUUGGCUCCUCCAACUGAACGCCAACUUGUGCAUUUGCGAAAGCGGAACUACAAUGCCAACUUUGAGAAUAUCAAGGCGGAAAUGGAGAAGUUGAAGGUUGAACGUGCGAGCAUUCAGCGCAGGGUUUCAGAGGCGAAAGAAAAAGGGGAAGAGAUUGAAGAGAAGGUUGAAAAGUGGCAGGUUAGUGCGAACGGCAUCAUUGACCGGGCAGCCAAAUUCAUUGAAGAUGACGAGUCAACGAAUAAGCGCUGUGUCAAGGGCUUGAGUACUAUUUGGAAGAGUCGCUAUCAGCUUAGCAAGAAAGCAGAGACGGAGGUGAAGGCCAUUAUUGAACUUGGAGAAGAAGUUAAGAAGUUUGAUACUGUUUCCCACCGUACCAUUCGGGAGCAGAUACGGCUUAAGUCUAGCAAUGGUUACGAGGCCUUCAAAUCAAGACUUUCUACUUUGCAGUCUAUAAAAAAUGCAUUGACGGAGGCGAAUGUCAGCAUUAUUGGGGUGUACGGCAUAGGCGGCAUUGGAAAGACCACACUGGAAACAUCUUGAAUUGGAGAAGAAGCUGUUUUAUCGGGUGGUUUUAUCAGAGGUUUCAUAAACUCCAGAGAUAAAAAAGAUUCAAGGGGAAAUUGCAGAGAAGUUAGGUCUGGAGUUGUCCGAUGAAGCUGAAUAUAGAAGAGCUAGCAAGCUGUAUGACCGAUUGAAGAGUGAGAAUAAGAUUCUUGUGAUUCUAGAUAAUAUCUGGAAACAUCUUGAAUUGGAGACGGUUGGAAUUCCUUUUGCAAAUAAUCAUAAAGGAUGUAGACUGUUGCUGACAGCACGAGAUAAUACUGUGCUUUUAAGUAUGGGCUCCAAAGAUAACUUUUUGAUUGGCAAUCUAACUGAACAAGAAGCCUGGAGAUUGUUUAAGAUAAUGAAUGGUGAUGAUGUUGAAAGUUUUAAGUUCAAGUCUACAGCAAUUAAUGUAGUUAAGGCAUGUGGAGGUUUGCCCAUUGCGUUGAGGGCACUGAGAAACAAGAGUCUCCAUGAAUGGAAGAAUGCCUUGCGAGAGCUCCGAACGCCUUCAAUGGUAAACUUCGAAGGUGUGUCUGCAGAGACUUAUUCAAGUAUUGAGCUGAGUUUCAAUUAUUUAAAAGGUGAGCAAGUCAAGAAAAUUUUUCUGCUUUGUCGUCUAGUAGGUAACAGUGUUUGGUUUUCAGACUUAUUUAGAUACUCCAUGGGUUUGGGCAUAUUUCAAGGAGUCAACAUUCCCUUCAUAUUUACCAAAGGUAAGUGAUAAAUCCUACAUAUCCCACUCAAGAAUGCAUAUGUUUUUUCAAUCUCAAGUACCUAAAGUUUUCUUCUACGUUUAUAAAAAUUUCAGCACCAUCUCCCUAUAAUUCUCCAAGCUCACGACACAGCUAUAUAAGUGUUUAUGCGUUAUGCCAAAACAACACAUGACACCCAUUCACCUAGUACGUACCCAGAGAACACGAGGAGCAGCUACCGAAAAAGCCAUUUUUACGUGGGAAGAAAACUUCAGCUACUAGCUACCAGAGAGAACUAUGCAUUCCCAAACUGUCCAAGCCUGGACAAUUCAAGAAUUAUUAAUAGACAUAUGAUCCUCACUAUCAUCCAAAGAUGACACUAAUACAACAUGUGUCUAUUAAUAAUUUCUUAAACAAGUCUAAGCUUUCAAUGCACGUAUCAAAAGUUUAAAAUUGAAUCUGAAAUUUGAAUAGCACAUAAAUAUCAUAAAUCUCUUCAAUUUAUUCCUGAUACAAUGUAGCAUUAUUUCACAUAUCAUUUCUUAAGCAAAACCAUAAAAAAUACAAACGAUAAAUACAUUUUCCCACUGAUGCAGAUUAUGUUUACUGAGCAAUAAGUUUUAAGCCAUUCAUUUUGAAAUACUUCUGCCUAUUCUUUCAACAUAUAACUAGUACGUACACACAAUUAAUAAAUUAAAAAAAAAAACCUUCUGGUGAAUCUUGCAAAAUCUUCCUUUUUUCUUUUUUUUUUCUUUUUCUUCUUUUUUUUGGGGGUGGGGGGGUGUGUUGGGGGAACUAUGAAUCUUGCAAAUCCUCAAGAAGCUAUGUUAAGACAAGGCCAGCUUACUAUUAGGGUAUGAAAGAUAAAACCUUUUAUUUCCUUUUCAGAAUAAAAAGAACAUUGACAGUGUUAAAAAAAAUCUAGAGGAUUUCAGGCCUCCAGAUCCUUACAAAUCAAGGAUAUUAAAAAAAUUUACUUAGAGGAGAAAGGUUAUGCUCAUUUGUAUCUUGUUAGAAGAAAUUGAUCCAAAGCCUCAGUUUUAAUUAACUUCAUAUAGCCAAUGAUUAGGUGUUUAAAAACCAAUGAAUAUUUUUAUAAGAAAUCGACAAUAUUGUUGAAAGAAAAACCAAAUAAAAAUAAUAAAGCCAAUGAAUAGAUCAAGGCUCUUUGUGGUCUAAAACUAAUCAAACUAAGUUGUGGGCAAAGGCGAAUAUGUUUGUUUGGUCAAUAAUAAGCUCAACAAAUCACUAAUAAUCACCUAAUCACUAUUCCUUAUGCUCUGCAAUAUAAUGGCCUGGGUAAUGGCGCCAAGGCAGAUAAUAACUAGCUAGCCAGUUAUGAUAGUUGAUUAACUUAACCUACUGGAAAUCUGUAGACCAAAACGAAGAAGCUUUGCCUAGAACUAGAAUAGGAACAUUCAUACCCAAAACUGAUAUACACGAUUAAGAAACUUGAUUAUAUGGAUAUUUCUGGUGGCCACACUUAAAGAGAAUUUUCAAAAGAUGCUAAGGUACACCAAAUCCCACUAUUUCAUACUCAUAAACACAAAAACCCAUGGCAAAAAUUAAUGACUAUAUCAAAUAAAAUCAGUCAUAGGACAAUGAGAUUAGGACAACUUGAUUUGUAUACCAUAAAUCUGCAUAGUGAACUAUAUUUCUGUUAGAACUCUGAAGUUUUUCUAUUAAAUUUUUUUCUCUGCUAGGUAAACCACUUUUAACUGAAAUGCUUAAGCCAAUAUUGACAAUCAUAGACAUAAAAGUAUUAAUAGGCUCAUUCAAGUGAAAUGAGCAUUAUUUCACACAUCCUUUAGGUUUUUAAGUUAUUUAGAAGUCAUUCAUGUUAAAAAAAAAAUCAUAUACUUUCAAUAUAAUUAGUACAUACACAAUUAAUUAAUUAAAUAAAUUUGUUUCAGCUAAUAUAGGAACUUAAUUAAUCAAAGCUAGUAGUUAUAGCUAGGACUUGAACGAGGCACCUUUCAAAGUUCAAGAAGAGCAUCUGAACAGAAUGAAAGCAAUUUGUAGAAAUGGUAAUGAUGCUUUACAUCUACAUGCUCUUACACAAUAUGAACUUUCAUUUACUCCAAGCUCUUAUUCUACAAGUCAAUUCAGUUUGUAGACGCACGCCAUUGUAAAAACUUUUGUAUUAUAAUUUCUGAAAAUAGAAUGUAACAUUAUUAAUAUAGAAUCAGCAAUGUAUAUAACUUAUCAGACAAUAUAACAAGCACUUGGUGAGCAUACAAGAUAAACUAAAACAAGUUAUCUAGAAAAUGAAACUAAAACCCAAGCUCCGCUAUUCAUUGUAGAAGCUUUAAACAUAAAAUUAAAGUAAAUCUAAUAGCAAAACAUUAGAAUGGAUAUUGAAAUUAAAGCUAAAUUCAAUAGUAAUUCAAAUGAAUCCAUUUGAACUUUGUAAAUUCCGCAGAACAAAAUUAAUUUGAGUGAGCAAACUCACCAAUGGAACAAGAACACAGGGGCUUCAACUUGUAGGAAUAAAAAAAUAUUGCUGGCGGGACAAAAAUUGACAAUAACAGCUACAAUACGAAUUUUAAAAAAAAUCAAAAUCUAUAAUUACAAGCUAAGUAAGAGAAGAAACUCAUAAUCACAAGCUUAACUCAAAAGAUGAAGGGAGAACACGAUGAAGAAGAAGAUGGCUGGUGUUUUACGCCGUUCGCCGGCAACCAGUUAGGUUUACGAUGGUGGCUAGUAACACGGAGUCCAGCGAAUAGUUUUCUAACUGGAAAUAAAUUUAAAAUUCUAAAAUAGUACCGAACGGCUCAAGCUCUCUAUAUAGUUACUAAUUCAAUUCUCCUUCGAAAGGUUCUCUCUGUCCUAGAGAGAACUUUGAAUGGAAGAGUAAAAGGGUCCUCAUGACUCGAGUAGUCACUCACAGGUGAGUGAAGUAUUUCAUUUCGUUACCUUACAUCCUAGUUCAAGUAGAUAUUCAGGUCCUUUUAUUGGGGUGAGCAGAGUUGGUGAGGGGUAUAAAACACAGGGUAUUAACAACCAAGGCUGUACAUCAAUUUCUCUAUCUGUUAAAAAGAGAGCUUCCAUAAAUAUGGAUACUGAGGAACUGAUUAGGAAAUGCAAAGCUAGGGGAGGAUAAAGAAAAGAUAGUGAACUUUGAGGGAAGCAUGAGGAGCAAAGGAAGACAAGUAGUAGCUGGUUGUUUGGUGGGUAAAAUCCUACACAACAGGAGUGUUAAUCAAGAAGGAUUGAAGAGUGCGCUACAAAUGGUGAGGCGGACAACCAAAGAAGUUCGGAUUGAAAGCUUGGGAAAUAAUGUCUUUUUGUUCAAAUUUGCGCAAGAAGCAGACAAGAAAAGAAUCCUAGCAGGAGGUCCUUGGCAUUUUGACAGAGCAUUGAUAAUCCUCACAGAGCCAAAAGGAAUUGGGGAGGUUACUAGACAAGCCUUCACACAUACUUCAUUUUGGGUACAACUUCGGAAUGUACCAAUCAUGUGUAUGGAAAAGGACAUCCUAAAAGUGUUGGGGGAGCAAAUCGGGACUGUGGAAUAAGUAGAGACGAACGGAUAUGGAGAAUGUAUUAGUGAAAUUGCUAGAAUACGAAUCUCUGUUGAUAUAACACAACCACUGCCCAAAAUGAUUUUUCUCAGACUAGAAGGGGAAGAAAAAAUCCCAAUGCCAGUUGGCUAUGAGCAUCUACCAGACUUUUGUUUUUGUUGUGGACAUAUUGGUCAUAGCUUCAAAGAGUGUGCUCAGUACAAGGGGCAAGCUAAAGAGCAGCUACCAUAUGGGGUCUGGAUGAAAGCGAUCAAGAUAAGUGAAAGAGCAAAACUGAACCGCAGUAGAGUAAAUUGGAGUAGAAACCAUGGGAAAACCGACGGUAAUCCAACAAGUUCAGAGCAAAUUGACAAUGGGAAAUCGCAACAAAGGCGGGUUGAACCAAACCCAGAUAUGGUGCACGGGUCGAAACCAGCAAAUGAGGAAACGGGUCAAAUCAUUGAACAAGCUCGAGAUGCUGAGGUGGAGUGGAAAGCUGAUGAGCAUUUAAUGCAAGAUAUCGGAGGAUCGAAAAAGAAGCAAAUCAGGGACAGUAAGCACGAGGUAGCAGCUGACAAUGGAAAAUCUUUUGGAAAUUCGAGAUUUCAAGCGAGAAAGGAAAAUACGAAAGAGAGGGAAAAUGGAGGAGCUGAUUCAAUUGAAUUAGAUUCGGGUACAGUGGGCUCAGAACACCAAAUUCAAAAAACCAAAAAUCAAGCAAAAAAGGGAACAAAAAAAUAUGGUUUGGAUAAAGGGCCACGCAUGAACUACUCGAGGCCCAAUAGAAGGAAAUGGAAGCUGCAGGCUCGGGCAACAUGUAACAAGAGUGGAUGCAAGGCUAGUCCAAAGGUUUCAAAAAGCUCAAGUUGUCACCUAAUUGGACCAAGCCCAAAACACAAAAACAUAAAGCUUGUUAGCCCGAUUAAAUCAGCAAUGAAGCAAAAACAAGAAGGCUCCCCAGCAGCAAAGCUCAAACUUACUUGGGAGCCGUUGGCAGUGGAAGAAAUGGAGAUGGCAAUUCCAAGCUUAGAAGAGAUAUCGGCGGAGGCUAGUGGCCAGCCCCGCCGGAAGCCAUGAGGAUCCUUAGUUGGAACGUUCGGGGUUUGGGGAAUACCCGAACGUUUCUAGCAUUGCAAAAGAUUCUCUAGUUGCAUAGGCCUCAUCUUUUAUUCUUGUGUGAAACGAAGUUGUUGCCUGCGCAAAUGAACGGGAUUAGUAGGAAGUUGAACUUUGAAAAUUGCUUUAAGGUGGAUAGAAGAGGUAGAGGAGGAGGAUUAGUGAUGUUGUGGAACUCUGAAAUUGAAGUGCAAAUUAAAUCUUUCAGCAACCACCAUAUUGAUGCUAAGGUUCAAACUGAAAAUGGGAAGCACUUUCGAUGCACCGACGUUUAUGGCCAUCAUGAGGCAGGGCAAAAGAAACAUACUUGGACACUUCUGAGGCGGUUGGCAGGAUUAUACCCUUUGCCUUGGUUAUGUUUUGGCGACUUUAACGAAGUAUUGCAUCCUUAUGAAAAAACAUGAGGUAAUGAAAGAGAGCUAAGCUUGAUCAGAAACUUUAGAGAAGCUUUGCGAGAUUGUAACUUAGUUUGACGUGGGAUACAAAGGAUACCCAUUUACCUGGAAUAAUGGGAGAUAUGGGCCUCAUUACAUUGAAGAACAGCUUGAUGGGUUCUUGUGUAACAGGAGCUGGAGUGACAUUUUCUACGAUUGUGCAGCAGCUCAUCUAUCUACUUGGACUUAUGAUCAUUGUCCGUUGUUGAUAGAAGUUCAAGAAAGGGGGAGGGAUUAUGUUGGAAGAGAAAAAAAUCCACUCGAAUUCAUUAUGAGGAUUUAUGGAGCCCAUAUGAAGCUUGCAAAGAAAUAAUCAAGACUGAUUGGAGUAGUUACGGAAGCUAGAAUGAUGCAAAUCCCAUACCCUUAUUUCAAAAGGUGGUUAAAGAAUCAAUGGCUAGGCUGCUUGUGUGGAGCAAGGAAGAGUUUGGAGAAAGAGAGAAGAUGCUGAAGCAGAUUAUGAAUCAGCUGGAGAGGCUGAAACAAAGCUGCGUGCAAUAUGAUAAUGGGGAGGAGAUUAAGAAGUUAGAGGGGCAGAUUCAAGAUAUCCUCAUUGAUGAAGAAAUAUUUUGGAAGCAGCGAUCGAGGGCAGAGUGGUUGAAAGCAGGGAACAAAAAUACCAAAUACUUUCACUACAAAGCAUCAUCGAGGAAGAAAAAGAACCAGAUUUGGGGAAUUGAAAAUGGGUCAGGAAGCUGGACUGAUAAGGCAGAAGAGGUGGAGUAUGAGUUUUACGAAUAUUUCGCAAAACUCUUCACUACAUCAAAGCCAAGUCAAGAAGAAAUUUCGGCAGCAUUAGAAGGCAUCACGCCAAGAGUCUCAAAAGCCAUGAAUGAGCAUUUGGAGCAACCUUUUACACCGGAGGAUAUUACGGAAGCCUUAGCUCAAAUGUCUCCAAUAAAAGCUCCGGGACCAGAUGGUUUUCAAGCAGCCUUCUAUUAGAAGCACUGGAACAUGGUGAAGAAAGGGGUCAUCACAACCUGCCUCCACAUUCUAAAUGAGCAAGGUACUAUGGCUCCUCUUAACCAUACCUAUAUUGCUUUAGUCCCAAAGGUCAGAAAGCUUAAGAGAGUAACAGAUUACAGACCAAUUAGCUUGUGCAAUGUGAUCUAUAGAAUUGUGGCUAAAACGAUUGCAAAUAGGCUGAAACAUAUCCUCCAUCAAGUUAUUUCCCCAACAUAAAGCGCUUUUAUUCCUGAUAGGCUUAUAACAGACAACAUCAUAGUAGGAUAUGAGUGUCUACACAAAAUUAGGCAUAGUAAGGGAAAAAUAAAUGGGCUGGUAGCUUUGAAACUUGAUAUUAGUAAGGCUUACGAUAGAGUCGAGUGGAGCUUCUUAGAACAAGCCAUGACUAGGUUGGGUUUUUCUCCAAAAUGGGUGAAUCUAAUUAUGAGAUGUAUAACUACAGCGUCUUUCGCUGUGAUUAUAAAUGGAGUACCACGAGGAGUUAUCCAACCACAGAGGGGUCUGAGGCAAGGGUGUCCACUUUCUCCAUAUUUGUUUAUCAUGUGCGCAGAAACUUUUUCUUCUCUAAUGUUACAGGCGGAAAGGCAGAAACUCAUUCAUGGAUUAUCAUUCGGCAAAGACAUAAAUAUCUCGCACCUCCUCUUCGCUGAUGAUAGCCUAAUUUUUAUUCGAGCUUCGCCUACGGAUUGUCAGAAUCUGAAAAGAAUUUUUGACUGCUAUACUACUGCAUCAUGACAACUCUUUAAUUUCGAGAAGUCAUCAAUGUUUUUCAGCAAUAACACCAAAGUUGAGCAAAUUUCAGCCAUACAGAAUAUUUUUCAGCUCAAUGUGGUUUCAAGGCAUGAGAAAUACUUAGGUUUACUAUCAAUGAUAGGGAGGAAGAGAAGUAGUUUUUUCCAAGAUGUCAAACUCAAGGUGAUGGAGAAGAUAUCCAAUUGGCAGCAUAAAUUUUUCUCUAGUGGGGGCAAGGAAGUGUUGAUUAAGGCUGUGGCUCAGGCUGUUCCAGCGUAUGCCAUGAGCGUGUUCAAAGUUCCUCUUGGAGUUUGUGAUGAUAUUUAGAAAGCUAUUGCCAAUUUCUGGUGGGGAUCCAAAAAAGAGAAGAGAUGUAUUCACUGGGCGAAAUGGGAAUGACUAAGUAUAGCAUUUAUAAAAGAAUCCUUAGUCUUUCCAUAUAGAAGAACUUACAAAAUAAAUUAGUAAUUUAUUGUUGUGCAAUAAAAUAUUUUCAUGCAAAUAUAAAUCAACCCUUUUUCCCUAAUUUCUUUUUUACAUCUAAAAUUAACAUAUAAAAUAAAUUUUACCAAUAAUUCAAUUUUUUUUUAAAAUAUAAUAUAAAACAAAUACUAUAAAGUCACUGCGUGUGACCGUAGAUCAUCAAUUGACCUCAUUAGUUAUUACGAUUGAUGAUGAUCAGAUCGUACCCAACUUGGAGGAACUAUCACUAAGUGGAAAAGAUGUGAAGAUGAUUUUGCAGGCCGAUUUCCCACAACACCUUUUUGGCAGUCUUAGACAUCUAGAGAUUGCUGCAGAUGACUCAGCUUGUUUUCCAAUCUGGAACGUACUGGAGAGAUUUCACAAUCUCGAAAUACUCAUACUGUGUUAUUUUUCAUUCCACGAAGAGGUAUUUUCGAUGGAAGGAUGCUUAGAGAAACAUGUGGGGAAGUUGGCAAUGAUAAAAGAAUUAGAGCUGUACUGGCACUAUCAUCUGAAGCAGCUGUGCAAACAAGACUCCAAACUUGGCCCCAUUUUUCAGUAUCUUGAAAUUCUAGGAGUAUAUCAUUGUCAAAGUCUGUUAAUUCUAUUGCCAUCAUCAUCGGUAUCUUUUGGGAACCUAACAAAACUUGUAGCUUUCGAUUGCAAGAAAUUGAUACACUUAGUUACAUCCUCCACAGCAAAAACUCUAGUGCGACUCGUAUCACUUUGUGUAUACGGAUGCAGAGCAAUGACAGAGGUCGUAAUAAAUGACAAAGACGGGGUUGAAAAAGAAGAGAUUGUUUUCCGUAAAUUGAAGACGUUGGAACUGCGUGAUUUAGACAGCCUCACUAGUUUCUGCUCUGCCAAUUACACCUUUGAAUUCCCAUCUUUGCCAAUUUUAUUGAUUUCACUACAGGAGAAUCAAUCACGCCUCCGAGAGCAUACGUCUGGCAUGGAGAGACAGCGGGUCAAUGGCUUCGGGCCAAUAAUGUUCUUAACACAACUAUACAACAUUUGCAUGCUGAAAAGGUACGGAUAUACAUACUGCUCUCUAUCUCCCAUGGAAAAAUUUUACAAAAUUUGCUUUUUUUAAUAAAAUAUAGAUAAAAUGUUUGUUAUAAAGUAAAAGUUUAAAUUGAUGAAUAAGAAUUUUAUUUUCAGCUGUUGGCGGUGCCGUCGUCGUUCUCCACCCGGUACUAAUUUCAUAGGCUUCUUAUGACUUGGGAAUUGUGAAUUUUUAGAAGAAAGUCUCAACUAGUAAUUAAUUUUUAUUUCAUUUAUUUGAUCACAUGGCUUCUUUCGCAAUUUCAUCUGAAUUAUUUAGAAUGGGUCACUUGAUUUACUGUUAAAUUUGGAAUGUCAUUUUAAUGAUUCGUUCAGACUUUUAUGGACAGAUUUUGCAUCAUUGAAUGUCUUUUAGUCUAGUUUAAUUUUUUUUUUAUUUGGAGAGUUUCCCUUGUUUUCUAAAAUUGUAUAAUUCCUUUCAUACUUUUUAUGAUAAAAUUUCAUUAAAAGCCUUCAUAUUUUAUAAUUCCAUGAAAUCGUGCGUACUUUUUUCCUAUCUUUCUUCGCCAAUUAUUUGUUUUCAUCAUUGCUGUUCUGUUAUUUUAGUUUGUGCUCUGUUUGUUCAUUUGGUUUGGUUUGCUUCACACCUACCUUUCUUUGGAAACUUAGAAGGCAAAGGAAGUACUUAGAAAAUGCUCUUCCCUAUGAACACAUAAUUAAGAACAGCUGAAAAUCAUUCAUCGGAUAAAAAAAUUAAAAAUAAACAAAAUCUAAUCAGAGCAUUAUGCCUGGAACAAAUCCUUAAGCCAUCAAAGCAAAACUCUUCGCUAUGAAAAACUAUAUUGUGGAAAUAUUGUUUGAAAACGUUGGAUACCAAGAAAGGGACUAAUCUGGUCUAGUUUUAUGAGAAGUGCAGAAGAACAGUAUUUUCUCUGUUGUUCCUAUUAAAAUUCUUUACUCUGUGAUUGUAGAAUGUCUGGAUACUGAUGAAGAUUCAGGUAACUCUUCUUCUGUGCAUCAUUUGAAAUAAGGUCUUUUGUUUUUUUUGGGAAUAUCUCCUACUGGGUUAUAGCUCAUACAAAGAGAUAUUCUCAAAUGAAGCCGGAUACUGGUAGAAACAAGGGAGGAAGUUGGCACUGAUAAAAUGGAUAAUGAAGCAACUCCAAACUGGACUUCAUUUUCAAUAUCUUGAAAUUCUAAGACUAUAUUACUGCUUGUAAAAAUCUUUUAAGUCUAUUCCCAUGAUCAUCUGUAACUUUUGGGAAUCUAACAGAACUGGUGGUUUUCCAUUGCAAAGAAUUGUAACAUCCAUCCACUACAGCAGAAAGUCUAGUGCGGCUCGUAUCAAUGAAUGUAGCUGGAUGCAGGGCAAUGACAGAGGUGGUAAUAGGUGACGGAGAAGAAGAUGGAGCACCAAAUUUAAAUAGAGAUCGUUUUCAGCAAAUUGAAGACGUCAAGUCUGUGUGAUUUAUCUGUGUGAUUUAGAUAGUCUCACAAGUUUCUGCUUUGCCAAUUACGCUUUCAGAUAAAGAUUCUUGAAACUGUCCUAUUUAGAGCUGACAUUUCCACAAGAGUUAAGAGAAUAUAAAAAAUUCAUUAAUCGUUAGUUUUUAAUUUCAUUAUUCAAUGAAAGUCCUGUCAAAUUAAAUUGCCGCUAUUGAAUCUCUCGCUCCCCUUGCAAAUCUCUAUGUGCAAGUACCUAAAUUUACAAAUUUUACUUCAAAUUAAUGAAUGACAUAAUUUAUUUUCAGCUGUUGGAGGAGCCGUCGUCUCUCUCGACGCAGUACGAUAUGUUCUGAUCCCAUAGGCUUUUUAAUUUAUUACAUGGUGCUGUGAAAUUUGAAGAACAAGGUCCCAGGUAACUAUCGUUUUCAUUUCAUUUUGUUUGAUCUCUAAGUUUAUUUUAUCGUUUCAUCUAAAUUAUUUGCAAUGCGUCGGUUGGUUUAUUGUUAAUUUUGGAACAAAGUUGAUGCAACCAACGGUUGCAUAUGAUGAGUAGGAUAUCGCUCUGAGAUCAUAACUUGAAUUAUAGGUAUCUAUCUAGGGCGUAUAAUAUAUCAUUAAUCUAUUACUAUAACAUCGUAUUGGUCUCGUGGUCCAGCUAGAAAUUCUGUUUAUUUCAUAGUUAUUUUACAAGUUUAAGAUAUUUUCUUAUUUUUCUUAUUAUUUUCAAGAUUUUUAUUUUUUUUAUAAAUAUAAGAUUUAAGUACGAUUAUUUUAUUUUUAUUAGAAGAAUGUUAUUAUAUAAUAAUAUUUUAGGUUUGCCUAUUUUGGUAAAUUCGUAAUAUUUAGAAUUAGUAUAAAGAGGGUCCAAAAUCCAAAUUUUGUUAUUCAGACCUCUCUAUUAAUAAAAUUUCAGACUUUUCAAAAACUUGUGUUUCUCUAUAUUUUCAAUCUCAACGUCCAUGUUUCCGUUAUCAUAAAUUCUAAUGCCUGGUUCCAUCAGACCUCUCUAUUAAUUGAGGCUCUUGAAUAAGACUCUUUAUGACUUCAAUAUUUUACUUGAUAUGAAAAUUUCUUUCUAGAUAGAAUCAUUGUGAAGAUAAAUUGUGGUAUUACUGACAAUGAAUAAGUUGAAACAUCAACAGAGAUAAAUAUUGAGCAAUUAAUGUUACCAGCAAUCAAUUUGUGAGCACCAACAACCAUUUUCAUAUUUAAGCCGUUAGAACAGUAACACAAAAUAUGGCGAGUGGCAACCACACAAAUAAUCAAAUUCCUGAUAGAUUUUGAAAACUUUAAUUUGCUAGAUAUGUAUUUUAAUAUUUCAACAGGUGCAUCUUUUCUCUACUCAUGUGGCACGUUGAAUCAGAAACGGUUUGAAUGUCAAUAUUACUCCAAGUGCCUCAACCAAAUUCAGAAUGAAGAAAAUCAUCUGGUUACCUGCACUUUAGUUUAAGCAGCUGAUUAAGUUAAUUAGCACCAAGUAAUUCACAUACUAGUGAGAAAUUUCAUUAGUAAAUUCAUACCUGGGAGGAAACCAGCAUCUUGACGCUUUUGUGACCAAGAAAAUCUGCCAGAACCCCAAUUAAUGAAAAAAAAAUUAUAACAUCAUUUACAUAUAAUUUUAAAAAAUCAAUAGGACACUUACAGAGCACCUCCUACAGCUGGACCGGCAGUUUUGGUAAGCGACACCACUGUCAUAGCAAGUCCAUUAGCAGCUCCUCUUUGAUGCUGUUCCUGUUAUUAUACCAUAAACCAAAAAAAUAAUUUAAACUUUUGACACAUACAAAACUUGAAAAAGCUGAAAGCAUGGAAAUGUACUAAACAAACAAAAGAAAAUAUAUUUACCACUGCUCUGUUUUGCAGAAGGAACAAUCCAGUUAUUAUAGACACCUGAUGUUAUAAUUCAGGAAAAGUGAAAGAGAAUUACAACAUUUCUGAUAAAGAAGAUAUAAAAUAAUUUUUAUACAUACUUGCUAAUGGGUAAUACAACCUAAGUAUAUGAUGGGUGUCGAAGCCAACAAAAAUAAAUUCCUACUCUAAAUAAAUUGUGUAUAGUGAUUGAGCAGGGUCGUGUCCACAGAGAUCGGUAAUUAUUUAAAUCCUUUUGAAACGUAAAACGUAAAAUGGGGGAAUUGUUGACAAUAAUAAAAAUCAAAUUGAAAUAAACAAGAAUGCAAAUUAAAGUUGUAAUUCAAAUUGGAGAAAGCUCUGGUUGAAGGAAUUAACUCAGCUUGAUUCGACUACUGAUCAUUGAUUCAAAUAUAGAUUAUUAUUAUUACUUAUGAAUAGAUCGGUUAUAGCUACUGGGACCCUCUAAUAGCCAAUCUCUCCUUAACUAGUCGAUAACCAAGGUACGACCGUUGGUUAUUUCCCUAAUCAAUAGACAACCCUAGAUACGAUCAUAGGAUUUAAUCAAUUGACAGCCUGAGAAACCAGAGAGACCCAAAUCCUAAUCAACACAUAUGAUGAUUCAUUUAAAUUAGAUUGUUUAUUCUCACAACACAACUCUCUGCUAUGUUAUUUGUCACAAACAUUAAAUUCUUCAUACGAUGAAUCCUUUAAUUGACAAUAGAUUAAGUUGAUAAUUAAAUAGUGGCCAAUUACCUAAUUAACAAACAUAAUCAUGAAACUAAUUUAGAGAAUAAACAAAUACCCAAAAAGCAAUAAAACAAUUAAAGCACAAGAAAGAUCUCACAGUAGUGAUGAAUCAAAGCUUCAUUAUCCUUCAACCAGAAAAAUGGGUUUAGUUCCUUAUAGAGAGAAGAGAAAAAUUAGAUCUAGGGUUUCUUUUUCUCCAAUCCAAAAAUCCCCCUUUUUCACAAUAGAUUCCUCCCUUCAAUACUCUCUCUCUCUUCUCUUUUAGAAUUCUAUUUAAAAUAAAAUACUAAUAUCUGAAAUAUUAAAUUCGUAAUUACAAAAAUAACCAAAAAUACAAAACACGUUAAACUAAAAACUGCAGGUCCGCAGUUGACAGCACGCGCCCACGCCUUAUCAACAAAGUUCUUCUGACGCUCAGAAAUUUCUCCAAGAGAACAAUCCUCCUUAAACAUCAUCUUUUAGCUCAAUUUUAUCAUCAAUCAAUAGAAUUGCACCUACAAAAGUAAAACACAAGUAAAACAUUAUUAUUAAAUGCAAAACAUCGAUAUUAAGGGAAGUAAAUAAUGCAAAACUAGUGCAUAAAUUGCACUCUAACAAAUUCUCCCACACCAAGAUGAUGCUUGUCCUCAAGCAUAUAACUCAAGAUUAAUCCCAAAUCUCCACUCAAUUCUCAUCUCAACUCAUCCAAAAAUAAUUUUAAGCAAGCAUACCUCAAGAAAUUAAGUCGAUCAACAUUCGAGAGACAAGGAUUUUAAAGCAUAGAAUCUCAUAAGAUAGAAUAAGAACAUUCAACCACCAAGAAGAUCCAUUCAAAAUUCAAGUGCAACAAGAUGUAAUAGCCCUCUCAAUAACUUCACUCCAUGCACUCAAAGUGUUUAGGGUGUCAUUUAUCCACUCAAAUCAAAUCAAAGAAUGCUAUUACCAUAAGCUUGCUCAUAAAUCACAUCUCAAUCCACAAAACAUGAAUAAAAUGCAAAAAUCUAAGGGUCUUAAAAGGGUUGUAAUGGGGUUAAAUGGGUUAAAUGAAAAAGAAAGGUUUACGAAAGAAAAAGAGAUCAAAAUGAGAAGAAUGAACUCAUUGAAUGAACUUAUGAUAUCAAAAUGCUUAUUUCUACUCAAGUCACCAAGAAUGUAAACAUUUUUUUUUUCGAUUUUUCUUUUUCUUUUUUUUUUCUUUUUCUUUUUUUUUCUUUUUCCUUUUCUUUUUCUUUUUUUUUCAUUUUUUUUUGUUUUUUUUUUUUUCGAAUCAAACAAAAGAAACGAACCUUGCACAAUUGAAUUCAAGCAUAAUGCUUGUUGAUCUAAUUGAGAAACUUUAAUACAAGGUAGAAAAAGCAACAAAAUAUAUCCAUACAAUGAGUCCAAAAAUCUCCUUAAAUUGAGGCUCAAAAAGAAGAAAAAUGGUUAAGUAGACGGAGAGAAUUAGAUGGGUAAUGGUUAAGGCUCAAACAAAGGUAGCAAAUAAAGGUCUUCGGGUAAAGAAAAAUGAAAAUGCGAGAAUAGAAAAAUGGUAAAUGGUUUGCCCUUAUCAUUUUAAUGCCUAAAAUCCCGUAAUGUGGCUUCAACAUGCAUAACAAAGCAAGUUCUAGAAUAAACAAACUAGGAUUGAUAUUCACAUAACAAAAAUAAUUAGAGCAAAGUGGUUGCUCAUAGGCUCAAAUCCUCACAAAGUUGGUAAAUUUGCCAUCAAAUCAUGUACACUCUUCAAAUGAAUCAACCAUCAAUAGUGGUGUAGAAUGAGAAGAAGGUAUGAGUGAUAUAUAAAAGGAAAGGUAAAAAUGAUAAGAAGUGAGAAAGAUGAAAAGUGAAAGAUAAAAUGUGAGUGAUGAAAGAGUAUGAUAGAAUAAAAAUAGAUGUAAAUAAUUUGAGAUAGAUGGGAAAAAAAAAAAAAGUAGUGAGAAAUAAAAGAAAAGAAAAAAUAAUAAUAUAUAAAGCAUACUAACUCCAAAAUCAUUUAAGGAUGAGUAGAGUGAAAAAAAAAAAAGAUAAGUAGAGUGAAAACAAUAAUUCCAGCAUCAAUAAUGCAAAAAUCCCUCCCCCACACCAAGAACUUACAUUGUCCCCAAUGUAAGAUAAUCAAAGCUCACAUAAAAAUUAAAGCAUAAGGAUAAAAGUUAAAGGGCAAAAAGAAACUUCCCUGAAUUGUGAGCUUUGAUCCACAUAACGUCUAUGGGCUUGGCGGAAAUGGUGGGGUAAAUCCCACACUCUCAAAGUAUGCGGCCAAAUUCUGCUCCAUUUUGUUCAACUUGUGCUCCAUUUUCUCUAACUGAAUGCUCAAAGGUGGUGCGGAUGUAGAAGGAAUAGUUGGCGGGGCAACAGUGUCGUCGUCAAACUCGUCAUCAGAGGUAGCACCACUCCUAGCAUAAAGCUUCUUCGGAAGUUGAGUGGGUCCUGGUUCAGUAAACUGAAAUCUCCCCUCCUUGAAUUCAACCACACCUGUUCUUUCAAACACAAACAUAUCCAAAAAUUCCUUUUUGCAAGCAGGAUGCAAAUCAUUAUUGUCAGGAUCAAGCACACAUAGGUUUAUAGCUAACAGAGUAAUGUAUGGACCAAGAAAUAAAGUCCUAUACCGUUUAAGCACACUUUGAAAUUGAUCCGCUAACCAAAAACCUAAAUUAGGCCUCACAUCAUUUAACAUGCACCAGAUAAAAUAAAAUUCAGUUUUAGAGAAAAUUCCUGAGUGAUAUUUCUUGCCUAAAAAAUUAUAUGCUAAGAAUCGAUGCACACAUUUCAAAACAGGAUCACGUAAGAAAGAACUCUUUGAUUUACUCGGGUCAUAGGCAUUGUGAUCAACAGAUAAAUUACGCCAAAGACCAUAAGGCUCAAAAUUUUUGCUAAAGUCACAAGUUGUUCCUAAAUAUUCAUCACUAGUAGAAUAAUCAUCAUCAAUGAAUCCUAAAGCUAGGUUAAAAUCCGUGAUAGAGUGUGAAAAACUUCGUCCCAUUAACCUAAACUUAAUGACAUCCGGGGUAUGCAAAGUAAAAUCAUUCGGCAUAGUGAAUUGAAAAGUAGCAUAAAACUCCCUAAUCAACUCAACAUAACCCAAGCAAUCAACAUCAACAAACUUACGCAACCCAAUCUUAUCUAUCAAAGAAUCAAAAUUAUCUUUAACAUUUAAUUUUUCAAGAGUCGGGUAAUGAAUAUACUUAGCUGGAAGUAUUUUGCGCGUGGAAAUAUCUUUGUACCUCUCUUUCUCUUGUUGAGUCGCGAAUGCGAGGCACCCUCCGAGAUUGGAUUCCGCAAGUGGCAAAACACUCAUGCCUUUUUCAUGCUUCGAUCUUUGUCUCACGGCUUGGCGUGAAUCUGAAAUUAUGUUCCAUGGAACCGUAGUGGGAGCGGCAAUCUUAGAUUUCUUUGCGACGGGUGUCUUUUUCGACGACUUGGAAGUAGAUGCUUUCCUCUUCGGCAUUGUUACAAUAAUUGCACUCACGGAUUUCGAUUUACUCGGCUGGAAUACAGGGCGUAGGCUGGUUGUGUUGCGCUUGCUGCUCGGCUGGAGCUUGUUGCGCGAGUUGGGGCUGGUUGUGCGCGCUGCUGAGGCUUGCUUUGCGGGUGCUGGUUCGUUGCUGUGUUGCGCGCACGGGGCUGUUGCGCGGGAGAGCCAGUUCACGUUGCGGGUCUGCGUUGCGGAUCUGUUGCGCUGCGCGCGCGGGACUGAUGUGCUGUGCUGAGGCUGAUUCGCGCUGCUGCUGGUUGCGGUGCGCGAUGCUGUGCGCGGCGGCUGGGGCUGCUGGAGCUUGCUGCUGGUUCUGGGCGUACUCGUCUGCUGCUGCUGGUUGCGCGGUGAAGGCUGGAGCUGAUGCUGCUGUAAAACGAUAAUCAACAGUAAUUUUGGAAUUAGGGAUUUGUAAACAGUGAUUUUCGAUUUUUGGUUUUUUUUUUUUUUAUAUAUAUAAAUAAAUAUAGAAAAGAAAGAAAGGAACGAAAAUAAAUAAAUAAAUGAUGAUUUUCGAUUUUCGAUUUUUGGUUUUUUUUUUUUUUUUUUUUUUUUUUUUUUUUUUUUUAGUGAUGAAUCACUUUGAGACACUAAAAAUUUCAGAAGUACUUUUCUAAUAAGUACGUGGGCACGCCUUAUCAAAAAUUUUCUUCUGACCAAAAUAAGCAAACAAAUUAAAUUUCAGAAGUACUUUUCUAAUAAGUACGUGGGCACGCCUUAAAACUUUGUGACAUUAAAAAUCACAGAAGUACUUAUUAGUUAAGACGUGGGCACGCCUUAUCAAAAAUUUUCUUCUGACCAAAAUAAGCAAACACAUUAUUUAUUUUUUUUAAAAAAAAAAAAAAUCUGAAUCAAAAUUAAAAGAAGAUAUAACAAAAACCAAAAUAAAUAAAUCAUUUGGGUUGCCUCCCAAAAAGCGCCUUUGUUUUAUGUCUUUGGCUAGACACAUUUAUGCAUCAAUCUCCAUAAUUGGGACUCUCGAGAGCCACAUCCUCCAUAAUAUUCACCGAAAAACCUUCAUAAAAAGGUUUUAAGCGAUGACCAUUAACCUUAAAAACUUUGUCAGAGGUCGGACUCCGAAUUUCAACUGCACCAUGAGGAAAAACAUUAGUAACAAUAAAAGGUCCAACCCAGCAAGAACGUAAUUUACCCGGAAAAAGUUUAAGCUUAGAAUGAAAAAGAACUUUUUGACCAACAGAGAACUCCUUUAUCAAAAUCAUUCUAUCAUGAAAUGUCUUCGUCUUUUUCUUGUAAAAAACUUCCUGCACUAUAGGGUUAAUAACAUCCACAGAGAAUAUUGAAUGUUCCUCACUAGGAUAUUUCAUGGCAUCAUUCAUAUUGAAUUCUAUAACCUCUCCAUCAAACUCCAUAGUGAGAGUCCCUUUAUGUACAUCCAUUUUAGUCCUAGCAGUCUUAAGAAAAGGUCUUCCUAGCAAAAUUGGGACAGAAUUAGAGGAGUUAUCAUCUUCCAUAUCAAGUACAUAAAAAUCAGCAGGAAAAACCAACUCAUUAACUUGUACUAAGACAUCUUCUAAUACCCCAUCAGGAUAUGCAUUAGACCUAUCAGCUAGUUGAAUUAUCACGCCAGUUUCUUUUAAUGGACCAACAUUCAAAGAUGAAUAAAUGGAACGAGGCAUGACAUUAAUAGAAGCUCCUAGAUCUAACAUAGCCUUUUCAACUCUAACACUACCAAUUUUACAAGGGAUAGUAAACAUACCUGGAUCCUUGCACUUAGGAGGUAGUUUCUUUUGGAGAACUGCUGAAACAUUCUCCCCCAUGUGAACUUUUUCAUCUCCUCUUAAUUUUCUCUUGGAGGUGCACAGUUCCUUAAGGACUUUAGCAUAUCGAGGUAUUUGUUUUAUAGCAUCUAACAAAUGAAUAUUUACCUCAACCUUGCGAAAUGUCUCAAGGAUGUCUUUAUCUUGUUCCUUCUUCUUGGAUUUUGCAAACCGGCUUGGAAAAGGAGGAGGUAUCACAAUAGGUAGGGGUUUCGCUCUUGUGGGUUGUGCAUCUUGAGAUUGAGGCAUCAAUUCAUUCUUCUCAAGCUCAUCUUCUACAUGCUUUGUCACUUUCUUACUAGGCUCUUGCAACUCCGUCCCACUUCUAAGGAUGACAGCACUAACGUUUUCCUUUGGAUUCACCUCAGAUUGUGAAGGCAAUCUCCCUAAUACUUGAGACUCCAGACGGCUCACUGUAGUCGCCAAUUGACUCAUUUGGUUCUCCAAGUUCUGAAUGCUUGCUGUAGUUGCCUGCUGAAAUUGUUGAGUGUUAGUCGCAAGUGAUUUAACAAUUUCUUCAAGAGAUAUACCUGACUUGGAGUUUGACUGUGGAGGUGCUGGUUGUCUUGGUGGAUACUGUUGUGGGAAUCCUGAUUGCCUAACUCCAUAGCUGAAGUUGGGAUGAUCCUUCCAUCCCGGAUUGUAUGUUUGUGCAUAAGGAUCAUACCUCCUCUGAGGCAUGCCUGGAAAUCCUCCAACUGCAUUGGCUUGUUCAACGGGUUCUUCUUGAAGUGUAGGACACAUAUCAGUUGAAUGACCCAUAUUGUAACAAAUGCCACAAGUCUUCACCUGUUGCACAUUACCUACAACAAACUUUUCCACAAGAGAAGUAAGUUUAUCUAAACGUUGUUCAACAGAAGAAAUAUUUACCUCAUUCACCGUUCUUGAAGUGGCAUCUUGUCUGCUGCCAAAUUGUUGUGCAUUGGCAGCCAUAUUUGAGAUCAACUCCCUUGCUUGAGUAGGGGUCUUGUUCACCAACACACCUCCACUAGCAGCAUCUAUCAUACUCAUAUCCAUCAAUGACAGUCCUUCGUAAAAAUAUUGAAUAAGAAGUUGAUCAGAAAUCUGAUGCUGAGGACAGCUGGCACACAAUUGUUUGAAUCGCUCCCAAUACUCUUACAAAGUCUCCCCAGGAAGUUGUCUGAUCCCACAAAUAUCUUUUCUGAUGUUGGCAGCUCUUGAAGCAGGAAAGUACUUCUCAAGGAACUGCUUCUUCAAACCAUUCCACAUUGUAAUCGAUCCAGGAGGCAAGUAGUACAACCAAUCUUUAGCUAGCCCAUCUACAGAGAACGGAAAAGCACGCAGCUUAAUCUGCUCUUCAGUCACGCCUUGUGGCCUCAUACUUGAGCACACAACAUGAAACUCCUUAAGAUGUUUAUGAGGAUCUUCACCUGCAAAACCAUGAAACUUGGGUAAUAAAUGAAUAAGACCAGACUUUAAUUCAAAAUUUACCUCCAAAUCUACAUAUUGAAUGCAGAGUGGUUGCUGAUUCAAGUCUGGUUCAGCUAACUCUCUAAGAGUUCUUUCUACAGGUGCAGGUCUAUCCAUCACUUGUUCUUCUGAAUCACUAGAUGAUUCAACUAAAUCAGGCACCGUAUCUGUUUCAGAAAGCAAAGGCGACGAGGAUCGUUGCUUAGCUCGCUUUGUCUGCUGUCUCAGCUGGUGAGCUGUCUUCUCAAUUUCAGGAUCAAACGAAAGUGUACCUGUACGAGAAGAACGAACCAUACACCAAGUAAAACGUAAAAAGGAUUAAAUAAAUGACACCAAUCCCUGGCAACGGCGCCAAAAUUUGAUGGGUGUCGAAGCCAACAAAAAUAAAUUCCUACUCUAAAUAAAUUGUGUAUAGUGAUUGAGCAGGGUCGUGUCCACAGAGAUCGGUAAUUAUUUAAAUCCUUUUGAAACGUAAAACGUAAAAUGGGGGAAUUGUUGACAAUAAUAAAAAUCAAAUUGAAAUAAACAAGAAUGCAAAUUAAAGUUGUAAUUCAAAUUGGAGAAAGCUCUGGUUGAAGGAAUUAACUCAGCUUGAUUCGACUACUGAUCAUUGAUUCAAAUAUAGAUUAUUAUUAUUACUUAUGAAUAGAUCGGUUAUAGCUACUGAGACCCUCUAAUAGCCAAUCUCUCCUUAACUAGUCGAUAACCAAGGUACGACCGUUGGUUAUUUCCCUAAUCAAUAGACAACCCUAGAUACGAUCAUAGGAUUUAAUCAAUUGACAGCCUGAGAAACCAGAGAGACCCAAAUCCUAAUCAACACAUAUGAUGAUUCAUUUAAAUUAGAUUGUUUAUUCUCACAACACAACUCUCUGCUAUGUUAUUUGUCACAAACAUUAAAUUCUUCAUAUGAUGAAUCCUUUAAUUGACAAUAGAUUAAGUUGAUAAUUAAAUAGUGGCCAAUUACCUAAUUAACAAACAUAAUCAUGAAACUAAUUCAGAGAAUAAACAAAUACCCAAAAAGCAAUAAAACAAUUAAAGCACAAGAAAGAUCUCACAGUAGUGAUGAAUCAAAGCUUCAUUAUCCUUCAACCAGAAAAAUGGGUUUAGUUCCUCAUAGAGAGAAGAGAAAAAUUAGAUCUAGGGUUUCUUUUUCUCCAAUCCAAAAAUCCCCCCUUUUUCACAAUAGAUUCCUCCCUUCAAUACUCUCUCUCUCUUCUCUUUUAGAAUUCUAUUUAAAAUAAAAUACUAAUAUCUGAAAUAUUAAAUUCGUAAUUACAAAAAUAACCAAAAAUACAAAACACGUUAACCUAAAAACUGUAGGUCCGCAGUUGACAGCACGCGCCCACGCCUUAUCAACAAAGUUCUUCUGACGCUCAGAAAUUUCUCCAAGAGAACAAUCCUCCUUAAACAUCAUCUUUUAGCUCAAUUUUAUCAUCAAUCAAUAGAAUUGCACCUACAAAAGUAAAACACAAGUAAAACAUUAUUAUUAAAUGCAAAACAUCGAUAUUAAGGGAAGUAAAUAAUGCAAAACUAGUGCAUAAAUUGCACUCUAACAGUAUAUGGAUCAAUGAUUAGGAUAUCCACUUACAGAUUAAACAUUCUUCAUCACAGAAGCACAGUUUAUCAAUAAGGCAAGGCUGAACCCAGAUAACAUUGCUAUGUAAGUGUAACUUGUCAAAAGCGGUAUCGAUAAAACCUGUACAUACAUAGAAAAUUACGUCACCAAAUCCAUGAAGAAAAGUAUUUUAUAAACAAAUAUGUUUGAGACAAACUAUCAAAUGAUCUAAAUGCCACAUGGUGUGUUCAAAAUUUUACCCCUGCAAUGCGUGUUAUUAUUAUUGGCCCGAUCAUCCUCUCAACGUAAGGGUACAUAGUAAGUUGAAAAACAAGGAGAAUGAAAUCUAUAGUAACUUCAAAAUGAGGACAAUCGUCAAGCAGUUUUGGGGGGUUGAUGCAUGAGAAAAGAAGUUAAGAGGAACGAGUAACAUUUUCAGUUUCGUAAUAAGUAUAAAUGGGGAGCAAGAGUAUCAGUUUUGCACCUGAGAUGGCAAGAACUUGGCCAACAUUUUCGGUUGAGUAACUCAGACCCCCGUACUUCCACCGGCUGAUAGCCCACAGUGAAAAUAUCUAACAGAAUAGUUGCAAUAUUAUGAUUUAAAAAAAUUACACAGAUAAGAAAUUCUUAGGAUCAGUAAUAGCCAUAUGUCUUCUUUAUGUAUAAAACUCUCAACAAUCCCAUCAACAGCAAUAGCACCCUCUGUUUCAGGUAGAAGUUAAGAGAUAACUUUGCAAAUAUCUAACAGAAUGCGAUCUGAUCCAGGAUCCUGGACUUUAUUCAAGUUCGGGAAAGCCAUUGGUCAUUGGACUAUUAAACCAUAUGGCUUAAUAACUUUCCCGAACAUUAACAUAGUUUAGAUUUUGGAUUGGAACAUUUUUAUGUCAUAAUAAAGUAGAAUAUAUAUAUAUAAACAAUCAAGUAGAGAUAUUUAUACCUCGGUGUAAGCGAUAUCAUGAAGCGAGAAAACACAAUAAACAAUAAUAGAAGAAAUAAAGGGCCAAUUCUUCAUGAGGCUUUUCUUAGCAGUGGCCUCCUCACUUCCUUCAUCUUGUUUAAAUUCUGCAUUGGACCCACAGGAUGCGGAUUCCAAAGCAUCACAUGAUACAUCAAGUGAUACACCAUCUUCAUUGUGUUUGUGCAAUGUCUCACACUGAUCCAUAGUUGAGAGAGGCUGUGGGGAAGUUAAUGGAGUUGAAGGAGAGGGAUAAUGAUAAUGAAGAUUACUCUUCAUAUGCUAGUGAGGAUUAUGUCUACUCUUCUAGAGCAAUGACUGAUGAGGACUUCUCAUUCUCAGUAACUGGCUGAACUCAACUUAUUUUUUCUUUCUUUGGCUUUUGGCAGCUGAUGUUCUUUUUGGGGUUAGUAGAAGGAAGGAUAAAGCUGGCAAUUAAAGGAAGCCAUUUAUGUUAAUCUUAGUAAUUUCCCCAUAUAUAGAUAUAUCUUUGAAUGUUUUUAACUUUUGCAAGGUUCAUUAUGUAACGAGGCAGUGACACUGAUUAAACUUGUAUUAUUAUUAUUAUUAUUAUUAUUUUGAAUAGAAGCAAAUUGAUUGUGUUAUGGGUUUCUUUUGCUUCCCAUCGGAUUAGCAACUGGCACUGGCACCGGCAUGAUUGGCAAAGGCCAAGUUGAAGCUGCCUGCAGACUCUCAGUGGACUGAAUUACAUAUUACAUAAUACAAGUGAAAGGAAGGGACUCGUAAAGCUUUAUUGUCGUAGUUUGGAUAAGAUUAAGAAUUGCUGUCGCUUCUUGUCAGAUUGCAUUGAAACGCUAGUAGUCGCUGCUGCGAGCAUUGGUAUUAGAAGAUUAGCACAAGCAGCCCCUACCUAUCAUGGACUCUGAUGUUAUGGACCUUACGGAUAUCAAUUACCUAGUUAAAAGCUAGUUAAAAGCUACCUCCAUAUUUUUUAUUUUUACCCUAAUGCAUGUCUGAUUCUUUUAAAAUUUUACGUUAUAUAUAUUAAACAAAUAUUAUAAUUUUAAUCAUUGAAAAAUUAAUGACAGACAUCUUUUGAAUAAUUUUUUUUUUUAAAAAUACAGAGCUAGAGAAAAUGCUAUAAUUGAUUGAAUAAGAAGGCUACAACUUGAUGAUAACUUUAUUGCAAUGUUGCGUGAUCUCAAUAUAUUAUUGGCUUAUGUGUGAGUAAAAGUUGCUGGCUCCUGUUUUACUAAUUUGCCUUUGAAUUUGACUGGCUCGACAAAGAAUCGAUUUACCUCAUACUCAAAUUACAAACAUCGAAACCGGAUCUGUCAUUACGUUAAUUGGCCUCCUAAAAUAAUCAAUCACUUUCUCUUUAGUCUACCAUCCACGCUUUCCAGUCGCUUAGUUUCAUUCUAAUCAUCUAAACGGCUCUUUGCUACUGUUUCUUCUAUUUGUCAUUGUUCUUGUUCUGUUAUUAUUUAGCUUUGCUCACUCCUGAGUCUCAUUUCUUAUUCUGUACCCAUCAGCUCUUUUAGCUCUUUACGUCGUGAUAGAAACCCUUUUCUUGUUUCCUUCAUCUCAUCUGAAAAACACAAUUGCUUGUCCUAUCGCUGUCUCUUUGUUUUUACUUUCCUUUGGCCUUCUUCGCUUCUACGUUUUUGUCAGGAUUCGAGAUGCUGGAAAUCAUUGUGACUAUCGUCUUGGAACUUGUAAAAUGCUUGGCUCCUCCAACUGCACGCCAACUUGUUUAUUUGCGAUAGCGGAACUACAAUGCCAACUUUGAGAAUAUCAAGGCGGAAAUGGAGAAGUUGAAGGUUGAACGUACGAGCAUUCAGCGCAAAGUUUCAGAGGCGAAAGAAAAAGGGGAAGAGAUUGAAGAGAAGGUUGAAAAGUGGCUGGUUAGUGCGAAGUGCGAACGGCAUCAUUGACCGGGCAGCCAAAUUCAUUGAAGAUGAGGAGUCAACAAAUAAGCGCUGUCUCAAGGGCUUGAGUCCUAAUUGGAAGAGUCGCUAUCAGCUUAGCAAGAAAGCAGAGACGGAGGUGAAGGCCAUUAUUGAACUUGGAGAAGAAGUUAAGAAGUUUGAUACUGUUUCCGUAUCAUUCCGGAGGAGAUACGGCUCAAGUCUAGCAAUGGUUACGAGGCCUUCAAAUCAAGACUUUCUACUUUGCAGUCUAUAAAAAAUGCAUUGACUGAGGCGAAUGUCAGCAUUAUUGGGGUGUACGGCAUGGGCGGCAUUGGAAAUACGACAUUGGUGAAGGAGUGUGCUAGGCAAGCCAGGGAAAGGAAGCUGUUUGAUCGGGUGGGUUUUUCAGAGGUUUCACAAACUCCUAACAUAAAAAAGAUUUAAGGGGAAAUUGCAGAGAAGUUAGGUCCGGAGUUGUCCGACGAAGCUGAAUAUAGAAGAGCAAGCAGGCUGUAUGAACGAUUGAAGAGUGAGAAUAAGAUUCUUGUGAUUCUAGAUAACAUCUGGAAACAUCUUGAAUUGGAGACGGUUGGAAUUCCUUUUGGAAAUAAUCAUAAAGGAUGUAGACUGUUGCUGACAGCAAGAGAUAAUAAUGUGCUUUUAAGUAUGGGCUCCAAAGAUAACUUUUUGAUUGGCAAUCUAACUGAACAAGAAGCCUGGAGAUUGUUUAAGAUAAUGAAUGGUGAUGAUGUUGAAAAUUGUAAGUUCAAGUCUACAGCAAUUAAUGUAGCUAAGGCAUGUGGAGGUUUGCCAAUUGCGUUGAGGGCACUGAGAAACAAGAGUCUCCAUGAAUGGAAGAAUGCCUUGCGAGAGCUCCGAACGCCUUCAAUGGUAAACUUCGAAGGUGUGCCUGCAGAGACUUAUUCAAGUAUUGAGCUGAGUUUCAAUUAUUUAAAAGGUGAGCAAGUCAAGAAAAUUUUUCUGCUUUGUGGACUAGUAGGUAACAGUGUUUGGUUUUCAGACUUAUUUAGAUACUCCAUGGGUUUGGGCAUAUUUCAAGGAGUCAACAUUCCCUUCAUAUUUACCAAAGGUAAGUGAUAAAUCCUACAUAUCCCACUCAAGAAUGCAUAAGUUUCUUCAAUCUCAAGUACCUAAAGUUUUCUUCUACGUUUAUAAAAAUUUCAGCACCAUCUCCCUAUAAUUCUCCAAGCUCACGACAUAGCUAUAUAAGUGUUUAUGCGUUAUGCCAAAACAACACAUGACACCCGCUCACCUAGAACGUACCCAGAGAACACGAGGAGCAGCUACCGAAAAAGCCAUAUUUACGUGGGAAAAAAACUUCAGCUACUAGCUACCAGAGAGACCUAUGCAUUCCCAAACUGUCCAAGCCUGGACAAUUCAAGAAUUAUUAAUAGACAUAUGAUCCUCACUAUCAUCCAAAGAUGACACUAAUACAACAUGUGUCUAUUAAUAAUUUCUUAAACAAGUCUAAGCUUUCAAUGCACGUAUCAAAAGUUUAAAAUUGAAUCUGAAAUUUGAAUAACACAUAAAUAUCAUAAAUCUCUUCAAUUUAUUCCUGAUACAAUGUAGCAUUAUUUCAGAGAUCAUUUCUUAAGCAAAACCAUAAAAAAUACAAACGAUAAAUACAUUUUCCCACUGAUGCAGAUUAUGUUUACUGAGCAAUAAGUUUUAAGCCAUUCAUGUUGAAAUACUUCUGCCUGUUCUUUCAACAUAUAACUAGUACGUACACACAAUUAAUAAAUUAAAAAAAAAAAAACUGGUGGUGAAUCUGCAAAAUCUUCCUUUUUUUCUUUUUUUUUCUUUUUCUUCUUUUUUUGGGGGGGGGGGGUGUUGGGGGAACUAUGAAUCUUGCAAAUCCUCAAGAAGCUAUGUUAAGACAAGGCCAGCUUACUAUUAGGGUAUGAAAGAUAAAACCUUUUAUUUCCUUUUCAGAAUAAAAAGAACAUUGACAGUGUUAAAAAAAUCUAGAGGAUUUCAGGCCUCCAGAUCCUUACAAAUCAAGGAUAUUAAAAAAUUUACUUAGAGGAGAAUGGUUAUGCUCAUUUGUAUCUUGUUAGAAGAAAUUGAUCCAAAGCCUCAGUUUUAAUUAGCUUCAUAUAGCCAAUGAUUAGGUGUUUAAAAACCAAUGAAUAUUUUUAUAAGAAAUCGACAAUAUUGUUGAAAGAAAAACCAAAUAAAAAUAAUAAAGCCAAUGAAUAGAUCAAGGCUCUUUGUGGUCUAAAACUAAUCAAACUAAGUUGUGGGCAAAGGCGAAUAUGUUUGUUUGGUCAAUAAUAAGCUCAACAAAUCACUAAUAAUCACCUAAUCACUAUUCCUUACGCUAUGCAAUAUAAUGGCCUGGGUAAUGGCGCCAAGGCAGACAUUAACUAGCUAGCCAGUUAUGAUAGUUGAUUAACUUAACCUACUGGAAAUCUGAAGACCAAAACGAAGAAGCUUUGUCUAGAACUAGAAUAGGAACAUUCGUACCCAAAACUAAUAUACACAAUUAAGAAACUUGAUUAUAUGUAUAUUUCUGUUGGCCACACUUAAAGAGAAUUUUCAAAAGAUGCUAAGGUACACCAAAUCCCACUAUUUCAUACUCAUAAACACAAAAAACCAUGGCAAAAAUUAAUGACUAUAUCAAAUAAAAUCGGUGAUAGGACAUUGAGAUUAGGACAACUUGAUUUGUAUACCGUAAAAUAACUAUAUCUGCAUGGUGAACUAUAUUUCUGUUAGAACUCUGAAGUUUUCUAUUAAGUUUUUUUCUGUUAGGUAAACCACUUAACUGAAGUGCUUAAGCCAAUAUUGACAAUCAUAGACAUAAAAGUAUUAAUAGGCUCAUUCAAGUGAAAUGAGCAUUAUUUCACACAUCCUUUAGGUUUUUAAGUCAUUUAGAAGUCAUUCAUGUUAAAAAAAAAAAUUCAUAUACUUUCAAUAUAAUUAGAACAUACACAAUUAAUUAAUUAAAUAAAUCUUUUUCAGCUAGUAUAGGAACUUAAUUAAUCAAAGCUAGUAGUUAUAGCUAGGACUUGAACGAGGCACCUUUCAAAGUUCAAGAAGAGCAUCUGAACAGAAUGAAAGCACUUUGUAGAAAUGGUAAUGAUGCUUUACAUCUACAUGCUCUUACACAAUAUGAACUUUCAUUUAUUCAAGAACAUAACACUACUCCAAGCUCUUAUUCUACAAGUCAAUUCAGUUUGUAGAUGCACGCCAUUGUAAAAACUUUUGCAUUAUAAUUUCUGAAAAUAGAACGUAACAUUAUUAGUAUAGAAUCAGCAAUGUAAAUAACUUAUCAGACAAUAUAACAAGCACUUGGUGAGCAUACAAGAAAAACUAAAACAAGUUAUCUAGAUAAUGAAACUAAAACCCAAGCUCCGCUAUUCAUUGUAGAAGCUUUAAACAUAAAAUUAAAGUAAAUCUAAUAGCAAAACAUUAGAAUGGAUAUUGAAAUUAAAGCUAAAUUCAAUAGUAAUUCAAAUGAAUCCAUUUGAACUUUGUAAAUUCCGCAGAACAAAAUUAAUUUGAGUGAGCAAACUCACCAAAAUUAAAAAGAUAUUGCUGGCGGGAAAAAAAUUGACAAUAACAGCUACAAUACGAAUUUAAAAAAAAAAUCAAAAUCUAUAAUUACAAGCUUAACUCAAAAGAUGAAGGGAGAAUACGAUGAAGAAGAAGAUGGCUGGUGUUUUACGCCGUUCGCCGGCAACCAGUUAGGUUUACGAUGGUGGCUAGUAACACGGAGUCCAGCGAAUAGUUUUCUAACUGGAAAUAAAUUUAAAAUUCUAAAAUAGUACCGAAUGGCUCGUUGCCGUCACGUGGUUAGUAACAUAUGUGACCGCAGUGUGGCCGUCACAUAAAAGGUAUUGGGGUUACAAAGUUAGUGAUAUACGUGAUGGCUGCUCUUGCAUUCACAUUAGGGAUCACAUAUACCCUAUUUUCUUGUAGUGCAUGGUAAAUUCUAUUUGAAAAUUGCUAAGUAUUUUAGAUUUGUACGAAUUCAUUUUUGUGUGCUCAUUGGAUAAUAAUAUAUAAUAAAUUAAAUUUUUGGUGUCAACCAUACCAUACCAUACCAUAAAAUCAAAUUUUAUCGUGUCAUUCUUCUUGGUUCAAAUUUUUGGAAACAAUAAUCAAAUGCAUCCAUGAACUAGUAUAUUCCGACAUAUAUAUAUAUAUUGAAAUUUUAAUAACAACAAUUGGGCCAAGCAUAUGUUGGUACUUGAAGAUUUAUAAGCUCCAUCCUUGAAAAAAAUAAGGCUUGACUGUUCUCAAUCUAAAAUUCUUUUUGUUUUAAGUUCUUAAUUAAGCUUUCUUGCUUGUUUUCAAGAGCCAGUUUUGUAAUGAUCGACAAACAUGACUUGCAUAUACUGCACUUGGCUUUUAUGUGUCACUUAUUAAUUAGAUUUAGAUUUUAUGUCUCAUGCACUCGCUAAUUAAGCUCUUAAUUAAGUGCUCCUUAUAUGGAUAUUGUGUCAAAACAAGUGCUUUCCAUACGGAUAUUGGAUCUAAAGAGAAAAUUAUCUUUAGGUAGUGUUGCCAAAUUUGGAGGCUUUGGAGCUGAAUGCUAUUAAUGUCGACGAGAUUUGGCAUGACAAUCAACUUACGGCCAUGAUUACUUGCUUUCAAAGUUUGAUACGAUGGAUAGUGUGGGGCUGUGACAAAUUAAAAUACAUAUUUUCAGCUUCUAUGAUCUUAAGCCUUAAGCACCUCCAACACCUGGAGAUACGGAUAUGUAUGGGUUUACAAGAGAUCAUCUUCAAAGACAGCAGAUCAAGUGACCCCAUAUUUUGUCUUUCCACAAGUGACCACUGUGAAUCUCGAAGGUCUACCAGAACUCAGAUGUUUAUACCCUGGAAUGCAUACUUCAGAAUGGCCAGCACUAAAAAAAUUGGAGGCCUGUAAUUGUGAUAAAAUAACGUUGUCCCAGAAUAACGAGAAUGAUCAAUUUGGUAUUCCGCCACUACAACCCCUGCUCUCGUUCAAGAAGGUAUGAAACCAAAAUUUAGAUUUUUUUUAUCAAUUAUCUUUGUUGUUCCUCACUCACAGAUCAGGAGGUUUAAUAACUACCUAUAUGGAGUUUUUUUCUAGUGGGAAUGCCCUUAUUUUUUACUUUUUUCAUGCGGAGAAGCUUUCAAAUCCCUCGGUUUAAGAGCGUGUUUGUAAUGAUCCACAAACAUGAUUUGCAUAUACAGUAUUGCACUUGGCAUUUAUGUAUCACUUACUAAUUAGAUUUAAAUUUUAUAAAUUAAUUAAACUGAUUAAUAUUUUAUAUGUGCACUGAAUGAUAGAUACUACAUAAAUUGGGACACUAUAACUACGUAUCCCAACUAUGUAAUAUUUGUUUGUCACAAACCCAAUCAUGACCUGAUAUUCUGAAUAUUAUUUAGGAUACCAUUUCAAGCCCCAUGAGGGCUCUUUCCAUUUUAAAAAGUAUGAAAUAGAUGUAGAUUUUUCUUUAGAUAUUAUCAGUGAGAGUACCUUUGGUGGCAGUGGUCCGGGAUGAUUUGUGUUAAGGAAGCUCAUUGAGCACGUGUGUCAAUGAUGAGUCAGCAGUUAGUUGGGUAAAGAAGCCAGCUCAGCAAAUCUGUUAAUCAUGUUUUACGUUCUGUUCUUCAGUUGUUAGUAAUGCUUUUAAUUCUGUUGAGAUAUGAGUUAGUAUAAAUAUGUUGUUAUUGUAUUUGUAAUUGUGAACGUGAGAUUCAAUAAAAAAUAAGUAGUUUCUAAGGAAAAAUCUUAUCAUUAUUUUCUUAGCUUCCAAACAACUUUUACAGUCACAAUUCAACUUUCAAACAUGGUAUCAGAGCCAGUAAGAGCAAGCUCUAGUGCUCAGCAAACAAAUCAACAAAGUCAAAUAAAUUUUUCUUUCAACACUCCAAUUAAACUAGAUCGAUCGAACUAUCUACUUUGGCGUUUUCAAGUUUUUGCUUCCAUAAGAGGCAAUCGAUUGGAAGGCUUCAUCAAUGGAACAAAACCAGCUCCUGAAGAAUAGUUCACUCAAGUUGUAGCUGAUGGAUCUAUUCAGAAAAUUGAUAAUCCAGAAUAUCAGAAUUGGAGAUCACAGGAUCAAACAUUGCUUGGAUGGAUGCUAUCAUCAAUAAGUGAAGGUACUCUAAAUCUUGUCAUAAAUUGUGGUAGCUCGUUUGAUGUUUGGAGAACUUUAGAAAAGAAAUUUGGUGUGCAAUCUGAAGCUAGGGUUCUUCAACUUAGAUAUGAGUUGAAUACUCUUAGGAAGGAAUCAAUGAGUAUUGAAGAUUACUGCAUCAAAAUGAAAAUUGUAGCAGAUAAGCUUGCUAGUGCUGGAAGUCCUAUAACAGAGAAAGAUCUCAUGCUGACAAUUCUUAAUAGCUUAGGAGCAGGUUAUCGUGAUAUUGCUACCUUUAUAACUGGCUCAAAAAUGGACUAUGAUGAUGCUUAUGCAUUAUUAUUGACUCAUGAAACCAGACUUGAACAAGAGCAGAAUGAUAAAAGCAUGUUUAAUGCAAAUUAUGCUUACACAAAUGCCUAUUAUCCAAGGGCAUUCUAUGCCCAAUCUAGAAAUAAUUUUAGAAGAGGAGGAUAUGCUGGUGCUCAGUUUGGUAAUACUGGUAGAAAUCAUACUGCUGGAAGAGGAAAUAUUUUUCAGUCUCCAAGGAUGUUUACUGGCAAUCACAGAGGUGGAUAUGGAAGAGGACACUCAUUUGGCCCAAAUAAUGUUAACUCUUUUCAUGCACCUAGGAAUCCAAUACAAUUUACUAGGACUGGAGUCACUAAUAUGAAUGGACCUCAAGGAAUUCCAAGUAAUGCAGAAGAAUUGGUUUGCCAGAUUUGCUUUAAGCUGGUCACACUGCUGAUAUUUGCUGGCAUCGAUUUGUGGAGGAUUAUGUCCCUUCUUCAAGAAGUCUAGGCAGAGGAAAAGGACCAAGAUCAGCAUAUAUUGCUAAUUUUGAUGGCUUUACAUAUCCAUAUCAAGGUUAUGAUAACUAUGAUAAUCAUCCUGCAUCUGAGACAAGCUGCUAUUCUGGAAUUGAUAACUAUGCACCUACAGAAGCUUAUGUGGCUAAUUUUGAAAGCUUUGCUGAUGAUGGCUGGUAUUUGGAUAGUGGGGCAACUCAUCACUUGACCAACAACAUGGAGAACUUGCAUUUUAAGGAAGACUACAAAGGUACUGAUCAACUCAUUAUUGGAAAUGGUCAAGGUCUGUCAAUUUCUCAUAUUGGUCAUGCAUUUUUAUCAUUUAGAGCUUCAAAACAUCCUUACACACAUGCCUCCACUAUAGCACUUAAAGAUAUGUUACUUAUUCCUACAAUCACUAAGAAUUUACUAAGCAUCUCCAAACUUACAUCUGAUAAUUCACUCUCUGUUGAAUUUUGUGGAAAUGUUUGUUAUGUUAAGGACAUGAAAGGGCAAGUUCUUCUGCAGGGCCUUGCUGAGAAAGGUCUUUACAAGCUGUUGAUGAAAUCUUCUUCCAUGUCAUCUUCUGCUUAUCAUACAUCACCUGCCUUUCAUCUUUCUCAACUUCAGUCACAUAAACCAAUAUCCAUGCUGUCAUGCUCAAAUGUGUCUUCUAUUUCUCAUCAUUGUAAUGUCUCAACUUCAGUCACAUAAACCAAUAUCCAUGCUGUCAUGCUCAAAUGUGUCUUCUAUUUCUCAUCAUUGUAAUGUCUUUGAUAAGACUUGUUUCAGCUCAAUUUCAAAUAAGUGUAACCAGAAACAUGAUGAACUUAUCUUGUUACACAGAAAGUUUGGUCAUCCAAGCUCAACAGUAUUGAUGCAUUUGCUUAAGACUUGUAAACAAGUUAAAGUCUCUCAAAAAUCAAUUUUAUCUCCUGAGCAUUCUAUGUGUGAAGCAUGUCAAUUAGGAAAAGCUCACAAGCAACAUUUUUCUACAACCGAAACCAAAACAACUCAAGUAUUAGAACUGAUACAUACUGAUCUGUGGGGGCCUUCACCUACUACAUCUAGAAAUGGUUUCAAAUACUACAUUAGCUUUGUAGAUGAUUACAGUAGGUAUACCUGGAUUUACCCACUCAAACUCAAAUCAGAAGCUUUUGAAGUUUUCAAAUUAUUCAAAAUCCAAGUAGAGAAUCAGUUCAAUACCAAAGUCAAGAUGCUGCAAUCUGACUGGGGGGGAGAAUAUAGAGUUUUUACUAACUUCUUAAACCAGAAUGGGAUCAUUUUCAGACAUUCAUGCCCUUACACACAUCAUCAAAAUGGUCUAGUAGAAAGAAAACAUAGACAUAUAAUUGAGUUAGCUUUGACUCUCUUAGCUCAAGCCAAUCUUCCUUUUAAAUUCUGGUGGGAAGCUGUUCAUACAGCAGUGUAUCACAUAAACAGAUUACCAACACCUGUAUUGAAACUCUUAUCUCCAUAUGAGAAGCUCUUUAAACAUAAACCAGAUUACAGCCUCCUUAAAUGCUUUGGUUGUCUUUGUUAUCCAAACUUGAGAGAUUUUAACAAACAUAAAUUUGACUUUCAUACCAGCAAGUGCAUCUUUAUUGGUUAUAGCUCAUCUCAUAAGGGAUAUAAAUGUCUUACAAGCUCAGGUCGAGUUCAUAUCCUUAGACAUGUUGUUUUUUAUGAAAGUGUAUUUCCAUAUACAACAUUCUCUGUUCCUUCUUCAUCUGAAAAUGUUGCCAACUCAGAAACACCAGUGUCAAAUUUCUCUAAACAGCAAGUCUAUCAUCUUUUAACUCUACCCUUAUUCAACAGCAGUUUUGAAGAUACUUUCUCAGCAGGUGUACCAAGUGAUGAACAAACUCCUGUUUUGCCUGAGCAUACAGAUAAUUUGAAUCAACAAGAAUCAUCUAGUUAUUCUUUAUCAGAACCAUCAAUAUCACAAGUUAUCCCUCAAAUCCCUGAAUCUACUCAAACACAACCUGAACCACAAACAAGCAAUCAACAACACUCAGAAUAUAAUCCAAACAGAAUUCAGAUCUCACAACCUACACACAAAAUGAUUACCAGAUCAAAGUCUGGAAUAUUCAAGCCUAAGUUAUAUACAGCCACCUUGACCAACAAAGAACCUGACACAAUUCAAAAAGCUCUGAAUGAUAAAAAUUGGUAUAAGGCCAUGAAAGAGGAAUAUGAAGCUUUGAUCAGGAAUGAGACUUGGUCUCUUGUACCACCUCCAGCUGAAUACAAAAUAGUUGGAAACAAAUGGGUGUUCAGGGUUAAACAAAAUAGUGAUGGCAGUAUAGCAAAGUACAAAGCUAGAUUGGUUGCUAAAGGUUUCCAACAAACUGAAGGGAUUGAUUAUUUCGAAACUUUUAGCCCUGUUAUAAAGGCUUCCACAGUGAGGGUUAUAUUAAGCCUGGCUGCAAUGCAGAGUUGGAUGAUCAGACAGGUAGAUGUUAAUAAUGCUUUUCUGAAUGGUGACUUAACAGAAGAUGUCUACAUGUGUCAGCCUGAGGAUUUUGUUGAUGAGAAGAGAUCAGGCUAUGUAUGUAAGUUGAAGAAGGCUUUAUAUGGUUUGAAACAAGCUCCCAGAGCUUGGUUUGAUAAACUAAAAGGCUGUUUGGUUGCAAACUGGGGAUUUCAAAAUUCCAGAGCUGAUACCUCACUAUUCUUUAAAGGAAAACAAGAUUCAAUGAUAUUAGUUUUGAUCUAUGUUGAUGACAUACUGAUAACAGGGCCUAACAGUGAUGAACUUGAAAAGUUUAUUUCAGACUUCAGCAAAGUGUUUGCAUUGAAAGAUUUGGGAAGACUCUCAUAUUUUCUGGGUAUAGAAGUAUCUUAUGCUGAGAAUAACAUUUACUUAUCUCAAAGAAAAUAUGUUAGAGACCUGCUAAGUAAAGCUGAUAUGCUUCACUGCAAAGGGUGUGAUACACCAAUGGUUACAGGGACAAAACUUCAAAAGGAAGCUAAGGGAUCUUUGGGUCAGCAUGUUGAAGAUGCAACAAGUUAUAGAAGUUUAAUUGGAGGGCUGCAGUAUUUGGUUCUGACCAGGCCAGAGAUAGCUUUUGCAGUGAACAAGCUAAGCCAAUAUGUUUAUACACCUACACUACAACAUAUCCUAGCCUGUAAGAGAAUGCUUAGAUAUUUGAAAGAGACAGAAGACUAUGGAUUAAAGUUUUCAGCUGAUGGAGAAAUAAAGUUAACAGGUUUCACAGAUGCAGAUUGGGCAUGUGAUAUUGAUGAUAGGAAAUCAACAGGUGCAUACUGUAUUUACUUGGGAAAUAACUUGAUCUCUUGGUCAUCCAAGAAGCAAUCCAUAGUUACAAAGUCAAGUGCAGAGAGUGAGUACAGAGCUCUUGCUUCUGCAAGUGCAGAAAUUACAUGGUUACAGUCAUUGUUCAAGGAACUCAAGAUUGAAUGUAUUUCAGUGCCCACAAUCUGGUGUGACAAUAUAAGUGCAACUGAGCUGGCCAAAAAUCCUGUCUACCACUCGAGAACCAAACACAUUGAAUUGGACAUGCACUUUAUAAGAGACAAAGUGUUAGCAAGAGAGCUGGAAAUCAAUUACAUUCCCAGUGAAGAACAGAUUGCAGACAUCUUGACCAAGCCUCUCACAUUCACUCAAUUCAAUUAUCUCAGGAGCAAACUUAAUGUGCAGCCAUGCCCCUUAAGUUUGAGGGGGGCUGUUAAGGAAGCUCAUUGAGCACGUGUGUCAAUGAUGAGUCAGCAGUUAGUUGGGUAAAGAAGCCAGCUCAGCAAAUCUGUUAAUCAUGUUUUACGUUCUGUUCUUCAGUUGUUAGUAAUGCUUUUAAUUCUGUUGAGAUAUGAGUUAGUAUAAAUAUGUUGUUAUUGUAUUUGUAAUUGUGAACGUGAGAUUCAAUAAAAAAUAAGUAGUUUCUAAGGAAAAAUCUUAUCAUUAUUUUCUUAGCUUCCAAACAACUUUUACAGUCACAAUUCAACUUUCAAACAAUUUGGGAUUUGACAAUUCCACUCUCAUCUUAAUUAUCAAAUGGAAUGUAAGUAGAGAUAAACUUGUCCUGUUUAUAUAUUUGUGAUCAAAAUUAGGACCAAUAUAAAAAAUAUUAGGGUCCGACUAUCUAUACUUUAAAAAUCAUUAUGAACACUUAAUUAUUUAUGUACUCAGCUAAUAAAUUUAAAAAAUUAAGUUUUACUUUCCACACUUUUUUUAGGAGUACUUUCUACACUUUUUAAAAUAACAAAAACAUCUUUACAUGAACUUAAUAAGUUUCUUUAAAAAAAUUAAAUCAACUAUUUUUAUUUAUUCAAAAUACUAAUAAAAAUAUUUAGCAGACCGUGAAAGAAAAUUUUUAAGAAAUUUAACACGAUUUUAGUUAUUACUUAUUGUUUAUUAAAGAAUGUGUUCACUAUUGUAUUUAAUUUUGUUAGUAAAAAAAAAAAGAAGAAGUUUGGGUUUAAGAUACAUUUAAUUUUUAGUGUAACAGUUGUAUCAAAACAAUAAAAACUAAAAGAUCCAAAAGUCACAAGUUCCAACACCACCCAAAUAAAAAGGUCUGUUAAGAUUAUUUUUGGGAAGCUCAAAAGUGAUUUUAAAAAUUUAAAACUAAUUUUUAGUGUUUUAUAAAUUUUUUAGUAAUUACUUUUGGCAAAAUCAUCUCAUUGUACAGUAGAUUUUGAAAAAGUAGGGAAUGAAUAAUUUUUCAAAAUAUGAUUUUGAGAAUCACUUUUAUAUUUAAUCAAAUUCUAUAUAUAUAUACUCAUUAUAUAAUAAAAAUUCAAAAUUAUCUUUAUUAAUUAAGAAAUAAAAUGAUUAACUUUAAAGAGAUUAUUAUUAUUACCAAUUAUAUUGAGAUAAAAAAAUAGAGAAUAAAAUUUAAUAAUAUAAAAUAUUUAUUUUAGUUAUCAAUAAUUAUAUGUACAAUAAAAAUAUUUUAUAUACAUGUUUAUAAAUGUGUAAAUAAAUUUUAUUUAACAUUAUGUCCAAUUCAGUCAUUUACAUUUUUGGUCCAAUUUAACAAUAAGAUUUACGAAAUAUAUACGACGCUUUUAAAACUAAAAGUAUUUUUAAAAAUAAAUUUUACUAAAUGUUCAGCUGAUUCUCUUGACGAUUGAUCAAUUUCUACAGCAUAGCUAACUGUAAUUAUUUUAAAGGCUACAGGAUUACCAAACUGACCCUAAAUCAAACCAAUAAAAAUGUUUAAAAAUAAUAAUAAUAAACCAAAGUAAACGUACAAAAAUUCAUGCAUAAAUUGAUAAUCAACAAAAACAUCCACAAGUUUACCUCCAAGUUUUCUAUUCAAUUGACAUAACCCUUAAAUUUCAAAAGGCAUAAUCAAUUUUUGUCUAAUCCUAUAAAAUUAGAAAAUUAAAGAAUAUUAUGUACUGAUAAUUAAAUAAUAUGCAAUUAACAAUGUUAAAAAAAAUAAUGUUAAACAUAUUGUCAACUAAAACAAUUGGGAUUAACGAGCUGCUAUUGAAAUUAAUGUUAAAAAAAAUAAUGUUAAACAUAUUGUCAACUAAAACAAGCAUCAUGUGCAGUACCCACCGUGAUCUACUCACAUUGGAAUAAGUUGUUGGCAGCUGGUAAAAAAUUCAAUGUUGAUUUUGAUCCCACUAAAUUAAGUCAUCAAAAAUUGCUGGGAAGGGAGUAAUAUCUAUUUAUAACUGGAAAUUAGUCACCGUACAAAGAUGAUUGGAGCUGCAUAUAUCGUUUAUUAUUAACAACUAACUUAUGAAAUGCUUUGAAUGUACCUCCUAGGUCGUAUUAUUUACUAUACUAGUUAGGAGAAAUUGCAAUGUUAAAUUAUUUGAUAAAUACUUAUUAUAAUUUGAAAAUAUGUUAAUUUUGUCCUCCAUUUAUGAUAAAAAAUUUUGUAAUAUAUAUAAAUCAUUCAUUCUAUAAUCUUGAACUUUAUUAAAGUUCGAAAAACUAUUACUCUAUAUGAUAUAAUAGUGUGAUGUUAUUACACUAUUAUACCAUAUAAAAUAUAUUUGCUUUCUCAAAUUUUAAUAAAGUCUAGGUCUUGGACAGAAGCACUUUAUAUAUGUAUAUAUAAUGAUUCUCUAGUAACGACAUUCUCAUUUUAACAAAGUAAUGAUAUCACUAACAAACUAAAUAACACAUAUUUCAAUACACCAAUAGAUUAAAAAAAAUACAAUUUUUAAUGUGUUAAAAUAUAGGUCUUUUGUAUGUUAUUGAUAUUUUCACUUUAACAAAGUGAGGGUCUCCUCACUAUAAAAGUAAUUUAUAAAUAUUCCUUGUAUUUUUGUGAAAAUUAUUAUUUAAAUGUCAUAUCUUACCAAAAACUAUUAGUUUUUAUUUUAUUACUACGCUAUACUUUUCAAGAUAGAACACCUUAAUACCAUGACCUUAAUUUUUGAACCCUCUUGUACAAAGUUGUUGGCUGGUCUAUUUAGCUUAAUCUUUCAAUUAUUUGUCGUUUGAACUGAGAUGAUCCGAAUAAGGCUAUGUAUCAAUAAUUUCUUAGUGAAACUUCGGGAAAAAAUAAAAAUCAUCUCAUACAGUAGCAUUAUUUUAAUUCUCAGCUUGAUUAUGUUUUGAGUUAACUUAUAGAUUAUUUGAAAUGAAAAUAAUAUAAUUUAUUUUUUCCAACUGAAAUUUUUAAAUAAUUUUAUUAGUUUGAUGAGUAAGUAUACACUUACAAAGUUAUGAUAUAAAAUUAUAUCCCAGAAUCCCAAUAAUAUGACACCAAUUAACUAUUGCUAUGUGUUUCUUAGUAAUUAACUUUUUAUACUAUUAUUAAUGAGAUAAUUAACUUCAACACCAAUAAACAAUUAAUACAUCCUCUAACUUUAUUAUCAAAUAAUCAUACGUCAUAAUCAAACCAAGUUACCAGAGCCUACCACUAAAAGAUUGAUUGAAGGGUUUUCCAAGUUUGAAAAUGUUAGUAGCAUUGGCAAAUGGCAACUUCCAGGAAUCUUCCUGCUACAAUCAAUCAUUUAGUGAAAUGCCCAAAUGACACAAAGGACCCCGCCAACCGUGAAGUCACAUCAUUUAUUUAUUUGUAAAUGAAAAAUAAGGUUCCGAUCGGAAGAAAUCAGCACCUUAUAAUGCAUGAUUACCCGUAUGUCAAGUUUGGCGAUUAUAAGUCAUCAUCACAAUAACUUUGGAUUUUGAUAUUUAAGUCUCCGUUUGGGACCAAUGUAUGCCAAUUGGACAACACAUCACUCAAUUAUAGAGAGCGAAAUAUUGAUAUUGUCAUUAUUUUACGUAAUGUAUAAACUUUUCCUUUUAUUUUUGUUUGUUUAUUUAUUUUUAAUACCUAAUAAAUAUAAAUUUAUUUUUUAAUAUUUAAUAAAUUUUGUCAGAAAAUAACAAACAAUGACCCAAAUCCUUUUAUUUUACAGAAAUAAUUUCAAUUCACAACUAUGACAUUACAUUACCAAACAAACACUAAAUAUUUUGAUGAUUGGAGUUUAUCUUUCAUUCAUAGCAUGAAAAGUUUGAAAUAGAAUCUCAAAACAAAAGAGUACGACAUGUCUUGUUGGGUUUACAGAAGAAGUGUACGCCAUGUCAUCCGAAAACUAAAAGGCAUGUAUGACAACCAAACGGUAUCAUCCCUGAUUUGCCUACACUUUAAGGAUGAAUUCUGGGUUUUGAGUGACAAUUAAAAGCCAGAGUGAGAAUUAGAGAGAGAGUUAUAUAUUCUUAUUUAUUCCUAGUCACUUGCUAUAUUGUGUGGGUCUUUUGUGAUUCCAAUAAUAAAAAUGUUCAAUAUUUUUUUUGAUAGAGCAAUAUUUUUUAAAGCAUAAAGAAAGGCAGAAAUAUUGUAAAUCCAUCUCAAAUUUUCUGUUUAUUGUGGUUGCUGCUAGCGCUAGCUGUUUUCUUAUUUAACUUUGUUCCCUUUUGCCAUCAGCUCUUUGCAUUUUCAUUGGAUCAAGCGGCCCUUUUCUUGUUUCAAUUUUUUAUCUCAAAAGCACUUUGAUUCUCUUCUGUUACACUGAUUUUCUCCUUAUUUUGCACAAAUAUCGUUUCUCUUUCCCAUUUAGCCUUGAUUUGCUUCUACUUGACUACCAAUUGCCCAGUCGUUGACCCUGUUGUAUUUUUAUUUCAUUCACUUCCAAUAGACCAAAAAAAAAAAAGAGAUGUUGAAUAAAAGCUUAAAAACUAAUUUGAUUUUUAAUAUGAUUUAGCUAAGAUGUCCAAUUUAAUACUAAGAGUAAUGUUAAGGAUCCUAAUAAUUGAGUCCCAACUGAUAUGGUAGUCAUUUAUUAGAUGAUGGAAAUAUAAAUUUUAUUAGUUGUGAAAUUCAUUAUUCAAUAAAAAAAUAACACAUAACAAUUAGGUCUCAAGUUAGUAUUUUACUAUUGGAAUUCCUAACAUUAUUCUAAUAUUAAAAAAUUCAUCAAAAUAAUAUCCGUUGAUGCUGAAAUCUAGUCGCCUUUGGACCGACCAGAUUGGUUCACCAACGCUUGUAUUGACAAAGGAAUAGAGGCUGCGAUCCAUUAGCUUCAACAAUUUCCCGAGCUUCUGGGACCCAAAUCACCCGUCUUCUUCCUUCCAGGCCUAUGUUCACAUAAACAAAUCAGAGAAGCCGGUGGUUUUUUGGGCAUAAACCCUUCGAUACUUAAGUUAGUACAAGGUGUUUACGAGAAAAGUUAAUGAUUUGUGUUGUACAUAUUAGUUGCAAUAUUCUCAAUACCAAAUGUAUCAAGGAUUUGGAUAUUUGAAUUUCUGAUUAUAAUUUGACAGAGUUUCCCCUUUACUCUCAAUUUGUGUCUCCCCCUUUUCAUUGAUUUCUUGGCCUUUUAUAGGCAAUCAUCCCAUGUUUUCUGAGUAUUAUUCAUGCCCCUCAUUUUCGGGUGAUGACGGACCUUCAUGGGUCUCCAACCACCGAAUCGUGGGUAAACGUGGGGCGUCAUGUUCUCCCCAACGGUUUGGGGCAUGACAAAACUGUCGUGAGUUUGUGAGAUCGUGUCCUCUUUCUUUGAAUAAUGAGUACUUGGUCGAUAUGUACAUCUGGUCGGUACUCGUUUCUAGUCGGCAUAUGCCCCGUACAGGAUGUAUUACCAGGAAUCUGCUCGUGCCAUUCAUCUGGGGAGAUUCGCCCCAGGGUGAGGGAAGAGGGGAUAGCUGAGCUGGUACUUUUCAUUACUCAACAAUAUCUAUUAUCUAAAAAAAUAAAAUAAAAAUCUAAAACCAUAGAUUUACUUUUCAAUCUUCGUGAUUUGACUGAUUUCUUUUAAAGCUUUGGUUUCUUUAGAAGUGCAAGGAGAAAUAGUAAUAAGAUUAAAAAAGCAAUGAAGUAAAACUUUAAAAUUUUUGUUUCUUUAUAUUUUUAUCGGUCAUUUUACCGGUACUGGCGUUUGAUUUUCUGACUAAGCUACUGUUUAGUUCUAAGUUUUGGCAAUUACCCGGACUGCUCUCUUUCGUGUAACAUCGACACAAUGAGGCUUUGCAUCUAAAAGUCGGCAGCCACGCAACUUCUUGGAAUCUUCGUGCAAGUGUUGGAUAUCGACCGUUCGAUAAUGACGGCAGCAUUGUUCUGGAGUGUAAUUGACGCAGUGGAAUAAGGAUCACAUGUCUCAAACUUUCGGUGAAGAUAUUGUUAGAUAUUUUAUUGAUUAAGGAUCAUUCUUUGCACUCAUUCUCAAUCAAGAAACGCAUAUGCUUUUGUUCAUUGUAGUCACUGCUGUUUUGUUAUUAAUCUUUGCUCCCUUUUGCUGUCAACUCUCUUGAAUUUCACUGGAUCAACUUUUCUCUUGGCAUCUGCUUUGUUGUAAUCUCCAGUCUUUGUUAAUUAGUCUCUCCGCUCGCAAUCCAGUUGUUGAACUAGAAACCUUUUCCUUGUUUCCAUCUUCUCAGCAGAUCCAUAACAGCUAUUACGAUUUCUUUCAUUUCUCCUCGUCCACAACCAGAUAAACUGUCCAUCUUUGCGUUUCUUUUUCUUUUUCUCCUCACUCUCUCUGUGUUUCGCUCAUUGUUUAUUUUCUUGUCAGAAACUUCGAAAAAAAGAAAAGGGAUUCAGGAUGGUGGAAAGCAUUGUUACUAUUGUUUUAGAAUUUGUGAAAUGCUUGGCUCCUCCAACAGAACGCCGACUUGGUUAUUUGCGUACUAUAAAGCCAACGUUGAGAAACUCGAGGCAGAAAUAGACAAGCUCAAGGAUGAAAGGAGAAGCAUUCAGCACAGGGUUUCUGAGGCUGAAAGAAAAGGGGAAAAUAUUGAAGAGAAGGUUGAGAAGUGGCUGGUUAGUGCGAACAUCAUCAUUGAGCAGGCAGCCAAAUUCAUUGAUGAUGAGAAGACAACAAAUAAACGAUGUCUCAUGGGCUUGUGUCCUAAUUUGAAGACCCGCUAUCAGCUUAGCAAGAAAGCAGAAACAAAGGUGAAGGCCAUUGUUAAACUCCGAGAAGAAGCUGGGAGAUUUGUUGAUGGAAUUUCCUACCGUACCAUUCCGGAGGAUAUAUGGCUCAAGUCUCACAAAGGCUACGAAGCCUUCGAAUCAAGACUUUCUACUUUAAAGGCCAUACAAAAUGCAUUGAUCGAUGUUGAUGUCAGCAUCAUUGGGGUGUACGGCAUGGGCGGCAUUGGAAAGACGACACUGGUGAAGGAGUUUGCAAGGCGAGCCAUUGAAGACAAGCUUUACGAUAUGGUGGUUUUUUCGGAGGUUACCCAAUGUCCAGACAUAAGAAAGAUCCAAGAGGAAAUUGCGGAAACGUUAGGCCUAGAGUUGUCCGAGGAAGCUGAGUCUAGAAGAGCUAGUAGACUAUAUGAAAGAUUGAAGAAUGAGAAGAAGAUCCUUGUGAUUCUCUAUAACAUGUGGAAACCUCUUGAUUUGGGGACUAUUGGCAUUCCUUUUGGAGUUGAGCACAGAGGAUGUAAAUUAUUAUUCACAACAAGAGAUCUUGAUGUGCUGUUAAGGAUGGGAUCUGAAAAAAACUUCUCGAUUGGCAUUUUAAAUGAACAAGAAGCCUGGAGAUUGUUCAAGAUAAUGGCUGGUGAUUAUGUUGAAAAUCGUGAGUUAAAAUCUGCAGCAACAAGUGUAGCCAAGGCAUGCGGAGGUUUGCCUAUUGCCCUAACCACAGUAGCAAAGGCACUGAGAAAAAAAGAGCUGCCUGUGUGGAAGAAUGCCUUGCAAGAACUCCAAACGCCUUCAGAGGCAAGCUUCGACGAAGGAGUACCAGCAGAGGCAUACUCAACAAUUGAGCUGAGUUACAAGUACUUAAGAGGUGAGCAACUCAAGAAAACUUUUUUACUGUGUAGUCUUAUUACGCCAGCACCAAUUAUGGAUUUGUUCAAAUACAGCAUGGGCUUGGGUGUAUUUAAAAGUGUCCAUAAGCUAGAAGAUGCACAUAACAAAUUACAUGCAUGGGUCCAUCAACUAAGAGACUCUUGUUUGUUGCUUGAGGAUGGUGGCAGUAAAUACAUUUCUAUGCACGAUGUUGUUCGCGAUGUUGCCAUUUCAAUUGCAUUUCGUGACAUGAAUGCAUUUGUGGUGAGAAAUGAGGAUGAUUGGAAAUGGCCAAAUGCAGAUGAAUUAAAAAAAUAUUUUGCAAUUUCUUUUAAAGAUAGUAUUGUUAAUGACAUUCCUGAAGGGUCGGAAUCUCUACAACUUGAACUUCUAUUCAUGUCUCCCAAGAACUCUUUUGCUGUGCCUAAUAUUCCUGAGAACUUCUUCAAAAGGACGAAAAAGCUUCGGGUUUUGGAUUUGACUAGAAUGCGGUUAUUGUCAUUGCCAUCUUCAAUUGGUCUUCUAGUAAAUCUUCAGACACUUUGUCUUAAUCAAAGCAUUUUGGGAGGCAUAGACAUAGCCAUUAUUGGAAAGUUGGAAAAUCUAGAAAUCCUUAGCUUUUUGCAAUCUGAUAUUGUAGAGUUGCCUAAAGCACUGGGUCAACUGACUAAGCUAAGGCUGUUAGAUUUAACAGACUGCUUCCGUCUGAAAGUUAUUGCCCCAAAUGUCAUAUCGAGCUUAAUCCGAUUAGAAGAAUUGUAUAUGGGUAAUUGCUUCAUUGAAUGGGAGGUUGAAAGAGCCAACAGCAAAAGAAGUAAUGCUAGCCUUGACGAAUUGAUGCAUUUACCUCGGCUAACUACUCUAGAAAUUGAUGUUAAAAAUGAGAGUAUGUUACCAGAAGGCUUUUUGGCCAGAAAGCUCGAAAGGUUCAAAAUACAUAUUGGAAAUGGGUUAUUCAUGCAUCCCAUGCUUUUUGGACAACAUUGGUUUAAAAGUCAGCUGCACUUUUUGAUCGACAGUAAUCGCAAGAUUUCAAGAGAAUUGGAGCUCAAGCUUGAUUUUAUGGACAUUUGCUCCAUGAAAUUGCAAGGCAUCAAUAACGUUGAAUACUUACGGUUGGACAAGCUGCAAGGCAUCGAGAAUGUUCUUUUCAAUUUGGACACGGAGGGCUUUUCACAAUUGAAGGUCCUCUGGCUUCAAAAUAAUCCUGACUUCUUUUGUAUCGUCGAUUCAAGGGAGAUGGUCGCUUGUGAUGCCUUUCCUCUGUUGGAGUCACUUGCCCUUCACAAUUUGAUCAACAUGGAGAGGAUAUGUAUUGAUCGGCUCAAAGUAGAGUCUUUCAACGAACUCAAAAACAUAGAAGUAUAUAAUUGUGAUAAGUUGAGUAAUAUCUUUUGGCUCUACUACAAAAUGCCUUCCAAGACUUGAGAGAAUUGCAGUUAUUAAUUGCAGCAAAAUGAAAGAGAUUUUUGCAAUUGGGGAAGAAGUUGAUAAUGCAAUUGAGAAGAUAGAGUUUGCUCAAUUAAGAUCUUUGAGUCUGGGGAAUCUUCCAGAGGUUACAAGUUUUUGCCGUGAGGUGGAGACUCCUUCAGCAUCACCGAACAGACAAGUGUCGCAAGAGGAAUCGACGACUAUGUAUUGCUCCAGCGAAAUCACUUUGGAUAUUUCAACUUUGCUUUUCAAUGAGAAGGUGCGUAGGCUAACAUUUUAUUCAUAUAUAUAUAUAACAGAGUUUAUUCUAUCAUGCGUUCUCUUAUGUCAAACGUGGAAAAUAAUUAAAUCAUUUAGAGAAUUGAAAGAAAAUGAAAACAAUGAGGAAAAAAAUAAUCUCACGCACUCACUAAUUGAGCUCUUAACAGGUAGUAUGAAUUAGAAUGUUAAUUUGUAAUCAAAGAGAAAUUUUCAACAAGAAAUUCUUAUCUUUUUAGGUUGCGUUGCGUAACUUGGAGGCUUUGGAGAUAUCUGAAAUUAAUGUCGACAAGAUUUGGCACUACAAUCAAAUUCCAGCGGCAGUGUUUCCUCACUUUCAAAGUUUAACACGAUUGAUUGUGUGGGGUUGUCACAAAUUAAAAUACAUAUUUUCAGCGUCUAUGAUCGGAAGCCUUAAGCAGCUCCAACGCCUAGAAAUACGCUCCUGUGAGGAUUUACAGGAGAUCAUCUCUGAAAACAGAGCAGAUCAAGUGAUCCCUUAUUUUGUCUUUCCACAGCUCACCACUUUGAUACUCCAUGAUCUACCAAAACUUAGAUGUUUGUACCCUGGAAUGCAUACUUCGGAAUGGCCCGCCCUAGAAAUUCUUUUAGUGUAUCGUUGUGACAGAUUAAAGAUAUUUGCGGCAGAUUUAUCGCAGAAUAAUGGGAAUGAUCAACUUGGUAUUCCUGCACAACAGCCCCUAUUGCCAUUGGAAAAGGUAUGAAGCCAUUUUCUAGAUUUUUUAUCUAUAGCUUAUUUUUAACUUUGAAAAAUAUGACAAAGUAUUGAUAAAUUAAUGCUCAAUAAAUUGAAAACUUUUAUUAUACAAUAAUCUUUGCUAGUCUAGACUAAGGGAUCAAUGUGGUAGAUUAAUGAUUAUAUAAACUUUUUUAGGUAUAGCAUUUGUAAAAGAAUCUUGAGUCUUUCCAUAUAGAAGAACUUACAAAAUAAAUUAGUAAUUUAUUAUUGUGCAGUAAAAUAAUUUCGAGUCAGUAUAAAUCAACCUUUUUUCCCUAAUUUCUUUUUUACCUCUAAAAUUAACAUAUAAAAAAUCAUUUAAUAAAUUUUAUCAAUAAUUCAAUUUUUUUAAAUAUAAUAUAAAACAAAUACUAUAAACUCACUGCUUAUGAUUGGAUUACUCAAAAUCAUUUGAGAAAACAUCAAUUGACCUUAUUAGUUAUUAUGAUUGAUGAUGAUCAGAUCUUACCCAACUUGACGGAACUAUCACUAUGCGGAAAAGACGUGAAGAUGAUUUUGCAGGCCGAUUUCCCACAACACCUUUUUGGCAGUCUUAGAGAUCUAGGGAUUGCUGCUGAUGACUCAGCUUGUUUUCCAAUCUGGAAUGUACUGGAGAGAUUUCACAAUCUCGAAAUGCUCGUACUGUGUUAUUUUUCAUUCCACGAAGAGGUAUUUUCGAUGGAAGGAUGCUUAGAGAAACAUGUGGGGAAGUUGGCAAUGAUAAAAGAAUUAGAGCUGUACCGGCACUAUCAUCUGAAGCAGCUGUGCAAACAAGACACCAAAUUUGGCCCCAUCUUUCAGUAUCUUGAAAUUCUAAGAGUAUAUCAUUGUCAAAGUCUGUUAAUUCUAUUGCAAUCAUCAUCGGUAUCUUUUGGGAACCUAACAAAACUUGUAGCUUUCGAUUGCAAGAAAUUGAUACACUUAGUAACAUCCUCCACAGCAAAAACUCUAGUGCGACUCGUAUCACUUUGUGUAUACGGAUGCAGAGCAAUGACAGAGGUGGUAAUAAAUGACAAAGACGGGGUUGAAAAAGAAGAGAUUGUUUUCCGCAAAUUGAAGAGGUUGGAACUGCGUGAUUUAGACAGCCUCACAAGUUUCUGCUCUGCCAAUUACACCUUCAAAUUCCCAUCUUUGCAAGAUCUAUCUGUGAUUGGUUGUCCCAAAUUCAAGAUUUUCACUACAGGAGAAUCAAGCACGCCUCCGAGAGUAAACGUCUGGUAUGGAGAGACAUCGAAUCAACGGCGUUGGGCUAGUAAUGAUCUUAACACGACCAUACAACAAUUACAUGCUGAGAAGGUACGGAUAUACGUGUUACUCUCUAUCUCCCAUGGAAAAAUUUUACAAAAUUUGCUUUUUCUUUUUAAAUAAAAUAUGGAUAAGAUAUUUGUUAUAAAGUUAGUUUAAAUUGAUGAAUAAGAAUUUUAUUUUCAGCUGUUGGCGGGGUCGUCGUCAUACUCUGUGGAUUACGACUAAUUUCAUAGGCUUCUUAUGACUUGGAGUUACGAAUUUGAAGAAGAAAGUCCCAGCUGGUAAUUAAUUCUUAUUUUAUUUAUUUGAUCUCGUGGGUUGUUUCACAAUUUCAUCUCAAUUGUUUAGAAUGGGUCACUUGGUUUACUGUCAAUAUGGAAUGCACUUUUCAUGAUUCGUUCAGGCUUUUAUGGGCAGAUUUUGCGUCAUUGAGCGUCUUUUGGUCUAAUUUAAUUUAAUUUGAGUAUUUUGUUUUGAGAGUUCCCUUGUUCUCUAAAAUUUUAUAAUUCCUUGCAAGCAUUUUAUGUUGAAAUUUCAAUAAGAGGGGCAACACUUGCAUGUUGAAAGUGUUCAGAUUUUAUAAUUCCUUGAAAUCAUGCAAACUUUUUUCUUUCUUUCCUUGCCAAUUAUUUAUUGUCAUCGUUACUGUUCCGUUAAAUUUGUUUGUGCUCUGUUUGUUCAUUGGAAACUUGGAAGGCAACGAAAGUACUUAAGAGAAUGUUCUUGCCUAUUAACACAUAAUUAAGAACAGCUGAAUAUCAUUCAUCGGAUAAAAAAAAAAAAAUCUAAUUAGCCCGUCAUGCCUACAACAAAUGCUUAAACCAUCAAAGGUUAGCUAUGAACAAAUAUAUUAUGGAAAUAUUGUUUUAAAGCAUUCGAUAGAAUUUUCAAAAAUAUCAAGUUUUCACAAACCAAAAAGGGAACUAAUUUGGUCUAGUUUUGUUACAAGUAUAGAAGUACAAUAUUUUGUCUGUUAUUCUUGUUAAAAUUCUCAGCUCUGUGUUUGUAGAAUGUCUGGAUACUGAUAGAGAUUCAAGUCACUCUUCUUCUGUACAACAUUCGAAAUGAAGCCUUUUUUCCCCCUCCAUUCAAAUUUUAUGUUGUGAAGGGUUUCCGUUUCCAUCUUCAUGUGAUUUACUUCACCGUGUCGCUACAUCUAUGAUAGUGUGUGUUAUAUCCUGUCUGUUUCCUUUAUUUGACCAUCGAAAGUUCAAAGACAGUUUAUUCUAAAUAUGUGUAAAUUCAUUUUCUGUAUAAGCUCUUUGUAUGCAUUUUGACAUUUUAUUCUCAAUAUGUAUGACUUAAUGAGAGGUCUUUUGUUAUACAUAUGUCCCGAAUUUCUUGUGUAUUUUUAGAUUUGAUGAUGUAUUCUUGUCUCAUUGCAAGGUCUUAUAAUCACUGAUUCUCAUUUCUCGUAUACAUACGUAUAUAUGGGCAAGAAAUUUGGUAAAUGAUCUAGUCAUUUUCUCAGUAAAACAUCUAGUACUUUAUAUGUUGGAAGGGUACUAAGCAGCAGGCCAAGAUUUGUCAACUCAAAGAUCGUCAUGUCAUUUUUUAAAAAUAUUAAGGAAUUCUAAGGAACCUCAAGAGAAAAUUUAGAAAUACUAUAGGGACUACUUCUGCAUUGUUCAUUUUCGUAAUUACGUUCAUUAUUAUUUUUUUUUUUUCAAUUAAUCAAACUUCAGUUCCUUAGCAUUCAUCUAAUUAUGUACUUCAUCUGGAAAUCCUUAAUUUACUCAUCAAAAUGUGAACGCUAAGGAAACUAUGAAAAUAAAUAUAAAACUACUAGCUAAGUUUAUCAUCACAUAUGAUCAGCACUAGACUAUCAAAUAAUCAUAAAAGCAUAUAAAUUCAAGCUACUGUAUUAUUUGUAGCUUUCUAAUUUGUGUUUAUAAAGAAUUUAGUUAUGCAACAAAAAAAGGGGAUACGAAAGUAGCCAUAAAAAAUACUCUGUUUUGUAGUACUUCAACAUAUCUACUGGCUAAGAAGUAGCAUCACAUAUGAAAAUGUCGGCACAAAUACUCAAGCAAGUGCAAGUGUGUGGACGAGCCACUUGUGUUAUCAUGAAACUUAAUAUAAGUAUCAAAAGUUGGUGGAUUAUUGUGGUUUUCCUGCUUUAUCGUUUUUGGUUGAAUAAAAUAAUAUAAAGCUGUCGAUUCUGCAUUAAAGCAUAUGAUUUGUGAAGAUAUGAAUACCACAUCUUUCCAACUCCUCAACUCUUGAGUAAUUACUAGGUUCCCACCCAUGCAAACAUAUUUUCUUUCGAGAAAAAGGGAUGCCUGAUUCAGGGCAUCCGUUGCCUCGGUUUAUUUGAUUUUGUUUGGUUCAAUUGUGGUUCUGUUAUUUAGUUUUUCCUCUGAUGGUUCUGUUUCUCUGUAUAUUUCACUGGGUUUGCUUUGCUUCACAUCUUUCUUUCAAAACUAAGAAGGCAAGGAAAGAGAGUACUUAAUUAGAAAAUGCAAGAAGCAUAUAUUAAAUAUGCAUAUGGCUCAUGCUCUUGCCUAUGAACACAUAAAGAACAACUGAAUAUCCUUCGUCGGAUAACAAAAAAGAAAAUCUAAUCAUCCAUUUAUCCAUACAAGAAAUGAUACCAUUACUUUUAGCAAAUUGAAAGUGUUGUAUCUUUUUUAUUUAAAAAGUCUCUUAAGAUUUUUAUUUUUUCCGGUAAUUACACCUCCAAAUUUCCACAGCUAUAAUGUCAAUUUGUAAUUAUUUGUCCCAAGAUGCAGAUUUUCACUAGAGGAGAAUUAAUAAUUACGCUAUUUCGGCCCAGAGGACCAUGAAGCCCCUUGGGUUGUUGACAUUAACACUAGUGCGUUUACCAACCUAAACCUUCGGUUUGGUCAACAGUGUCUAAAUUGAACCUAUGGUGAAUGGAGGAAAAAGAAAAAGAGAUUUAUUAGAAACCUCCCCUGAAGUUUGAUAUAUUUUUAGUUUAAUAGAUUAUAUUUGUGUAUUCUCAAAUACCUCCCCUGCUGCUAGGGUUGGCAAUAGGACGAGAUAUGAUAGAAUUUACCAAUUACAGUCCCAUCCUGUAUAUGUAAAUGGGAUUAAAAAACAUAUCAGUCCUGUCCCUAUAUUUGUUUUUAGGACAAAAAAUAUAUCCUAAUCUCGUCCAAAAAGAGAUAGAAUCCUGUAGGAUCUCAUCCCAAUUAGAAAAUUUUUUAUUCUUAAUCGAUAAUGAGACGAGAUGGGACAGAAUUUGUCAAUCCUACUCCCGUCCUGCAUAUGUAAUUGGGAUAAAAAAAAUCUCACUCCCGUCCUUAAAUUUUUUUAUGGAAUAAAAAUAUGUCCCAAUUUCAUCCCAUCAAAAAAAAUUAUCAUUCCUAUCUGGCGCUAGUAUACCUUUCUUAAUACCCCUAAUUUAGAAAAAAAAAAUUUGUAUACUGAAAAUAAAAAAUUGUUGGUUAGUACCAGCAUGUUUGUUUUGGUGCCAAGGGAUGUGAAUGCAAUGAAAAUAUCAAAUCAUCCCCGUUACUUUCCAAAAUGACUUUGAUAAAUGAAACAAACAAAAGAUUUAAGUCAAAUAUCAAAGAAUCAGAGGGAAGCUGUUUUGCACUGGCCUAAUUGCUAUGCUGUCUGAAUCAAAUUUCGUUCAAUCUUGGUGUCCCUCUUUUAUUCAAUAUAAGAAGAAUGAAAAAAGUAGGUUGUUUUUUACACAAGUGAUAGAAAUACUUCUGAACUUUAGACAGUGUAACACCAUACACAUCAAAGAAAUAAGACAACAAACCAAUUCCCAUACAUAAAGCCAACAAAAUUACUAUUUAGUACAAGAGAUGCAACAUAAUUUUAAAUUUUAUUCCUCAAGAGCUACAAGUGAUACAAAUGAGUACACAAAUCAACCAUCUGUAGCUUAACCAGAAGUUGAUGCGAAUGCAUGAAAAUGAAAAAAGCCUACGAAUAGUAUACAUGGUAAGUAUGACUAAGUAAAAUAACAAUUCUGAUUGAUAAUACCACCAGCAACAGGACCUUCAUACCCUCUCUUUAUUAAUCACUAGUUGGUAUGCUAUAGCCCAGCCAAGUGUAAAAUGAAUGGCGAUCGAGCUCUUGAGCCUCUUUAUACCCUCCAUAAGUUGUCCUCAACUUCAUCAAGGACUGCAAAUAUAUUAAGCAAUAGAAAAAUAAUCGUGAUACAUUGAGUAACAUAUGGAGCAUGCACCUGCUUUAUAAAUAUCCAAGAGUCUGAAGAUAGAUACAUGGAGCUUGAUUUGCCAAAUGAUCUAUCAAAAAAGCCUCAGUGCAAAAUCUUCAUCCAUAUUCCAAACAAAACCAGGCAUAUCAAUCCUCUGCCAGGCGACAAUCCUAUAUAUGUAAAGCUUCUUAACAGGGAGCUCCGGCCUUUAAUCUGGGGGUCUCCUCUCGUCAAUAACUUAAACAUUCAGCGUGAUUUUCCAAAGACACUGCAAUUUUCAUUUAUAACUCAAACAAAUAAGACAGGACUUAUCUAAAGACACUGCAAUUUUGGACAUUGGCUAACAAGUGUGAUUAGGUCAAGACUUUGUAUAGUGGCAUAGCUCAUAUUCAAGGUUAUUAGGCCAGAGCAAACAAAAUUGACAGAUCACACUAUUUGAGACCAUAAUCAGGUUGCAUCUACAACUCAUUUUCCAAAAUUAUACCAAUCUCUAACCCAGUACAUUGCUAAUCAAUAUUCCUGAUUAAUAUAGGCAGCAAUGACUGUAUAAACAAUUAUUUCCAGCCAACCAGGUAUGCUAGAAGCCAAAUCUAUAGUAGAGAAGGUUUUGCAGAUCUCCUAAAAAAAAAUCUCAUCUUCAAUUUAACAAAAACUAGCAUGAAUCUCUGUUCAAUAAUCAGCAGUAAUACCUUAAACAAAUAAAAAAAUUUCAGAGCCAUUUUCAAUCUGUCACACGGCAGCAUAACAAAUCACAAGCCAUUUUCAAUCAAUCACAAGCUAACAUGCAUUUGCAACAAUCAUUCACCUACAACUAACAUUAAUCGAUGGAAAAAAAUGUAAGCGACAGAAAUACUCUAAAAAAUUUUCGAGACCCAUUAUUCUUUUUUCUAUUUUUUUACCAAAUAGAGUGACCAUGUCGUGCUGUGAAAUUUGAUAAGAAACCUCGACGUGUUUGUUUUGUUACUGUUUUGGGACUUUCAUUUGGUUUGCUUGUUAAUUUUAUUAUUGGUUCGGUUUCGGUUUUCAUUCAUCCCAACCGAAAUGAAACCGUCCAAUUUAGGUUAUUGCACAACCGAAUCAAAUAUCGAACCGAAUCUGAUACGGUUCUUCAAUUUUCUGCCCACUCCUACUUCAUGACAAUAAACAACAAAAACAAAAUCCAUAAUAUAGCUUUUGAAUUCUUAAAAGGGGGGAGAAAAAAAAGCACAGGUGAGUAAGCUAUUAAGGUAAGAAGUUGAGAUUAGACACGUAUCAGUAAUAUUGAUAUUUAAAUUUUACUCAAACAACUCUAAUUCAAAAUAUGUAGAAACAAUUCAAAAUAACAAUAAAAAUUAAAAAAAUAUUAUUUCAAGGAAUCCAAACAGGGUAUAUGAUGAGUAUGAUGCUGUUUUAAAUUCUCAACUGAGGAAAAACAGAGAUAGAGAAAGAACAUACUAUCAACACCAGCAAAGGCUUUGGAUUCUUAAGCAGGUGGUGAUGCAUGGUUUGUCAGGAGGUGGAGAUGGAAUUCUGAUUUGUUGUUGGCAAUAGCACACGAUUUUUGGCAGAUUCGGGCGAAAUUACAUUCUUAUAUAGAACCGAGGAAAGGGUGCUGGCCAAUAAAUGAUAAAGGCCUGUAUAAAGAAAGACAAACAAUAAUGUGGGCUUUAGAGAAUCAGAAACUUGAUAGAAGAGAAGGGGAAUAUCAACAAUUAUUUCAGAAGAAAGAAAAAGAAAAAAGCAAGCACGCUUGAAAAUUUUUCAAGAUAAUGAAACCGCAUUAAUUAACAGGUUAAAAUUUUUUGUAAGAUUACUGGUUUCUAAAAAAUUCUAUGAACCUUUCAGUUUCACAGAAAGAGAGAUAAAGACAAAGACAGUAGUCUACAUUAAAAGCACUUAAAAAAUCCAGUGCAGAAUACAUCUCUAAAAGUACUACAAAAUAUAUACAAGUAAAUAUUUAUAAAAGAAGCAUUGAAACGAGUCAGAAUGUGACCCACCGUGUGUCCUUGACUGUAUAUAGCAUUAAAGCAAUACUCCCCUAGUAUGAUAUGCGCACACACAAUUUAUAUAGACGCAUAAAACAAAAACAGCACAAAUCUUAUUAUUUGUCUUGCUAAAACCCAAGAAAUAGCUUAUAAGAUGAAAUGGACUGCCCAUGGUUCAUACAAAGAAAAGAAUAAGCCACAUAUUAAUUGAAGCUAACAACAGACAUAAAAUGAUAAAUGAAAAAUGCUCACCUUCAGAAUGAAGUCAAUGUAAUGAAGAGCUCAAAUUCAGUUCUGCCACCUGAAAAAAUGUGGUAUUCACCAGUAACUUUAACCCCAUUUUGCUAACCCUUAACUUCUGCAAGCUUUGUGUGGGGAAAAUUAUAAUACCAAAUCUAUCCCACACAGCAUGAGAACAAAUCUUAGCCCAAGUGAAUUAAAAGUACUCAAGUAUAUAUUUUAUAAUGCAUAAUAUAAGAUCAUACCCUAUCCCUGCUUUGGGGCCACUUAAUUGAGUGUUUGUAUCCUUCCGGUAAAGGAGCAAUACAGGUACAAGCUUCUUCAGGGCAAUACCUCUCUCGAUGUUCAUAAUGCUUUUGUGCUGGAAAGCAUUCUAAUUGCUUGCAAAUUGUCCAGGCAAGGGAUGCAAUCUGGCCUAGCAGUGGCAUUACACACUUUCCAGCGAUGACCAUACGGGUCCUUAGAUAUAGAAGUUUGUUGUGAUAUUUUCUGAUUCUAUGACUCAAUAGGUUGAGUUAAGCAAGCCCCAUUCUGAGCAUUAGUUUCCUUCAGAAUUUCUGACUAGUCACCAAAAGGAAAAAUCUCAGUUGAAGCCUGAUCCUUUCAACGACUCUCAGUGUCAUUAUCUUGAUCUUGAGAAUCCUUCUCCUUUUCAAUCUGACUAGCCUCAUCCAUUUAUUUUCAUCCAAGCUCUUCUCUGAUUCAAUUUGCUCAAUUUUAUUCAAUUCGCCGCCUUCUGUUUCUCCAGCUUCUGAAUUCGAAUCUCCACCUUCACUUUUAGAUUCCUUAUCUUCCCUUUUUCUAACAUCGUAAUUUUUAGACACCACCUUAGAUUCCUCUUCAGACUCAGUAUUCUCAUCAAAACUCUCCUUCACUAAAUUCUCUUCCUGGUUUUGAUUAACCAUAUUCUUAGAUUCACUCGUCUCACCAUCACCCUCAUACAUAUUCAUCUCUUCGUAAUUAUCUUCCACUCUAUUCUCUAACUUUUCAACAGGAACAUCAUCCCCAUCCCCAUUUGUUGAAUCCUGUCAUUCAUCACCUUGAUUUUCUACGGAAGGCCCAGAAAAAUCUCAGAUACUCUCUGUUUCACUUUGCUUAUAGGCUCUUAAGAGGACAACAUCCUGGAUCCCACACCAGUACAACUGAUGAUGACAUUAACAUCCAAACGCCAACCAGAAAACGACCAACAAACACUACUACAGUAACCAUUGAACAAAGACAAUAUCACAGGUUCUUUAGCUAUUUAAUAUUCCAUCAAAUAUAAUUAUAUAAUACCUACCAAGGAUUUCCGAAUAGAAGGCAUUCUCAUCAUUCUCAUCUCAAGCAGCAACCUCACCAGUAACACAUUUUCAUAUCAUGUUUCCACCACAGGUCGCACAUAUAGAAAGAAUGAAGUAUUAAUUAGCUUCAACAGAGCCUAUUUCUUUAUUUCUUUUUUUCCCAAAUAAACCUUCAUUCUUAUACGUAUAAUUAAAAUAUCAACUGAAUAAACAAAGUCUGUGAUUACUAGUACAACAUUUUCAUUUUCAAGCGGAGCUAGAUAAGAUAUCGAUGUCUGUCAAAUAAACCUAAUUUAAUCUUGAAACCAUAAACUGCACUAAGCAUAGCAGCAAAGCCAGAGCCUGACUAUAAAGAAGAUAAUAUAUAUAUAUAUAUAGAGAUUAAACUUUUGUUUUAUCUUCCACAAGCAAGAAAUUCGACUGGAACAUGAAAUUUUUAACAAUCUUACAAACAUUAUACACAAAUCUCAAUUAACGGCAAAUAGGGGGAUGAAUCACUGACAUCACCCAAUUCAUAUAUUCAAUUAAUGUAUUCCCACCCCAGUCAGCAACGUGCUACCACAGUUGAUUAGUUAUUAGGGAUAAGGCUUACCGCAAAGAACUGAAUGGCGUUAUCUAAAUAAUGAGUUGAAACGGCAUCUGCAAUCGCAUUAAAUGGCAUUGAACCGAAAGGUAGGGUUUAAAUGAAUGUUGGCCUGAGACAAAAGGGCGUGGCAUAUUGGGGUCUUAUGGCUUCGUUUUGUUUCAAUUGACGGAGGGAAGCUGAGCGAAAGCUUUGAUAUGUAAAUUUCAGCUUAAUUUAAGCUAGGGUCUUCUUUCGAUUGAAACAGAAAAAGAUUUUGGGUUAUUAAAGUGAAAGAGAUGGAAUAAUACAAAAAAUUAGCAAAGUGAAAGCGAGGGAAUACAAGAUUUAUUAUGGGUCCUAAGAGCUGAAGGCAAUUCGCCAUGGUUCUGAUAUACGGAAAACUUUCUUAGCUUUAUCGGUGGUGGAAGUGAGGGUUAGGGCUAGGGUUCUACACAAUGUCGUUGAGAAUGGCUCAAAGUUCAUUGAUUUUAGGUUGCGGCGAGAGAGGGGUUUAUUCAACACUUGUCGAUAUUUGGCUGAAGUGUUGGUAUGUUUUAAGUUUCAUAAAAACGACGUCGUUAAUUUAAACGUCAUCAUUUUAAGAUAUUAUAAAUCCACAAAACUUGAGCAUCACUUAUAUCUAUAAUUUAUUUAUGUUAGUUAAGUUAUAAGUUAUGAAUAUGUCAUAAACUCUAAACAUAUGAAUAUAUGCCACACCAAUAAAGUGUUGGCUCCAUUAGCAAUGGAGUCCCCUUAAGUGGCUUGAUUGGGUUUGCUCCUCAGUUCUAGUUGCAGGGAAGUCGCCUUUGUUGAGAGAACUUGUGCCUCCCGGUUCGAGCGGGGACUUCUAAUAUGGGUUGUGGUACGGGCUUAAAAGUGUCUCCCACAAUUGGGGCCCUCCUCAAAAUACCUCGUGGUUAAGACAAAAUAUAUAUAUAUAUAUAUGUCACAAAUCUAUCACACUUUCAUGAUACAUUUGUGACGUAUCGAAGGUUCAUGUCAUUCCUCCGGUGCAACAUUCGAAAUAAGGCCAUUGCCCUUGUGAAAUUUGCAUUACUUCUAUUGAAAAUCUACAUAAUAAGAGCUCUCCCGUUGCAUUUUUCGUUGUUUUGCUUUUGCUUUACUUUAAUGUGUCGCUACAUGAACAAGUAUAUUGCAACAUAUGUACCAUCAAUUUUGCUAUGUCUUAUUCCCAAUUUUAUAUAAUACAAAUCAUUUUGAAAUUAUAAUAACAACAACGGGGUCAAGCACAUUUUGUGUCUUGAAGAUUUGCGAGGGCUCCAUCCUACAAAGUUAAAUUAUUAUUGUUGUUGUUGUUAUUAUUAUUAUUAUUAUUAUUGAUGACGAUGAUGUGCUGUUGAUGUUUUUAUUAUUUGAGAGAUGGUAGAAUAAAGUUAUUCAUUUUGGAGCUUAACAGUGGAAAAUAAGGAAAACAAGAAAAAAGUUGUAUUCGUGUUAAUUUCCUUUGUCAUUUCUUGUUUCUAGAAAUAUUUUUGCUUCGUUUAUUCUAUUUUAUUUGCUUAUUUCAUUGGGCUUGCUUCACAUAUCAUAUCUAUCUUUCUUUCAAAAUUUGAAGGGAAGGAAAGUACUUAGAAAAUGCUCUUGCCUAUGAACAUGUAAGAAAAACUGAAUAUCAUUCAUCGGAUAACAAAAAACACUAAUCAGCGCAUAAUCCCUAGAACAAAUAAUUAAACCAUCAAAUGUUAGCUAUGAACAACUAUAUAUCCUAUCAUAUUUAACUUCUAUUUAUGGUCAUAUCCCUAACAUAUUUAGAGUGGUUUUGGAAUUUUGAUUACAUCUGAGCUUUCUCAAAAGCAGAUGCUGUGAAAUGAAGUUACUAUUUGCUUUUCAAAACUGUUAAUAAUGAUAGUAGUUUAGAAACUUGAACCACCACCUACGUGAGUCUGUGAAUUUCACCUUUUUGUUUGAUAAUUGGAGGUUUUCGUUUAAUGCCUAAAUUCGUAAACUGUGGAAACGUUUGAAAGCAUCUAUAGCAUAUUCAUUAAAAUCACGUUUUCACAAACCAAAAAGGGUACUAAUUUGGUCUCGAUGUGUGAAAAGUAACACCUACCUAGCCAUCCAUCAGGUAAGUGAAUAAGUAUAAAAAUAUUAAUAUUUUCUCUGUAGUUCCUAUUAAAAUUGUCUAUUAUAGUUGCAGAAUGUCUAGGAAGUAUAAAAGGAUGUCGUUCAAACAUGAUUAAGAUAGAAAGGGAAAAAAUAAGUAAUUAUCCAUGGACCACUUCAUCUUUUAGCCUUUAUAAAAAACAUACAAACAUUUUUUAUUGUUUUCAACAAUCCAUCUAAUAUUUACAAACUGCAUCACAGCUCCACUACUAUCAUAACCCUUUAAAAAUGUUGCUUAAUCACGAGAACCUAUUACUUGUAAAUUAUUUUUCAAGCAAAUGCAACAAUAGAUCUAGUUUUGAUCUGGGUGACUUUUAAGUGUACAGAAACGAGGAGAACGACCUUAUGUCAAGUUGAAGGAUUAAGAUAAAUCAAUUACAAAUCCAAACAAAACUUAUGAGUGACAUUUUAGUAUUAAGCAAACCUACCAUAAUUAAUCAUCCAGUGAUAGGUUUGUUUUCAAUUAGAGUAAUGAUAGAUAUCUCAAAAUAUUUUAUCCCAAAUGGUGUGUCAUUACUUGAAUAGUAGGUAAUUCUUUCAAGAUUUGAGUGAAUUAAUUGUAUUAUCUCUUCAAUCUAUUGAUAAAUACCAUAUCAUUUGAGAUAAUUUUUUAAGAUAAAAGAUUUAGGAUGUGUGGCACUACUCAUUAAUUAUGCAACUUAAAUGCAAUUUUUUUAAAACCAUUUAUUUUCAUUAAAUUUUGAGCCAUUAAUGAAAUAAAUAUAAGUAAAGCUAUUUGAACCUACUCAUUUUCUCACUACAUCAUUUAUUUAAUCAAAUUAAAAUUUAAUUUUAAAAUAUAAUUCAUUAAAUUAUUUGUUUGACUUUGUUCUCUCUCUCUCUCUCUCCCUUCCUCUCUCAUUCUCUCCAACCAUUUUUUUUUUGUUUACAUAGACUAAAUAUUUCAAUUAACAAAUAAAAUUGUUAUAAAGAAUAACAAAUUUAACCAUAGACACCAAUAUUAAUUAAUAAACAAAAAAAUUGAAGAGUGAUAGAAUUAAAGUCUGUUAUACCACAAUUUGCUUUACUUUUAUAUUUUUAUUUUAGUGCGGAUAUGAUGUAGACAUUAUUUUAGGAUUUUAUAAUUUUUAUUAUUUUAUCGUUUUCUAUUUUAAUUAUAGUCAACUAUGGUAUAUGUCUUAGUUUUUUUAUUUCUAUUAAAAUUGUGAUUUAGUUUUUCUUUUUAAGUUAACUUAGUGAAGUAGGUUUAUUAUAUUAUAAAUCAAAAUCUUAUUAUUGUAACUUCAACUAUUGAUCAACUAAUAAAGCCCUUUUUAAUAAUUCCCUCUAAAAUUAUUUAUUAAAAUCUCUCUUGCAAAGUUAUUUAGAUUAAAACGUCGUCUAAUCUCGCUUUAUGCGUUAUUAAAAUCUCAUUGAGCCAUUGUUAGAAUGAGAUCUACUCACGUUUCGAUUAGGACGUAAACUAUCCACAUUACCUUAGCCAGUAUUAGAACAAUAGCUAAUAUUUCCGACCUAUCAAUUCCACUUCCGCUAUUCCAAUUUGUUAGUUUGUAUUAGAGUGGUUCAAUGCCAAUUGCACAGUUUUCCUGGCUACCCAUAUCCAUCCCCACCAAAUCCAUCAUUGUUUAUGCAACAAAAAAAUAUUACAAAAUUACAAAACCUUAGCAGCCGCCCACCGCCAUUUCCACUCUCCACUAAUAGUUCAUCAUUGGCUAAUCCAUCUACCAAACUCAUUAGCCACUACUGACCAAACCUUAGCCACUCCUGCCAUCAAUCGCCGCUUGUACCUACUAUAAAUCAUCUAGACCUAAAAAUUGGGAGCAUCCACCAGCUGCCACCGUGAAACCAACCAUCUUCACUGUCAACCAACACCACCACUAAACUUGCUAGAUUCCACUGGUCAUAACUUGACAAAACCCACCAAUGAUCACCGCCAUAAAUCGCCACAACGCUAACCCAAAACCCGGGCUUCACCUAGCACCACCGCAAACGCCACUUUCUCAUUGUCGAUAUCCAAAUCGCAAUUGAAAUCUCUAACAUGAAUGAAGCACCACAUAUGCCAAUUCAAGUCAACUUUUUGACCAAACCACCGUGAAUCCAGCCAAUCCUCGGCCAUUGUCGAGUUUCUCACGACCAUAUCUAGCAAAUCUAACCACUAAGGUCACCAGCCCCAGCGAAAGAAACUCUAAAGGAUAACUUUAAUCUUAGGUGUUCAAGUAAAAUGGUAAUUUUAAUCUUAUGACAUCAACAAGAUUCUAACGAGCUAAGAUGACAGUGAAUAAUUAAUAAACUCUAGGUGGAUUUCUACAAAGAAAAACGUUUCUGUGUAUUUUUAAAAAAGACCCAAAGACUACAUGGUUAGUGGAUAAUUUCCUUUUUUGUUCUUAUUUUCUACUAUUAUUAACAAUAAAAGUUUUUCAAUAGUAAUUGUUCCAACCAUUAUAACAAUUAUUAUUGUUAUUGCUGUUGUUGUUGUUGUUGUACAACAAUUGUGAAAUUCUAUCUACACAACCCAGGAGGGCGGUGAAUUGGCUAUUAAAAUUAUACUUACAAAAAUACAAAACAAAUUAAACAAAUGCUUUAAGAAAUUUAUAAUAGCAAAAUUAAACAAUGAAUGCAAUUAAAAAAAUAAAGGAGAAGAUAACAAACAAACGAAUUUUUAUGUGUUUCGACAAAACUCGCCUAUGUUUAUGCCGCCGAGCAAACUAAGUUUGAGGAUUCCACUAUCCAAACCUUCUCAGGCUCCAAGAUUUUACAAUUGACUUUUAAUGUGUCAAUAAACUUUUAUAGUAGUAAUGUGUACACAUACCUCUUUCCCCAAGUGUUUCCCACACUUAUACUCAUAAAAUUUUGAUAUUUAAUUGAAGAUUACAAAGAUUAAUCUCUAUAAGAGUGUAUAAGCAAAUGAUAACUCAAUAAUGAUUUAAUGCAUGUAGAUAAGUAAAAUGAAAGCUCAAGAUUAGUUGUAUGAACAAGUUUUAACUUAAUUGGGAUUGAAAAAGUUGUUAGAUUUGAGUUUGAUUUGGGUUCUUCUAGUUUAAACAAUCAAACUAGUCAUAAUUGACUUUUUGAGGACCCACUGGAUUGCUGCUAAAAUAAAGAAGUUAGUUGCUAUAUUGAUGUGGCAAGUUACCGUUACAAAUAAAAUUUAAAAACUUUUUUGCCUAAGCAAAUCGUCGCCUGAUUUAAAUGGUUAGCAGCUAUGUUUUUGGACCUGAAGCAGUUAGCCACUAUUCGUUAAGUGGUUAGUCGCUACUGUUUCAAAAUUUAUAGAUUUAAACUAAAAGUUCCUAAAAUUAUACUAUGGCCUAAAAUUUUGAAAUAUUUACAAAUAGGUCCACUUCAAGAAUUUAAUACAUUACUAAUUAAUUUCAAAGUUCUCAAAACUUUUCAGUCCAUAAAUUUGAAAACAAUUAAUUUUAUAAAAUCAUUUUUACUUACGUUUAAAACUUUUAUAUUAUAGAAAAUGAUGAUUUAAUUUGAAAAUUGUAUGAAAAAAUAUCUUGAACUCUUAAAUACUAAAUCAUGCAUAAAUUAAAUCAUAUUAGCUUUACAAGAAAUAUAACUAUGAAGAUUGCUUAAGCUAGUACCUUUAGUAUUCAUCCUUGAUUGUUGUUGUCUAUUGAGUGACUUGAAAUUGAUCUCACUUGAAUGAUUUUUGUCCUUCAAGAACUUGUCAGAUUGUGAGAAAUAAAUUUAUCAUUUUACCUUAUGUGGUUUGUUAUCAUCAAAAUUAAGGAUCAUAUAGCCGUUUACCCCAACAAUCUCUCCUUUUUUUAUGAUGACAAACACCCUAUGUAUUUUGACAUUUCUAUUGCCCCUGAGUAUAUGACAUAAUUCAAAAAAUAUAACCAAAUAUAUAAACUCACUCCCUCUAAGUACAUGAUCCAUAUAAUUGUACAACAUUUGUAAACUCUCCUUGAGUGACUCAGAAAGUAACUAAAAUACUACAAACACUCAAUCAACCCCCAUGAGCCAAAAACAUGUCAAAACACUUCAAAAUACAUGUCAAUAUCUUCUCCCCCUUCAUCAUGAAAAAUCACUCCUCUAUUAUACAAAUAUUAUCAAUAAUUAUCCCCUACAAAGAUCAUCAAUCGAAAAUCCACACAUGACCAUUAAUCAAGUAUCCAUAUACAUAAUCCAUAAUCAAUAAAGAUAAUCCAUAAAGAUAAUUAAUAAAGAUACCACAAUCAAUAACUAGAAUGCAUAAAGAUAAUCCAUAUCAACUCAAGUAUCUAUAAUGCAUAAGUAAAAUAAAAUCCAUCAAGUAUCCAUAAUGCUAAAAACGAAAAUGCAUAUGAUAAAUAAUGUCGGUGCAUAAAACAAGGAAGCAAAAGAGAUAAAAGAAAAUCACUGAUGAGGCAGCAAACAUGAUAAUAAGGAUGGUGGCGAAAAUUUGAGAGCAAUGAAAAUAAGCUGGUGAUGGUCUAGAAUUUGUUGUUGUUGAAGAAAGAGACGCUGCUGCUCAGAAAGAAAAUGAUCCUGGAAUGCUGCGAACGAUAUCUUAAGUUCGUUUUACUGUUCGGAUAUGGAACGCACUUUAUUCAACAACUGCUGGAUUGGGUUAUUGGGAAUGGCUGAAGAUGAUGAUGGUGGAGCAUCAGAAGGCCAAUGUAGAGCUUGUGACCUCAGGGAAGAACUAAGAUCAAGAACCCAGUAAGGGGAAGCACAUCGUUAAAGAUGCAAUGAUAAAAAAGAGCCAGCUUUGUGGGUUUUCUCAACAAGUUCUAAUUUUUAACCUAUUGGUCAUCUACCCACCCAAAUCCUAAGCUAGCAAUGACCUCAUCCCUUAACUCCUUGGGUUCAUCAUGAGAUGGUUCAGCUAUAGGGACCCAAAAAUAUUGAAGGAUAUGGGUAAUGACACUACCAACCGAAAAGGAUAGGUUUCCUAUACUCAGUGUAUUAAGCAUGUGCUGAAUGAUAAUAUUCUCACAUUUAGCUUUUACCCUCAAGGAUGCUAUCUAAUAAAGUAACAUCUAAGCGUGUAACCUCAGCACCAUGUCCCUUGUGAGGACUGAUCACAAGCUGAAGGACAUUAUGUAGGAUCCGAACUUGAAGAGGCAACACUUGUGAUCUAAGAGAGGAGUUAAAAAGCUCCAUGGAUAGAUCAGAUCACCUACAUAUGUUUCGAACAUCUAUGUUUCAAAUAUCAUCUACAACUAAAUACCAGGGAUAAUCAAUUUUAAUCCUAGAUGUAUACAAAUGCAACCUAUCAUCUAGGAUUCAUGUUUAAAUCUUCUACAGUAAACUUAAUAGGAAUCCCAAUAACAUUAGUAAUAAUCAUGUUGGCAAUAUUUGUAGAAAUAAGCAUGUUCGAAUAAAAUACUCGUACCAAAUUAGGACAAAUAUGUUCCUUAAGAACUAAGACAUUUGUCCAACCCAAUUCAGCAAGUAAAGUUCUAAGAUUUUUGCUACAACUUGAAAAAUUUUCUAAUUAAUCAAGAUUAACAUAUAUAGUAUGGGAGGACUGACCUUGUCAUAAAUCGAUCAGAGAAUCAUUCCAUUGAGGCAGAUUUGGGAAGUGGGUGGAAAUGAAUUUCAAAAUGUCUUUAUGAAUCUUUUUUUUUUUACAUUUUAGGCAUAUGCUUACCCUUGGACUUCUCACCACUAGCCAUUAAGAAAUUAUCAAAAUGUGUCCAAAAUUGCACAAAUUCGAGUUCACAAAGUUUUUAAAGAAAUAGAUGAUUUUGAACCGAUUAAAAUGUUCUUUGAGAAGAUCUAAGGAAUGUAUGGGUUUAUUUUGGUCGAAAAUGGUCAAAUAAUGGUUCAAAUUUGAGAAUGUUGAAACUGGUGACUUAGGCUUUAAGAUUUUGAGAGAAGAAUGAUUAGAUUGUGUUUUAAAAGCAAAUGUGUGAAGAUUAAUUGAUGGGAAAUGAUUUGGAAAGUUUAAUUUGACACAAAAGUGAUGUAAAAAUGGAAGAUUUUAGAGAGAGAGUAAAAGAAAUGAGAGAUGACAGUGAUAGAGAGAGGGUAACAACUGAAAGUAGGAAAAAGAAGAUGAACAACAUUUGAAAAUGUGAAGCCAGCUAGCCUCUUGAAGAAAGCGGUUAACCGUUUCAUUUUUAGAAACCAAGCAAUUAACCGUUUACUUUGAGCCGGCUGGCCAGCUAGUUUCUGCCUCACAAUUGGCUAGUCGCUUGUGGUUAACGGUUAGCUAGUUCCUCUAAAUUUUGCAUGAUUUUGCUUUUUGGCCAAAAUUUAAUUAAUUUUGAGACCAUUUUGUGAUCCCGAAGUAUUUCAAAAGCCAUUUUUAAUGCAUAAGAUAUGAUGAUAAAUAUUCAAAGAAGUAAAUUCAAGCAUAUAAAACAUUAAAAUCAAGUUUUUAUCAUACAAUCAAUCAAGAUAGAAAAUCAAGCAAAUUUGUAGUCUCAAUAUCAUGCAACGAAAUAUUGAUGUGAAAAUGUCAUCAUUCCAAACUCAAUCCAAAUCUUUGAAAACUAUUCUUCACAAAAAGGCUUUGUAAAAAUAUCAACAAGUUAUUUUUCUAUAGAAACAAAUUCUAAAGCAAUAUCUCUCAUUUGAACAUGAUCACGUGAGAAAUAAUGCCUAGUUUCAAUAUGUUUGGUCCUAGAAUGUUGAAUGAGAUUCUUUGACAAAUUUAUUGAGCUAAUAAUUUAUAUGAGUUCCCUUAGACCAAGAUCAAUUGUUCCUCAUAAAUAAUGAAAAAUUAUUUUAACCGCAAGCAAAUGAGAUUCUUUGAGAUAUGGUUGAAAUCAUGCACACAAACAUACACUAAAGUAAUGUCUACUAGCAGUAAAGUAAAGUAAAGAUAUGAUCAUACCUCGAUAUCUUUUGAUACAACAUCUUUACUUUUUUUAUCCUUAUCGAGCUUGAUUGUAGUACUCAUUGGAGUGUCCUUAGUCCUGAAUGCAAAAUCUUUUGAGUAGAUCUCUGAAAUACUUGGCUUGAUUAAUGAAUUCUUUUUUUCUUUUAAAUUUUAAGUCCAAGAAAGUACUUCUAUUCUCCCAUCAUGCUCAUCUCAAAUUCUCUACUCAUGCAAGAUGAAAAUUCCUUACACAGAAACUCAUUAGUAGAACUAAAGAUAAUAUCAUCAAUAUAAAUUUGAACAAGUAUACCUUGAUCCUUGUAUUUAACAAAUAGAGUAGUAUUCGCUUUACCCAUUGAAAAACUAUUUUCUAAAAGAAAUUUACUAAGUCUAUCAUAUCAUGCUCUAGAUGCUUACUUUAAACUAUAUAAAACUUUGGACAACUUGUAAACAUGAUCCAAAAACAUUUUUCGUUUUUAAAAUGAGGGGGUUGUUUCACUUAAGCUUCUUCAUAAUACAACUAUUUAGAAAGGUGCUUUUAGCAUCCAUUUAAUAUAAAAUAAAAUCAUUAUGAUAUGCAAAUAAUAAAAGCAUGUAAUGGAUUCUAAUCUAGAUACAUGUGCAAAGGUUUCAUCAAAAUCAAUUUCUUCUUUUUGGUUGCAUCAUUGAGCUACUAAUCUAACUUUAUUCCUUACAACCACACUAGAUUCAUCGAUUUUAUUCAUAAAUACCCAUUUACUGCUUAUUACAGAUUGAUGUUAUGGUUUAUGAAUAAGUUUCCAUACAUUGUUUCAUUCAAAUUGAUUUAACUUUUCUUGUAUUGCUAUAAUCCAAGAUUCAUCAUUUUCCACAUCUGAAAAAGAUUUUGGUUCAACUUGAGAUAUGAAUACAGUAUGUUCACAUGUAUUUCUAAGUGAUUAUCUAGUAGUUAUACCUCAUGAAGGAUCUCCUAAGAUUAAGUCUUAGGGUGUGAAGAGACAUACCUUAGCUCCUUGGAGCGUGUUUGUGAAUUACCUUCAUUUUGAAUCUGUUUAACUUGUUCUUCUUGUUGCUUAUCUUGAUUUUUACCUCGUAAAUCAUCUUGUUUGUCUUUUAAAGACUUUUUGUUUUGUAACUCUUCAUAUGCAUCAUCAUCAACAACAACUUCCUUCAUAGAAGAAAAGUUAGAUUCAUCAAACAUAACAUGUAUAGAUUCUUUAGUGACCAAGGAUCUUUUAUUAUACACUCUAUAAGUUUUGCUUGUAUUUGAAUACCCAAGAAAAAUAUCAACAUCAGAUUUUAGAUUAAAUUUACCAAGAUUGUCUUUUGUAUUCAAUAGAAAACAUUUGCAACCAAAAACUUUAAAAUAGUCAAUGUUUUUUCUAUUUUUCCAAAGCUCAUAAGGAGUUUUAUUUAGGUAAGGUCUAAUCAAUGCACGAUUUAAAAUAUAACAAACAAUGUUGACGGCUCCAACCCAAAAAUAUUCUAGUAAAGCAUUUUCAUUUAACAUGGUCCUAGCCAUUUCUUGGAUAGACCUAUUCUUUCUCUCAACUACUCAAUUUUAUUGUGGAGUUCUUGGUGACAAGAAUUGAUGCUCAAUGCCAAAGUUAUUGUAAAAAUUUUCAAAAUAUAAUUUUCAAAUUCUCCACCAUGAUCACUUCUAAUGCAAGAAAUAACAUAUCAUUUUUUAUUUUGAACCUUUUUAUAGAAAUUUUGAAAGCAUUAAAGGUGUCAUCUUUAUUAGUUGAGAGUAAUACCAUGUGUAUAUAGAAUAAUCAUCUAUAAUUAUAAAUGCAUAAUAUUUACCACUUAAACUAGCAUAUUUAGAAAAUUCAAACAAAUCCAUGUGAAAAAGUUAAAGUGGUUUUGAAGUAGAAAUAUGAAUUUUAUUUUUAAAGGACGUUUUAUUUGUUUUCUAAAUUGGCAAACUUCACAAAUUCUAUCUUUUUUAGAACCAAUUUUUAGAAGACCUAUAACCAAAUCAUUUUAAAAAAAUUUUGAAAUCAAAUCCAUGCUCGCAUGACCUAGUCUUCCAUGCCAUAUCAACUAUCAUCAUGUAAUGUGAAAAAAAUAUUUAUCAUGAGUUGAUACACUAUCUAUAUCAAUGGUGUAUACAUUAACACAUCUUUAUCUAACAAAUAAAACUUUGCCAUCACAUGCAUUUUUAAUAACACAUUUUGUUUUAUAAAAAAUAACUCUAUAGCCUUUAUUACAUAAAAAUAACUUUGUAACCUUUAUCACACAAUUGACUAAUACUAAGCAAAUUCUAAAGCAAUAUAUUUCAUUUUUCUUUUUCAAAUCAUUUACAAGUAAACCUUUAUUCUUAGAUGAAACAUUUUGUUUUUUCUUUAAAAGAUGCAAUUUCUUCACAAAUACUUCUAGGCACUUAAUCUUUUUAUUCAAAGUGUCAUUCUCAUUUAAAAGUUCUACUUUUUUCUUUCCAAGAGAAACAUUUUACAUUUCAAUCUUCUUUAAAUCUUUAUGCAAUUUAGAGAAUACUUCAAACAACUCAUCCUAAGAGGUUUACCUCAUCAAGUUCAUCUUCUAUAAUCAUCUCCUAUAACCAUAAGUGCCAAAUUUGACACUUCAUGGGACUACUCUUCAUCUAUAGUCUCCUUAUCGCUAUCAUCCCGUGUUGCUACCAUGGCUUUCUUCUUUAAUUUUUUGAGAAAAGGACAUGCUAGUUUUAUGUGUCUAGGCUUCCUGCAUUUAAAGCAAGUAAUUGCCUCCUUCUUCUCUUUCUGAUUUUUGAAUUUCCUUCGCUCGAUGGAUUUCUUGAAAAUUAUUUUGAAUUUUCCAGCUAUCAUAGCCAUGUCUUCAUUUUCGAUCUCACUUUCGUUGUCACUUCUAGAUCUUGAUGCUUUUAAGGAAAUACUCUUCUUCUUCUCGUCUUCAUUAUAUUUUUUAGUUGUCAAAUCCUUUUCAUAAGAAAUAAAUGAACUAAUUAAAUCAUCAAUAGAUAAAGUAUCCUUGGCUUCCUUAAUGGCAAUUUUCUUAGGUCUCAAUUCUUUUGGUAAAGACCUACUGAUUUUUUUUACCUUCUCGCUGUUUGAAAAGGUUUUUCUAAGAGUUCCUAAAGUGUUUAUAAUGUCUGUUAAUCUAGUGUAUAUAGGAUUAACACUCUCAUUUUGUUCCAUUUAUAGCAAUUCGUAUUGCCUAGUAUAUUUACUAAUUUUAGACUAUUUGACUUGAUUUGUAGCUUUAUAAACGACUUUAUGUUUUUUCCAAAUUUCAUAAGCAUUGGAACAACCUUAAACUCUAUAGAAUUCUUUUUUAUCUAAGGCACAAAACAAAGCAUUCAUGACUUUGAAAUUAAGAGAAUCUUUUCUCUUUUCCGACUCAUUCCAUUCUUGUGAAGGUUUUAGAAUUUCUUUCCCUUCUUCAUUUUUAGCAGUAGGCAUGAAUGGACCAUCACAAUCAACUUCCUAUAUUUCAUAAUAUAAUGCUUGCAAAUAAAUUCUUAUCAUAAUUUUCCAACAUAGAUAAUCAUUCCCAUCAAAGAAUGGUGAUCUAGUAAGGGAUUAACCUUCCCCAAAUCUGGGAUCAUUUUGGAUUACUAUGGAUCUUUUACUCUAGAUGGUUAAGUCCUAACAAGAGAACUUCCUCUGAUACCAAAUGAAAUUCUAGCUAAGCAACCCAAGAGGGGGUGAAUUAGGUAUUAAAAAUUAUACUAACAAAAACACAAUACAAAUUAAACAAAUGCUUCAAGAAAUUUAAUAAUGGUAAAUUUAACUAUGCGUGAAAUUAAAAAGAUAAGGGAGAAGAUAACAAACACAUGAAUUUUUAUGUGGUUCGGCAAACCCGCCUAUGACUACGCCUCCAAGCAAUCCAAACUUGAGAAUUCUACUAUCCAAACCUUCCAAGGCUCCAAAAUUUUACAAUUGACUUCUAAGGUGUCAAUAAACCUUUACAAGUAAUUAUGUAUACACACACCUCUUUUCCCAAGUGUUUCCCACACUUAUACUCACUCAAUUUUGAUAUUUAAUUGAAGAUUACAAAGAUUACACUCUAUAAGAGUGUAUAAGCAAAUGAUAGCUCUAUAAUGAUUAAUGUAUGUAGAUAAGCAAAAUGAAAGCUCAAGAUAUAUGAAUAAGUUUUAGCUUAAUUGAGAUUGAAAAAAAUUGUUAGAUUUGAAUUUUAUAGUUUAAACAAUCAAACUAGCAAUUAUUGGCUUUUCUAGGGACUUGCUGGAUCGCCGUUAAAAUGAGGCGAUUAGCCACUAUGUUGAUAUGGUAAGUUACAGUUGCAAAUCAAAUUUGAAAACUUUGGUUCAAGCAGAUUACCACUUGAUUUAAGCGGUUAGCUGCUAUGUUUUUGGACUUGAAGUAGUUAGCCGCUAUUGGUUAAGCGAUUAGCCACUAUUGUUCUAGGAUUUAUAGAUUAGACCUAAUUUUUUUGAAAUUAUAUUACGACCCAAAACGUUUGAAAUAUUUAUAAAUAUGUCAAUUUCGAUGAUUUAAAACAUUAUUAGUUGAUUUCAAAGUUCUCAAAACUUUUCAAUUUAGUCCAUAAAUUUGGAAAAAGCAACUAAUUUUAUAAAAUCGUUAAAACUUUUAUAUUAUAGAAAAUGAUGAUUUAAUUUAAAAAUGUCAUGAAAAAUAUCUUGAGCUUUUAAAUGUUACAUCAUGCACACGUUCAAUUAUACUAUCUUUACAAGAAAUUUAACAAUAAAGAUUGCUUAAACUAGUACCCUUAGUAUUCAUCCUUGAUUGUCAUUGUCUAUUGAGUAUCUUGAUCUUGAUCUCACUUGAAUGAUUUUUGCCCUUCAAAAACUUGUGAGAUUGUGAGAAAUAAAUUUACCAUUGUACUCUAUGUAGUUUGUUAUCAUCAAAAUCAAGGAUUAUAUAACCAUUUAGGCCAACAAAAUAUUAUAAUAAAUAAUAAUUAUUAUGAUAAAAAAUUAAAGAUAUUUUGUAAUUUGUAACAACUCAUCGUGAUUUUAAAAUAAAAUAAAUAUAUCAAUGAUGAUAUAAUUUAUUUUAAUUUUAAUUUUUACAAUUUAAAUAAAUUAAUUAAUUAUCAUUCCAUAUUUUAAUUCCAACUCAUUCCAUUCCAAUUCAUUCAUAUUUUAAUCAGUAUAUCAACUACCCCCGAGCAAUGCCCGAAAGACAUUGAGGCAAGGGCCACAGAAAAAUAUGCACUUGUUAGCUUAGCGUUGGUGUCAAGUUUCUUUAGCAUUUUAAAUUCAUAAAAGAACUUAUAGUGUUUCUUCAUCCUUUGGCCUUUUCGGUGUUUACUUUCUGGAGUGAGUGUCAGCAGUGUGAAUUCCUCCCACUCCAGUGUUUACUUCACCAUUUUAAGGAGGGAUUGGGAAUCCCACUCCAUGGACCCCACUCAUUUUUGGAGUGGGGAGUGUGAGUGGGACUCCCAUGGGAAACCCACUCCCACCUCUCCAUUUUCUACUUUUAUUUAAUUAAAUUUAAUAUUUUAUAUUUAAUAAAAUAAAAUAAAAUAAAUAAUAUUAUUAUAUUAAUAGAGAAUUAAUAAUAUUACUAUAUGCUAUCUUUAUUUGAAGAUAUCAUAUUAUUAUAUUUAUUUAAAAAUAAUAGUAUUAUAUUUAUUUAAUAUUAAUAAUUAAUAAUAAUAAAUAGUUUAUUCUAAGAAAAUAUUAAUUUUGUACUAAAUAAUAUUAUAUUAUUAUUUAUAUAAUAAUAAAUUUAAUAUAAUAAAAUAAAAAAAUAUUUCAUUUUAUAUUUACCUUCCUUUUUUAACCCCCUUUUAUUAAAUUUACUAUAAUUAUAUUUAAUAAAAUAAAAUAAAUAAUAUUUUAUUUAUUUAAAUAAUAUUAUUAUAUUUAACUAAAUAAUAAUUUGGUUUGAUUCUAAGUUUAAAUUACUUAAAAAUAAUAAUAUUAUAUUAAUAGAGAAUUAAUAAUAUUACUAUAUACUAUCUUUAUUUGAAAAUAUAAUAUUAUUAUAUUUAUUUAAAAAUAAUAGUAUUAUAUUUAUUUAAUAUCAAUAAUUAGUAAUAAUAAAUAGUUAAUUAUAAGAAAAUAUUAAUUUUGUACUAUGUUCAUAGUAAAAAUGUUUCAUUUACAUUGCUCUUAUCAAUAAUUUUUAAUUUAUAUAAUUAAAAUUAAAAUUAAUAAAAAAUUAUGAUGUACAUAAUUAAGAAUAUUAAUAAUUAUUAUAAAUUUACAAAUAUAAUAAAAUAAAUGUUUAUUCAUUAAACAUAUUUUUUUAUUAACUUUGUAAUUAAAAACUAUAAUUCUUUAAAUAAAGGUAAAAUUAUAAUUUGAAACUAUUUACUUCCAAUCCAAGAUAAAGUAAACACAUAAAUUGGAUUAUAAUUUUCAUUCCGUGCUUAUAUUCCAGUGUAAGUAAACAACUUACACCCACUUUUACUCCAUACUCUCAAUCCUAAGAUUUCCACUCUUCAAGAUUCUCAGUCCAAUCCAAAAUGUAAACACUAUCUAUGGUAAUUGUUCACGCAACUAUUUUAAUCGAAAAUAUUUUAAUCGAAAAUAUUUUAAUCGAAACUAAUAGACCUUUCAACAAUUUUAAUCGAAAAUAAUAGACCUUUUAACAAUUUUUGCGGAUUCUGGCAAUUGUUCAGGCAACUAUUUUAAUAGAAAAUAUAUAUGGCUCCAUAAACAAUGAUUAUCUCUUGACAGCUGUUCUGGACUCGCUAUUUGUACUGAAAUAGAAGAUUAUCUCUUGAUGAUUAUUUAAUUGAAAAGAAUUUGUCGUUUAUAUUUGUUCACCUGGCCUUUGGAUGAGGAUCACAUGUUUUAUGACAAUCGUAAUGUUACUAAUGUAAGUCAAGCAAUUAUUUUUAAAUAAUGAUAUUAUAAUUAAAAAUCUAAAAACAUUUAUAAUACUUAAAGACUAAUUCAGAUUAUUAAUUUUUUUAUAUGACUUCAUUAUUAGCUGACAAAUAAUUAAAAGGCCAUAGAUCAAUAUUUUUAGGUCCAAUUUUUAAUUUAAUAUGACACAACUUGUACUUUCAUUCCUAUACUAAAGUAUAUCGAACCUACUAAUAAUUAAGAAAUAUAUAUAUUCAACACAUAUUUGUUAGAAAGAUUAUCUACUAAUUAAUCAUUGAUUACGAGAUUAAUAUAUUGAAAUUCAGAACUUUUUUUUUUCCUUCUGCAGUUUAAAAAGGAGUCGCCCUCUUGAUCCCCGUAUUCGUCAGCUUCUACUCUUUGCCUUCAAUUCUCAGUCAAGAAAACCUCUCCUGAUUUUCGUCUUUUGAUCUCAUACACACUUUGCUUCUGUUUAUCGUGGUCACUGCUCGUGCUAGCCGUUUUCUUAUUUAUCUUUGUUCCCUUUUUCCAUCAGCUCUUUGCAUUUUCAUUGGAUCAAGCAACCCUUUUCUUGAUUCAAUUUUCUGAUCUCAAAAACACUUUGAUUCGCUUCUGUUACACUGAUUUUCCCCUUGUUUUGUACAAAUAUCAUUUCUUUUUUCAACUUUGCCUUGUUUUGCUUCUACUUGAUUAUCAAUUGCACAGCCGUUGACCCUGUUCUAUUUCUAUUUCGUUCACUUCCCCAAAAAAAAAAAAAAAAAUGGACAUUUUGAAAAGCAUUGUUCCAGGAGUUGUAAACUGCUUGUCUCCUCACGCACAACGCGAAUUUUGUUAUUGGUAUAACUCCGCUGCCAACUUUGAGAAUCUCAAGGAAGAACUCGAUAGGCUCAAGGAUGAAAGAGAAAGCGUUCAGCGCAGAGUUUCUGAGGCUGAAAGAAAAAGUGAAAAGAUUGAAGAGAAGGUUGAGAAAUGGCUGGUUAAUGCGAACAAGAGCAUUGAGGAGGCAGCCAAAUUCAUUCUAGACGAAGAGAAAGCAAAUGAACGAUGUCUCAUGGGGCUGUUUCCUAAUUGGAUUACUCGCUAUCAGCAUGGAAAGAAAGCAGAAACAGAGAAGGAGGCCCUUUUUAAACUCCGAGAAGAAGCUGGGAGAUUUGAUGAUAGAAUUUCCUACCGUACCAUUCCGGAGGAGAUUUGGCUCAAGUCUCACAAAGGCUACGAGGCCUUCGAAUCAAGACGUUCUACUUUGGAGGCUAUAAAAAAGGCAUUGAUCGAUGUUGAUGUCAGCAUCAUUGGGGUGUACGACAUGGGCGGCAUUGGAAAGACGACACUGGUGAAGAAGGUCGCCAGGCAAGCUAUGGAAGACAAGCACUUUGAUAUGGUGGUCUUUUCAGAGGUUUCGCAAACUCCAGACAUAAAACAGAUUCAACAGGAAAUUGCCGAGAAGUUGGGCUUGGAGUUGCGCGAGGAAGCUGAAUCUAGAAGAGCUAGUAGACUAUAUGAAAGAUUGGAGAAUGAGAAGAAGAUCCUUGUGAUUCUGGAUAACAUCUGGAAACCUCUUGAUUUGGGGACUAUUGCAAUUCCUUUUGGAGAAGAUCAUAAAGGCUGCAAACUACUGCUGACAGCAAGAGAUCGUAGUCUCCUCUUAAAAAUGGGAUCUAAAGACAACUUUUUGAUAAACAAUUUAAAUGAAGAAGAAGCCUGGAGAUUGUUUAAGAUGAUGGCCGGAGAUGAUGUUGAAAAUCGUGAGUUGAAAUCUACAGCAAUAGACGUCGCCAGGGCAUGUGGAGGUUUGCCCAUUGCCUUGACUACAGUGGCAAAGGCACUGAGAAGCAAGAGUCUUCAUGAAUGGAAGAAUUCCUUGCGAGAACUCCGAACGCCUUCAAUGGUAAACUUCGAAGGAGUAUCUGCAGAGACUUAUUCAAGUAUUGAGCUGAGUUUCAACCAUUUAAAAGGUGAGCAACUCAAGAAAAUUUUUCUGCUCUGUAGUCUAAUGGAUAACCGUAUUCUUACUUCGGACUUGUUUAAGUACUCCAUGGGUUUGGGUAUAUUUAAAGGAGUCAAUAAGAUGGAAGAUGCACGAGACAAAUUAUAUGCAUUGGUCCAUGAACUUAGACACUCUUGUUUGUUGCUUGAGGGUGAGAGCAAUGAACAAUUUUCAAUGCAUGAUGUUGUUCGUGAUGUCGCAAUAUCAAUUGCAUGCCGCCACCAACAUGUGUUUUUGGUGAGAAAUAAGGAUGUGUGGGACUGGCCAGAUGAGGAUGCACUUCGAAAAUGCAAUGCGAUCUCUUUAAGAAAUAAUAGUAAUCGUGAAUUUCCUGAAGGAUUAGAAUGCCCAAACCUUGAAUUUUUAUUUAUCUCUCUCAAAGAUUCUUCUCUUGAAAUCAAUAUUCCUGAGAACUUUUUUGUAGGGAUGAAAAAGCUUAGAGUUCUAGAUUUUACUCGAAUGCAGUUUUCUUCUUUUCCAUCUUCAAUUGAUCUUCUACCAAAUCUUCAGACACUAUGUCUGGAUCAAAGUGCGUUGGGGAACAUAGCAAUCAUUGGAAAGUUGAAGAAUCUAGAAGUCCUUAGCUUUUUGAAGUCUGAUAUUAUGCAGUUGCCCGGAGAACUAGGUCAAUUGAAUAAGUUGAGAUUGUUAGAUUUAACCAAUUGUUUCCAUCUAAAAGUUAUUGCGCCUAAUCUCAUAUCAAGCUUAACUCGAUUAGAAGAGCUGUAUAUGGGUAAUUGCUUCAUUGAAUGGGAGGUUGAAAGAGCCAACAGCAAAAGAAGUAAUGCUAGCCUUGACGAAUUGAUGCAUUUACCUCGGCUAACCACUCUAGAAAUUGACGUUAAAAGUGACAAUAUUUUACCAGAAGGUUUUUUGGCCAGAAAGCUCGAAAGGUUCAAAAUAUCUAUUGGAAAUGAGUCAUUCAUGCCUCCCAAGAGUGUUAGAGGAUCAACAGUUAUCGCAAGAGUUUAAGAGGAUUGAAGCUCAAGCUUGAUUUUAUGGACAUUUGCUCCAUGAAAUUGCAGGGCAUCAAUAACGUUGAAUACUUAUGGUUGGACAAGCUGCAAGGCACCGAGAAUGUUCUUUUCAAUUUGGACACGGAGGGCUUUUCACAAUUGAAGCUUCUCUGGGUUCAAAAUAAUCCUGACUUCUUUUGCAUCGUCGAUUCAAGGGAGAUGGUCGCUUGUGAUGCCUUUCCUCUUUUGGAGUCACUUACCAUUCGCAAUUUGAUCAACAUGGAGAGGAUAUGUAUUGAUCGGCUCAAAGUAGAGUCUUUCAACAAACUCAAAACCAUAGAAGCAUAUAAUUGUGAUAAAUUGAGUAAUAUCUUUUGGCUCUCUACAACAAAAUGUCUUCCAAGACUUGAGAGAAUUGCAGCUAUUAAUUGCAGCAAGAUGAAAGAGAUUUUUGCAAUUGGGGAAGAAGUUGAUAAUGCAAUUGAGAAGAUAGAGUUUGCUCAAUUAAGAUCUUUGAGUCUGGGGAAUCUUCCAGAGGUUACAAGUUUUUGCCUCCAUGAGGUGAAGACUCCUUCAGCAUCACCGAACAGACAAGUGUCGCAAGAGGAAUCGACGACUAUGUAUUGCUCCAGCGAAAUCACUUUGGAUACUUCAACUCUGCUUUUCAACGAGAAGGUGCGUAGGCUAACAUUUUCUUCAUAUGUAACAGAUUUUAUUCAUAUAUAACGUUCUCUUUUGACGUCAUACGUGGAAAAUAAUUAAAUCAUUUAAAGAAUUGAAAGAAAAUGGAAAAAAGGAUAAAAAGAAUCUCACUCGCUCACUAAUUGAGCUCUUAACAAGUAGUAUGAAUUAGAAUGCAUACUCAGCUGUCAGUUGGAAAUUGAUUCAGACUUGCAUUAAUUUGCAAUCAAAGAAGAAAUUUUCAACAAGUGCUUCCCAUAUGGAAAUUGGAUCUAACGAGGAAUUCUUAUUUUUUUAGGUUGCGUUGCCUAACUUGGAGGCUUUGGAGAUAUCUGAAAUUAAUGUCGACAAGAUUUGGCACUACAAUCACCUUCCGAUCACGUUUCCUCGCUUUCAAAAUUUAACACGAUUGAUUGUGUGGCAUUGUCACAAAUUAAAAUACAUAUUUUUAGCGUCUAUGAUCAGAAGCCUUAAGCAGCUCCAACACCUAGAAGUACGCUUCUGUGAGGAUUUACAGGAGAUCAUUUCUGAGAACAGAGCAGAUGAAGUGAUCCCUAAUUUUGCCUUUUCACAGCUCACCACUCUGAGACUCGAAGAUCUACCAAAACUUAGAUAUUUGUACCCUGGAAUGCAUACUUCGGAAUGGCCCGCACUAGAAAUUCUUUUAGUGUAUCGUUGUGACAAAUUAAAUAUAUUGGCUGCAGAUUUAUCGCAGAAUAAUGAGAAUGAUCAACUUGGUAUUCCUGCACAACAGCCCCUAUUGCAGUUGGAAAAGGUAUGAAGCCAUUUUCUAGAUUUUUUAUCAAUAGUGUAUUUUGAACUUUGAAAAAUAUGACAAAGCAUCAAUAAAUUAAUACUCAAUAAAUUGAAAACUUUUAUUAUACAAUAAUCUUUGCUAGUCUAGACUAAAAGAGUUUGUUUGUUAAAUGUCUGAAGUUUGAAAUUUUAUUAAUUUCAGACCUUUUCCAACAUAUGCUUAUUUGUUUUUUUGGAACUUAUUGUUUGUUUUUUGGAACUUAUGUUUGAUUUUCAGACAUUUACAUAUGAAUAGAAAAAGUAAACUUUUGUGACUUUUAUUUGAAUGGAAAAAUGUCUGAAUGACAAGUAAAUAUUAAAUUCCAAAAAUAUCCUUGUAAAAUAAUUUAUUUCCUAAACUAUAAAAUGUUAUCCUCUUUUUUGUUUUAAUUUACAAGGACAUAAAUGUCAAAUAACCAAAUUAAGAUGUUUUUUAUUAUAAAAACAAACAAGAUGCCACUUAUAUUCAGAUAUUUAAAAAAGAAAAGGGAAAAGGACAAACACACCCCCAACGUUUAGGUAAAGGGACAAAAACCUCCCUAAUGUUUCAAAAAAGACAUUUACACCCCAAUUUAUUAUAAUUUUACCAUUAUACCCUUCUAGCAUAUAAAAAAAUUAUUAGAUUAUCCAAUUUGUCUAUAUAUUGUUAAUAAAAUUAUAAAUAUACCCUCAUUGCCUCAUUCCUCUAUUUAAAUUUUUAUCAAUAACCAAUUUUAAAGAAAGACAUCUACACACUUAAAAAAAAUUGUAAAUAAAUUAUAAUUUAUAAAAAAUUGGUUAUGAAUACCAUAAUAAAUAACAUAGAAAAUUGGUUAUAAAUGUACAAGUUUAAAUGAUUGACAUGUGGAGAAUUGUUAAAUAUACAAGUUUAAAGUUUAAAUAAAAUUGGUUAUUAAUAACCAAUUUUAUUUUUUAAAUUAUAAUUUAUUUACAAUUUUUUUAGGUGUAUAGAUAUCUUUUUAAAAAAUUGGUUAUUGAUAAAAAUUUAAAUAGAGGAAUUGGGCAAUGAGGGUAUAUUUAUAAUUUUUUUUUAAUAUCCAAAUUGUCUAUUUAUAAUUUUAUUAACAAUAUAUAGACAAAUUGGAUAAUCUAAUAAUUUUUUUUAUAUGCUAGAAGGGUAUAAUGGUAAAAUUAAAAUAAAUUGGGGUGUAAAUAUCUUUUUUAAAAUAUUAGGUGGGUUUUUGUCCAUUUACCUAAACGUUGGGGGUGUGUUUGUUAUUUUCCCAAAAGAAAAACAAACAUGUCAUUCAUAUUUUCGUAAUCAGACCCAUUCAGACUUUAAAAAAAUUUAGACUCAUUUAGAUUUCAGACAAAAAAAACAAAAGCUACCUAAGGGAUCAAUGUGGUAGAUUAAUAAUUAUAUGAACUUUUUUAGGUAUAAAAUUUAUAACUAUAUGAACUUUUUAAGUCUUUCCAUAUAGAAGAACUUACAAAAUAAAUUAGUAAUUUACUAUUGUGCAAUAAAAUAAUUUCGUUUUUUUCCCUAAUUUCUUUAUUACCUCUAAAACUAACAUAUAAAAAAUUCAUAUAAUGAAUUUUAUCACUAAUUCAAUUUUUUUAGGGGUAAAACUAAUAUAAAAUAAAUACUAUAAAGUCACUGCUUGUGAUUGGAUUACUCAAAAUCAUUUGAGAGAACAUCAAUUGACCUCAUUAGUUAUUAUGAUUGAUGAUGAUCAGAUCGUACCCAACUUGAAGGAACUAUCACUAAGUGGAAAAGAUGUGAAGAUGAUUUUGCAGGCCGAUUUCCCACAACACCUUUUUGGCAGUCUCAAACAACUAGAGAUUGUUGGAGAUGACUCAGCUUGUUUUCCAAUCUGGAAUGUACUGGAGAGAUUUCACAAUCUCGAAAUACUCUCACUGUUUCAAUUUUCAUUCCACGAAGAGGUAUUUUCGGAGGAAGGAAGCUUAGAGAAACAUGUGGGGAAGUUGGCAAUGAUAAAAACAUUAGAGCUGCGCUGCCACUAUCAUCUGAAGCAGCUGUGCAAACAAGACUCCAAACUUGGCCCCAUUUUUCAGUAUCUUGAAAUUCUGAGUGUACUUCAUUGUCAAAGUCUGUUAAUUCUAUUGCCAUCAUCAUCGGUAUCUUUUGGGAACCUAACAAAACUUGUAGCUUUCGGUUGCAAGGGAUUGAUACACAUGGUAACAUCCUCCACAGCAAAAACUCUAGUGCGACUCGUAUCACUUUGUGUAUACGGAUGCAGAGCAAUGACAGAGGUGGUAAUAAAUGACAAAGAUGGAGUUGAAAAGGAAGAGAUUGUUUUCCGCAAAUUGAAGAUGUUGGAUCUGCGUGAUUUAGAUAGCCUCACAAGUUUCUGCUCUGCCAAUUACACCUUUGAAUUCCCAUGCUUGCAAGAUCUAUUUGUGAUUGGUUGUCCCAAAUUGAAGAUUUUCACUAGAGGAGAAUCAAGCACGCCUCCGAGAGUAAACGUCUGGUAUGGAGAGACAUCGAAUCAACGGCGUUGGUCUAGUAAUGAUCUUAACACGACCAUACAACAAUUACAUGCUGAGAAGGUACGGAUAUACAUGUUACUCUCUAUCUCCCAUGGAAAAAUUUUACAAAAUUUGCUUUUUCUUUUUAAAUAAAAUAUCGAUAAGAUAUUUGUUAUAAAGUUAGUUUAAAUUGAUGAAUAAGAAUUUUAUUUUCAGCUGUUGGCGGGGUCGUCGUCAUACUCUGUGGAUUACGACUAAUUUCAUAGGCUUCUUAUGACUUGGAGUUACGAAUUUGAAGAAGAAAGUCCCGGCUGGUAAUUAAUUCUUAUUUUAUUUAUUUGAUCUCGUGGGUUGUUUCACAACUUCAUCUCAAUUGUUUAGAAUGGGUCACUUGGUUUACUGUCAAUAUGGAAUGCACUUUUCAUGAUUCGUUCAGGCUUUUAUGGGCAGAUUUUGCGUCAUUGAGCGUCUUUUGGCCUAAUGUAAUUUAAUUUGAGUAUUUUGUUUUGAGAGUUCCCUUGUUCUCUAAAAUUUUAUAAUUCCUUGCAAGCAUUUUAUGAUGAAAUUUCAUUAAGAGGGGCAACACUUGCAUGUUGAAAGUGUUCAGAUUUUAUAAUUCCUUGAAAUCAUGCAAACUUUUUUCUUUCUUUCCUUGCCAAUUAUUUAUUGUCAUCGUUACUGUUCCGUUAAAUUUGUUUGUGCUCUGUUUGUUCAUUGGAAACUUGGAAGGCAACGAAAGUACUUAAGAAAAUGCUCUUGCCUAUGAACACAUAAUUAAGAAGCUGAAUAUCAUUCAGCGGGUAAUAUAUAUAUAUAUAUAUAUAUAUAUAUAUAUAAUUAGCCCAUUAUGCCUACAACAAAUCCUUACACCAUCAAAGGUUAGCUAUGAACAACUAUAUUAUGGAAAUAUUGUUUGAAAGCAUUGGAUAGAAUUUUCAAAAAUAUCAAGUUUUCACAAACCAAAAAGGGAACUAAUUUGGUCUAGUUUUGUGACAAGUAUAGAAGCACAAUAUUUUGUCUGUUAUUCUUGUUAAAAUUCGCAGCACUGAGUUUGCAGAAUGUCUGGAUACUGAUGGAGAUUCAAGUCACUCUUCUUCUGUGCAACAUUCGAAAUGAAGACUUUUUUCCCCCUCUAUUCAAAUUUUAUGUUGUGAAGGGUUUCCGUUUCCAUCUUCAUGUGAUUUACUUCACCGUGUCGCUACAUCUAUGAUAGUGUGUGUUAUAUCCUGUCUGUUUCCUUUGUUUGACCAUCGAAAGUUCAAAGACAAUUUAUUCUAAAUAUGUGUAAAUUCAUUUUCUGUAUAAGCUCUUUGUAUGCAUUUUGACAUUUUAUUCUCAAUAUGGAUGACUCAAUGAGAGGUCUUUUGUUAUAUAUAUGUCCCGAAUUUCUUGUGUAUUUUUAGAUUUGAUGAUGUAUUAUUGUCUCAUUGCAAGGUCUUAUAAUCACUGAUUCUCAUUUCUCGUAUACAUACGUAUAUAUGGGCAAGAAAUUUGGUAAAUGAUCUAGUCAUUUUCUCAGUAAAACAUCUAGUACUUUAUAUGUUGGAAGGGUACUAAGCAGCAGGCCAAGAUUUGUCAACUCAAAGAUCGUCAUGUCAUUUUUUAAAAAUAUUAAGGAAUACUAAGGAACCCCAAGAGAAAAUUUAGAAAUACUAUAGGGACUACUUCUGCAUUGUUCAUUUUCGCAAUUACCUGCAUUAUUAUUUUUGUUUUCAAUUAAUCAAACUUCAGUUCCUUAGCAUUCAUCUAAUUAUGUACUUCAUCUGGAAAUCCUUAAUUUACUCAUCAAAAUGUGAACGCUAAGGAAACUAUGAAAAUAAAUAUAAAACUACUAGCUAAGUUUAUCAUCACAUAUGAGCAGCACUAGAUUAUCAAAUAAUCAUAAAAGCAUAUAAAUUCAAGCUACUGUAUUAUAUGUAGCUUGCUAAUUUGUGUUUAUAAAGAAUUUAGUUAUGCAACAAAAUGGGACACGAAAGUAGCAAAACUUCAUCAAAUACUCUGUUUUGUAGUACUUCAACAUAUCUACUGGCUAAGAAGUACCAUCACAAAUGAAAAUGUCGGCACAAAUAUUCAAGCAAGUGCAAGUAUCAAAAGUUGGUGGAUUAUUGUGGUUUUCCUACUUUGUCGUUUUUGGUUGAAUAAAUUAAUAAAAGCUGUCGAUUCUGCAUUAAAGCUUAUGAAUUGUGAAGAUAUGAAUACCAAAUCUUUCCAACUCCAACUCUUGAGUAAUUAUUAGGUUCCCACCCAUGCAAACAUAUUUUCUUUCGAGAAAAAGGGAUGCCUGAUUCAGGGCAUCCGUUGCCUCGGUUUAUUUGAUUUUGUUUGGUUCAAUUAUAGUUCUGUUAUUUAGUUUUUCCUCUGAUGAUUCUGUUUCUCUGUAUAUUUCACUGGGUUUGCUUUGCUUCACAUCUUUCUUUCAAAACUAAGAAGGCAAGGAAAGCGAGUCUGUAAUUAGAAAAUGCAAGUAGCAUAUAUCAAAUCAUGCAUAUGCUUAUGCUCUUGCCUAUGAACACAUAAAGAACAGCUGAAUAUCCUUCGUCGGAUAACAAAAAAUAAAAUCUAAUCAUCCAUUAUCCAUACAAGUAAUGAUAUCAUUACUUUUAGCAAAUUAAAGGUGUUGUAUCUUUUUUAUUUAAAAAGUCUCUUAAGAUUUUUAUUUUUCCGGUAAUUACACCUCCAAAUUUCCACAGCUAUAAUGUCAAUUUGUAAUUAUUUGUCCCAAGAUGCAGAUUUUCACUAGAGGAGAAUUAAUAAUUACGCUAUUUCGGCCCAGAGGACCAUGAAGCCCCUUGGGUUGUUGACAUUAACACUAGUGCGUUUACCAACCUAAACCUUCGGUUUGGUCAACAGUUUCUAAAUUGGUUUAGGUCAACAGUUUCUAAAUUGAACCUAUGGUGAAUGGAGGAAAAAGAAAAAGAGAUUUAUCAGAAACCUCCCCUGAAGUUUGGCAUAUUCUUAGUUUAAUAGAUUGUAUUUGUGUAUUCUCAAAUACCUCCCCUGGUGGCUGGUGCUAGUAUACCUUUUCUUAAUACCCCUAAUUUAGAAAAAAAUAAUUUGUAUACUGAAAAUAAAAAAUUGUUGGUUAGCACCAGCAUGUUUGUUUUGGUGCCUAAGGGAUGUGAAUGCAAUGAAAAUAUCCAAUCACCCCCGUUACUUUCCAAAAUGACUUUGAUAAAUGAAACAAACAAAAGAUUUAAGUCAAAUAUCAAAGAAUCAGAAGGAAGCUGUUUUGCACUGGCCUAAUUGCUAUGCUUUCUGAAUCAAAUUUCGUUCAAUCUUGGUGUCCCUCUUUUAUUCAAUAUAAGAAGAAUGAAAAAAGUAGGUUGUUUUUUACACAAGUGAUAGAAAUACUUCUUAACUUUAGACAGUGUAACACCAUACACAUCAAAGAAAUAAGACAACAAACCAUUUCCCAUGCAUAAAGCCAACAAAAUUACUAUUUAGUACAAGGGAUGCAACAUAAUUUUAAAUUUUAUUCCUCAAGAGCUACAAGUGAUACAAAUGAGUACACAAAUCAACCAUCUGUAGCUUAACCAGAAGAUGAUGCAAAUGCAUGAAAAUGAAAAAGCCUACGAAUAGUAUACAUGGUAAGUAUGACUAAGUAAAAUAACAAUUCUGAUUGAUAAUACCACCAGCAACAGGACCUUCAUACCUUCUCUUUAUUAAUCACUAGUUGGUAUGCUAUAGCCCAGCCAAGUGUAAAAUGAAUGGCGAUCGAGCUCUUGAGCCUCGGUAUACCCUCCAUAAGUUGUCUUGCUAAAACCCAAGAAAUAGCUUAUAAGAUGAAAUGGACCGCCCAUGGUUCAUACAAAGAAAAGAAUAAGCCACAUAUUAAUUGAAGCUAACAACAGACAUAAAAUGAUAAAUGAAAAAUGCUCACCUUCAGAAUGAAGUCAAUGUAAUGAAGAGCACCAUUCUCAAAUUCAGUUCUGCCACCUGGAAAAAUGUGGUAUUCACCAGUAACUUUAACCCCAUUUUGCUAACCCUUAACUUCUGCAAGCUUUGUGUGGGGAAAAUUAUAAUACCAAAUCUAUCCCACACAUCAUGAGAACAAAUCUUAGCCCAAGUGAAUUAAAAGUAGUCAAGUAUAUAUUUUAUAAUGCAUAAUAUAAGAUCAUACCCUAUCCCUGCUUUGGGGCCACUUAAUUGAGUGUUUGUAUCCUUCCAGUAAAGGAGCAAUACAGGUACAAGCUUCUUCAGGGCAAUACCUCUCUCGAUGUUCAUAAUGCUUUUGUGCUGGAAAGCAUUCUAAUUGCUUGCAAAUUGUCCAGGCAAGGGAUGCAAUCUGGCCUAGCAGUGGCAUUACACACUUUCCAGCGAUGACCAUACUGGUCCUUAGAUACAGAAGAUUGUUGUGAUAUUUUCUGAUUCUAUGACUCAAUAGGUUGAGUUGAGCAAGCCCCAUUCUGAGCAUUAGUUUCCUUCAGAAUUUCUCAGUAGUCACCAAAAGGAAAAAUCUCAGUUGAAGCCUGAUCCUUUCAACAACUCUCAGUGUCAUUAUCUUGAUCUUGAGAAUCCUUCUCCUUUUCAAUCUGACUAGCCUGAUCCAUUUAUUUUCAUCCAAGCUCUUCUCUGAUUCAAUUUGCUCAAUUUUAUUCAAUUCGCCGCCUUCUGUUUCUCCAGCUUCUUAAUUCAAAUCUCCACCUUCACUUUUAGAUUCCUUAUCUUCCUUUUUUCUAACAUCGUAAUUUUUAGACACCGCCUUAGAUUCCUCUUCAGACUCAGUAUUCUCAUCAAAACUCUCCUUCACUAAAUUCUCUUCCUGGUUUUGAUUAACCAUAUUCUUAGAUUCACUCAUCUCACCAUCACCCUCAUACAUAUUCAUCUCUUCGUGAUUAUCUUCCACUCUAUUCUCUAACUUUUCAACAGGAACAUCAUCCCCAUCCCCAUUUGUUGAAUCCUGUCAUUCAUCACCUUGAUUUUCUACGAAAGGCCCAGAAAAAUCUCAGAUAUUCUCUGUUUCACUUUGCUUAUAGGCUCUUAAGAGGACAACAUCCUGGAUCCCACACCAGUACAACUGAUGAUGACAUUAACAUCCAAACGCCAACCAGAAAAAGACCAACAAACACUACUACAGUAACCAUUGAACAAAGACAAUAUCACAGGUUCUUUAGCUAUUUAAUAUUCCAUCAAAUAUAAUUAUAUAAUACCUACCAAGGAUUUCCGAAUAGAAGGCAUUCUCAUCAUUCUCAUCUCAAGCAGCAACCUCACCAGUAACACAUUUUCAUAUCAUGUUUCCACCACAGGUCGCACGUAUAGAAAGAAUGAAGUAUUAAUUAGCUUCAACAGAGCCUAUUUCUUUAUUUCUUUUUUUCCCAAAUAAACCUUCAUUCUUAUACGUAUAAUUAAAAUAUCAACUGAAUAAACAAAGUCUAUGAUUACUAGUACAACAUUUUCAUUUUCAAGCGGAGCAAGAUAAGAUAUCGAUGUCGUCAAAUAAACCUAAUUUAAUCUUGAAACCAUAAACUGCACUAAGCAUAGCAGCAAAGCCAGAGCCUGACUAUAAAGAAGCUAAUAUAUAUAUAUAUAUAUAUAUAUAUAUACCUUUGGAAAUUGAAACUGUUCACUGUAGCGGGUUUUUAAGUGCACAGUAACCUUUGGAUCGUAGCUUUGAAUAGUAGGCUGACCGUAGCUUUGAACAGAAGACUACUUUGUACGAAUACUGAAAUACAAAAUGAAAUACAAUACGGGUGAAGAGACAUGUGCGGAUCGAAGGAUGGAUGUGCUUUCAAAAUACUUUAUUAUUAAAAACUCAAAUUAAACAAUCAAUAGAAUCAGCUUCGUCAGAUUUUAAAAGAACUUGAGCCCAAUACAGAGUUGCAAAAUAAUUUCCCGUCCAAGGAUAAGUUUUCCGUUUAGGGCUGUAAAACCAUACCUGUAGCCAUUCUGACCAAACCAAAGAUAGAACCCAGGAUUCUAACCAUGGAUCCUCUUUACUGUAGAGCAUCGUCCUUUUCUAGCUCUUCUUCUGGGAAGACUAGUGAUUCAAAGCAUGUUGUGAGUUCAGAAGAAUUUGUUAUUGAGAACUUUGAUAAAGCAAUUGAUUGUUGGGAACUUCCAAAGAUUUCAAAAGAAAAGAUUUACAGAACAAAAAAGCUUGAUUUCUGGAAAAAUGAUUAUGUUAUAAAAACUGAAGAACGUGAUAUAACUCUUUCAAAGCCUUUUGAAACAAUUAAUUUGUUUUCAGAAAAAUCUUUAAAUAAGUUAAAAGAAAAGAAUUUUAAUUACAUUCAUAUAGGUCUCAUCCAAAUAGGCAUAAAGCCCCUUACCAAAGAAGGCUUGGAUACUUCUAUCCUUGCUGUUCUUAGAGAUGGUCGAUUCAUCUCUUUUGAUGAUUCUCUGCUAAGUAGCAUUGAAUCCAGCCUAUGUAAAGGUCCCAUUUCAUUUGAUUGCUAUCCAAACAUAACAUUGUCUCUUAAAGACAAAAACAUUUUGAAAAGCAUGAUUUUACAAAUCAAAACGCAUAACUAUCAUAUGAUUGAGGGAUCUAUCCCUGUUGCAUUGAUUUUUAAAAUCUCUUACAAAGCUAUGAUUACUGCAUUCAGCACUCAGCAUAAAUUUCAGUCCAAAAGAGAUGAAACUCUUCUCUUACAGACUGAUCUGUCCAGAGCAAACACUGUCAUUCCAAAACCAAUCCAAUGGAAAGAUGUCAAUCUUCCUGAGGAAUGGAUUCUUGAAGGAGCCGCUCCACCAGCGAUUCCAAAACAACUUGAGCCCAAUACAGAGUUGCAAAAUGUGACUCAGUAUUCUGAUGGUAAAGUCAAAUUAUCAUUUAGGAGAUCUAAUUCAUCCAGAUUCUCCGAUAAAGCAUCAUGCUCAAGCAUUCCUUCAAUGGAAAGGAAAUUUACAAAAAUACCCUCUGUCAUAAAUCUCCCAUUUCAGAGUCAACCUAGGUUCUCCACUUCGGACUUACCUAGUUCUUCUAUUAGUUCUGUUGACUACACUACAAAGGUACCACAUCCCAUUUACAUUAGCAGUCAACAUGAACAAAGACAGGAAGAGAAGGAACCUUCUCCUCCAACUUCUCCUACAUUCUCUGCAGUCACAGAAAAUGUUUUAAAUGUUAUUGAAAAGCAUUUUGAAUUAGAUAAAACCAUAUUGCAUAAUGAUUUUUAUUCAGAUGAUAAUAAAGAAAAAAGACUUUGGUUUUUUAAACAUUUUUUAAAUCAAAGGAAGGAAAUCCAACAAACUUACUAUGAAUUUGUUAAUUUCCAUCAAGUUCAUAUAUUGUUUUUUGAUUGGUUCGAGAUAUAUUCUUCUAAGAACAACAUUUCCUAUCCUUUCAAAGAGUCAAACCCUAUUACUAUCAGAAAUAAAACCACUGAGUGGAAACUCUUCGAUAGUAAUAGAACUGUCAAUUCUGAGCAUCCCCCUCUUAGGAGUGUAAUCAUAGAUCAUGGUGAACCUCCUGUUGAAAUCAGAGCCUCACCUUACAAAAUCCCAAAGCCUAAUGAUCCUGAAAUCAAUUUAAGUAGUAUUAUUCAACAGAAUAAUUUCUGUAAUACUAACUUAAAUACCAUAGGAAAACAGUUGACCAGAUUGGAAAACCAAUUUCAACAGUCAACCAUAUCUGUAGUCCAAAACCUGUUUCUUUAAAGUCAGAUUCUGAUAAAAAGCUUAAAGAACCUAUUUUCAAACCUUUUCAGGUUUCGAAAACUAGCCAGAAGCUUGUCCAUGAAUCAAAAUCAGAUUUUGCUAAAGCCAUUAGAGAACAACUUGAUAGGAUAGAAGCUGCUUCUUCCUCAUCAAGCAAAGUUCAUAUUGCUCCUGAUACUCCCCAAUCUAGCAAGAUUGGAGUAUUGGAGCAAGACCAGGUUUCUAUUGCCUCCUCAGACUUAGAAGCCUUUACCGAAACACCUAUUCCUAAAACCAAUAAAAUCCAUUGGGAGUUAGCUCUUCCUACUUCCAAAUCUCCACCAGAUUUAACUAUAGACAACAGGCCUAGUGCAUUAAAUCAAGCUCGAUAUAAUGCAUCCUCUGUCUAUGAGUGGAAUAUAGAUGGAAUGUCCGAGUACAACAUUCUAGGUGUAUUGCAGCAAAUGACCAUGGCAGCCAAUGCCUAUAAAACCCAAUCAGGAACUUCUGACAAAGCCAUUGCAGAAAUCCUUAUUGCUGGUUUUACUGGUCAACUUAAAGGAUGGUGGGAUCAUCUUCUCACUAAAUUGCAGCAAUUAGACAUCCUUAAUGCCAUCCAAAUCGAUGAGAAUGGUGCUCCCAUUCUUGACGAAUUAAAUAAUCCAAUUCAGGAUGCUGUUGCUACCCUGAUUUUAACCAUUUCUCUUCAUUUCAUAGGUGAUCCUUCUCACCUCAGAGACAAAAAUGCUGAGUUACUACAUAACUUGAGAUGUAGAAAACUUAGUGAUUUCCAAGAUUACAAAACCACUUUCUUUACCAGACUCUUCCUAAGGGAUGAUGCAAAUCAUGUAACUUGGAAGGAAAAAUUCCUUGCAGGUUUACCUACCCUUUUGGGAGAAAAGGUAAGAAAUUCUAUCAAAACCCUUUUUGAUAAUCGUAUUCCCUAUGACGAACUCACCUAUGGUGAAUUAGUCAGUUUUGUCAAUAAAGAAGGUUUAAAGAUCUGUCAAGACUUGAAACUUCAGAAACGUCUAAAGCAAGAGCUUAGGCAAUCUAAGCAAGAAUUAGGCGGGUUCUGCAAGCAAUUCAAUUAUGACCCCUUUAAAGCUUCCACCUCCAAAGACUGUAAUGGUAAGUGUUCUUCAAAACCUUACAAAAAACAUUACAAGUCUAAAAGCCAUAGAAAGCCCUUUCAUGAUUUUAGAAAACUUCCUUAUAAGAAACCUUCGAGGCCUUAUAAGAAACAUAGUUUCUCUAAAAAGAAAGAGUUUAAAGCCAAACCUAAAACCCCUUUCAAUUUUAAAGAUGCUACCUGUUAAAUGUGGUAUGAAAGGUCAUACUGCACGAUUUUGUAAAAUGAACAGGAGACUCCACGAGCUCGGCCUCGAGGAGGAAAUCCUUUCCAAAAUUGCCCCUCUUCUGGUCGAGCUUUCUGAUUCUGAGUCUUCCUGGUCGGGAAAUGAUGACCCUCUUCAAGUCGAUGAACUAUUCGAUUCAGAUAGCUCUACUUCCAGUAAUAGUGAUUCUGAUUCGGAUAAUUCUUAUUUAAAGAAAAUAAAUGUUUUAACCAAAGAUCAAGAGAUUUUCCUUGAACUUGUAAAGCAUAUUUCUGAUCCAAAUCUUCAAAAGGAAUAUCUUGAUAAACUUUUAAAAACCAUGGAUUCAAGCAUUACAGAGGCUUCUUCUUCUAAAAUCCCUAUUGUCAAAAAGAAUUCUUAUGAUUUAACUGAGAUUUUAGAUAAAAAGAAAACAAAGAAGUCUACUCCUAAUAUCCAAGAUCUUCAAAAAGAGAUUAAGGAUAUUAAACUUGAAAUAAAGGAUUUAAAAGAAAAACAAAAAACUGAUUCUGCAACUAUUCAACUCCUUUUACAAAAACAGUUGCAAGAUACUUCCGACAAGGAGGUUGAAUCAGAAAAUGAUGAUGUUGAGCAAAAGAUUGAUAAUAUUGAGUCUAUUCCAAAUGAUUUUCUGUUUGUCUUAAAGCAAAUCACCACCAGAAAAUAUUUGAUUAAAAUUACUUUAAUUUUUUCAAAUGAUUUUGCGAUGGAUGCCAUUGCUCUUUUUGAUACUGGUGCUGAUUUAAAUUGUAUUCGAGAGGACAUUGUUCCUAAAAGGUUUCGUGAAAAAACAAAAGAAAGACUCUCUGCUGCUAAUAAUUCAAAGCUCAAUGUUACUUCCAAAGUUGAAGCAUCUAUUUAUAAUGACAAAAUUGAGUUUAAAACCUCUUUUGUUCUUACAAAUGAUAUACACCAUGCUAUCAUUUUAGGAACACCUUUUAUAAAUUUGAUAACCCCAUAUGCUGUCAACUAUGAUGGUAUAUAUUUUAAAGCAAAAUCCAAAGAACUUGCUUUUCCAUUUAUUGAAAAACCAAAGACUCGAAACCUCAAUAUGGUUAAAGCCUGCUCGGUCUACCAGAACAAAAUCAAUGCUAUUGUAAAGUCUAAACAAGAUGACUUGUUUCAUUUACAAAAGGAUUUAAAUUUUCAAAGAAUUGAGAGUCAAAUACAAAGUGAUUUUAUACAAAGAAAAAUUUCUGAUUUCAAAAGCCUUAUUGAAAAAAAAUUUGUGCUGAUUUACCAAGUGCUUUUUGGAAUAGGAAACAACAUUUGGUAGAUUUUCCAUAUGAAAAUUCUUUUGAUGAAAAGCAAAUACCUACUAAAGCCCGUCCAAUCCAAAUGAAUUCGGAUUUGGAACAGCAUUGUAAAGAAGAAAUUAAUGAUCUUAUUUCCAAAGGUCUUAUUGUAAAAUCCAGGUCACCUUGGUCUUGUGCUGCCUUUUAUGUCAACAAAAAUUCUGAGAUUGAAAGAGGUGUACCUAGACUUGUGAUAAAUUACAAACCUUUGAAUAAAGCUUUAAAAUGGAUUAGGUACCCGAUACCUAAUAAGAAAGAUUUACUUCAAAAACUCUGCUCGGCCUUCAUUUUUUCUAAAUUUGAUAUGAAGUCGGGUUUUUGGCAAAUUCAAAUUCAUCCAAAAGACCGUUACAAAACAGCAUUUACUGUUCCUUUUGGUCAGUAUGAGUGGACAGUAAUGCCUUUUGGUUUGAAAAAUGCACCCUCAGAAUUUCAAAGAAUCAUGAAUGAUAUUUUCAAUCCCUACUCUGAGUUUUGCAUUGUCUAUAUCGAUGAUGUUUUGAUUUUUUCUCAAAGCAUUGAUCAACAUUUCAAACAUCUAAAGACUUUUUAUCUUGCUACAAAGAAGGCUGGAUUAGCCCUUUCCAGUUCAAAGAUUUCAUUGUUUCAAACAAAAGUCAGGUUUCUUGGUCACUACAUUUCCAAAGGAACCAUUACUCCUAUUGAAAGAUCUCUUUUGUUUGCGGACAAAUUCCCAGACAAAAUUUUAGAUAAAACUCAAUUACAAAGAUUUCUCGGUAGUCUAAAUUAUGUUCUUGAUUUCUGCCCUAACAUCAAUAGGAUGUCAAAACCUCUGCAUGAUAGGUUAAAGAAGAAUCCUGUUGCAUGGUCAGAUGAGCAUACUAGAGUUGUUAGAUUAAUAAAGCAGUCUGUUAAAAGCAUUCCUUGUUUGCAUCUUGCAAAUCCUGCAUUUCCUAAAAUUGUUGAAACUGAUGCAUCAGAUUUAGGAUAUGGAGGUAUUUUAAAACAAAAAGAAAAUGAUAAAGAACAGAUAGUCCAAUAUGUUUCUGCUCAUUGGAACGAUUGUCAGAAAAAUUAUUCUACUAUCAAAAAAGAAAUUCUUUCUAUUGUUUUAUGCAUUACUAAAUUCCAAAGUGAUUUGUUAAAUCAAAAAUUCUUACUUAGAAUUGAUUGCAAAGCUGCAAAACAUGUUUUAGAAAAGGAUGUUCAAAACAUUGCAUCAAAACAGAUUUUUGCACGUUGGCAAGCUAUUCUCAGUGUUUUUGAUUUUGAUAUAGAAUUCAUUAAAGGUGAUAAAAAUUCUGUUCCUGAUUUUCUAACUCGGGAAUUUCUUCAAAACAGGUAAUGGCUCCAAAGAAAAAGGACAAAGGGAAAGCACCUGCUUCCCAAGAACUUUCCAAAGAACCUCAUGCAACCCCCUCUAAAGAAAAGCUCCUUUCCUCAGCCAUGCCAAUUAAAUCUUGGAUUGAAUUGGUUGAAGAACAUGAAGCCAAAUACAAAUCCAUUUCUUCUGAAGACCAAGUAAAGCAAUGGAUGAGUUCCAUUACAAAGUCACCCGAGCUUAUGAUAGCCCUACAAAGCCUCUCCCAAAGUCAACCUAAAGAGGAAGAAAAACCCACUUCCAAAGAAAUCUCAAAGCCUUCCUCUCAAAACAUUGUUGUUUCUGGUGAGAGCUCAUCCUCCCAAAUUGUGCUCUCUCAGCCAACACCUUCAAAGAAAACUUCCGAUUGGUUUGAUAAAACCCAUUUUCAAAACAUUAUUUCAAUGGAAGAUGGAUUUUACCAUUCUGAUCCUUUUCAAAGUAUUUCAAAGUUUUUUCCCCCAGGCUGGUUUUUCAAACCAUGAGAUUUGACAAAACCCCAGUCUUAUUAUCACAGUAUUUUGGAAAUUACUGAUUCAGUAAAAUUCAAACAUUUCUUUUUUAGCAAAACCCAUUCUGAGCCGGCCUAUUCAACGGCUACAAUUUUAAAAGUUUUGAGCCCGAACCAGUGGGGUGAUCUGCUCCACAAUUUUAAAACUUUCCCCCUUGAUUUUGAGACCCGUUUGCCACACUGUAGGACUUUCUCCUACUGGGAUUACCAACAGGCCUGGUAUAACACUUUCUUCAUACAAAACCCUAAAAAAUCCCAUUCCUGGUUAUUUUUCUUUAAUUCAAAAAUAACCGUCCAAAGCCUGCCGAACUGGUUUCACCAUUGGUGGAACUAUUUUGGUCCAACCUCAGAUAUCCUUACUCAAAAUGCCCUCCAAUGCCUAAACCUUUUCAAAGCCAAUUAUAAACCUACGGAGUCUGAGAAAAGAUUUCCUCCUUUUCUCUGCUUCUGUACCAAUUUCUUCCUUCCAUGGGUCUGGAUGUGGAGUCUUCGACAUCACACUCAGGAUUCCCAUUUUAUCCUCCAAAGAACCUUCAGAGUCAAAUGGUGGUCCAAAUUUGAUGAGCAGACCAAAUUAACCACCAACCAAGUACAAAACUGGCUUUCUGCCCAAGGCCAUCUACAACCAGCCAUCAAAGAUAUUAAAGCCCAAGGCACUUUCCUCACUCAAAAAUCCAAAGCCCAAGCCCUCCUAGCAAGUGCCAAAACCGAAGAAGAAUACUUCAAAGCAAUGGAACAGCUCCUCCGCUUCUCGAUCCAAGUCCUCAGUUGCAGAUUCUACUGAAGACGACGACGACGAUGAUGACGAGCCAACCGUCUCUCUCGGAGAUAAAAACGAAGAUGACUGUUUCGGCAUUUUCUCUCCAAUAAAGCAUUGUAAAUAAUUAUUUGAUUAUUUACUUAAAAAAAAAAAGUGUAAUUGUUCAUUUCGGGUGGUCCCUUGGACACAAGUGAGAGCGCACAUGUCUCUUCACCCGUAUUGUAUUUCAUUUUGUAUUUCAGUAUUCGUACAAAGUAGUCUUCUGUUCAAAGCUACGGUCAGCCUACUAUUCAAAGCUACGAUCCAAAGGUUACUGUGCACUUAAAAACCCGCUACAAUGAACAGUUUCAAUUUCCAAAGGUUACUGUGCACUUAUAGCUCCGCUACAGUGAACAGUUUACAAAGUUUUGUAUAUAACCCAAGAGGAAGACUUAGACUCCUCACGGGUUUUUAUUUUAAGUUUUCAUUUCUCUCUCUUCUCCUCCUUCUCUCUAAAAAUUCUCUCUAAAGCACGAAGAGCUCAAAGAAAUCCUCUGUUUACGCAAUAGUUCUAUCUUAGAGCUUUGAGUAAUCAGACUAGUUCUUUACCUUCAACAAAUCUUCCCGUCUUUCAAUCUUCCCUUCUGGAAAGAUUUGAAAAAUUGUAAAGCAGCAAAAGCAAAGUGUAUGUCUAGAUCUUUGAUCUAGUUUUAUUUACAAAGCAAUUUCAAUUCAUGUAAUUUAAUUUUAAAGCAAUUUACUUUUCUGCAAUUUCAUUUCAGUAAUUUACUUUAAAGCAUUUUCUUUUACAAAGCAUGUUAGCAGACUGAUCUGUAUCAGAUCUGCCAUAUAAAAUAUACAUUCUUCUGAGGCAAAGAGACCAGAUCUCGAUCCUCAGUCGUAAACUUCUCUCUCCCCCCUUCUUCAGAGCACCAUUUCCGGGAACCGGAUCUGGUACUGUGUAUGUUUUAGAAGCCAACCUUAAUGCAUGUUUAUUUCAGUAAAGCCCUGCUGCUAGGUUUGCUAAAAUCAACCUAACUCAGAUCUGGUAAAGACACUUCUAAAAUUGACGAAUCGCAUUCCAAAGCAAAGUAGAUCUCCAGAUCUACCAAAGAAUUUAAUAAAUAAUCGGUAAAGCACACUAUUCCGGUAUAUCGGCUGGAAACCAGAACGUGCGGGCUAUUGAUCUGUCCUAAGUCAGAUCUGGGUCCAAAGGCAGAUUAAUUUCUGCGUCGAUCCGGUAUAACAACGCCACGUACCAGUCUAGAUCUAAAAUUUUGACCAACCGCGUUCCAAAGCAAAUUAAUUUGAUAAAGAAACGGUAAGUUCUUUUAAAAUCUGACGAAGCUGAUUCUAUUGAUUGUUUAAUUUGAGUUUUUAAUAAUAAAGUAUUUUGAAAGCACAUCCAUCCUUCGAUCCUAUUUCCUUCUGGUAUCAGAGCCUCACCUUACAAAUCUCCAUUAACGGCAAAUAGGGGGAUGAAUCACUGACAUCACCCAAUUCAUAUAUUCAAUUAAUGUAUUCCCACCCCAGUCAGAAACGUGCUACCACAGUUGAUUAGUUAUUAGGGAUAAGGCUUACCGCAAAGAACUGAAUGGCGUUAACUAAAUAAUGAGUUGAAACGGUAUCUGCAAUCGCAUUAAAUGGCAUUGAACCGAAAGGUAGGGUUUAAAUGAAUGUUGGCCUGAGACAAAAGGGCGUGGCAUAUUGGGGUCUUAUGGCUUCGUUUUGUUUCAAUUGAAGGAGGGAAGCUGAGCGAGAGCUUUGAUACGUAAAUUUCAGCUUAAUUUAAGCUAUGGUCUUCUUUCGAUUGAAACAGAGAAAGAUUUUGGGUUAUUAAAGUGAAAGAGAUGGAAUCAUACAAAAAAUUAGCAAAGUGAAAGCGAGGGAAUACAAGAUUUAUUAUGGGUCCUAAGAGCUGAAGGCAAUUCGCCAUGGUUCCGAUAUAUGGAAAACUUUCUUAGCUUUAUCGGUGGUGGAAGUGAGGGUUAGGGCUCGGGUUCGACACAAUGUUGUUGAGAGUGGCUCAAAGUUCAUUGAUUUUAGGUUGCAGCGAGAGAGGGGUUCAUUCAACACUUGUCGAUAUUUGGCUGAAGUGUUGGUAUGUUUUAAGUUUCAUAAAAACGACGUCGUUUAAAUAGUCAUCAUUUUAUGAUAUUAUAAAUCCACAAAACUUGAGCAUCACUUAUAUCUAUCAUUUAUUUAUGUUAGUUAAGAUAUAAGUCAUGAAUAUGUCAUAAACUCUGAACAUAUAAACAUAUGCCACACCAACAAAGUGUUGGCUCCAUUGGCAAUAGAGUCCCCUUAAGUGGCUUAACUGGGUUUGCUCCUCAGUUCGAGUUGCAGGGAAGUCGCAUUUGUUGAGAGAACUUGUGCCUUCCGGUUCGAGCGGGGACUUCUAAUAUGGGUUGUGGUACGGGCUUAAAAGUGUCUCCCACAAUUAGGGCCCUCCUCAGAAUACCUCGUGGUUAAGACAAAAAAUAUAUAUAUAUAUAUGUCACAAAUCUAUCACACUUUCAUGAUACAUUUGUGACGUAUCGAAGGUUCAUGUCAUUCCUCCGGUGCAACAUUCGAAAUAAGGCCAUUGCCCUUGUGAAAUUUGCAUUACUUCUAUUGAAAAUCUACAUAAUAAGAGCUCUCCCGUUGCAUUUUUCGUUGUUUUGCUUUUGCUUUACUUUAAUGUGUCGCUACAUGAACAAGUAUAGUGCAACAUAUGUACCAUCAAUUUUGCUAUGUCUUAUUCCCAAUUUUAUAUAAUACAAAUCAUUUUGAAAUUAUAAUAACAACAACGGGGUCAAGCACAUUUUGUGUCUUGAAGAUUUGCGAGAGCUCCAUCCUACAAAGUUAAAUUAUUAUUGUUGUUGUUGUUAUUAUUAUUAUUAUUAUUAUUGAUGACGAUGAUGUGCUGUUGAUGUUUUUAUUAUUUGAGAGAUGGUAGAAUAAAGUUAUUCAUUUUGGAGCUUAACAGUGGAAAAUAAGGAAAACAAGAAAAAAGUUGUAUUCGUGUUAAUUUCCUUUGUCAUUUCUUGUUUCUAGAAAUAUUUUUGCUUCGUUUAUUCUAUUUUAUUUGCUUAUUUCAUUGGGCUUGCUUCACAUAUCAUAUCUAUCUUUCUUUCAAAAUUUGAAGGGAAGGAAAGUACUUAGAAAAUGCUCUUGCCUAUGAACAUGUAAGAAAAACUGAAUAUCAUUCAUCGGAUAACAAAAAACACUAAUCAUCGCAUAAUCCCUAGAACAAAUAAUUAAACCAUCAAAUGUUAGCUAUGAACAACUAUAUAUCCUAUCAUAUUUAACUUCUAUUUAUGGUCAUAUCCCUAACAUAUUUAGAGUGGUUUUGGAAUUUUGAUUACAUCUGAGCUUUCUCAAAAGCAGAUGCUGUGAAAUGAAGUUACUAUUUGCUUUUCAAAACUGUUAAUAAUGAUAGUAGUUUAGAAACUUGAACCACCACCUACGUGAGUCUGUGAAUUUCACCUUUUUGUUUGAUAAUUGGAGGUUUUCGUUUAAUGCCUAAAUUCGUAAACUGUGGAAACGUUUGAAAGCAUCUAUAGCAUAUUCAUUAAAAUCACGUUUUCACAAACCAAAAAGGGUACUAAUUUGGUCUCGAUGUGUGAAAAGUAACACCUACCUAGCCAUCCAUCAGGUAAGUGAAUAAGUAUAAAAAUAUUAAUAUUUUCUCUGUAGUUCCUAUUAAAAUUGUCUAUUAUAGUUGCAGAAUGUCUAGGAAGUAUAAAAGGAUGUCGUUCAAACAUGAUUAAGAUAGAAAGGGAAAAAAUAAGUAAUUAUCCAUGGACCAAACAUUUUACAAACUGCAUUUUUUAGAAAACACACAAACAUUUUUUAUUGUUUUCAACAAUCCAUCUAAUAUUUGCAAACUGCAUCACAGCUCCACUACUAUCAUAACCCUUUAAAAAUGUUGCUUAAUCACGAGAACCUAUUACUUGUAAAUUAUUUUUCAAGCAAAUGCAACGAUAGAUCUAGUUUUGAUCUGGGUGACUUUUACGUGUACAGAAACGAGGAGAACGACCUUAUGUCAAGUCGAAGGAUUAAGAUAAAUCAAUUACAAAUCCAAACAAAACUUAUGAGUGACAUUUUAGUAUUAAGCAAACCUACCAUAAUUAAUCAUCCAGUGAUAGGUUUAUUUUCAAUUAGAGUAAUGAUAGAUAUCCCAAAUGGUGUGUCAUUACUUGAAUAGUAGGUAAUUCUUUCAAGAUUUGAGUGAAUUAAUUGUAUUAUCUCUUCAAUCUAUUGAUGAAUACCAUAUCAUUUGAGAUAAUUUUUUAAGAUAAAAGACUUAGGAUGUGUGGCACUACUCAUUGAAUUAUGCAACUUAAAUGCAAUUUUUUUAAAAUCAUUUAUUUUCAUUAAAUUUUGAGCCAUUAAUGAAAUAAAUAUAAGUACAGCUAUUUGAACCUACUCAUUUUCUCACUACAUCAUUUAUUUAAUCAAAUUAAAAUUUAAUUUUAACAUAUAAUUCAUUAAAUUAUUUGUUUGACUUUGUUCUCUCUCUCUCUCCCCCUUCGUCUCUCAUUCUCUCCAACCAUUUUUUUUUGUCUACAUAGACUAAAUAUUUCAAUUAACAAAUAAAAUUGUUACAAAAAAUAACAAAUUUAACCAUAGACACCAAUAUUAAUUAAUAAACAAAAAAAUUGAAGAGUGAUAGAAUUAAAGUCUGUUAUACCACAAUUUGCUUUACUUUUAUAUUUUUAUUUUAGUGAGGAUACGAUGUAGACAUUAUUUUAGGAUUCUAUAAUUUUUAUUAUUUUAUCGUUUUCUAUUUUAAUUAUAGUCAACUAUGGUAUAUGUCUUAGUUUUUUAUUUCUAUUAAAAUUGUGAUUUAGUUUUUCUUUUUAAGUUAACUUAGUGAAGUAGGUUUAUUAUAUUAUAAAUCAAAAUCUUAUUAUUGUAACUUCAACUAUUGAUCAACUAAUAAAGCCCUUUUUAAUAAUUCUCUCUAAAAUUAUUUAUCAAAAUCUCUCUUACAAAGUUAUUUGGAUUAGAACGUCGUCUAAUCUUGCUUUAUGCGUUAUUAAAAUCUCAUUGAGCCAUUGUUAGAAUGAGAUCUACUCACGUUUCGAUUAGGACGUAAACUAUCCACAUUACCUUAGCCAGUAUUAGAACGAUAGCUAAUAUUUCCUACUCUAUCAAUUCCACUUCCGCUAUUCCAAUUUUUUAGUUUGUAUUAGAGUGGUUCAAUGCCAAUUGCACAGUUUUCCUGGCUACCCAUAUCCAUCCCCACCAAAUCCAUCACUGUUUAUCCAACAAAAAAAUAUUACAAAAUUACAAAACCUUAGCAGCCGCCCACCGCCACUGCCACUGCCACUCUUCACUAAUAGUUCACCAUUGGCUAAUCCCUCUACCAAACUCAUUAGCCACUACUGACCAAACCUUAGCCACUCCUGCCAUCAAUCGCCGCUUGUACCUACUAUAAAUCAUCUAGACCUAAAAACUGGGAGCAUCCACCAGCUGCCACCGUGAAACCAACCAUCUUCACUGUCAACCAACACCACCACUAAACUUGCUAGAUUCCACUGGUCAUAACUUGACAAAACCCACCAAUGAUCACCCCCAUAAAUCGCCACAAUGCUAACCCAAAACCCGGGCUUCACCUAGCGCCACCACAAACGCCACUUUCUCAUUGUCGAUAGACAAAUCGCAAUCGAAAUCUCCAACAUGAAUGAAGCACCACAGAUGCCAAUUCAAGUCAGCUUUUUGACCAAACCACCGUGAAUCCAGCCAAUCCUCGGCCAUUGUCGAGUUUCUCACGACCAUAUCUAGCAAAUCUAACCACUAAGGUCACCAGCCCCAGCGAAAGAAACUCUAACGGAUAAUUUUAAUCUUAGGUGUUCAAGUAAAAUGAUAAUUUUAAUCUUAUGACAUCAACAAGAAUCUAACGAGCUAAGAUGACAAUGAAUAAUUAAUAAACUCUAGGUGGAUUUCUAAAAAGAAAUUUUUUUUUGUGUAUUUUUGAAAAAGUCCCAAAGACUACAUGGUUAGUGGAUAAUUUCCUUUUUUUUCUUAUUUUCUACUAUUAUUAACAAUAAAAGUUUUUCAAUAGUAAUUGUUACAACCAUUAUAACAAUUAUUAUUGUUAUUGCUGUUGUUGUUGUUGUACAACAAAUGUGAAAUUCUAUCUACACAACCCAAGAGGGCGGUGAAUUGGGUAUUAAAAUUAUACUUACAAAAAUACAAAACAAAUUAAACAAAUGCUUUAAGAAAUUUAUAACAGUAAAUUUAACAAUGAAUGCAAUUAAAAAAAUAAAGGAAAAGAUAACAAACAAACAAAUUUUUACGUGUUUCGGCAAAACCCGCCUAUGUUUAUGCUGCCGAGCAAACUAAGUUUGAGGAUUCCACUAUCCAAGCCUUCUCAGGCUCUAAGAUUUUACAAUUGACUUUUAAUGUGUCAAUAAACCUUUAUAAGUAGUGAUGUGUACACAUACCUCUUUCCCCAAGUGUUUCCCACACUUAUACUCACAAAAUUUUGAUAUUUAAUUGAAGAUUACAAAGAUUAAUAUCUAUAAGAGUGUAUAAGCAAAUGAUAACUCAAUAAUGAUUUAAUGCAUGUAGAUAAGUAAAAUGAAAGCUCAAGAUUAGUUGUAUGAACAAGUUUAACUUAAUUGAGAUUGAAAAAGUUGUUAGAUUUGAGUUUGAUUUGGGUUCUUCUAGUUUAAACAAUCAAACUAGUCGUAAUUGACUUUCUGAGGACUUACCGGAUUGCUGCUAAAAUAAAGAAGUUAGUCGCUAUAUUGAUGUGGUAAGUUACCGUUACAAAUAAAAUUUAAAAACUUUUUUGCCUAAGCGAAUCGUCGCCUGAUUUAAAUGGUUAGCAGCUAUGUUUUUGGACCUGAAGCAGUUAGCCACUAUUCGUUAAGCGGUUAGUCGCUACUGUUUCAAAAUUUAUAGAUUUAAACUAAAAGUUCCUAAAAUUAUACUAUGGCCUAAAGUUUUUGAAAUAUUUACAAAUAGAUCCACUUCAAGAAUUUAAUACAUUACUAGUUGAUUUCAAAGUUCUCAAAACUUUUCAAUUUAGUCCAUAAAUUUGAAAACAACUAAUUUUAUAAAAUCAUUUUUAUUUACAUUUAAAACUUUUAUAUUAUAGAAAAUGAUGAUUUAAUUUGAAAAUUGUAUGAAAAAUAUCUUGCACUCUUAAAUACUAAAUCAUGCAUACAUUAAAUCAUAUUAGUUUUACAAGAAAUAUAACUAUGAAGAUUGCUUAAGCUAGUACCUUUAGCAUUCAUCCUUGAUUGUUGUUGUCCAUUGAGUGACUUGAACUUGAUCUCACUUGAGUGAUUUUUGUCCUUCAAGAACUUGUUAGAUUGUGAGAAAUAAAUUUACCAUUUUACCUUAUGUGGUUUGUUAUCAUCAAAAUUAAGGAUCAUAUAGCCGUUUACCCCAACAAUCUCUACUUUUUUUAUGAUGACAAACACCCUAUGUAUUUUGACAUUUCUAUUGCCCCUGAAUAUAUGACAUAAUUCAAAAAAUAUAACCAAAUAUAUAAACUCACUCCCUCUAAGUACAUGAUCCAUAUAAUUGUACAACAUUUGUAAACUCUCCUUGAGUGACUCAUAAAGUAACUAAAAUACUACAAACACUCAAUCAACCCCCAUGAGCCAAAAACAUGUCAAAACACUUCAAAAUACAUGUCAAUGUCUUCUCCCCCUUCAUCAUGAAAAAUCACUCGUCUAUUAUACAAAUAUUAUCAAUAAUUAUCCCCCACAAAGAUCAUCAAUCAAAAAUCCACACAUGACCAUUAAUCAAGUAUCCAUAUACAUAAUCCAUAAUCAAUAAAGAUAAUCCAUAAAGAUAAUUAAUAAAGAUACCACGAUCAAUAACUAGAAUGCAUAAAGAUAAUCCAUAUUAACUCAAGUAUCUAUAAUGCAUAAGUAAAAUAACAUCCAUCAAGUAUCCAUAAUGCUAAAAAUGAAAAUGCAUAUGAUAAAUAAUGUCGGUGCAUAAAACAAGGAAGCAAAAGAGAUAAAAGAAAAUCACUGAUGAGGCGGCAAACAUGAUAACAAGGAUGGUGGCAAAAAUUUGAGAGCAAUGAAAAUAAGCUGCUGAUGGUCUAGAAUUUGUUAUUGUUGAAGGAAGAGACGCUGUUGCUCAGAAAGAAAAUGAUCCUGGAAUGCUGCGAACGGUAUCUUAAGUUUGCUCUACUGCUCGGAUAUGGAACGCACUUUAUUCAACAACUGCUGGAUUGGGUUAUUGGGAAUGGCUGGAGAUGAUGAUGGUGGAGCAUCAGAAGGCCAAUGUAGAGCUUGUGACCUCAGGGAAGAGCUAAGAUCAAGAACCCAGUAAGGGGAAGCACAUCGUUAAAUAUGCAAUGAUAAAAAAGAGCCAGCUUUGUGGGUUUGCUCAACAAGUUCUGAUUCUUAACCUAUUGGUCAUCUACCCACCCAAAUCCUAAGCUAGCAAUGACCUCACCCCCUAACUCCUUGGGUUCAUCAUGAGAUGGUUCAGCUAUAGGGACCCAAAAAUAUUGAAGGAUAUGGGUAAUGACACUACCGACUGAAAAGGAUCGGUUUCCUAUACUCAGUGUAUUAAGCAUGUGCUGAAUGAUAAUAUUCGCACAUUUAGCUUUUACCCUCAAGGAUGCUAUGUAAUAAAGUAACAUCUAAGCGUGUAACCUCAGCACCAUGUCCCUUGCGAGGACUGAUCACAAGUUAAAGAACAAUAUGUAGGAUCCGAACUUGAAGAGGCAACACUUGUGAUCUAAGAGAGGAAUUAAAAAGCUCCAUGGAUAGAUCAGAUCACCUACAUAUUUUUCAAACAUCUAUGUUUCAAACAUCAUCUACAACUAAAUACCAGGGAUAAUCAAUUUUAGUCCUAGAUGUAUACAAAUGCAACCUAUCAUUCCUAGUCCUGAGAUUCAUGUUUAAAUCUUCUACUGUAAACUUAAUAGGAAUCCCAGCAACAUUAGUAAUAAUCAUAUUGGCAGUAUGUGUAUAAAUAAGCAUGUUCGAAUAAAAUACUCGUACCAAAUUAGGACAAAUAUGUUCCUUAAGAACUAAGACAUUUGUCCAACCCAAUUCAGCAAGUAAAGUUCUAAGAGUUUUGCUACAACUUGGCAAAUUUUCUAAUUAAUCAAGAUUAACAUAUAUAGGAUGGGAGGACUGACCUUGUCAUAAAUCGAUCAUAGAAUCAUUCCAUUGAGGUGGAUUUGGAAAGUGGGUGGAAAUGAAUUUCAUAAUGUCUUUAUGAAUCUUUUUUUUUUACAUUUUAGGCAUAUGCUAACCCUUGGACUUCUCACCACUAGCCAUUAAGAAAUUAUCAAAAUGUGUCCAAAAUUGCACAAAUUCGAGUUCAGCAAGUUUUUAAAGAAAUAGAUGAUUUUGAACCGAUUAAAAUGUUAAAAUGUUCUUUGAGAAUAUCUAAGGAAUGUAUGGGUUUAUUUUGGUCGAAAAUGGUCAAAUAAUGGUUCAAAUUUGAGAAUGUUGAAACUGGUGACUUAGGCUUUAAGAUUUUGAGAAAAUAGUGAUUAGAUUGUGUUUUAAAAGCGAAUGAGUGAAGAUUAAUUGAUGGGAAAUGAUUUGGAAAGUUUAAUUUGACACAAAAGUGAUGUAAAAAUGGAAGAUUUUAGAGAGAGAGUAAAAGAAAUGAGAGAUGACAGUGAUAGAGAGAGGGUAACAACUGAAAGUGGGAAAAAGAAGAUGAACAACAUUUGAAAACGUGAAGCCAGCUAGCCUCUUGAAGAAAGCGGUUAACUGUUUCAUUUUUAGAAACCAAGCAAUUAACCGUUUGCUUUGAGCCGGCUGGCCAGCUAGUUUCUGCCUCACAAUUGGCUAGUCGCUUGUGGUUAACGGUUAGCUAGUUCCCCUAAAUUUUGCACGAUUUUGCUUUUUGGCCAAAAUUUAAUUAAUUUUGAGACCAUUUUGUGAUCCCGAAGUAUUUUAAAAGCCAUUUUUAAUGCAUAAGAUAUGAUGAUAAACAUUCAAAGAAGUAAAUUCAAGCAUAUAACACAUUAAAAUCAAGUUUUUAUCAUACAAUCAAUCAAGAUAGAAAAUUAAGCAAAUUUGUAGUCUCAAUAUCAUGCAAUGAAAUAUUGAUGUGAAAAUGUCAUCAUUCCAAACUCAAUCUAAAUCUUUGAAAACUAUUCUUCACAAAAAGGCUUUGUAAAAAUAUCAGCAAGUUAUUUUUCCAUAGAAACAAAUUCUAAAGCAAUAUCUCUCAUUUAAACAUGAUCACGUGAGAAAUAAUGCCUAGUUUCAAUAUGUUUGGUCCUAGAAUGUUGAAUGAGAUUCUUUGACAAAUUUAUUGAGCUAAUAAUUUAUAUGAGUUCCCUUAGACCAAGAUCAAUUGUUCCUCAUAAAUAAUGAAAAAUUCUUUUAACCGCAAGAAAAUGAGAUUCUUUGAGAUAUGGUUGAAAUCAUGCACACAAGCAUACACUAAAGUAAUGUCUACUAGCAGUAAAGUAAAGUAAAGAUAUGAUCAUACCUCGAUAUCUUUUGAUACAACAUCUUUACUUUUUUUAUCCUUAUCGAUCUUGAUUGUAGUACUCAUUGGAGUGUCUUUAGUCCUGAAUGCAAAAUCUUUUGAGUAGAUCUCUGAAAUACUUGGCUUGAUUAAUGAUUUCUUUUUUUUCUUUUAAAUUUUAAGUCCAAGAAAGUACUUCAAUUCUCUCAUCAUGCUCAUGUCAAAUUCUCUACUCAUGCAAGAUGAAAAUUCCUUACACAGAAACUCAUUAGUAGAACUAAAGAUAAUAUCAUCAAUAUAAAUUUGAACAAGUAUACCUUGAUCCUUGUAUUUAACAAAUAGAGUAGUAUUCGCUUUACCCAUUGAAAAACUAUUUUCUAAAAGAAAUUUACUAAGUAUAUCAUGUCAUGCUCUAGAUGCUUACUUUAAACUAUAUAAAACUUUGGACAACUUGUAAACAUGAUCCAAAAACAUUUUUCGUUUUUAAAACGAGAGGGUUGUUUCACUUAAGCUUCCUUUAUAAUACAACUAUUUAGAAAGGCGCUUUUAGCAUCCAUUUAAUAUAAAAUAAAAUCAUUAUGAUAUGCAAAUGAUAAAAGCAUGUAAUGGAUUCUAAUCUAGCUACAUGUGCAAAGGUUUCAUCAAAAUUAAUUUCUUCUUCUUGGUUGCAUCAUUGAGCUACUAAUCUAGCUUUAUUCCUUACAACCACACCAGAUUCAUCGAUUUUAUUCCUAAACACCCAUUUACUGCCUAUUACAGAUUGAUGUUAUGGUUUAUGAACAAGUUUCCAUACAUUGUUUCAUUCAAAUUGAUUUAACUCUUCUUGUAUUGCUAUAAUCCAAGAUUCAUAAUUUUCCACAUCUGAAAAGGAUUUUGGUUCAACUUGAGAUAUGAAUACAGUAUGUUCACAUGUAUUUCUAAGUGAUUAUCUAGUAGUUACACCUCAUGAAGGAUCUCCUAAGAUUAAGUCUUUAGGGUCUGAAGAGACAUACCUUAUCUCCUUAGAGAGUGUUUGUGAAUUACCUUCAUUUUGAAUAUGUUUAACUUGUUCUUCUUGUUGCUCAUCUUGAUUUUUGCCUAGUAAAUCAUCUUGUUUGUCUUUUAAAGACUUUUUUUUUUUUUGUAACUCUUCAUAUGCAUCAUUAUCAACAACAACUUUCUUCGUAGAAGAAAAGUUAGAUUUAAUCAAACAUAACAUGUAUAGAUUCUUUAGCGACCAAGGUUCUUUUAUUAUACACUCUAUAAGUUCUACUUGUUUUUUAAUACCCAAGAAAAAAUAUCAACAUCAGAUUUUAUAUCAAAUUUACCAAGAUUAUCUUUUGUAUUCAAUAGAAAACAUUUGCAACCAAAAACUUUGAAAUAGUCAAUAUUUUUCUAUUUUUCCAAAGCUCAAAAGGAGUUUUAUUGAGGUAAGGUCUAAUCAAUGCACGAUUUAAAACAUAACAAACAAUAUUGACGGCAACCUAAAAAUAUUCUAGUAAAGCAUUUUUAUUUAACAUGGUCCUAGUCAUUUCUUGGAUAGACCAAUUCUUUCUCUCAACUACUCCAUUUUAUUGUGGAGUUCUUGGUGACAAGAAUUGAUGCUCAAUGCCAAAGUUAUUGUAAAAAAUUGAGAAUUACAAUUUUUAAAUUCUCCACCAUGAUCACUUCUAAUGCAAGAAAUAACAUAUCAUUUUUCAUUUUGAACCUUUUUAUAGAAAUUUUGAAAGCAUUAAAGGUGUCAUCUUUAUUAGUUAAGAGUAAUACCAUGUGUAUAUAGAAUAAUAAUCUAUAAUUAUAAAUGCAUAAUAUUUACCACUUAGACUAGCAUAUUUAGAAAAUUCAAACAAAUCCAUGUGAAAAAAGUUAAAAUGGUUUUGAAGUAGAAAUAUGAAUUUUAUUUUUAAAGGACGUUUUAUUUGUUUUCUAAAUUGGCAAACUUCACAAAUUCUAUCUUUUUUAAAACCAAUUUUUGGAAGACCUAUAACCAAAUCAUUUUAAAAAAAUUUUGAAAUAAAAUCCAUGCUCGCAUGACCUAGGCUUCCAUGCCAUAUCAACUAUCAUCAUGUAAUGUGAAAAAAACAUUUAUUAUGAGUUGAUACACUAUCUAUAUCAAUGGUGUAUACAUUAACACAUCUUUAUCUAACAAAUAAAACUUUGCCAUCACAUGCAUUUUUAAUAACACAUUUUGUUUUAUAAAAAAUAACUCUAUAAUCUUUAUCACAUAAAAAUAACUUUGUAACCUUUAUCACACAAUUGACUAAUACUAAGCAAAUUCUAAAGCAAUAUCUUUUAUUUUUCUUUUUCAAAUCAUUUACAGGUAAACCUUUAUUCUUAGAUGAAACAUUUUGUUUUUUCUUUAAAAGAUGCAAUUUCUUCACAAAUACUCCUAGGCACUUAAUCUUUUUAUUCAAAGUGUCAUUCUCAUUUAAAAGUUCUACUUUUUUCUUUCCAAGAGAAACAUUUUACAUUCCAAUCUUCUUUAAAUCUUUAUGCAAUUUAGAGAAUACUUCAAACAACUCAUCCUAAGAGGUUUACCUCAUCAAGUUCAUCUCCUAUAACCAUAAGUGCCAAAUUUGACACUUCAUGGGACUACUCUUCAUCUAUAGUCUCCUUAUCGCUAUCAUCCCGUGUUGCUACCAUAGCUUUCUUCUUUAAUUUAUUGAGAAAAGGACAUGCUAGUUUUAUGUGUCUAGGCUUCCUGCAUUUAAAGCAAAUAAUUGCCUCCUUUUCUUUCUGAUUUUUGAAUUUCCUUCGCUCGAUGGAUUUCUUGAAUUUUUUUUUGAAUUUUCCAGCUAUCAUAGCCAUGUCUUCAUUUUCGAUCUCACUUUCGUUGUCACUUUUAGAUCUUGAUGCUUUUAAGGAAAUACUCUUCUUCUUCUCGACUUCAUUGCCUUUUCAAUUUGUCAAAUCCUUUUCAUAAGAAAUAAAUGAACUAAUUAAAUCAUCAAUAGAUAAAGUAUCCUUGGCUUCCUCAAUGGCAAUUUUCUUAGGUCUCUAUUCUUUUGGUAAAGACCUACUGAUUUUUUUUACCUUCUCGCUAUUUGAAAAGGUCUUUCUAAGAGCUUCUAAAGUGUUUAUAAUGUCUGUGAAUCUAGUGUAUAUGGAAUUAACACUCUCAUUUUGUUCCAUUUAUAGCAAUUCGUAUUGCCUAGUAUAUCUACUAAUUUUAGACUAUUUAACUUGAUUUGUAGCUUUAUAAACGACUUUAUGUUUUUUCCAAAUUUCAUAAGCAUUGGAACAACCUUAAGGCACAAAACAAAGCAUUCAUGGCUUUGAAAUUAAGAGAAUUUUUUCUCUUUUCUGACUCAUUCCAUUCUUGUGAAAGCUUUUAACAGUAGGCAUGAAUGGACCAUCACAAUCAACUUCCUAUAUUUCAUAAUAUAAUGCUUGCAAAUAAAUUCUUAUCAUAAUUUUCCAACAUGGAUAAUCAUUCCCAUCAAAGAAUGGUGAUCUAGUAAGGGAUUAACCUUUCCCAAAUCUGGGAUCAUUUUGGAUUACUAUGGAUCUUUUACUCUAGAUGGUUAAGUCCUAAUAAGAUAACUUCCUCUUAUACCAAAUGAAAUUCUAGCUAAGCAACCCAAGAGGGGGUGAAUUAGGUAUUAAAAAUUAUACUAACAAAAACACAAUACAAAUUAAACAAAUGCUUCAAGAAAUUUAAUAAUGGUAAAUUUAACAAUGCGUGAAAUUAAAAAGAUAAGGGAGAAGAUAACAAACACAUGAAUUUUUAUGUGGUUCGGCAAACCCGCCUAUGACUACGCCUCCAAGCAAUCCAAACUUGAGAAUUCUACUAUCUAAACCUUCCAAGACUCCAAGAUUUUACAAUUGACUUCUAAGGUGUCAAUAAACCUUUACAAGUAGUUAUGUAUACACACACCUCUUUUCCCAAGUGUUUCCCACACUUAUACUCACUCAAUUUUGAUAUUUAAUUGAAGAUUACAAAGAUUACACUCUAUAAGAGUGUAUAAGCAAAUGAUAGCUCUAUAAUGAUUAAUGUAUGUAGAUAAGCAAAAUGAAAGCUCAAGAUAUAUGAAUAAGUUUUAGCUUAAUUGAGAUUGCAAAAAAUUGUUAGAUUUGAGUUUAAUUUGAAUUUUAUAGUUUAAACAAUCAAACUAGCAAUUAUGGGCUUUUCUAGGGACUUGCUGGAUCGCCGUUAAAAUGAGGCGGUUAGCCACUAUGUUGAUAUGGUAAGUUACAGUUGCAAAUCAAAUUUGAAAACUUUGGUUCAAGCGGAUUCCGCUUGAUUUAAGCGGUUAGCUGCUAUGUUUCUAGACUUGAAGUAGUUAGCCGCUAUUGGUUAAGCGAUUAGCCACUAUUGUUCCAGGAUUUAUAGAUUAGACCUAAUUUUUUUGAAAUUAUAUUACAGCCCAAAACAUUUGAAAUAUUUACAAAUAUGUCAAUUUCUAGGAUUUAAAACAUUAUUGGUUGAUUUCAAAGUUCUCAAAACUUUUCAAUUUAGUCCAUAAAUUUGGAAAAAGCAACUAAUUUUAUAAAAUCGUUAAAACUUUUAUAUUAUAGAAAAUGAUGAUUUAAUUUAAAAAUGUCAUGAAAAAUAUCUUGAGCUUUUAAAUGUUAAAUCAUGCACACAUUAAAUUAUACUGGCUUUACAAGAAAUUUAACAAUAAAGAUUGCUUAAACUAGUACCCUUAGUAUUCGUACUUGAUUGUCAUUGUCCAUUGAGUAUCUUGAUCUUGAUUUCACUUGAAUGAUUUUUGCCCUUCAAAAACUUGUGAGAUUGUGAGAAAUAAAUUUACCAUUGUACCCUAUGUAGUUUGUUAUCAUCAAAAUCAAGGAUUAUAUAACCGUUUAGGCCAACAAAAUAUUAUAAUAAAUAAUAAUUAUUAUGAUAAAAAAUUAAAGAUAUUUCGUAAUUUGUAACAACUCAUCGUGAUUUUAAAAUAAAAUAAAUAUAUCAAUGAUGAUAUAAUUUAUUUUAAUUUUAAUUUUUACAAUUUAAAUAAAUAAAUAAAUUAUCAUUCCAUAUUUUAAUUCCAACUCAUUCCAUUCCAAUUCAUUCAUAUUUUAAUCAGUAUAUCAACUACCCCCGAGCAAUGCCCGAAAGACAUUGAGGCAAGGGCCACAGAAAAAUAUACACUUGUUAGUUUAGCGUUGGUGUCAAGUUUCUUUAGCAUUUUAAAUUCAUAAAAGAACUUAUAGUGGUUCUUCAUCCUUUGGACUUUUCAGUGUUUACUUUCUAGAGUGGGUGUGAGUAGUGUGAAUUCCUCCCACUUCAAUAUUUACUGUACCAUUUUAAGGAGGGAUUGGGAAUCCCACUCCAUAAACCCCACCCAUUUUUGGAGUGGGGAGUGGGAGUGGGAGUGGGACUCCCAUGGGAACCCACUCCCACCUCUCCCUUUUCUACCUUUAUUUAAUUAAAUUUAAUAUUUAAUAUUUAAUAAAAUAAAAUAAAUAAUAUUAUUAUAUUAAUAGAGAAUUAAUAAUAUUACUAUAUGUUAUUUAUUUGAAGAUAUAAUAUUAUUAUAUUUAUUUAAAAAUAUAGUAUUAUAUUUAUUUAAUAUUAAUAAUUAAUAAUAAUAAAUAGUUUAUUCUAAGAAAAUAUUAAUUUUAUACUAAAUAAUAUUAUAUUAUUAUUUAUAUAAUAAUAAAUUUAAUAUAAUUAAAUAAAAUAAUAUUUCAUUUUAUAUUUACCUUCCUUUUUUAACCCCCUUUUAUUAAAUUUACUAUAAUUAUAUAUUAAUAAAAUAAAAUAAAUAAUAUUUUAUUUAUUUAAAUAAUAUUAUUAUAUUUAACUAAAUAAUAAUUUGGUUUGAUUCUAAGUUUAAAUUACUUAAAAAUAAUAAUAUUAUAUUAAUAGAGAAUUAAUAAUAUUACUAUAUACUAUCUUUAUUUGAAAAUAUAAUAUUAUUAUAUUUAUUUAAAAAUAAUAGUAUUAUAUUUAUUUAAUAUCAAUAAUUAGUAAUAAUAAAUAGUUAAUUAUAAGAAAAUAUUAAUUUUGUACUAUGUUAAUAGUAAAAAUAUUUCAUUUAUAUUGCUCUUAUCAAUAAUUUUUAAUUUAUAUAAUUAAAAUUAAAAUUAAUAAAAAAUUAUGAUGUACAUAAUUAAGAAUAUUAACAAUUAUUAUAAAUUUAUAAAUAUAAUAAAAUAAAUGUUUAUUCAUUAAAUAUAUAUUUUUAUUAACUUUGUAAUAAAAAAUUAUAAUUCUUUAAAUAAAGGUAAAAUUAUAAUUUAAAAUUAUUUACUCUCAAUUCAAGAUAAAGUACACACAUAAAUUGGAUUAUGAUCUCCAUUCCAUACUUAUAUUUCAGUGUAAGUAAACAACUUACACUUAUUUCCACUCUACACUCUCAAUCAUAGAUUUUUAUUUCUCAAAAUUCUCACUCCAAUCCAAAAUGUAAACACUAUGGUAAUUGUUCACGCAACUAUUUUAAUCGAAAAUAUUUUACUCGAAACUAAUAGACCUUUCAACAAUUUUAAGCGAAAAUAAUAGACCUUUCAACAAUUUUUACGGAUUCUGGCAAUUGUUCACGCAACUAUUUUAAUAGAAAAUAUAUAUGGCUCCGUAAACAAUGAUUAUCUCUUGACAGCUGUUCUGCACUCGCCAUUUGUACUGAAAUAGAAGAUUAUCUCUUGAUGAUUAUUUAAUUGAAAAGAAUUUGUCGUUUAUAUUUGACUGACUUGACAAAGAGUUGUUCACCUGGCCUUUGGAUGAGGAUCACAUGUUUUAUGACAAUCGUAAUGUUACUAAGGUAAGUCAAGCAAUUAUUUUUAAAUAAUGAUAUUAUAAUUAAAAAUCUAAAAACAUUUAUAAUACUUAAAGACUAAUUCCGAUUAUUAAUUUUUUUAUAUGACUUCAUUAUUAGCUGACAAAUAAUUAAAAGGCCAUAGAACAAUAUUUUUAGGUCCAAUUUUUAUUCUAAUAUGACAAAAUUUGUACUUUCAUUCCUAUACUAAAAUAUAUCUAACCUACUAACUAUCAAGAAAUAUAACUAUUCAACACAUAUUUGUUAGAAAGAUUAUCUACUAAUUAAUCAUUGAUUACGAGAUUAAUAUAUUGAAAUUCAGAACUUUUUUUUUUCCUUCUGCAGUUUAAAAAGGAGUCGCCCACGAGUAUUGAAAUAAUUUUAUCAGAUUCGCUUAAAAGUAGUUUUAAUUCUCAGUCAAUUCUCAGUCAAGAAUUGACUUUUUUUUUUCCUUCUGAACUUUUUUUUUUCCUACUCUUUGCCUUCAAUUCUCAGUCAAGAAAACCUCUCCUGAUUUUCGUCUUUUGAUCUCAUACACACUUUGCUUCUAUUUAUCGUGGUCACUGCUCGUGCUAGCCGUUUUCUUAUUUAGCUUCGUUCCCUUUUGCCAUCAGCUAUUUGCAUUUUCAUUGGAUCAAGCAACCCUUUUCUUGAUUCAAUUUUCUGAUCUCAAAAACACUUUGAUUCUCUUCUGUUACACUGAUUUCCCUUGUUUUGUACAAAUAUCAUUUCUUUUUUCAACUUUGCCUUGUUUUGCUUCUACUUGAUUAUCAAUUGCGCGGCCGUUGACCCUGUUCUAUUUCUAUUUCGUUCACUUCCCCAAAAAAAAAAAAAAAAAAUGGACAUUUUGAAAAGCAUUGUUCCAGGAGUUGUAAACUGUUUGUCUCCUCACGCACAACGCGAAUUUAGUUAUUGGUAUAAUUCCGGUGCCAACUUUGAGAAUCUCAAGGCAGAACUCGAUAGGCUCAAGGAUGAAAGAGAAAGCAUUCAGCGCAGAGUUUCUGAGGCUGAAAGAAAAAGUGAAAAGAUUGAAGAGAAGGUUGAGAAAUGGCUGGUUAAUGCGAACAAGAGCAUUGAGGAGGCAGCCAAAUUCAUUUUCGACGAAGAGAAAGCAAAUGAACGAUGUCUCAUGGGGCUGUUUCCUAAUUGGAUUACUCGCUAUCAGCAUGGAAAGAAAGCAGAAACAGAGAAGGAGGCCCUUUUUAAACUCCGAGAAGAAGCUGGGAGAUUUGAUGAUAGAAUUUCCUACCGUACCAUACCGGAGGAGAUUUGGCUCAAGUCUCACAAAGGCUACGAGGCCUUCGAAUCAGGACGUUCUACUUUGGAGGCUAUAAAAAACGCAUUGAUCGAUGUUGAUGUCAGCAUCAUUGGGGUGUACGGCAUGGGCGGCAUUGGAAAGACGACACUGGUGAAGAAGGUCGCCAGGCAAGCUAUGGAAGACAAGCUCUUUGAUAUGGUAGUCUUUUCAGAGGUUUCCCAAAUCCCAGACAUAAAAAGGAUUCAACAUGAAAUUGCCGAGGAGUUGGGCCUGGAGUUGCGCGAGGAAGUUGAAUCCAGAAGAGCAAAUAGAAUAUUUGAGCGAUUGAGAGAUGAGAAGAAGAUCCUUGUGGUUUUAGACAACAUCUGGAAACACCUUGAUUUGGAGACCGUUGGAAUUCCUUUUGGAGAAGACCAUAAAGGAUGCAAACUACUGCUGACAGCAAGAGAUCGUAGUGUCCUCUUAAAAAUGGGAUCUAAAGACAACUUCUUGAUUAACAAUUUAAAUGAUGAAGAAGCAUGGAGAUUGUUUAAGAUGAUGGCCGGUGAUGAUGUUGAAAAUCGUGAGUUGAAAUCUACAGCAAUAGACGUUGCCAGGGCAUGUGGAGGUUUGCCCAUUGCCUUGACUACAGUGGCAAAGGCACUGAGAAGCAAGAGUCUGCAUGAAUGGAAGAAUUCCUUGCGAGAACUCCGAACGCCUUCAAUGGUAAACUUCGAAGGAGUAUCUGCAGAGACUUAUUCAAGUAUUGAGCUGAGUUUCAACCAUUUAAAGGUGAGCAACUCAAGAAAAUUUUUCUGCUCUGUAGUCUAAUGGAUAACCGUAUUCUUACUUCGGACUUGUUUAAGUACUCCAUGGGUUUGGGUAUAUUUAAAGGAGUCAAUAAGAUGGAAGAUGCACGAGACAAAUUAUAUGCAUUGGUCCAUGAACUUAGACACUCUUGUUUGUUGCUUGAGGGUGAGAGCAAUGAACAAUUUUCAAUGCAUGAUGUUGUUCGUGAUGUCAUAUAAUUUUCAACUAUCACUAAGUGGAAAAGAUGUGAAGAUGAUUUUGCAGGCCGAUUUCCCACAACACCUUUUUGGCAGUCUUAAACAACUAGAGAUUGUUGGAGAUGACUCAGCUUGUUUUCCAAUCUGGAACGUACUGAAGAGAUUUCACAAUCUCAAAAUGCUCAUACUGCGUUAUUUUUCAUCCCACGAAGAGCUAUUUUCAAUGGAAGGAUGCUUAGAGAAACAUGUGGGGAAGUUGGCAAUGAUAAAAGCAUUAGAGCUGCGCUGGCACUAUCAUCUGAAGCAGCUGUGCAAACAAGACUCCAAACUUGGCCCCAUUUUUCAGUAUCUUGAAUUCAAAAUGUACUUCAUUGUCAAAGUCUGUUAACUCUAUUGCCACCAUCAUCGGUAUCUUUCCAGAACCUAACAGCUCUGGUGGCUUUCGGUUGCAAGAAAUUGAUACACUUAGUAACAUCCUCCACAGCAAAAACUCUAGUGCAACUCGUCAAAGUGUGUAUAUAUGGAUGCAGAGCAAUGACAGAGGUGGUAAUAAAUGACAAAGAUGGAGUUGAAAAAGAAGAGAUUGUUUUCCGCAAAUUGAAGGCGUUGGAACUGUGUGAUUUAGAUAGCCUCACAAGUUUCUGCUCUGCCAAUUACACCUUCAAAUUCCCAUCUUUGCAAGAUUUGUGGGUGAUUGGUUGUCCCAAGAUGAAGAUUUUCACUACAGGAGAAUCAAUCACGCCUCUAAGAGUAAACGUCUGCUAUGGAGAGACAGCGGAUCAACGGCGCUGGGAUAAUAAUGAUCUAAACACAACCAUACAACAAUUACAUGCUGAGAAGGUACGGAUAUACAUAUUACUCUCUAUCUCCCAUGAUAAAUUUUUACAAAAUUUGCUUUUUUUAAAUAAAAUAUCGAUAAGAUAUUUGUUUUAAAAUUAGUUUAAAUUGAUGGAUAAGAAUUUUAUUCUCAGCUGUUGGACGGGUCGUCGAUAUACUCUACGCAAUACCACUAAUUUCAUUGGCUUCUUAUGUCUUGGAGUUGCGAAUUUGAAGAAGAAAGUCCCAGCUGGUAAUUAAUUCUUAUUUUAUUUAUUUGAUCUCGUGGGUUGUUUCACAAUUUCAUCUCAAUUAUUUAGAAUGGGUCGCUUGGUUUUCAUGUUUCGUUCAGGCUUUUGUGGGCAGAUUUUGCGUCAUUGAUUGUCUUUUGGUCUAAUUUAAUUUAAUUUGAGUAUUUUGUUUGAGAAUUCGCUUGUUCUCUAAAAUUUUAUAAUUCCUUGCAAGCAUUUUAUGAUGAAAUUUCAUUAAAAGGGGCAACACUUGCAUGUUGAAUGUCUUCAGAUAUUAUAAUUCCUUGAAAUCAUGCGAACUUUUUUCUUUCUUUCUUUGCCAAUCAUUUAUUGUCAUCAUUGCCUUUCCGUUAUAUUUGUUUCUGCUCUGUUUGUUCUUUGGAAACUUGGAAGGCAACGAAAGUACUUAAGAAAAUGCUCUUGCCUAUGAACACAUAAUUAAGAAGCUGAAUAUCAUUCAGCGGGUAAAAUAUAUAUAUAUAUAUAUAAUUAGCCCAUUAUGCCUACAACAAAUCCUUACACCAUCAAAGGUUAGCUAUGAACAACUAUAUUGUGGAAAUAUUGUUUGAAAGCAUUGGAUAGAAUUUUCAAAAAUAUCAAGUUUUCACAAACCAAAAAGGGAACUAAUUUGGUCUAGUUUUGUGAAAGUAUAGAAGCACAAAUUUUGUCUGUUAUUCUUGUUAAAAUUCUCAGCACUAUGUUUGCAGAAUGUCUGGAUACUGAUGGAGAUUCAAGUCACUCUUCUUCUGUGCAACAUUUGAAAUGAAGCCUUUUUUUCCCCCUUUAUUCAAAUUUUAUGUUGUGAGGGGUUCCGUUUCCAUCUUCAUGUGAUUUACUUCAUCGUGUCGCUACAUAUAUGAUAGUGUGUGUUAUUUCCUGUCUGUUUCCUUUAUUUGACCAUCGGAAGUUCAAAGACAUUUUAUUCUAAAUGUGUGUAAAUUCAUUUUCUGUAUAAGCUCUUUGUAUGCAUUUUGACAUUUUAUUCUCAAUAUAUGUGACUCAAUGAGAGGUCUAUUGUUAUAUAUACGUCACGAAAUUCUUGUGUAUUUUUAGAUUUGAUGAUGUAUUAUUGCCUCAUUGCAAGGUCUUAUAAUCACUCUGAUUCUUAUUUCUUGUAUAUAUAUGUAUAUAUGCGCAAGAAAUUUGAUAAAUGAUCUCGUCAUUUUCUCAGUUAAACAUCUAGUACUUUAUAUGUUGGAAGGGUACUAAGCAGCAGGCCAAGAUUUAUCAACUCAAAGAUCGUCAUGUCACUUUUUGAAAGUUGACUAAAAAAUAUUCCUAAAAGUAGCAAAAGUUGGUGGAUUAUUGUGGUUUUCCUACUUUAUCGUUUUUGGUUGAAUAAAUUAAUAUAAAGCUGUCGAUUCUGCAUUAAAGCUUAUGAAUUGUGAAGAUAUAUGAAUACCAAAUCUUUCCAACUCCAACUCUUGAGUAAUUAUUAGGUUCCCACCCAUGCAAACAUAUUUUCUUUCGAGAAAAAGGGAUGCCUGAGUCAGGGCAUCCGUUGCCUCGGUUUAUUUGAUUUUGUUUGGUUCAAUUGUGGUUCUGUUAUUUAGUUUUUCCUCUGAUGGUUCUGUUUCUCUGUAUAUUUCACUGGGUUUGCUUUGCUUCACAUCUUUCUUUCAAAACUAAGUAUAUAUCAAAUCAUGCAUAUGCUCAUGCUCUUGCCUAUGAACACAUAAAGAACAACUGAAUAUCCUUCGUCGGAUAACAAAAAAAAAAAAUCUAAUCAUCCAUUACUUAAUUAGAAAAAAAAUUUGUUCGCUCUGCUUGCUUUAGUAAUUUGUCUUUUAUAUUUGACUGGCUCGACAAAGAGUUGUUGACCUCGUUUUGAUACACUUACAUUGCAGAGAUUGAAACCAGAUCUGUCAUACAUUAGUUGGCCAUAAAAAUAAUCAAAUCACUUUCUCUUUUUCACCUAUUUUCACGGAGAAAAAUGCUAAAGAAACUGGGAGAAUGCUAAAUUCAAAGGUGGAAAGUGUACAGAGAGAGGAAGCGCGUGUUUAGAGAGAGAGGUCUCAAAUAUAUAAGUUGGAUUUCUCAUAAAAGGUAGUAAGGUUUCUAUAAUUCUAUUUCUAUUUAUGCUGAAUUUCAUGGAAACGAAGUUAAUUUAGAGAUUUGUAUACUUUAUUUAUAGUUAAGUUUUCCAAAAAAAGGCGUAAAGUUGCUCCUAAGUUCAUUUUUAUAAUUGGUCGAUUAUUUUAGAAGUCACAAGGGUGCCAACAAGGAAUUGUAGAGUCGGAUACGUGUAGCCUUCAUUGUUUUCCUGAUUCGGUAUGUAUAUAGUUAUAUGUAUGUUUAGGUAGAUUAUGGUUGGUGAUGAUAUUGUUAAUAAUAUGGAUGAUUUGUUAGAUAUGAAAAUUAAGUUAUUAAGGGUGAAACAUGAAACCGAAUCCGUCACUGCAUUUGCUUGAAAAACAAUUUUACGAAUAAUAGGUCCUCGACAACUUUCAAUGUGGUUUAGUUACAUGUAUUCAAAACAUAAAUUAUUGUUAUGAUUUUAGAAAAUUUUGUUGUUUGUAAUUUAUAUUUGAAAUUUUGCAACAAUUGUUUGGCACAAAUAUUUUUAUUUAAGAAAAAGAGUGAUCUCAUUAUUGAGCUGGUUUUGAUAACACAUAUGGAAAUAAUAAAUUGAUUCAUAAUUAAGUCAAUUACCUAAUUAAAAUGUACCUCAAUAUUUUUUUCCUCAAUAUUUUUUUGGUAAUGUUGUAUCUGUUAUAGUAAUUUUUGGUAGUUAUGUUUGGAAAUAAUCACUAUGAAGAGAAUGAGUUAAACAUUUAGGAAAAUUUAUUUUUAGAAGUCCUAUUGAUAAUGUAAAUGCUAAAUUGAAUAUAAUGUUAAAUAAAAUUUAUUUAUACAUUUAUAAACAUUUAAAUAAAAUAUUUUUAUCUUGUAAGUAUAAUAAUUGAUUACUAAAAUAAAUAUUUUAUAUUAUUAAUUUUAUUUUUAGUUUGUUAUCUCAAUGUAAUUGUUGAUAAUAUCUUUAAAGUUAAUAAUUUUAUUUUCUAAUUAAUAAGGAUAAUUAAUAUAUGUAGGGAUGUAUAUGGAAUUAUAUUGAGUAUAAAACUGAUUAUCAAAAUCAGAUUUUGAAAAACUAUUUGCUUUCAAAAUUUAUUGUAGGAUUGAUGAUUUUACCAAAGGUGACUUCUAAAAUUUUUAUUAAAUACCAAAAUUAGCAUUUAACUUUUCAAAAUUAAUUUUGAGCCUCUAAAAAUAAUCCCAAACGGAACUUUAAUAUAUGUUUGAUUUUUUUUAAUUUUAUAUUAUAUGAGACAAAAAUAUAAUUUUUAUCGUUGAAAAACAAAUGACAGAUUUUUUUGAAUAAUUUAAAAAAAAAAGAAACACAGAGCUCAAGAUAAUGCUGUAAUUGUUGCAUAAGAAGGCUGCAACUUGAUGAUAAAUUUAUUAUACUAGUUUUAAGGUUUUAUUUUGUGUGUAAAAGUUGCUGGUUCUUGUUUUAGAAAUUUCUCUUUCUAUUUGCCUGACUCGACAAAGAGUCGGUGUACCUCGUACUGAUACACUUAAAUUACAAACAUGGAAACCAGAUCUGGCAUCAUAAAUUAAUCAAUCACCUUCUCAUUAAUCUACCAUUACUCUUUUCGUUCCCUUAUUUUUAUCUAACCAUUUAGGAUAGGAUUUGAAUUCAGUACUUAAUUAUUCUUUUUAAUAAUUUUAAAAAAUUAUAAUUAAUAGUUAUUGGAUAAAAAUAUAAAAUUAAUUAUAUUAUUUGUCAUACGCGUGUGACAAAAGGUUAAGAAAAAUUUAUUUACGUUUGCUCAAUCCACUCUCUUAUUAGCUCCCCCACUCUCUUAAUCAUUUCUUCUCAUUCGAAAAACACUUUGCUUCUGUUUGUUUGUUAUUUAUUUUUAGCUCCAUAACUGCUCGUCGUAACGCUGUCUCUCUGUUUUGACUGUCCUUUAGCCUUCUUCACUUCUACAUUGUUGUCAGGAUUCAAGAUGCUGGAAAUCAUUGUUACUCUCGUUUUGGAACCUUGUAAAAUGCUUGGCUCCUCCAACUGAACGCCAACUUGUUUAUUUGCGAUGGCGGAACUACAAUGCCAACCUUGAGAAUCUCAAGGCGGAAAUGGAGAAGUUGAAGGUUGAACGUACGAGCAUUCAGCGCAGAGUUUCAGAGGCGAAAGAAAAAGGGGAAGAGAUUGAAGAGAAGGUUGAGAAGUGGCUGGUUAGUGCUAACGGCAUCAUUGACCAGGCAGCCAAAUUCGUUGAAGAUGAAGAGUCAACAAAUAAGCGCUGUCUCAAGGGCUUGUGUCCUAAUUUGAAGACCCGCUAUCAGCUUAGCAAGAAAGCAGAGACGGAGGUGAAGGCCAUUAUUGAGCUUGGAAAACAAAAUUAGAGAAAUUUCCACGUUCAAAGACAUUUUAAUAUGUUAUAACUAAACUAAUCAGAAAAACGAGUUUAAAGAAAAAAAAAAAAGGAGAGGGAGGGGACGGCAUCGUUUAAUUAAAAAGAGCUAAAAUUUUACUCUGUCCAUGUUGCAAAGCAAGAAAGCCGAAAAGCACAAAACAACAAUAAGCCAACGUUUGGGGAACUCCUCCCACCAGGGAACCAAGCUCUCCGAAUCCACGCCCAAAUCCUCACUCCCCAACGCGACGUCUUUCAACGCCUCCUCAAACUUCACAGAUUUCUCCGACACAUUGUACGACUCGGACUUCACAUCCCGAACGGAUACUCGGAACGAGCAACCCCUGUCUCCGGACAGAACCCCAAGUCGAACAAAGGUUACGAGGCCUUCGAAUCAAGAGUUUCUACUUUGAAGUCUAUACAAAAUGCGUUGACUGAUGUGAAUGUCAGCAUUAUUGGGGUGUACGGCAUGGGCGGCAUUGGAAAGACGACACUGGUGAAGGAGUUUGCUAGGCAAGCCAGGGAAGACAAGCUGUUUGAUCGGGUGGUUUUUUCAGAGGUUUCACAAACUCCAGACAUAAAAAAGAUUCAAGGGGAAAUUGCAGAGAAGUUAGGUCUGGAGUUGUCCGAUGAAGCUGAAUAUAGAAGAGCUAGCAGGCUGUAUGAACGACUGAAGAAUGAGAAUAAGAUUCUUGUGAUUCUAGAUAAUAUCUGGAAACAUGUUGAUUUGGAGACGGUUGGAAUUCCCUUCGGAAAUGAUCAUAAAGGAUGUAGACUACUGCUGACAGCAAGAGACAAUAAUGUACUAUUAAGUAUGGGCUCCAAAGAUAACUUCUUGAUUGGCAAUCUAAAUGAAGAAGAAGCUUGGGGAUUGUUUAAGAUAAUGAAUAGUGAUGAUGUUGAAAAUUGUAAGUUCAAGUCUACAGCAAUUAAUGUAGCCCAGGCAUGUGGAGGGCACUGAGAAACAAGAGUCUGCAUGAGUGGAAGAAUGCCUUGCGAGAACUCCAAACACCUUCAGUGGUAAACUUCGAAGGUGUGCCUGCAGAGACUUAUUCAAGUAUUGAACUGAGUUUCAAGUAUUUAAAAGGUGAGCAACUCAAGAAAAUUUUUCUGCUCUGUAGUCUAAUAGGUAACAGUUUUUGGAUUACAGACUUGUUUAAAUACUCCAUGGGUUUGGGCAUAUUUCAAGGAGUCAACAGGAUGGUAGAUGCACGAAACAAAUUAUAUGCAUUGGUCCAUGAACUUAGUGUUGGGGAAAAAUUAGGUUUUUAAAUUUUUAUAAAACCUUUUGAAGAUCGCUCUCAUAUAAUAUAUAAGAAUUUGUAUUCUAGAAAUCGUACCUUGAAAAUCUGAAUUGGCUUUUUCCGCUGAAGUGAUUUAGGCUCCUAGAUCACGAUCCGCCACCACCACUCCUGAUAGAUCACGAUCUGUCACCACCACGCUUGUUAGAUCACGAACUGUCUCCAAUGAUCUUCCAGGUUAUGACUCAUGUUCGAUCUGCACUUGACGUGUGGGCGCCUUUAUCACUACCAAAGCAACUAGCAUGAGAAAAUUUUUCUCUCAACAAUAGAGAGAAAAAUCUUAUUCUCCGAUCUGUAUAAAGUGGCUCCUUUCUUUUUUCUUUAGGGAAAAAUAAGCCUUUUAUAUCACCCUUUAGUGAAAACCCUAGGCUCCUAAUGAUCAAAAAACAAAACCCACGUUUAUUUGCUUUUUCAAUAGGGGACCCACCUUGUAAAAUAACAUAAGGCCCCUUAUACAAAAGCUAAUUAAAUGGAGCCUCCCACUAAAUGAUAUAUUUAGGCUUUUGACCCAAAUAGCUAGUUAUCUUACUUAUUAGUCCAGUAGUGGUGCAAUCAAUUAAAUGAGCUAACCCGGGGAUCAUUUGGGAACAUACAAUAGUGGCUACAAUAAUUAGGCCUAUAAUUAAACUAGCCCAAUUAUUUAAUUCCAAAUCUACUCCACUAAAAGAUUGGAACCGACUUCCAUAAUUGUACGCUCGAAUAAUAAUUCGUCCCAAGCCACAUUGAUUUCUUUACUGCACAAUCCUUUGUACCACAUCGUUAAUUAAAUUGAUAUCUCAACUGUCCAAUCAAUUUAAUAACAUCUUAUUCCUUGAUCCUUACUGGUUUUCUCUAAUGAUCAUUUUCAACAUACUAAAUAUGUUGACACACUCUGGCCAGAGAAUUCUAUGAUCAAGUGCCGAAAACCCAUCAAGAGAUGUGUUGUACAAAUUCUAUAUUGUUAAUCCAUAACUUCAAUACUCAUAAUUGCUCCCACCAAGAUAACGGGUAAUCUUGACCACAAGGAUGUGUCGUGCCCAUUGGUAACUCAAAUGGAAUAACAAUUACAAUCAUGAAAUCAUAAUUAACUCAAGAUUAAGAUUACAGUAAAAUCAACGCCUAUGAGAUUUAAUAAGUCUGACAGUUAUUUCAAAGUUAAUUAAAUCUCAUAUGUGAUCCUGUUCAAUGUAGUCGCACUACAUCAAUAAAUUCAUACAUGAUUAAGACAAAUCAUUCAAUGAAUUUAUUACAGUCUAGCAUGACAAGUCGGUUGAAGAUUUGUCAUCAGCAUGACAAGUCGGUUGACAGUCCAGAGAGAGCUAUAUGACAAGAUUAUCGUGUCGUCUAUAUACGCAAAGAAAGCAUGUGGUGUUCACGUGUUUCACUUAAACUAAACGGCUGCUUGAACUGUCGUUUUGUUACUUGGAAUAACCAAGAUGAAGACACGUGUAAUGAAGGCUUAUUCAGAAGUCUGUUAAGCCGUUAAUCAGCGUGGGAAGUUACUGUUCUUCUCCACGGGAAACAGGGGAAGCUUGCUGGUGAUUUGAGAGUCCUUCUUUGAUCAAGCAUCGCCUAUAUAUAUAGCUGGGUAUUCUGGGGUUAACACUUUAAGUUCAUGUAUGCUUAGCUUCUCUAAAUAAAGCUUGCACUCUGUAAGACACUCGUUCAAUAAAGCUUGGAUUCACCCUUUCACAGUGGACGUAGGCUUCCAUAGCCGAACCACUAUAGCUUUCUUGUGUUGUCUUUUCUGCUCUUGAAUUCUUCGAUUAAACUAGCUUUGAUUCUUGGCUUGUUAAAGUGUUCUUUAAGCCGAGUUCUGUUCACAUUAGCUUUAGUUACAAGAACCCUUCUUGAGUGGAUCUUGGGGAGCCAUUUUUCGGUUCUUUACUGAUAUUUGGCACAACAAAUUGGUAUCAGAGCCUCCCUCUGAAGUUCUUGAUCUAAAGAUGACUGGCCCUAAACUUGAAGUAGAAAAGUUUACUGGGGAAAAUGACUUUCACCUAUGGAGACUCAAGAUGAAAGCACUGUUGGUACAUCAAGGCCUGGAUGAAGCCCUUGCCGAAGUCACAUCACCCAAGAAACCAAGGAAGAUAUCAGAUGAUGACCUCCUAGAUGUGCUUGAUAGGGCUCACAGUGCAAUUAUCUUAAGUCUUGGAGAUGGUGUACUCAGAGAAGUGGGAGGAGAGACAACAGCUGCUGGAUUGUGGAAGAAGCUUGAGGACUUGUACACCAAAAAGUCCAUGGCCAAAAGGUUAGCCACCAAAAAGAAGCUUUACACAUUGCAGAUGGAAGAGGGUUCAUCAAUCUUUGAUCACAUUGAUGCCUUUAACAAGAUCAUCUUGGAUCUUGAAGACAUUAAUGUAAAGAUCGAUGAUGAAGAUAAAGCCAUGAUUCUGUUGUGCUCUCUACCAAGCUCUUAUGAGCAUCUGGUCGACACUCUCAUGUAUGGAAGACAGUCCCUCUCGAUGGUGGAUGUAAAAGAGACAUUGAACUCCAAGGCUGCAAGCAAGAAAGAAGCAAGUCAUGGGGAAGGAUUAACAGUUAGAGGGAGAUCAGAAAAGAAAGAAGGUGUUAAAGGGAAGAAGAAAAGAUCCAAGUCAAGACCAAAGAACAUGAAGUGCUUUCACUGCCACAAGGAAGGCCACUUCAAAAAGGACUGUCCAGAGAGGAAAUAUAAAAACAAUGAAGCAAAAGAGAAGACUGGAGAUGCUGCUGUUGCAUCAGAAGGACAAGAAUCUGAUGGUUAUGACUCUGCUGGGGUUCUCAUAGUCUCUGAUGGUGCAUCUAAAGGUAACUGGGUUUUAGAUUCUGGCUGUUCAUUCCAUAUGUGCCCUAAUAAAGCCUUCUUUAAAAACUAUGAAACCUAUGAUGGAGGGAUAGUUGUAAUGGGGAAUGAUGCUAGUUGUAGAGUAAUUGGCAGGGGCACCAUUAAACUGAAAAUGCUUGAUGGCACAAUAAAAGAAUUAGCAAAUGUCAGACAUGUUCCUGAUUUAAAGAGAAAUUUGAUUUCCCUUGGCAUGCUUGACAAAAUGGGGUGUGUUAUCAAGCUUGAGUCAGGCACUCUAAAGGUGUUGAAAGGGUCUAUGGUGUUGAUGAAAGGAAACUUAGACAAUGGCCUGUAUGUACUCUAGGGGUCUGUAGUCACAGGAGAUGUUGGAGUUUCAAACCAGAAUCUAAACAAAACCUUAUUGUGGCACUUUAGAUUAGGCCAUAUGAGUGAGAGAGGCUUGAGAGAACUAUCAAAACAGAGAGUCUUGGGUGAAGAUAAAAUAGAGCCCUUGGAAUUUUGUGAGGAGUGUGUCCUAGGCAAAUCAUCAAGAGUCAAAUUCAGCACAGGUGCACAUGUUUCAAUAGGAACUCUAGAAUACAUACAUGCUGAUCUGUGGGGACUUGCACAGACAGCAUCUUUAGGAGGGGCAAGGUAUUUUCUAUCUCUAAUUGAUGACCAUUCCAGAAUGGUUUGGGUGUAUGUGCUGAAGAACAAAGAUGAAGUGUUUGAACAUUUCAAGAACUGGAAAACACUGAUUGAAACUCAGACCAAUAGGAAGGUUAAGAAGCUCAGAACUGAUAAUGGAUUAGAAUUCUGCAACAAGAUGUUUGAAGAGUUCUGCAGCAAGCAUGGGAUCAUGAGGCACAGAACAGUAAGAUAUACACCUCAGCAAAAUGGAUUAGCUGAGAGGAUGAAUAGAACCUUAGUUGACAAAGUGAGGUGUAUGCUCAUUCACUCUAAGCUACCUAUGUCCUUGUGGGCUGAGGCUCUGUCAACAGCUUGUCACAUUGUGAAUAGAAGUCCUUCAACUGGAAUUAACUUUAAAACACCAUAUGAACUUUGGUAUAGUAAACCAGCAGAUUACUCCAGUUUGAAGAUCUUUGGUUGUCCAGCAUAUGCUCACAUCAAACAAGGAAAAUUAGAGCCCAGGGCAUUGAGGUGUAUAUUUCUUGGUUAUCCUGAAGGGGUAAAAGGGUACAAACUGUGGUGCACAGAUAUGAAGCCACCAAAAGCAAUCAUAAGCAGAGAUGUAGUAUUUAAUGAAGCUGAGAUGCUCCAGCACUCAGUAUCUCUAAAGACUACAAAUGCUGAAAUAAAAGAGAAAGAUGAGAGAUCUUUUCUUGAGGUGGAGCUGUUAAACUCAAACCAGAAACAGAAAUCAAGAUCAGAGGCUGGAGACAAAACAGACAUGGAAAUACAUGACACUGAGAAUGAAGCAGCAAGUGAUCAGGCAAUAAGUGAAGAUUAUCAGUUAGUGAGGGAUAGAGUAAAGAGAGUAAUAAGACCUCCUAGUAGAUAUGCAUAUGCAGAUCUAAUAGCAUUUGCAUUAACAGCAGCAGAUGAAAUAGCAACAGAUGAACCCAGAACAUACUCAGAAGCUAUUAACAGUGAUAAAGCAGUAGAAUGGAUAAAGGCUAUGGAUGAGGAAAUGAUGUCUUUGAAAAAGAAUCACACCUGGAAUCUCAUUGAAAGACCAGCAAACAAGAGGGUAGUAGGAUGCAAAUGGAUAUUCAGAAUCAAGGAGGGAAUACCAGAUGUUGAGCCACAAAGAUACAAAGCCAGGCUGGUUGCAAAAGGCUUCACUCAGAAAGAGGGGGUUGACUUUACAGAAGUUUUCUCCCCAGUGGUGAGACAUGCUUCCCUGAGAAUCCUGUUAUCCCUAGUGGCUGUACAAGACAUGCAUCUUGAACAGAGGGAUGUGAAGACUGCUUUCCUGCAUGGUGAAAUAGAUGAGAUGAUAGUGAUGUCACAACCUGAAGGGUAUGAGGAUUCAGAAAAGGCUGAUCAUGUAUGUCAUCUAAGGAAGUCACUAUAUGGAUUAAAACAAUCUCCAAGACUGUGGUAUCUGAGGUUUGACAGGUUUAUGUCAGAUCAUGGUUUUAAAAUGAGUAGUUUUGACUGCUGUGUUUACUUUAAAACUAUAGAAGGUGGUGACAAAAUCUACCUACUACUCUAUGUAGAUGACAUGCUAAUAGCUUGUAAAGAGAUGGAAUUCAUCAAUGAACUGAAACAGCAGCUGAGCAAUACAUUUGAGAUGAAGGAUCUGGGUGCUGCAAAGAAGAUCCUUGGAGUUCCGCUAAAGAGAGACAGGAAGAAUGGCAUCCUAAGCCUAACACAGCACAAAUACAUCAGGAAAGUACUUGAGAAAUUUAAUAUGGAUAAAUGUAAACCAGUACAGACACUACUGCCUUCACAUUUCAGACUGUCCUGUCAACAGUGUCCAAACUCUGAUACUGAGAAGGCUGAAAUGAAUAGAUUUCCAUACUCAAGUGCUGUUGGAUGUUUAAUGUAUGCAAUGGUCCUUACUAGGCCUGAUCUCUCACAUGCAGUGAGUGUGGUAAGCAGGUAUAUGGCAAACCCUGGGAAGGAUCAUUGGAGGGUUGUUGUAUGGAUCUUAAGAUACCUUGCUGGUACAACUGGAUAUGGUUUGAUCUAUGGAGCUGAGAAAUAUGCAGAGGUUAGUGUGGAGGGUUAUGUAGAUGCAGAUUAUGCUGGAGAUCUGGAUAAAAGAAGGUCUUUAACAGGUUUUCUUUUUAUGCUUAAUGGCUGCACCAUAAACUGGAAGGCUUCACUGUAGAGUGUUGUUGCUCUGUCAACAACUGAGGCAGAAUACACAGCAGCUGCAGAGGCAAUCAAAGAAGCUAUCUGGCUCAGAGGGAUGGUGACAGAACUGGGGUUUGAACAAAAACAAAUCACAGUUCAUUGUGACAGCCAAAGUGCCAUAUGUCUAAGCAAGAACCAGAUUCACCACGAGAAGACCAAGCAUAUUGAUAUCAAGCUUCACUUUGUCAGAUUGGAAAUAUCAAAGGGUGUGAUUAAGCUGGCUAAAAUACACACUGAUAGCAACAUUGCUGACAUGCUUACCAAAGCUGUACCAGGAGCUAAGUUUGAGUUAUGCUUAAACUCAGCUGGCAUUUGCAGGGUAUAGACUGCAGGAAAUAAGUGGAAGGGUGAACCUGAGGGAAUGGAUGAUUUGAGCUCAAGGUGGAGAAUGUUGAAUAUGAACUGCAAAUCGGUUUUAUAGUCAAGCAUGACAAGUCGGUUGAAGAUUUGUCAUCAGCAUGACAUGUCGGUUGACAGUCCAGAGAGAGCUAUAUGACAAGAUUAUCGUGUCGUCUAUAUACGCAAAGAAAGCAUGUGGUGUUCACGUGUUUCACUUAAACUAAACGGCUGCUUGAACUGUCGUUUUGUUACUUGGAAUAACCAAGAUGAAGAAACAUGUAAUGAAGGCUUAUUCAGAAGUCUGUUAAGCCGUUAAUCAGCGCGGGAAGCUACUGUUCUUCUCCACAGGAAACAGGGGAAGCUUGCUGGUGAUUUGAGAGUCCUUCUUUGAUCAAGCAUCGCCUAUAUAUAUAGCUGGGUAUUCUGGGGUUAACACUUUAAGUUCAUGUAUGCUUAGCUUCUCUAAAUAAAGCUUGCACUCUGUAAGACACUCGUUCAAUAAAGCUUGGAUUCACCCUUUCACAGUGGACGUAGGCUUCCAUAGCCGAACCACUAUAGCUUUCUUGUGUUGUCUUUUCUGCUCUUGAAUUCUUCGAUUAAACUAGCUUUGAUUCUUGGCUUGUUAAAGUGUUCUUUAAGCCGAGUUCUGUUCACAUUAGCUUUAGUUACAAGAACCCUUCUUGAGUGGAUCUUGGGGAGCCAUUUUUCGGUUCUUUACUGAUAUUUGGCACAACAAAAAUAAUCCAGACUUCCUGUGUAUCGUCGAUUCAAUGAAGAGAGAACCUUGUGUCGCCUUUCCUCUUUUGGAGUCCCUUACUCUUCACAAUUUGAUCAAUACGGAGAGGAUAUGUAUUGAUCGACUCAAAAUAGAGUCCUUCAAAGAACUCAAAACCAUAAAAGUGGAAAAUUGUGAUGAGUUGAGUAAUAUCUUCUGGCUCUCUAGUAGUACAAAAUGCCUUCCAAGACUGGAGAGGAUUGCAGUUAUCAAUUGCAACAGCAUGGAAGAGAAGCUGAUGUUGAUGUUGAUGAGAAGAUAGAGUUAGGUCAAUUAAGAUCUUUGAGUCUGGGAAAGCUUCCAAAGUUUACAAGGUUUUGCCGUGAAGUGAAGACUCCUUUCACAUCACCAAACAGACAAGAGUCGCAAGAGGAAUUGACAGCCAGUUCCAACGAGAUCAGUUCGGAAACGUCAACUCUGCUUUUCAACGAGAAGGCACGUAGGCUAAUGCUUCUUUUUUUUUUAAGUUCUAUCAUGCACUCGCAUUUGAAAAAAAAAAGUCUCAUACACUCGCUAAUUAACCUCUUAAUAAGUGCUUCUCAUAUGGAUAUUGUGUCAAAACAAGUGCUUUUCAUACUGAUAUUGGAUCUAAAGAGAAAAUUAUCUUUAGAUAGUGUUGCCAAAUUUGGAGGCUUUGGAGCUGAAUGCUAUUAAUGUCGACGAGAUUUGGCAUGACAAUCAACUUACGGCCAUGAUUAAUAGCUUUCAAAGCUUGACACGAUUGAUAGUGUGGGGCUGUGACAAAUUAAAAUACAUAUUUUCAGCUUCUAUGAUCCAAAGCCUUAAGCACCUCCAACACCUGGAGAUACGGAUAUGUAUGGGUUUACAAGGGAUCAUCUCCAAAGACAGAGCAGAUCAAGUGACCCCAUAUUUUGUCUUUCCACAAGUGACCACUCUGAAUCUCGAAGGUCUACCAGAACUCAGAUGUUUAUACCCUGGAAUGCAUACUUCAGAAUGGCCAGCACUAAAAAAAUUGGUGGCCUGUAAUUGUGAUAAAAUAACGUUGUCCCAGAAUAACGAGAAUGAUCAAUUUGGUAUUCCGGCACAACAGCCCCUGCUCUCGUUCAAGAAGGUAUGAAACCAAAUUUUAGAUUUUUUUUUAUCAAUUAUCUUUGUUGUUCCUCACUCACAGAUCAGGAGGUUUAAUAAAUACCUAUAUAGAGUUUUUUUCUAGUGGGAAUGCCCUUAUUUUUUACUUUUUUCAUGCGGAGAAACUUUCAAAUCCCACGGUUUAAGAGCGUGUGUGUGUAUAUAUAUAUAUAUAUAUAUAAUCAUUCUCAGGUGUGGGGGUCCGCAUUUUUUUUAAUGUGGACACGCUUUUAAACUGUGCGGUUUAAGAGAGUUAGUUUUUAAAUGAAUUAUGAGUCAUGCGGUUUUAGGGAGUUAAAAACUAACUCUUUUAAACCAUGGAGUCUAAAAACUGAUCCACAUGAAAAAAAAAAAAAGAUGUCCGCACUAGAGAAGGAAUAUAUAUAUAUAUAUAUAUAUAUAUAUAUUAGUUAGAUCAUUGAAAACUUUGAUUACACAAUGAAUUUUGCCAGUCUUGAAUUAUGGAUCAAUGUGCUAAGUUAAUAAUUUGAGCUCGAUGAUGAUCAGAUCUUACCCAACUUGGAGGAACUGGCAUCAAGUGGAAAAGACAUCACGAUGAUUUUGCAAGGCGAUUUCCCACAACACCUCUUUGGCAGUCUUAAACUACUACAGGUUGGGGAUGAUGACUUAGCUUGCUUUCAACUUGGUUUACUUGAGAGGUUUAACAAUCUUGAAUUUCUCUUCCUAUCGGAUUGUUCGUAUGAAGUGGUAUUUUCAAAUGAAGGAUAUUUGGAGAAACAUGGGAGGAAGUUGGCACUGAUAAAAAGGUUAAACCUGACCAGACUUAAUCGUCUGCAGCAACUGUGGAAACAUGACUCCAAACAGCUGGACUUCAUUUUUCAACAUCUUGAAAUUCUAAGAGCAUAUCACUGUCAAAAUCUGUUAAGUCGAUUGCCAUCAUCAUCGGUAUCUUUUCGGAAUCUCGCACAUCUGCAAGCUUUUGCUUGCAAGAAAUUGAUGAACUUAGGAACAUGCUCCACAGCAAAAAGUCUGGAGCGACUCUUAUCAUUGAAGGUAUUUGGAUGCACAGCAAUGACAGAAGUCGUAGUAUGUGACGAAGAUGAAACAGCAAAUAUAAAAGAAGAGAUUGUUUUCAGCAAAUUGAAUGUGCUGUAUCUGUCUGAUUUAGAUAGUCUCACAAGCUUCUCCUCUGCCAAUUACACAUUCAAAUUCCUAUCUUUGCAAGAUUUGUCCGUGAUUGGUUGUCCCAAGAUGAAGAUUUUCACCAAAGGAGAAUCAACCACGCCUCCGAGAGUAAACGUCCGGUACGGAAGGAGUGAGGACAAACUACGUUGGUCUAAUAAUGACCUUAACACAAUCAUACAACAAUUAUUAAUGAGUGAGUUUUUUAUCACGUUUUUAUAUGAGAAUCUUAUGAAAUUCCUCGGAAAUUCAUUAAUCAUUAGUUUUUAUUUCAUAAUAUGAAUUUUAAUUUAAAUUGAUGAAUGCUAAUUUUAUUUUCAGCUGUUGGAGGGGUCGUCUCGUUACUCAUCGCAGUACUGAUCUCAUACGCCUUUAGUACUAGGCGAGCUGUCAAUCUGAAGAAUAAGGUCCCACGUAUUUUAUUUUUAGAAUGAAAUCCCUAGAAAAUAUCAUUCAAAGUGACAACACUUUCAUGUGGAAAGCUUUCAGACUUUUUUCCCCCGCUUUAAUCGAGGGGUCUGUCAAAUUUAGUUUUUAAAUGAGAAUAAUUUUCAUGGGCCAUUUCACAAUGAAAAAUUAGUUUUUUCUAAAGUGAUGACAGUAAAAACAUAUGAAUUAAUGACCCAGUACAUUACCACAAAAUUAAUCUUGGUUAGUUAGGUUAUAUGAAAAUUGUACAAAAUAAAUAUUUUUUCUAGUUCAUGCUCAAUGUCGUGCUCUAUAAUUGCAGAAUUCCCAAGUGAUGAAGAAGAUUGAGGUCACUCCUCUGUGUUUGCAGCAUCAGAAAUAAGAGCUGUUUUUCUGUCAAACUCGUGCUCCGUCCUUUGAAGUUAAGUUUACAUGCUGAGGUUAUUCACUUUACUGUAUCACUAAUGCAGCUUUGAAAGUGUUUCAUUAACCCUCCGUUGUGUUUCUUUCAUUUGACUAUCUUAAGUUCAAAAACGAUGUAUCAAUUUACCAUUGGUGUGUACUGCUUCUUGUAAUAUAUGCAAUAAAUUUCCAGUUUAUUUUGACAUUUUGAAUAUAAAUUCUUUUGAAUUUUCAGUCAGAGGUUUGGUAGUUGUUCUGAUUUAUCUUCAGUUUAAUUUUGUGAUCACAGGAACGUUAGGACUUGCAUGCAUGAACGCACAUUAAAUCACAGAAUUUUUGUCAUACAUCCAUGCAGAUGAAAUUUUAUCAGCAAUCUUGUAAUUUUCUGUUAUUGUUGUCGUUGUCAUUAUUCUAUUGCUGGUCCUGUUUGAAAUUUCUAGUAUUUUAGAUGUGAAAUUUAUUAUAUUAGGUAUUCAAGGUAUAUAUAUGAUGCUGAAUACAGGGCUUCUGUUGUCUAAAUUUGUUUUAUUUUGUUUGCUUCACAUAUAAUUUUCAAAAACUUUUGAAGAAUGCUGAGAGAAGGAACAAUUGGGCUAAAGAAUCAAAUGUAAUAUUGAAGUUAGUUUGUUAAUUGCCAUCAUUGCUGUCCUGUUAUUUUAAUUUUUGCCCUGUUUGUUCUGUUUCCCUGUUUGCUCCACAUCUAUCUUCCCUAACUUAGAAGGCAAGGAAUUUGUACUUGAAGACGAAUAGCAGUUGCACAAAAUGUGGCAACCACACCAAAUAAUCAGUUUGUUGAGAAAUUUUCAAAGCUUUACUUGAUAAAAAUUUGAAAGUUUUGAAGAGGAUUCAGGUCGCUCUUCUGUGCAGCCUCUGGAAUAAGAGCUGUGUCACUGUUGAAAAGUUUACAUGCUGAGAGGCUUCCAUCUUCAUUGUUCUACUUAUGCUUUACUUCAUCUUCACCGUGUCACUACAAGGUUAAGGCAGCUACAGUUAUGACGGAGAAGGAUCAUUCCCUGAUUUUGGCUGCUUCAAGUUAGUUGGGUUUGGUGAACCAAGUUGUGUCAGGAUUAGCUUAUAAGGGCCCACAUGAUUUCAGACGAGCCUGAGCUUUUGUCUCUCCCUCAUCCAUCUCAACACACUCAAUCUUCAUGUGGCUUUUGCCCGCCAAUCCACUAGCUCCAGCUUCCUGAAAAUGUAAAACAACUACUAGUAUUAUGGUCAGUGAUCGCUGUCAGAUUGAUUGGAUUAAUUAUAAUUACAGAUCAAACUGUUGAAAUUCAAUUUAACAGAUACACACGCCUUGGCGCGUUUCCAAGUUUCGGCAACGGUGAGAGGACCGUGUUCCUUGACUAUGGCAAACAUAACCCUCGUAAUUCUCUGAGUUUGCUCCGGUGGAGUUUUUGAGAUCUAUGGGUUUCAUCUUUGGUUUCGGCUUCGUCGACAAAUAUCUCACAAACAUUCUGCAUUCAAGAAACAACACAACUCCCGCUCUAAAUGUAUUUUAUACACUUUCAAACGCACCGUUUUGAUUUUUGUUAUAAACAUGACGCCGCCAUUUUUAUUUUUUAUUUUUUUUUUGAACAGGCGUAGCACUACUGUUUUCAGUAAUUUUGGGAUGUGUAGCACUACUGUUUCUUUUUAAUCCUUUCCUUUUAUCUUUUAUAGCCAUCUUCCAUGUUAUUAGGAGGAGUGGUUUUUACUAUUUUAAAAAAAAUUUGAUCAAAUUAAACUUUUGAUCAGAGUUCAUAACAAAAAUCAAAACGGUGCAUGACAUCGAGAUUAUGAUGAAUCAAAUUGAACUCCCAGUACGUUAGUUCAUAAAAAAUGCUUUUCUUCUUCCAAGUAAUCUUAUCAUUUCCUUCAUUUUAUUCACUCUCCUCUUUUCAAGUCUUCAAUCUUACACUCGGUAAGUAAAAUAUUCAACUGCUUUUUCACUUCAGUUCCGGACAACCGAGAAGGUGCUUGUCUCUACUCUCCACUCCCUAUUCUCUAGUUUUAUCAAAAGACACUAUUUUCGAAACCUAUGAUUCGUUGGUUAAAAUCGACGGUAACCCAGUGACAAAAUUUUCUAUUAUGUAUCAACCAAUUAGAUCUAGUGUUUUGUUGGCAAACAAGAAAUGCUUAUUUACCUUUAAUAGUCCACCCAAACAAGUUGGCAUUUGCUAGAAAGUCAGAGAUAGUCCAUAACAAUGCUGCAUGUAACUUGAACAUUUGAUUACGUGAUGCAUCGUGUAUCAUUCCAACCAUACUAUCAUCAGCACCCGAGCCAUGACUAACCUGUUUCUUAGUUAGAUUUCAAAGAUGAAGAUGGCUUACCCUGCAAUAUCCAGCUUUAAUACUUUAACCAAAAACCAUUUAUAAUGAUAUGGUCUCCUGCCACUUCCCUUAUAACGAAAUAUCGAUUACGACACUUCUUACAAGGACAAUAAAUACUUGUAUCACCAACAACAUUCUCAAAUGCAAAAUCUAGAAAUUUUUCAACCCCAUUGGUAUAUGACUUGGAUAUCUAUUUGGCAAACCAACCCAACUCUUGUCCAUGACUAUCUCCCUUUAAUGCACUACAAAAAUUAGUUAAAUAAAUCAUUUUAGUUCUUCAUUUCUACUACUAAACAAGAUAUUUUCAUGUGUGCACAGUUUUGGAAUAUAAUGAAAAAAUCAUUAUACAAUUUUAUGGUUAAUUUCGUUAGAAUAUUUAUAUAGAUGAAAGGAAGCAAAGCCAAAAGAAUCAGAGAAAAAGAUGUGAAAAUUAAAGUAUAUAUACAAUAAUAAUUAAUGUAAAAAAAAUGUUUCCAAUACCUUGUGCAAAGAAAUAUCCUCACCCACUGCUGAGAACUUCACUUGGCUAUCAAUUACAGAUAUAUAAAGCCUGUUACCUUAAAAAAAAUUAGGCCAGCCAGCUGAAGCAUACUUAUAAACCAACAUUGGAGAUAGUACUCCAUUUAUAAACAAAAUUACAACUUUACAAGCUCAAAACCAAGUCAACUCAGCAAAACCAUUACCGAUUACAUCCAUCCAACUCAGCUCCUCCACUCCCAUCAAUGCAUCCAACAUUCCCUUCAUAUUUACAAAAGGUAAGUGGUUCUAUAUAUCCCACUCAAGAAUGCAUAAGUUUCUUCAAUCUCAAGUAUCUAGAGUUUUCUUCUAUGUUUAUAGAAAUUUCAGAAGAAUCUCCCUAUAAUUCUUCAAGUACAUGACAUAGAUAUAUGAGUGUUUAUGUGCUAUGCCAAAACAACACAUAGUAUGUACCCAGAGACCAUGAGGAGCAGCUACUAAGAAACCCAUUUUUACAUCGGAAAAAAACUUCAUGUACUAACCAAUGAGUAGUUGUUAAAAGCCAAUGAAUAAUUUUAUAAGAAAUCAACAAUAAUGUUGAAAAAAAAACCAAACAAAAAUAAUAAAGCCAAUGAAUAGAUUAAGGCUCUUUAAGGUCUAAUAAACUAAUCAAACUAAGUUGUGGGUAAAGGCGAAUAUGUUUGUUUGGUCAAUAAUAAGCUCAACAAAUCACUAAUAAUCACCUAAUCACUUUUCCUUAUGCUAUGCAAUGUAAUGGCCUGGGUAAUGGCUGCAAGGCAGGCAAUAACUAGCUAGCCAGUUAUGAUAGUGGAUUAACUUAACCUACUGGAAAUCUGAAGACCAAAACGAAGAAGCUUUGACGAGAACUAGAAUAGGAACGUUCAUACCCAAAACUAAUAUAUAUGAUUAAGAAACUUGAUUAAAUGUAUAAUUUUGUUUGCCGCAAUUUAAGAGAACUUUCAAAAGAUGCUAAGGUACACCAAAUCCCACUAUUCCAUACUCGUAAACACAAAAAACCAUGGCAAAAAUUAAUUACUAUAUCAAAUAAAAUAGGUCGUAGGACAUUGAGAUUAGGAAAACAUGAUUUGUAUACUGUAAAAUAACUAUAUCUGCAUAGUCAACUAUAUUUCUGUUAGAACUCUAAAGUUUUCCAUUAAAUUUUUUUUCCCUCUUAAGUAAACCACUUAACUGAAAUGCUUAAGCCAAUAUUGACAAUCAUAGACAUACAAGUAUUAUUAAGCUCGUUCAAGUGAAAUGAGCAUUAUUUUACAUAUCCUUUAGGUUUUUAAGUCAUUUAGAAGUCAUUCAUGUUAAAAAAUUUCUUCAUAUACUUUCAAUAUAAUUAGUACCUGCACAAUUAAUUAAUUAAAUAAAUCUGUUUCAGCUGGCACAGGAACUUAAUUGAUCAGAGCUAGUAGUCAUAGCUAGGACUUGAACGGGGCACCUUUCAAAGUUCAAGAGGAGCAUCUGAACAGAAUGAAAGCAUAUAACUUAUCAGACAAUAUAACAAGCACUUGGUGAGUAUACAAGAUAAACUAAAACAAGUUAUCUAGAAAAUGAAACUAAAACCCAAGCUCCGCUAUUCAUUGUAGAAGCUUUAAACAUAAAAUUAAAGUAAUUCUAAUUGCAAAACAUUAGAAUGGAUGUUGAAAUUAAAGCUAAAUUCAAUAGUAAUUCAAAUGAAUCCAUUUGAACUUUGUUAAUUCCGCAGAACAAAAUUAAUUUGAGUGAGCAAACUCACCAAUGGAACAAGAACACUGGGGCUUCAACUUGUAGGAAUAAAAAAAGGAAAAAUAUUGCUGGCGGGACAAAAAUUGACAAUGACGGCUAAAAUACGAAUUAUAAAAAAAAACCAAAAUCUAUAAUUACAAGCUAAGAGAAGAAACUCAUAAUCACAAGCUUACCUCAAAAGAUGAAGGGAGAAUACGAUGAAGAAGAAGAUGGCCGGUGUUUUACGCCGUUCGCCGGCAACCAGUUAGGUUUACGAUGGUGGCUAGUCCAGCGAAUAGUUUUGUAACUGGAAAUAAAUUUAAAAUUCUAAAAUAGUAGGAUACCGAACGGCUCUUUACCGUCACGUGGUUAGUAACAUAUGCGACAGCAGUGUGGCUGUCACAUAAAGGGUAACAAAAGCAACUCGGGUUUACAAAGCUAGAAGUUAGUGAUAUACGUAAUGGCUUUGUUUGCAUUCACAUUAGGGGUCACAUAUACCCUAUUUUCUUGUAGUACAUGGUAAAUUCUAUUUGAAAAUUGCUAAGUAUUUUAGAUUUGUACGAAUUCAUUUUUGUGUGCUCGUUGAAUAAUAAUGUAUAAUAAAUUAAAUUUUUGGUGUAAUUUUCACAAUAUUGUAUUAUAAAUAUGUCUCGUUGAGAGGUUUUGAAACCGUUUUGAUUUAUCAUAAUUGAUAUUUCCACAAUUACAAAAGAUGCCAGAGAAAAUUUGAUUAUCUUAAGAAAUGAGUGCAUGAGAUAUGAAAUCAACCAUACCAUAAAAUCAAAUUUUAUCAUGUCAUCCUUCCUUGUUCAAAUUUAUGGAAACGAUAAUCAAAUGCAUCCAUGAACUAGUAUAUUCCGACAUAGGUACCAUCAAAUUAUUGCUAUGUCAUACUUAUAAAUUUUAAUAACAACAAUUGGGCCAAGCAUAUGUUGGGCAUUUGAAGAUUUAUAAGCUCCAUCCUUGAAAAAAUAAGGCUUGACUAUUCUCAAUAUAAUUCUUUUUGUUUUAAGUUCUUAAUUAAGCUUUCUUGCUUGUUUUCAAGAGCCAGUAUUGUAAUGAUCGACAAAGAUGAUUUGCAUUUAUUGCACUUGGCAGUUAUGUGUCACUUAUUAAUUAGAUUUAAAUUUUAUAAAUUAAUUAAGUUGAUUAGUACUUUAUGUUGAUGCAGAAAUCUGGUCAAGUCGGUUGUUGACUCAAUACCACAUCCUCGCGUCAGCAUUAAAUUUGUUUGGUGGAGAAGCGGCUUGUUAAUCUCCAAGAAAAUCCUCUAACCACGAGCAGAUAAUCCAUGAGCAGAUGAUCCAUGAGCUGCUAAUCAGUGAGCACCAUGAGCAGAUGUUCUAUGAGUAGAUAAUGAAUGAGAAGAUGAUCCAUGAGCAGAUAACCCGCAAGCAUGCAAGCACAAAGAACAGUCAGGGGGCACCAUAAGCUUUUCCAGCGAAAACCCUCUGACGCUCAAGUCAGGGAUUUGGGUCUACUUAGAAAAAUCCGUACCACAAUUCACGCGGCUUAAUUAUGAAUACUUUAAAAAAAAGCUUUUAAAUAAAUUUAUGGAAAAAGAAUAGAAAAUAAUCAAUCUUAAAAAAAGAAAUCAUGGCAGAAAGAGAAGUUUCCCAGUGAUAGAGAGAAAAAGAUCCCAUGGGUUCAGUCGCCCAGAGAGAGAGAGAGAUAAAAAGAAUCCCCCCAUUUUCCUCCCUUUCCCAGAGUUUUUAUAGGAAAUUAUAAUUGUUUUUUUCCUCUCACCUAAAACUCUCAAGAAGACUACUAAUUUUCAGCCCGCUAAGAAUAUGGUCCCUAAUAUUUCGAAGAAAAUAAGUGAGAUUUGUUUUGACUGAGUCGUGCUUCCUGGUAACCUCCUGGUCGAGAUAAUCUGCUCGAGGUCACCAAAUAAUCUCAAGGUCGAGGUGAUAUGCUCAAGGUGGCCAAAUAAUCUCUUAGUCAAGAUGAUGUGCUCGAGAUCACCAAAUAAUAUAUUGGUCAAGGUGAUGUGCUCGAGGUGACCAAAUAAUCUCUUGGUAGCCUAUCAACUAUUUGUUCACUUUUUACUUUGAGAAGAGCACAAUAAUGUAUGAGUAAAUACCUUAUCUUGGUCACCCUAUUUCAUUCCCCGAAUACUUUAUAUGUGCACUAAAUGAUAGAUACUGCAUAAAUUGGGACACUAGUAACUAUGUAUCCAAACUAUGUAAUAUUUUUUUGUCACAAACUCAAUCAUGGCCUGAUAUUCUAAAUAUUAUUUAGAAUACCAUUUCAAGCCCCAUGGGGGCUCCUUCCAUUUAAAAAAAAAAGUAUGAAAUAGAUGUAGAUUUUUCUUCAGAUAUUAUUAGUAAGAAAGAGUACCUUUGGUGGCAAUGGUCCGGGAUGAUUUGGGAUUUGACAAUUCCACCCUCAUCUUAAUUAUAAAAUGGAAUGUAAGUAAUAAGUAUGGAUAAACUCAUCCUGCUUAUAUAUUGGUGAUCAAAAUUAGGACCAAUCUCAAACCGCUCACAAUUAUGUCCUAUCCUAACUAUCCUGAAUGUCUCGAAUGCCUCCCUUAAUUAUCAUUUUAGUUCUCAUUAACAUAUUAGCAAAAUUUCCAUAUAUUAAAAAUAUUAGGGUCUGACUAUCUAUACUUAAAAAAUUACUAUGAACACUCAAUUAUUUUAUUCCCUCAUCUAAUAAAUUUAAAAAAUUAAGUUUUAUUUUGCACACUUUUUAAAUAACAAAAACAUCUUUACAUGAACCUAAUAAGUUUCUUUAAAAAAAUUAAAUCAAUUAUUUUUAUUUAUUCAAAAUACUAAUAAAACUAUUCAGCAGACCGUGAAAUAAAAUUUUUAAGAAAUUUAGCAUAUACAACAUUGAAAUCAAUUUAUGUUUCAAAUAAAUUCUUUAAUACAAUCAUAGUAAUUACUUAUUGUUUAUUAAAGAAUGUGUUCACGAUUGUUUUUAAUUUUGCGAAAUCAAAAAAGAAGAAGAAGAAGUUUGGGGUUUAAGAUACAUUUAAUUUUUAGUGUAACAGUUGUAUCAAACAAAAUAAAAACUAAAACAUCCAAAAGUUACAAGUUCCAACACCUCCCAAAUAAAGGCCCGUUAGGAUUGUUUUUGGGAAGCUCAAAAGUGAUUUUGAAAACUAAAAGCUAAUUUUUAGUGUUUUAUAAAUUUUUUUAGUAAUUACUUUUGGAAAAAUCAUUUCAUCAUACAGUGGAUUUUAAAAAGUAUAAAUAGUUUUUCAAAAUUUGAUUUUGAAAAUCACUUUUAUACUUAAUCCAAUUUUAUAUAUAUAUCCUCAUUAUAUAAUAAAAAUCCAAAAAUAUCUUUAUUAAUUAAGAAAUAAAAUUAUUAAGUUUAAAGAGAUUAUUAUUAUUAUUACCAAUUAUAUUGAGAUAACAAAAUAAAGAAUAAAAUUUAAUAAUAUAAAAUAUUUAUUUUAGUUAUCAAUAAUUAUAUGUACAUAAUAAAAAUAUUUUAAAUACAUGUCUGUAAAUGUGUAAAUAAAUUUUAUUUAGCAUUAUGUCCAAUUUAGUUAUUUACAUUCUUGGACCAGUUUAACAAUAAAAUUUAUGAAAUAUAUACGACUGCUUUUAAAACUAAAAGUACUUUUAAAAAUAAAUUUUACUAAAUGUUCAGCUGAUUCUCUUCACGAUUGAUCAAUUUCUACAACAUAGCUAACUGUAAUUAUUUUAAAAUUACAGGAUUACCAAAAUGACCCUAAAUCAAACCAAUAAAAAUGUCUAAAAGUAACAAUAAAAAACCAAAGCAAACGUACAAAAAUUCAUGCAUAAAUUGAUAAUCAACAAAAACAUCCAAAAGUUCAACUCCAAGUUUUCUGUUCAAUUGACAUAACCCUUAAAUUUCAAAAGGCAUAAUCAAUUUUGUGUCUAAUCGUAUAAAAUUAGAAAAUUAAAGAAUAUUAUAUACUGAUAAUUAAAUAAUAUGCAAUUAAUAAUGUUAAAAAAAUAAUGUCAAACAUAUUGUCAACUAAAAUAAUUGGGAGAAUUGGAGUUCCAAGAUAAAUUCUUAUCUAGUCCCAAAUCAACAAUUGGAAUUAAUUUCAAUCUUAAACUCUGACUGCCUUUAAAAUUGGUCCUAAUAAUAUGGACAAAUCCCAUUCUGAUCAGUAUGGAAUUCCAACCCCAUAUCUUUGGGUCUCGAUGGUGUUUAGUUGGAGGGAUGAGACGGGAAGGAAAUGAAUUCAAAUUCCUUUCACUUUUCUGUUGUUUGGUUUUCACUAAUAUAUGGGAAUUCAAUUUCUAUUGAAAUUUAAUUUUCAUCAAAUUGUGCAUUUUGGAUUCCUCACCGAAGGUUGUAAAAUUCAAAUGCCCCUCCUAUUAGAAAUCGAGUCAUCCAAAAUUGCUCCUCUCAAAUAUUUAUCAAUUAUUUUAAUUCUUAUCAAAUAAUUCUUAUUUAUGAUUUUAUUUUUUCAAUUUAAAUUGUCACUAAGGAUUCUUGACUUACUACCGUAGAAAAGCAAAAAUACAAUUUAUAGAUUAUGAUAAUUCUAUGUAUUGUAUGAGAAUUGCAAUCCAAAAAUUUUCCCUACUAAACGAUUUUCAAUCGACAGCAAAUACAUGCUUUCAAAUUUAGUCAGCUGAACUAAUUUUUGUUUUUUUGGAUUAAUUUUGAAAUGUUGCAUCCAUAACGAGCUGCCAUUGAAAUUAAUGUUAACAACAAAAGUAGAAGCAAAAGGAGAAACAAGCGUCAUGUGCAGUACCCACUGUGAACUACUCACAUUGGAAUAAGUUGUUGGCAGCUGGUCUGUUUGGCCAUUAAUAUUUUGACUAUUCAGUGUUGAUUUUGAUUCCACUAAAUUAAGCCAUCAAAAAUUGCUGGGAAGGGAGUAAUAUCUAUUCAUAAUUGGAAAUACUCACCGUACAAUGAAGGUUAGAGCUGCAUGUAUCAUUUAUUAUUAACAACUAACUUAUGAAAUGCUUUGAAUGUACCUCCUAGGUCGUAUUUACUAUACUGGUUAGGAGAAACUACAACAUUAAAUUAUUUGAUAAAUACUUAUUAUAAUUUUAAAAAUAUAUUAAUUUUAUCCUUAACUUUAUGAUAAAAAAUUUAAAAUAUAUAUAAAUCAUUCAUUUUAUAAUCUUGAACUUUAUUAAAGUUUCAAAAACUAUUACUCUAUAUGAUAUAAUAGUGUGAUGUUAUUACACUAUUAUACCAUAUAAAAUAUAUUUGCUUUCUUAAAUUUUAAUAAAGUCUAGGUUUUGGAGAGAAGCACUUUAUAUAUAUGUAUAUAUAAUGAUUCUCCAGUGACGACAUCCUCAUUUUAACAAAGUGAUGAUAUCGCUAACAAACUAAAUAACACACAUUUCAAUACACCAAUAGAUUAAAAAAAUCCAGUUCUUAAUGUGUUAAAAUAUAUGUCUUUUGUAUAUUAUUGAUAUUUUCACUUUAACAAAGUGAGAGUCUCCUCACUAUAGAAGUACUUUAUAAAUAUUCUUUGUAUUUUUGUGAAAAUUAUUAUUUAAAAGUCAUAUCUUACCAAAGACUAAUAGUUUUUAUUUUAUCAUUACGCCGUACUUUUCAAGACAGAACACCUCAAUACCAUGACCUUAAUUUUUGAACUCUGCUGUACAAAGUUGUUGGUUGGUCUAUUUACUUUAGUGUUUCAAUUAUUUGUCGUUUGAACUGAGAUGAUCCGAAUAAAGCUAUAUAUCAAUAAUUUCCUAGUGAAACUUCGGGAAAAAAUAAAAAUCCUCUCAUACAGUAGCAUUAUUUUAAUUCUCAGCUUGAUUAUGUUUUGAGUUAACUUAUAGAUUAUUUGAAAUAAAAAGAAUAUAAUUUAUUUUUUCUAACUAAAUAUUUUAAAAUAAUUUUGUUAAUUUAAUGAGUACUUAUACACUUACAACGUUAUGAUAUAAAAUUAUAUCCCAGAAUACUGCUAUGUGUUUCUUAGUAAUUAACUUUUUAUACUAUUAUUAAUGAGAUAAUUAACUUCAACACCAAUAAACAAAUUUUAUAUUAAUACAUCCUCUAGCUUUAUUAUCAAAUAAUCAUAUGUCAUAAUCAAAGCAAGCUACCAGAGCCUACCACUAAAAGAUUUAUUGAAGGGUUUUCCAAGUUUGAAAAUGUUAGUAGCAUUGGCAAAUGGCAACUUCCAGGAAUCUUCCGAUCAAAAUAGUUGAAUCAACUAUUCAAUGAAAUACGCAAAUGGCACAAAGGACCCCCACCACCCAUUAAGUCACGUCAUUUAUUUAUUUGUAAAAGAAAAAUAAGGUUCCGAUCGGAAGAAAUCAGCACCUUAUAAUGCAUGAUUACUCGUAUGUCAAGUUUACCGAUUAUAAGUCAUCAUCACAAUAACUUUGGACUUUAAUAUUUAAGUCUCUGUUUGGGACCAAUGUAUGGCAGUUGGACAACACAUCACUCAAUUAUAGAGUGUGAAAUAUUGAUAUUGUUCUUAUUAUUUUAUGUAAUGUAUAAACGUUUCCUUUUAUUUUUGUUUGAUUAUUUAUUUUUUAUACUUAAUAAAUAUAAAUUUAUUUUUUUAAUAUUUAACAAAUAGUCACGGCUAGACAAUAUUGUCAGAUAUUACAAACGAUGACCCAAAUCCUUUUAUCUCACAGAAAUAAUUUAAAUUCACAACAACUAUGACGUUACAUUAUCAAAUAAACACUAAAUACUUUGAUGAUUAUAGUUUAUCUUUCAUUCAUAGCAUGAAGAGUUUGAAAUAUGAUCUCAAAACAAAGAGUACGACAUGUCAUGUUCGGUUUUCAGAAGAAGUGUACGCCAUGUCAUCCGAAAACUAAAAGGCACGUAUGACAACCAGACGCUGUCAUCUCUGAUUUGCUUACACUUUAAGGAUGAAUUCUGGGUUUUGAGUGACAAUUAAAAGCUAGAGUGAGAAUUAGAGAGACAGUUAUAUAUUCUUAUUUAUUCCUAGCACUUGCUAUAUUGUGUAGGUCUUUUGUGACUCCAAUAAUAAAAACGCUCAUAUUAUUUUUUAUAGAGCAAUAUUUGUUAAAGCAUGAAGAACGGCAGAAAUAUUGUAAAUCCAUCUCAACUUUUUUGUUUAUUGUGGUCGUUGAUAGCGCUAGCUGUUUUCUUAUUUAACUUUGUUCCCUUUUGCCAUCAGCUCUUAGCAUUUUCAUUGGAUCAAGCGACCAUUUUCUUGCUUCAAUUUCUGAUCUCAAAAGCACUUUGACUCUCUUCAGUUACACUGAUUUUCUCCUUGUUUUGUACACAUAUCUUUUCUCUUUCCCAUUUAGCUUUGAUUUGCUUCUACUUGACUAUCAAUUGCCCAGUCGUUGAACCUGUUGUAUUUUUAUUUUGUUCACUUCAAAUAGACCAAAAAAAACAAAUGUUGGAUAAAAGCCAAAAAUCUAAUUUGAUUUUUAAUAUGAUUUAGCUAAGAUGUCCAAUUUAAUGCUAAGAGUAAUGUUAAGGAUCCCAAUAAUUGAAUCUCAACUGAUAUGAUAGUCAUUUAUUAGAUGAUCGAAAUAUUAAUUUUACUAAUUAUGAAAUUCAUUAUCUAAUAAAAUAAUGACACAUAACAAUUGGGUCUCAAGUUAGAAUUCUACUAUUGAAAUUCCUAACAUUAUUCUAAUAUUAAAAAUUCAUCAAAAUAAUAUCUAUUAUCUAAAAAAAUAAAAUAAAAAUCUAAAACCAUAAAUUUACUCUUCGAUCUUCGUGAUUUGACUGAUUUCUUUAUAUUUUUAUCGGUCAUUUUAUUGGUACUGGUUUGAUUUUCUGACUAAGCUACUGUUUAGUUCUAAGUUUUGGCAAUUACCCGGACUGCUCUGUUUUGUGUAUCAUCGACACAAUAAGGCUUAGCAUUUAAAAGUCGGCAGCCACGCAACUUCUUGGAAUCUUCGUGCAAGUGUUGGAUAUCGACUGUUCGAUAAUGAUGGCAGCAUUUGACUGGAGUGUAAUUGACGCAGUGGAAUAAGGAUCACAUGUCUCAAACUUUUGGUGAAGAUAUUGUCAGAUAUUUUAUUGAUCAAGUAAGGAUCACAAAUAAUGGAUAUUGGAUGAGGAUCACAUGUUUUAUGGGACUUAACUAUGUUGCAACAGUGAUACUAUACCAUUGUUUUUGUCAUUAUUCAUCGCGGCCAUUGGAUGGUAACUUAUUUAAUCUAAUGGUUUAAAUUAGUUAAUGGAGAAAUGACGCGGCAACUUACAACCCUUGCAGCCGGUUCUGUAUUGAUCUAAUAGCAUGGAGUAGUAAGCGUGCGUUCCAGAACCUUGUCACUGAUCAUGAAGAACAUUGAUCCAAUAGCAUGGAGUAGUAAGCGUGCGUUUCAAAGAUGCUAAGAUACACCAAAUCCCACUAUUUCCAUACUCAUAAAAACAAAAAGCCACGGCAAAAUGAAUGACUAUAUAAAAUAAAAUAGGUCAUAGGACAUUGAGAUUAAGGCAACAUGAUUUGUAUACCAUAAAAUAACUAUAUCUGCAUAGUCAAUUAUAUUUCUGUUAGAACUCUAAAGUUUUCCAUUAAAUUUUUUUCCCUCUUAUGUAAACCAUUUAACUGAAACGCUUAAGCCAAUAUUAAAAAUCAUAGACAUACAAGUAUUAAUAGGCUCGUUCAAGUGAAAUGAGCAUUAUUUAUUUAGGUUUUUAAGUCAUUUAGAAGUCAUUCAUGUUAAAAAAUUUCUUCAUAUACUUUCAUUAUAAUUAGUACAUACACAAUUAUUUAAAUAAAUAAAUCUGUUUCAGCUAGUACAGGAAAUUAAUUAAUCAAAGCUAGUAGUUAUAGCUAGGAUCUGAAUUACAGAGUUCAAGAGGAGCAUCUGAACAGAAUGAAAGUCCUUUAUAGAAAUGGUAAUGUCGCUUUACCAUUUAGAUAUCUUCUAGAAAGUACUUACAUCACGCAAUUAGGGACCGAUAUUUAAUGACAAUAACAAUCCAAAAGAUUGGGAGGGCCAACUAAAGGAAUAAAUCACUCAACCAAACCCUUAGGGACAGAUAGUUAAUGACAAUAAUAAAAGAUCCAUUCCUAUGCAUACGAGCUUAGUCUAUUAUGUUAAAGAGGCACCCUGUUGUUCGAUAGUCAGCACAACAAGUGAUCAAUGAGGUUGUUGCACAGACUGAUGACAUGGAAUUACGGCUCAGCCCAAGUGGUUCUGUGAUCUGUAGUAGACAAGCUGAGUAGUGGGAUUGGUUAGCUUGAUUUGCUGUGAAUAGUAGCUUAGUUAACAAGUUUGUUAGAUUACUGCAUAUAAAGCAAGCGAACUCUCUGUGUAUUCAUACUGUGAAGUAAAUCAAUCGAUUCAUUUUCUCUCAAAUCUCAAUGGUACUUUCUCUAUUUAAAUUUUAAAAUACCUUUAAUUAGGAUUAAUUAGAUUUUUCGCUUAUUAGGAUAAAAGCGAGAAAAAAGCACAACUACAAAAUUUGAUUGCAAAGUGUAAACCUACAAUUUUUUUGGGUAAAACAUGGAUAGUAAAACAUACAAUUAAAGAAGGAGAUAAAAAGCGUUUAUAUUUCACCUGAUUAGUUUCAGAAUUUGAGUGGUCUCAUCCCCACCAGCCAUUGAAUCGUUGAUAUGAUCACAUGCAUUGUUUUUAGAGGCACACAGGAGAGGUCUAUUUAGCACAACUAGCGUGACAAACGUUUUGCUGCACUCGUAGCAGACACUUGUACGACCGAUCGGGAUGGGUGAUUUCUGUUUUGCAACAACUUUCUGAAAAGUUAUGAAUGAUCACCUUCAACUUUUUUGGCAUCUUCUCUUCCCUGGCAUAAAUUAUAUGUGUUAUGAAUGAAGCACCCUUCAGAGUUCAAGAGGAGCAUCUGAACAGAAUGAAAUCACUUUGUAGAAAUGGUAAUGAUGCUUUACAUCUACAUGCUCUUACACAAUAUGAACUUUCAUUUAUUCAAGAACAUAACACUACCCCAAGCUCUUAUUCUACAAGUCAAUUCAGUUUGUAGAUGCACGCCAUUGUAAAAACUUUUGUAUUAUAAUUUCUGAAAAUAGAACGUAACAUUAUUAAUAUAGAAUCAGCAAUGUAUAUAACUUAUCAGACAAUAUAACAAGCACUUGGUGAGCAUACAAGAUAAACUAAAACAAGCUUUAAACAUAAAAUUAAAGUAAAUCGAAUUGCAAAACAUUAGAAUGGAUGUUGGAAUUAAAGCUAAAUUCAAUAGUAAUUCAAAUGAAUCCAUUUGAACUUUGUAAAUUCCGCAGAACAAAAUUAAUUUGAGAGAGCAAACUCACCAAUGGAACAAGAACACAGGGGCUUCAACUUGUAGGAAUAAAAAAAUAUUGCUGGCCGGACAAAAAUUGACAAUAACGGCUACAAUACGAAUUAAAAAAAAAAUCAAAAUCUAUAAUUACAAGCUAAGUGCGAGAAGAAACUCAUAAUCACAAGCUUAACUCAAAAGAUGAAGGGAGAAUACGAUGAAGAAGAGGAUGGCCAGUGUUUUACGCCGUUCGCCGGCAACCAGUUAGGUUUACGAUGGUGGCUAGUAACACGGAGUCCAGCGAAUAGUAGCAUACCGAACGGCUCUUUACCGUCACGUGGUUAGUAACAUAUGUGACUGCAGUGUGGCCGUCACAUAAAAGGUAUCGGGGUUACAAAGUUAGUGAUAUACGUAAUGGCUGCUUUUGCAUUCACAUUAGGGGUCACAUAUACCCUAUUUUCUUGUAGUACAUGGUAAAUUCUAUUUGAAAAUUGCUAAGUAUUUUAGAUUUGUACGAAUUCAUUUUUGUGUGCUCGUUGGAUAAUAAUUUAUAAUAAAUUAAAUUUUUGGUGUAAUUUUCACAAUAUUGUAUCAUAAAUAUGUCUCGUUGAGAGGUUUUGAAAUCGUUUUGAUUGAUCAUAAUUGAUAUUUCCACAAUUGCAAAAGAUGCCAGAGAAAAUUUGAUUAUCUUAAGAAAUGAGUGUACGAGAUAUGAAAUCAACCAUACCAUAAAAUCAAAUUUUAUCGUGUCAUCCUUCCUAUUUCAAAUUUAUGGAAACAAUAAUCAAAUGCAUCCAUGAAUUAAUAUAUUUCGACAUAUAUACCAUCAAAUUUUUGCUAUGUCAUGCUUACAUAUAUAUAUAUAUAUAUAUAUAUAUAUAUAUAUAUAUAUAUAUAUAUAUAUUGAAAUUUUAUUAACACCAAUUGGGCCAAGCAUGUGUUGGUACUUGAACAUUUAUAAGUCCCAUCCUUGAAAAAAUAAGGCUUGGCUGUUCUCAAUCUAAUUCUUUUUGUUUUAAGUUCUUAAUUAAGCUUUCUUGCUUGUUUUCAAGGGCCAGUUUUGUAAUGAUCUGCAAACAUGAUUUGCAUAUAUUGCACUUGGCAUCUAUGCGUCACUUAUUAAUUAGAUUUAAAUUUUAUAAAUUAAUUAAGCUGAUUAAUACUUUAUAUGUGCACCAAAUGAUAGAUACUACAUAAAUUGGGAUACUAGUAACUACGUAUCCCAACUAUUUAAUAUUUGUUUGUCGCAAAUCCAAUCAUGGCCUGAUAUCCUAAAUAUUAUUUAGGAUACCAUUUCAAGCCCCAUGAGGGCUCUUUCUGUUUUUUUUUUUUUUAAAGUAUGAAAUAGAUGUAGAUUUUUCUUUAGAUAUUAUUAGUGAGAGUACCUUUGGUGGCAAUGGUCCAGCAUGAUUUGGGAUUUGACAAUUCCACUCUCAUCUUAAUUAUCAAAUGGAAUGUAAGUAUCGAUAAACUCGUCCAGUUUAUAUAUUUGUGAUCAAAAUUAGGACCAAUCUCAAACCACUCGCAAUCAUGUCCCAUCCUAACUAUCCUGAAUGUCUCGAAUGCCUCCCUUAAUUAUCAUUUUAAUUCUCGUUAACAUAUUAGCAAAAUUUCCAUAUAUUAAAAAUAUUAGGGUCCGACUAUCUAUACUUUAAAAAUUAUUAUGCACAAUCAAUUAUUUAUGCACUCAUCUAAUAAAUUUAAAAAAUUAAGUUUUACUUUCUACACUUUUUAAAAUAACAAAAACAUCUUUACGUGAACCUAAUAAGUUUCUUGAAAAAAAUUAAAUCAAUUAUUUUUAUUUAUUCAAAAUACUAAUAAAACUAUUCAGGAAAAUUUUUAAGAAAUUUAGCAUAUACAACAUUGAAAUCAAUUUAUGUUUCAAGUAAAUUCUUUAACACGAUUUUAGUUAUUACUUAUUGUUUAUUAAAGUAUGUGUUCACUAUUGUUUUUAAUUUUUUUUUUAAUCAAAAAAGAAGAAGAAGAAGAAGAAGAUGUUUGUGGUUUAAGAUACAUUUAAUUUUUAGUGUAACAGUUGUAUCAAACCAAUAAAAACUAAAAGAUCCAAAAGUCACAAGUUCCAAUACCACCCAAAUGAAAGGCCCCGUUAGGAUUGUUUUUGGGAAGUUCAAAAGUAAUUCUAAAAAUUAAAAACUAAUUUUUAGUGUUUUAUAAAUUUUUUUUGUAAUUACUUUUGGCAAAAUCAUCUCAUCGUACAAUAGAUUUUGUAAAAGUAGGGAAUGAAAAGUUUUUUUAAAUCUAAUUUUGAGAAUCACUUUUAUAUUUAAUCAAAUUCUAUAUAGAUAUCCUCAUUAUAUAAUAAAAAUCUAAAAUUAUCUUUAUUAAUUAAGAAAUAAAAUCAUUAACUUUAAAGAUAUUGUUAUUAUUACCAAUUAUAUUGAGAUAACAAAAUAGAGAAUAAAAUUUAAUAAUAUAAAAUAUUUAUUUUAGUUAUCAAUAAUUAUAUGUAAGUAAUAAAAAUAUUUUAUAUACAUGUUUGUAAAUGUGUAAAUACAAUUCAGUCAUUUACAUUAUUGUAUCAGUUUAACAAUAAAAUUUAUGAAACACAUACGAUAGCUUUUAAAACUAAAAGUACUUUUAAAAAUAAAUUUUACUAAAUGUUUAGCUGAUUCUCUUCACAAUUGAUCAAUUUCUACAACAUAACGAACUGUAAUUAUUUUAAAAGGUACAGGAUUACCAAACUGACCCUAAACCAAACCAAGAAAAAUGUUUAAAAGUAAUAAUAAUAAACCAAAGUAAACGUACAAAAAUUCAUGCAUAAAUUGAUAAUCAACAAAAACAUCCAAAAGUUUUACUCCAAGUUUUCUAUUCAAUUGACAUAACACUUAAAUUUGAAAAGGCAUAAUCAAUUUUGUGUCUAAUCCUAUAAAAUUAGAAAAUUAAAGAAUAUUAUAUUCUUAUAAUUAAAUAAUAUGCAAUUAAUAAUGUUAAAACAUAUUGUGAACUAAAAUGAUUGGGAGAAUUGGAGUUCUAAGAUAAAUUCCUAUCUAAUCCCAAAUCAACAAUUGUGAUUAAUUUCAAUCUUAUACUCCGAUUGCUUUUAAAAUUGGUCCUAAUAAUAUGGACAAAUAUCAUUCUGAUCAGUAUGGAAUCCCAAUCCCAUACCUUUGGAUUUCAAUGGUGUUUAGUUGGAGGGAGGAGAGGGGAAGAAAAUGAAUUCAAAUUCCUUUCACUUUUCUGUUGUUUGGUUUUCACAAAUAUAUGGGAAUUCAAUUUUUAUUGAAAUUUAAUUUUCGUCAAAUUGUGCAUUUUGGAUUCCUCACCGAAGGCUGUAAAAUUCAAAUUCUCCUCCUAUUAGAAAUCAAAUCUUCCAAAAUUGCUCCUCUCAAAUAUUUAUCAAUUAUUUUAAUUCUUAUCAAAUAAUUCUUAUUUAUGAUUUUAUUUUUUCAAUUUAAAUUGUCACCAAGGAGUCUGACUUACUACCAUAGAAAAGCAAAAAAUACAAUUUAUAGAUUAUGAUAAUUCUAUGUAUUGUAUGAGAAUUGCAAUCCAAAAAUUUUCCCUAGAAAACGAAUUUUAAUCGACAGCAAAUCAAUGCUUUCAAAUUUAGUCAGCUGAACUAAUUUUUGUUUUUUUUUGGAUUAAUUUUGAAAUGUUGCAUCCAUAACGAGCUGCUAUUGAAAUUAAUGUUAACAACAAAAAUAGAUGCAAAAGGAGAAACAAGCAUCAUGUGCAGUACCCACUGUGAUCUACUCACAUUGGAAUAAGCCGUUGGCAGCUGGUCUGUUUGGCCAUUAAUAUCUAUUUAUAACUAGGUUUUUUUUUUUUUUUUUGAGAAGAUUUAUAACUGGAAAUUACUCACCGUAAAAUGAUGAAAUGCUUUGAAUAUACCUCCUAGGUCGUAUUUACUAUACUAGUUAGGAAAAAUUACAAUGUUAAAUUAUUUGAUAAAUACUUAUUAUAAUUUGAAAAAUAUGUUAAUUUUGUCCUCCACUGUAUGAUUAAUAAUUUAUAAUAUAUAUAUAUAUAUAUAAUUCAUUCUAUAAUCUUGAACUUUAUUAAAGAUAAAAAAACUAUUACUCUAUAUGAUAUAAUAGUGUGAUGUAAUUACACUACUAUACCAUAUAAAAUAUAUUUACUUUCUUAAAUUUUAAUAAAGUCCAGGUUUUAGGGAGAACCACUUUAUAUAUAUGUAUAUAUAACGAUUCUCUAGUAACGACAUUUUCAUUUUAACAAAAUAAUAAUAUCACUAACAAACUAAAUGACACACAUUUUAAUACAUCAAUAGAUAAAAAAAAUACAGUUUUAUUGUGUUAAAAUAUAUGUCUUUUGUAUAUUAUUGAUAUUUUCACUUUAACAAGUGAAGGUCUCCUCACUAUAGAAGUACUUUAUAAAUAUUUUUUGUAUUUUUAUGAAAAUUAUUAUUUAAAACUGUUUUGUGUAUCUUCGACACAAUAAGGCUUAGCAUUUAAAAGUCAGCAGCCACGCAACUUCUUGAAAUCUUCGUGCAAGUGUUGGAUAUCGACUGUUCGAUAAUGAUGGCAGCAUUGGACUGGACUGUAAUUGACACAAUAAAAUUAGGAUCACAAAUAAGGAUGAAACUAUGUUGCAACAAUUGUAGCAUGCCACUAGAUUUUAUCUUUUUUUUUAAUUAAUUACACUGCACUACCUUAUAUUUUAUGAAAAAAUUGAAUAGACAUUAAAAGUUACAAAAUUUUAUAUAUAAAUCCCUUUUUUUGGGAUAAAAUGGCUUUUCAAAAACAUUUGACUGUUAUUAUUAGUAUUAUUUAUUAAUAUCAUUAUUAUUAUAUUAAUAAGAAUAAUAAUAAUAAUAAUAUUAUCAAAAUUUAUUAUUUUAAUUAUUAUGAUUAUUUUUAAUUAAGUCAUUAUUAUUAUUUAUUAAUUUUAUUACUGUCAUUAAUAUUAAUUUUAUUACUAUUGUUAAAAUAUAUUAAUUUUAUUAUUUUAAUUAAUGUUAAUUAUUGUUAUUAUUAUUUUAUUAAUAUUAAUAUCAUUAAAAUUUAUUUGUUUUAUUAUUUUAAUUGUUAUGUUAUUAUUAAUGUCAUCAACAUCAUCAUCAUCAUCUUUAAACUUUAUAGAUUUUUUUGUUUAAAGUAAUACUAUUGUUAUUAUUAUUAUUUUACCUUAAUUGAACAUUAAAUAUAUUUUUAUUUUUAUUAUAAUAAAUAAAAAUAUAAAAUAAAUUAUACUAUCAUAUUAUUUUAUUAUAUCAUAUUAUAUUUAUAUAAAAUAAUUAAUAUAAAAAUAAUAAUUUAAUAUAAUUAAUAAUAAAUUUAAAUAAUGUUAGUAUAAUAUUAAUAUAAAAUUAAUGCAGUACAAUGUAAUACCAAUUACCAAAUGUUGUACAAAUAUUAUUAUAAUUUAUUACUAAUGUAAUAUAACAUAAUACAAUAUACCUUUAUUGAAUAAUGAAAUACAGUAUAGUAUAAUACAAUAUGUGAAAUGGACCCUUAAUUCUUUGAGUGAUGAUAGUUUAAAGGGAUGUAGAGAAAGUAAAAAUAAUCAUGGUAGAGUCUUUUGCAGUGGUUGAUUAGCCAUCAUCAAAAAAUUUAAGGUAACAUAAUAAAAAUUAAGCAAUCACCCUACAUUUAAAAGAGUAAUUAGAAACCAAUAAAUUUACUAUUCAAUUAUUUUUAAUCAAGAAUAAAUAAUAAAUUAUCAUUACAGCAAGAUUCACAAGCUCAAAUAUCUAUAAAAAAAAGUUAUAAUUCUCAAGAAACAUAAAACUCAAAUGCUUUUGAAGUAUUCUUAAAAAAAUUAAACUAACUUCCUUUUAUGCUAUUCUUUAUUUAUAUGACUUUGUUGGGCUACAUUUAAAAUUUUAAAAAAUUAAAAUGGUUUCCUUAAAUUUCAAGAGUAAUAUUAGUAUUUUAUAGGUAAAUUAACAUAUUUUAUAUACAAAUAAACUAACAUGUCAACUAAUAUUAAAAACAAAAAUGUAAUAAAAAAGUAAAGUUUUGUAAUAUUAAAAUAAUAAAAUUUUAGAACCUAAUACUUUUUACAGUUCCUUAUUUUGAAAUUUCACCUUUUUUAUUUUAUAAUUUUUUGAAGUAUUACAAGGUUAAUAACCUAUAUUCUUUACACAUAUUUAGUUUAUUUAUUCUAUAUUAAAUAUAAUGGGUCCGCCUACCUUGCAACAGUUGCACGGUACCCCAAAUUUUAUAUUUUUCUAAUUCAGCUGAUGAAUCUAAUAUCUAAAGUGUUCAACGGUCAAGGCCGGCUCAACCAUAUUUGGGGCCCUAGGCAAAUGAUUUUAAUUAAUUCUUAUAAAAAAUUAGGGUAAUCUAUGAAAUUUUAAUUCAAUUAUAACAUUUUUACUUAUUGUUCUUUAACUCAAAUUACAUCUUUUUUACUACUCCUUUUCUAGAUUAAACUAAUUUUUCUAUUUUAUAAAGUUUUUCGAUAUAGUUUUAUUUCAAAAUAGAUAAAACAAGCAUACAAAAAAAAAGAGUAGAUGAAUAAAAGAAUAUAUUGAAAAAAAUAAGAAUAAAUAAAUAAAUAACACAACUAAUUAAGAGAAUAAUAAAAAGAUAAAAUCUGGAAUUUGAGAUGAAAUCAUGAAUUAACUUUAUCUUUAUAUUAAUUGUUUGUGGAUUUGAGUAAUGACCAAUAGCCAUAGAGAAUAGAGAAAAUUAUUAGAUUUUUUUCUUCUUCUUGAGUGGAAAGUAGAGGAAGCAUGAUUUUUUCCCUCUCUCUCUUUCUUUCUCUCAAACACUAACAACAUAUCGUGUCUUGAUUAUUGGAGGAAAAAUUUAAUAGAUAAGUAAUAAAAUAUGGGGUUUUUAUAGAGGUUUAAAAUGAAUAUAAUACUUUUUAAUUAUAACAUAUUAAUUCUAACAAUUAAAUAGAGAAUUUGUAGGAUUGAAACUAUUAAUUUAUUGGUUUUGUAGGAAUUAAAACUACUAAGUACUACAUUAAAUAAACUUUAUAGAAAUUUGAUAGUUUAUUUAGGAAAAAGAUAAUUACAAAAUAAUAACAAAUUAAAUGCAUAAUAAUGACUUUUAAAUUCACUUUUCCCUUUUAUAUACAAAAUAAUCAUCUUACGGGGCCUUAAUGUAAAGUGGGGCUCCAGACAACCGCUUAAGUUGCCUAGAGGUCGAGCUGCUACUGUCAACGGUUGAGAUGUGUUCAAUUGGUUAUUAACACUUAAGUCUCUACUGUUUAUUAUAAUAUCAUAAAAACAAAAUUUUUAAAAUAUUUAUUUAUAUAACUCCUAUUGUUUUAAGUUUUUUAAAGUUUGAUCCAUUAGCCAAGCUUGAUCAUAAAAAUGAUUGAUGGUGUAAAGAUAAUAAUGUAAUAUCACAUAAAAUUUUUUUUAAACACAUGAAAAAUUGAUAAAUGUAAAUAUUGUUUUUUUUGGUUAUAUAAUAUAUUAACUUUAUUAUUUUAAUUAAUGUUAAUUAUUGUUUUUAUUAUUUUAUUAAUAAUAAUAACAACUAAUUUGUAUUUUACUUUUAAGGUUGAUUUGAUAAAUUUAAAUUUUUCUUUACAUUAACAUAUCUAAGAAUAUUGUUGCAAGCAUGUUAUUAUAAAAUCAAAGAAAAAUUAAGGGUAGGAUUAUAUUGUGCUUACCGACAAAGGUGUCUUGAGGGACUAAACGGUACUUCAUUCAAAAUAUAGAGACUGAACAAAUAUUUAUCAUUAUUUAAGCUGAAAUAGUGCAUUUUAACUAGUCCCGGGUUUGAUUCAUUGUAAAUAUCAUUUUCCUUCAUGAAAUACCUAUAGAGAAUCAUAAAUUUUGGAGAAAAGGACGUUACACCUAAGUUUUGGGAAAUAGUCAUGUAGACCCCUAAAUUUUUAAUAAGGAAUACGAAUACCUCUUUUGACUAUAAUACAUUUUGACUCUAUUAACUCAAAAAAUUGACUCCUAUGUUUUAUAAUAAAUAGAAAUAUAAUAUUGAAAUAAACAUAAAAUAUUAACAUUUUAAAACAACUUCAAUUUAGGAAAAUAUUUAUAUACUUAAGAAUCUUAUAUUAUAUUAGACUAAAUUUUAUAAUAAAUAAGAACAUAAUAUUAAAAUAAAUUUUAUAAAUUUUUUCAAUAUUAUAUAAAAUAAUUUCAAUAUUAUUACUACAUGAGAUAUAUUUUAUUAAUGAGAUGUGUUUUAUUAAUUUUAAAUUCUAUUUAACCCCAAUGAUUUAUUUGAUAUUUUUAUGAUAAAUAAAAUAUAUUAUUAAAAUAAAUAUAAUGUUUUUAUUUAAAAAAUAUUUUAUAUAUUAAAAAUAUUCUAAUAUUAUUAGUCUAUUAGACAGAUUAAACUAUUUAAGUUAUAUUUAUAUUUAUUAAAAAAUUCUUAAAGUCAUUUUUUUAUUUACUAUGUACAAAAAGUAUUAUAGUCAAAAAGAUAUUUUGGUUACUGAAAAUUGAAAGAUUUACGUGACCAUUUCUUUAAAUCUUGGAGUAUAGGUGUCUUUUCCUAUAGAUAUUAGAAUAAGGGCUACAUGUCUAUAUGUAAAUAGCAAGUAGUGGCGGACCUACAGUUGGACUAGACUGGGUUGUAGCUUGGUCUAGUACAGAAAAAAUCAUUUAUACACCUUGUUUUCUUAUAAUUUUUUUAUAAAAAAGAGUUUUUAUUUUGUUUUCAUAUAUGUCCCUAACUCAAGUAUCCUUAUGUUUUCAUCAAUUUAGUUUAACAAUAGAGUUUUUACUUUAUAUUCAAAUAUUUUCCUAACUCAAUUACCCUUAUAUUUUCAUCAAUUUAGUAUAACAAUUGAGCUAUUAUUUUAUAUUCAAAUAUAUCCCUAAUUCAAUUGUAUUGUUUCCAAUUGAAAUUAGUGACUUAUUUUAUAAAUUGAUUAAAUUAUAUACUCAUUGGAUAGAUUGAAAACAUUAGGGAGCUAAAGUAUUAUUAUCAAUUUAAUUUAUUUUAAAAAAUUUCUAAUUGAAAAAAAUAUAAAUCAAUGUAAUAUAACAUCGUCACUAGCAUUAAAAAUACUUACGAAAACAAUAUAUAGUAACAAUUAUCAACAUUUUCAUAAACAUUUUAUGUGAUUUUUUAGAUUCUAUUUAUUAGUUACAUUAACUACGACAAGAAGUUAGAAUAUAAAAUUUAGGUAUUUUGAGGAGCUUUAAUAGAAGAAUCAUCAACAUCUACUUCUAUAAAGAAAGUCAGUGCACUGGCAAUGAAACAACGAUAUCCAAAUAACUUUUUGUUGAAUUGAGUUUAGUUUAUUACUAAAACUUUUGACUAAUAAUACUUUUAUAAUUCGAAAGAAUGAAUGAAUUUUAAUUUUUAAAUUUAUUUAAACUUGGUAAUUUAAUACUUGACUUCAAACAUAAAAGUUUUACUUGUAAUCUUUAAUUAAUUUUAAUUACAUGUACUGAUCUAAUUUAGUUUGAAAUUCUUAAUUGAUUUAUUAAUCCUUAUAUAAUUACAUGUUAUUAUAGUUGCAAUGUCGGAUUCCAUAAUUGAAAAAUAGUGUUUUGAUAUUUGAAUUGCCUUUUGGUUUCUAUUCUUUUCUUAUAAUUAUUUUUGUUUAUAAUACAUAUUCAUAGGGAUAUAGCUCUCCAUGUCUCCCCUCAUUUAAUAUACUUCUUUUUACUUAUAAAUUUUUAUGUUCACUUCAAAAUAUAAAUUUUAAAAUUUAACCCAAAAUAAUAUUAAGUCCUGAAUCCGCACAUAUAGCAAGUUAAGUCACAUCCUUUUAUCUUUUUAUUUUCAUUUUAUAAAUAAAUAAAUAAAUAAUGCAUAUUGAAUUAGGAUCACGCGUCUGAAAUCUUUACGUGAAGAUUUUGUUAAACACCGUGUAAAAAAAUAAUAUGAAUAGUGAAAGCUUAAUAGUAAAAAAAUAAUAUGAAUAGUGCAUUGCGAUCUAUCAAUCGCAAUGCACCGAUGAUUGCAACAAUUAAAAAUCUUGAAAUAUGAUUAUUAUACAAAACGAAAAUGUACAACCACUCAUGAAUUAGAGUUAUUUUUUUUUAGAGAAGAUAAUUCGGGUUUUUAAGAUAGGUUCUUUUUUUAAAAAAAUUAUUAUCCUGAGGAUAUUUGAAUAAUAAUUUUUUAAAUUAAAAAAAUAAAUUUUAAAUAUAUUUUUGUGAGUUUAAAUAACCUCAUUCCCAGCAUAACUACAUGAGCUACGUAGUGCUUAUUUAUUGACAUUAAUAAACUGCAUCAAUUUAUACAAAAUACUGUUUUUCUUCUUCGUUUUUCUUUUUGACAUGUUGUGCUAAUGCUGUUUGUUGGCCUAGAUGGCGAAUAAAAAAUAUGAUAAUAUAUGCUAUCUACAAGCUUAAUUAUGAACGAACAGUUAAUAAUUACCCCAAAGUUCAUAUUUUAUAAUAGGUGUAGAAUCUUUUCACUCUAAUAAGUUUAUCUUCAAUUAUUUAUCACUAGUUUAGUUAAAUAAUGCACGUCAAUGUUGAAUUGACAUCCGCGAAUAUCACCUUUGCACUUUUAAAUCAAAUAAUCAAUGGCCAUCAAAUGAAGCGAAAUAAAUGGUUAAACUAAUUUAUGUUAAAACAAAUUAUUGUUGAAUAGAGUAGUGAUAGAUGAUAUCCCAAAUUUUUGGGUUCCUAAGGAAUAAUCAUUGUCAAAUUAUUAAACCGAACCUUACAUUCAGGAAUGAUAAAGAUUGAAGACCAAUAUCUGCAACAUUAACUCUUGUCAUACAUAAGCAAGAACAAAAAAAAUAAAAAAUCAUUGAAUUAUAUUAAUACAUGAAACAGAAAGGCCAAAAAUUAAACCCAAAUGAAUAUACAGUGAAAGGAAAUCGCAGUUGUAAUGUAACGCAUAUUCACAAAAGCUUUGUUGAUGAAGUCUAGUACUCUAAUGAUACUUUAUAAUGUGGGGGCAGAGCAGUAAAUUUCAAAGAAAUAAUUUUCUCUUUUGAUGUUUUGUCGUUAUUGUUGACUGAGACGAGAAAGAAAUAAUUGCUCGUUUGGAUAUUCUCUAUAUUGUAAAAGAAUUGCUUAUUAGAAUUGCUUAUUAGAAUUGCUUCAAAGCAGUUUUACCAGUUAUAAUUCAUCAGCUCCUACUCUUUGCGUUCAAUUCUCAAUCAAGAAACCCUCUCCUGACUUUCAGCUUUUAACCUCGAACACGCUCUGAUUCUGUUUAUUGUACCCACUGCUAUUGCUAGCUGUUCCCUUAUUUUGCUUUGCUCCCUUCUGCCAUCAGCUCUCUGUAUACUCAUUGGAUCAAGAAGCCCUUUUCAAUUUUCUGAUCUCAACAACACUUUGAUUCUCAUCUAUUACACUGAUUUUUUUUCCUUGUUUUGCUCAAAUACAAUUUCUCUCCCUAAUUUUGUCCCGUUCCCUUUCGCCGCCAUCUGUUUGUUCUUCGCUUCUUCAUUGAUUAACAAUUGUCCAGUCGUUUCACCUGUUCUUUUUCUGUUCCUUUCACUUCAGAUCAAUCCAUCCUCGCACAACCCCCCCCCCCCCCCCCAAAAAAAAAAAAGAAAAAAGAAAAAAGAUUGAAGGUGAUGGAAUGCAUUGUUACUGUCGUUUUAGAGGUUGUAAAAUGCUUGGCUCCUCCAACACAACAACAACUUCGUUAUUUGCGUAGUUCCAAUGCCAACUUUGAGAAUCUCAAGGCUGAAAUCGAGAAUCUUAAGGAUAAAAUUAGGAGCAUUCAGCGCAGAGUCUCAGAGGCUGAAAGAAAAGGAGAAAAGAUUGAAGAGGAGCUUGAGAAAUGGCUGGUUAAUGCGAAUAAGAUCAUUGAGCAUGCAGACAAAUUCAUUGACGACGAGGAGGCAACAAAUAAGCGAUGUCUCAAGGGUCUGUGUCCUAAUCUGAAGACCCGCCAUCAGCUUAGCAAGAAAGCAGAGGCAGAGGUGAAGGCAAUUGUCAAAAUCCGAGAAGAAGCUGGGAGAUUUGACGAUAGAAUUUCCUACCGUACGAUUCCGGAGGAGAUAUGGCUCAAGUCUCACAAAGGCUACGAGGCCUUCGAGUCAAGACUUUCUACCUUGAAGGCCAUACAAAAUGCAUUGAUCGAUGUUAAUGUUAGUGUCGUUGGGGUGUACGGCAUGGGCGGCAUUGGAAAGACGACACUGGUGAAGAAGGUCGCCAGGCAAGCUAUGGAAGAUAAACUCUUUGAUAUGGUGGUCUUUUCAGAGGUUUCGCAAACUCCAGACAUAAAAAAGAUUCAACAGGAAAUUGCCGAGAAGUUGGGCCUGGAGUUGCACGAGGAAGUUGAAUCUGGAAGAGCAAGUAGACUAUUUGAGCUAUUGAGAAAUCACAAGAAGAUCCUUGUCGUUUUAGAUAACAUUUGGAAACACCUUGAUUUGGAGACAGUUGGAAUUCCUUUUGGAGAAGAUCAUAAAGGCUGCAAACUACUGCUGACGGCAAGAGAUCGUAGUGUCCUCUUAAAAAUGGGUUCUAAAGACAACUUUUUGAUAAACAAUUUAAAUGAAGAAGAAGCCUGGAGAUUGUUUAAGAUGAUGGCCGGUGAUGAUGUUGAAAAUCGUGAGUUGAAAUCUACAGCAAUAGACGUCGCCAGGGCAUGUGGAGGUUUGCCCAUUGCCUUGACUACAGUAGCAAAGGCACUGAGAGGCAAGAGUCUGUAUGAAUGGAAGAAUUCCUUGCGAGAACUCCAAACGCCUUCAAUGGUAAACUUCGAAGGGGUAUCUGCAGAGACUUAUUCAAGUAUUGAGCUCAGUUUCAACCAUUUAAAAGGUGAGCAGCUCAAGAAAAUUUUUCUGCUCUGUAGUCUAAUGGAGAGCCAUAUUACUUUGGACUUGUUUAAGUACUCCAUGGGUUUGGGUAUAUUUAAAGGAGUCAAUAAGAUGGAAGAUGCACGAGACAAAUUAUAUGCAUUGGUCCAUGAACUUAGAGACUCUUGUUUGUUGCUUGAGGAUGAUAGCAAUGAACGAUUUUCAAUGCAUGAUGUUGUUUGUGAUGUCGCAAUAUCAAUUGCAUGCCGCCACCAACAUGUGUUUUUGGUGAGAAAUGAUGAGGAUGUGUGGGACUGGCCAGAUGAGGAUGCACUUCGAAAAUGCAAUGCUAUCUCUUUAAUAAAAAAUAGUAAUUGUGAAUUUCCUGAAGGAUUAGAAUGCCCAAACCUUGAACUUUUAUAUAUUUCUCUCAAAGAUUCUUCUCUUGAAAUCAAUAUUCCUGAGAACUUUUUUGUAGGGAUGAAAAAGCUUAGAGUUCUAGAUUUUACUCGAAAGCUGUUUUCUUCAUUUCCAUCUUCAAUUGAUCUUCUAGUAAAUCUUCACACACUAUGUCUGGAUCAAAGUGCGUUGGGGGACAUAGCAAUCAUUGGGAAGUUGAAGAAUCUAGAAGUCCUUAGCUUUUUGAUGUCUGAUAUUAUGCAGUUGCCAGAAGAACUAGGUCAAUUGAAUAAGUUGAGAUUGUUAGAUUUAACCAAUUGUUUCCAUCUAAAAGUUAUUGCGCCCAAUCUCAUAUCAAGCUUAACUCGAUUAGAAGAUCUGUAUAUGGGUAAUUGCUCCAUUGAAUGGGAGGUUGAAAGAGCCAACAGCAAAAGAAGUAAUGCUAGCCUUGACGAAUUGAUGCAUUUACCUCGGCUAACCACUCUAGAAAUUGACGUUAAAAAUGACAGUAUGUUACCAGAAGGUUUUUUGGCCAGAAAGCUCGAAAGGUUCAAAAUAUCUAUUGGAAAUGAGUCAUUCAUGCCUCCCAAGAGUGUUAGACAAGCUUGGUUUAAAAGUCGGCCGCGCUUUUCGAUCCACAGUUAUCGCAAGAGUGUAAGAGCAUUGAAGCUCAAGCUUGAUUUUAUGGACAUUUGCUCCAUGAAAUUGCAGGGCAUCAAUAACGUUGAAUACUUAUGGUUGGACAAGCUGCAAGGCACUGAGAAUGUUCUUUUCAAUUUGGACACGGAGAGCUUUUCACAAUUGAAGCUUCUCUGGGUUCAAAAUAAUCCUGACUUCUUUUGCAUCGCCGAUUCAAGGGCGAUGGUCGCUUGUGAUGCCUAUAGCUUAUUUUUAACUUUGAAAAAUAUGACAAAGCAUCGAUAAAUUAAUACUCAAUAAAUUAAAAACUUUUAUUAUACAAUAAUCUUUGCUAGUCUAGACUAAGGGAUCAAUGUGGUAGAUUAAUAAUUAUAUGAACUGUUUUAGGUAUAGCAUUUCUAAAAGAAUCCUUAGUCUUUCCAUAUAAAAGAACUUACAAAAUAAAUUAGUAAUUUAUUAUUGUGCAAUAAAAUAAUUUCGUUUUUUUCCCUAAUUUCUUUUUUACCUCUAAAAUUAGCAUAUAAAAAAUCAUUUAAUAAAUUUUAUCAAUAAUUCAAUUUUUUUUUUAAAAUAUAAUAUAAAAUAAAUACUAUAAAAUCACUGUGUGUGACCAUAGAUCAUCAAUUGACCUUAUUAGUUAUUUUGAUUGAUGAUGAUAUCUUACCCAACUUGACGGCACUAUCACUAAGUGGAAAAGAUGUGAAGAUGAUUUUGCAGGCCGAUUUCCCACAACACCUUUUUGGCAGUCUUAAACAACUAGAGAUUGUUGGAGAUGACUCAGCUUGUUUUCCAAUCUGGAACGUACUGGAGAGAUUUCACAAUCUCGAAAUACUCAUACCGUUUUUGCAUUCCACGAAGAGGUAUUUUGGAUGGAAGGAUGCUUAGAGAAACAUGUGGGGAAGUUGGCAAUGAUAAAAGAAUUAAAGCUGCACCGGCACUAUCAUCUGAUGCAGCUGUGCAAACAAGACUCCAAACUUGGCCCCAUUUUUCAGUAUCUUGAAAUUCUAAAAGUAUAUAAUUGUCAAAGUCUGUUAAUUCUAUUGCCAUCAUCAUCGGUAUCUUUUGGGAACCUAACAAAACUUGUAGCUUUCGAUUGCAAGAAAUUGAUACACUUAGUAACAUCCUCCACAGCAAAAACUCUGGUGCGACUCGUAACAGUUCAAGUAUAUGGAUGCAGAGCAAUGACAGAGGUGGUAAUAAAUGACAAAGACGGGGUUGAAAAAGAAGAGAUUGUUUUCCGCAAAUUGAAGACGUUGGAUCUGCGUGAUUUAGAUAGCCUCACAAGUUUCUGCUCUGCCAAUUACACCUUCAAAUUCCCAUCUUUGCAAGAUUUGUGGGUGAUUGGUUGUCCCAAGAUGAAGAUUUUCACUACAGGAGAAUCAAUCACGCCUCCAAGAGUAAAUGUCCGGUAUGGAGAGACAGCGGAUCAACGGCGCUGGGCUAAUAAUGAUCUAAACUCAACCAUACAACAAUUACAUGCUGAGAAGGUACGUAUAUACAUGUAUAUACAUCUUUACAAAAUUUGCUUUCUUAAAUACAAUAUAGAUAAGAUAUUUGAUGAAUAAGAAUUUUACUUUCAGCUGUUGGCGGUGCAGUCGGCGAUCUCUACCCAGUACUAAUUUCAUAGGCUUCUUAUGACUUGGGAGUUGUGAAUUUUUAGAAGAAAGCCUCAGCUGGUAAUUAAUUUUUAUUUCAUUUAUUUGAUCUCAUGGCUUGUUUCGCAAUUUCAUCUGAAUUAUUUAGAAUGGGUCAAUCGGCUUACUGUUAAAUUUGGAAUGCAAUUUUAAUGAUUCGUUCAGACUUUUGUGGACAGAUUUUGCAUCAUUGAAUGUCUUCUAGUCUAGUUUAAUUUGAGUAUUUUUUUUCUUUUUUUCUUUUUUUGAGAGUUCCCCUUGUUUUCUAAAAUUUUAUAAUUCCUUGCAUACUUUGUAUGAUAAAAUUUCAUUAAAAGCCUUCAUAUUUUAUAAUUCCUUGAAAACAUCAUUGCUGUUCUGUUAUUUUAGUUUGUUCAUUUAGUUUGGUUUGCUUCACACCUAUCUUUGUUUGGAAACUUUUUUUUAUUUUUUUGAUGAUCUUUCCAAAUGCUCUCCCCUAUGAACACAUAAUUAAGACCAGCUGAAAAUCAUUCAUCGGAUAAAAAAUAAAAAAUAAACAAAAUCUAAUCAGAGCAUUAUGCCUAGAACAAAUCCUUAGACCAUCAAAGCAAAACUCUUCGCUAUGAAAAACUAUAUUGUGGAAAUAUUGUUUGAAAACGUUGGAUACCAAGAAAGGGACUAAUCUGGUCUAGUUUUAUGAGAAGUGCAGAAGAACAGUAUUUUCUCUGUUGUUCCUAUUAAAAUUCUUUACUAUGUGAUUGUAGAAUGUCUGGAUACUGAUGAAGAUUCAGGUAACUCUUCUCCUGUGCAUCAUUUGAAAUAAGUUUUUUUUUUUUUUUUGGUAAUAUCUCCUACUGGGUUAUAGUUCAUACAAAGAGAAAUUCUUAAAUCAAGCCGGAUACUGGUAGAAACAAGUGGGGAAGUAGGCACUGAUAAAAUGGUUAAUCCUGUCCAGACUUAAUCAUUGAAGCAACUCCAAACUGGACUCCAUUUUAAAUAUCUUGACAUUCUAAGACUAUUUUACAAGCAUUUAAGUCUAUUCACAUGAUCAUCUAUAUCUUUUGGGAAUCUAAAAGAACUGUUGGUUUUCCAUUGCAAGGAAUUGUAACAUCCGUCCACUACAGCAGAAAGUCUAGUGCGACUCGUAUCAAUGAAGGUAGCUGGAUGCAGGGCAAUGACAGAGGUGGUAAUAGGUGACGGAGAAGAAGACGGAGCACCAAAUUUAAAUUCAAAACAAGAGAUUGUUUUCAGCAAAUUGAAGACAUCGAGUCUGUGUGAUUUAGAUAGUCUCACAAGUUUCUGCUCUGCCAAUUACGCUUUCAGAUAAAGAUUCUUGAAAUUGUCCUAUUUACAGCUGACAUUUCCACAAGAGUUAGAGAAAUAUAAAAAAUUCAUUAAUCGUUAGUUUUUAAUUUCAUUAUUCAAUGAAAAGUCCUGUCAAAUUAAAUUGCAAAUCUCAAUGUGCAAGUACCUAAAUUUACAAAAUUUACUUUAAAUUAAUGAAUGAAAGAAUUUAUUUUCUGCUGUUGGAGGAGUCGUCAUCUCUCUCGACAUAGUAUACGAUAUGUUUUGAUCCCAUAGGCUUUUUAAUAUAUUACCUUGUGUUGUUUGAUCUCUAGGUUUAUUUGCAAUGCGUCAGUUGGUUUAUUUGUUAAUUUUGGAAUGAAGUUGAUGCAGCUGAUGGUUGCAUAGGAUGAGUAGGAUAUCACUCCUAGAUCAUAACUUGAUCUAACAAUAUUGUGUAGGUCUUUUGUGACUCCAACAAUAAAAAAACUCAAUAUUUUUUUUAUAGAGCAAUAUUUGUUAAAGCAUGAAGAAAGGCAGAAAUAUUGUAAAUCCAUCUCAACUUUUCUGUUUAUUGUGGUCGCUGCUAGCGCUGGCUGUUUUCUUAUUUAACUUUGUUCCCUUUUGCCAUCAGCUCUUUGCAUUUUCAUUGGAUCAAGCGACCCUUUUCUUGCUUCAAUUUCUGAUCUCAAAAGCACUUUGAUUCUCUUCUAUAAUUCUGUUACACUGAUUUUCUCCUUAUUUUGUACAAAUAUCAUUUCUCUUUCCCAUUUAGCCUUGAUUUGCUUCAACUUGACUAUCAAUUGCCAAGUUGACCCUGUUGUAUUUUUAUUUUGUUCACUUCAAAUAGACCCAAAAAAAAAAAGAGAUGUUGAAUAAAGCCUAAAAUCUAAUUUGAUUUUUAAUCUGAUUUAGCUAAGAUGUCCAAUUUAAUAUUAAUAGCAAUGUUAAGGAUUCUAAUAAUUGGGUCCCAACUGAUAUGAUAGUCAUUUAUUAGAUGAUCGAAAUAUUAAUUUUACUAAUUAUGAAAUUCAUUAUCUAAUAAAAAAUGACACAUAACAAUUGGGUCUCAAGUUAGAAUUCAAAUAUUGGAAUUCUUAACAUUAUUUUAAUAUUAAAAAAUUCAUCAAAAUAAUAUAUAUUAUCUAAAAAAAAUAAAAAAUCUAAAACCAUAGAUUUACCCUUCAAUCUUCGUGAUUUGGCUGAUUUCUUUUAAAGCUUUGGUUUCUUUGGAAGUGCAACGAGAAAUAGUAAUAAGAUUAAAAAAGCAAUGAAGUAAAACUUUAAAAUUUUUAUUUUUUUAUAUUUUUAUGGGUCAUUUUACCGGCACUGGCGUUUGAUUUUCUGACUAAGCUACUGUUUAGUUCUAAGUUUUCAAUUACCCGGACUGCUCUGUUUUGUGUAUCAUCGACACAAUAAGGCUUAGCAUUUAAAAGUCGGCAGCCACGCAACUUCUUGGAAUCUUUGUGCAAGUGUUGGAUAUCGACUGUUCGAUAAUGAUGGCAGCAUUUGACUGGAGUGUAAUUGACGCAGUGGAAUAAGGAUCACAUGUCUCAAACUUUUGGUGAAGAUAUUGUCAGAUAUUUUAUUGAUUAAAGGAUCACAAAUAAUGGAUAUUGGAUGAGAAUCACAUGUUUUAUGGGAUUUACUAUGUUGCAACAGUGAUACCAUACCACUGUUUUUGUCAUUAUUCAUUGCGGCCGUUGGAUGGUAACUUAUUUAAUCUAAUGGUUUAAAUUAGUUAAUGGAGAAAUGACGCGGCAACUUACAACCCUUGCAGCCGGUUCUGUAUUGAUCUAAUAGCAUGGAGUAGUAAGCGUGCGUUUCAAAGAUGCUAAGAUACACUAAAUCCCACUAUUUCCAUACUCAUAAUCACAAGCUUACCUCAAAAAAUGAAGGGAGAAUACGAUGAAGAAGAAGAUGGCCAGUGUUUUACGCCGUUCGCCGGCAACCAGUUAGGUUUACGAUGGUGGCUAGUAACACGGAGUCCAGCGAAUAGUAGCAUACCGAACGGCUCUUUACCGUCACGUGGUUAGUAACAUAUGUGACCGCAGUGUGGCCGUCACAUAAAAGGUAUUGGGGUUACAAAGUUAGUGAUAUACGUAAUGGCUGCUUUUGCAUUCACAUUAGGGGUCACAUAUACCCUAUUUUUCUUGUAGUACAUGGUAAAUUCUAUUUGAAAAUUGCUAAGUAUUUUAGAUUUGUACAAAUUCAUUUUUGUGUGCUGGUGCCUGGUUGGAUAAUAAUAUAUAAUAAAUUAAAUUUUUGGUGUAAUUUUCACAAUAUUGUAUUAUAAAUAUGUAUCGUUGAGAGGUUUUGAAAUCGUUUUGAUUGAUCAUAAUUGAUAUUUCCACAGUUGUAAAAGAUGCCAGAGAAAAUUUGAUUAUCUUAAGAAAUGAGUGCAUGAGAUAUGAAAUCAACCAUACCGUAAAAUCAAAUUUUAUCGUGUCAUCCUUCUUGGUUCAAAUUUAUGGAAACAAUAAUCAAAUGCAUCCAUGAACUAGUAUAUUCCAACAUAUGUACCAUCAAAUUUUUGCUAUGUCAUACUUAUGUAUGUGUGUGUGUGUGUGUGUUUGUGUAUAUUGAAAUUUUAAUAACAACAAUUGGGGCAAGCAUAUGUUGGUACUUGAAGAUUUAUAAGCUCCAUUCUUGAAAAAAUAAGGCUUGACUGUUCUCGAUCUAAUUCUUUUUGUUUUAAGUUCUUAAUUAAGCUUUCUUGCUUGUUUUCAAGAGCCAGUUUUGUAAUGAUCGACAAACAUGAUUUGCAUAUAUUGCACUUGGCAUUUAUGUGUCACUUAUUAACUAGAUUUAAAUUUUAUAAAUUAAUUAAGCUGAUUAAUACUUUAUAUGUGCACUAAAUGAUAAAUACUACAUAAAUUGGGACACUAGUAACUACGUAUCCCAACUAUGUAAUAUUUGUUUGUCACAAAACCAAUCAUGGCCUGAUAUUCUAAAUAUUAUUUAGGAUACCAUUUCAAGUCCCAUGAGGGCUCUUUCCGUUAAAAAAAAAAAGUAUGAAAUAGAUGUAGAUUUUUCUUUAGAUAUUAUUACCUUUGGUGGCAAUGGUACGGGAUGAUUUGGGAUUUGACAAUUCCACUCUCAUCUUAAUUAUCAAAUGGAAUGUAAGUAUGGAUAAACUCGUCCUGUUUAUAUACUUGUGAUUAAAAUUAGGACCAAUCUCAAACCGCUCACAAUCAUGUCCCAUCCUAACUAUCCUGAAUGUCUCGAAUGCCUCCCUUUAUUAUCAUUUUAAUUCUCAUUAACAUAUUAGCAAAAUUUCCAUAUAUUAAAAAUAUUAGGGUCUGACUAUCUAUACUUUAAAAAUUACUAUGAACACUCAAUUAUUUUAUACACUCAUCUAAUAAAUUUAAAAAAUUAAGUUUCAUUUUGUACAUUUUUAAAAGUAACAAAAACAUUUUUACAUGAACCUAAUAAGUUUCUUUAAAAAAAAUUAAAUCAAUUAUUUUUAUUUAUUCAAAAUACUAAUAAAACUAUUCAGCAGACCGUGAAAGAAAAUUUUUAAGAAAUUUAGCACAUAAAACGUUGAAAGUUUCAACUAAAUUCUUUAACACAAUUUUAGAAAUUACUUAUUGUUUAUUAAAGAAUGUGUUCACUAAUGUUUUUAAUUUUGUGCAAUCAAAAAAGAAGAAGAAGAAGUUUGGGGUUAAAGAUACAUUUAAUUUUUAGUGUAAAAGUUGUAUCAAUCCUAUAAAAACUAAAAGAUCCAAAAGUUACAAGUUCCAACAUCACCCAAAUAUUACGAUUGUUUUUGGGAAGGUUAAAAGUGAUUUUAAAAAUUAAAAGCUUAUUUUAGUGUUUUAUAAAUUUUUUUUUAGUAAUUACUUUUGGCAAAAUCAUCUCAUCAUACAGUAGAUUUUGAAAAUUAAGAAAGGGAAUAGUUUUUCAAAAUCUAAUUUUGAGAAUCACUUUUAUACUUAAUCCAAUUCUCUCUCUCUCUCUCUCUCUCUCUCUAUAUAUAUAUAUAUAUAUAUAUAUAUAUAUCCUCAUUAUAUAAUAAAAAUCCAAAAUUACCUUUAUUAAUUAAGAAAUAAAAUCAUUAACUUUAAAGAAAUUAUUAUUACCACCAAUUAUAUUGAGAUAACAAAAUAAAUAAUACAAUUUAAUAAUAUACAAUAUUUAUUUUAGUUAUCAAUAAUUAUAUCUACAUAACAAAAAUAUUUUAUAUACAUGUUUGUAAAUGUGUAAAUAAAUUUUAUUUAGCUUUAUAUCCAAUUUAAUCAUUUACAUUCUUGCACCAGUUUAAUAAUAAGAUUUAUGAAACACAUAUGACUGCUUUUUAAACUAAAAGUACUUUUAAAAAUAAAUUUUACUAAAGGUUCACCUAAUUCUCUUCACGAUUGAUCAAUUUCUACAGCAUAGAUAACUGUAAUUAUUUUAAAAGCCAUAGAUUACCAAUAAAAAUGUCUAAAAGUAACAAUAAUAAACCAAAGUAAACGUACAAAAAUUCAUGCAUAAAUUGAUAAUCAACAAAAACAUCCAAAAGUUUUACUCUAAGUUUUCUAUUCAAUUGACAUAACCCUUAAAUUUCAAAAGGCAUAAUCAAUUUUGUGACUAAUCCUAUAAAAUUAGAAAAUUAAAGAAUAUUAUAUACUGAUAAUUAAAUAAUAUACAAUUAAUAAUGUAAAAAAAAAAUCAUGUUAAACAUAUUGUGAACUAAAAUAAUUGGGAGAAUUGGAGUUCCAAGAUAAAUUCCAAUCUAGUCCCAAAUCAACAAUUGGGAUUAAUUUCAAUCUUAAACUCCGAUUACUUUUAAAAUUGGUCCUAAUAAUAUGGACAAAUCCCAUUCUGAUCAGUAUGGAAUCUCAAUCCCAUAACUUUGGGUUUCGAUGGUGUUUAGUUGGAGGGAGGAGAGAGGAAGGAAAUGAAUUCAAAUUCCUUUCACUUUUCUGUUGUUUGGUUUUCACAAAUAUAUGGGAAUUCAAUUUCUAUUGAAAUUUAGUUUUCAUCAAAUUGUGCAUUUUGGAUUCCUCACCGAAGGCUGUAAAAUUCAAAUUCUCCUCCUAUUAGAAAUCAAAUCUUCCAAAAUUGUUCCUCUCAAAUAUUUAUCAAUUAUUUUUAUUCUUAUCAAACAAUUCUUAUUUAUGAUUUUAUUUUUUCAAUUUAAAUCGUCACUAAGGCGUCUAACUAAGGGCCAGUUUGGGAAUACUAUAACUUUUAAAAUAAUUAUUGUUAGUUGUGCUUUAGAAAUAAUCAGCUGUGAAGAAAAUUAAUUAAGUGUUUGGUAAAUUUUGUUUUAAAAAUACUGUGAGUUUUAAAAGCAGUUAUGGACAUUUAGUAAAUUUUACUAUUAAAUUGCUGAGAGAAAACAUAUGACUAAAAUGUAUAUAAUGUAGAUAAGAUUUACUUAUACAUAUAAAAACAUGUACAUAUAAUAUUUUUAAUUGUGUAUUAUAAUAAUUUUUAUUACAAAUAAAAUUUAUAAUAUAUUGAUUUUUUUAUUUUUUUAUCUUGAAACAAUUGAUAAUUAAAUUUGUAAUAUAGUGAAACAAAUUUAAUAAUAAUUCGACCAAUAAACUGAUAUUAAUAUAUUUAUAUAACCAAAUUAACGGGUGAAUUCUAUAAUCGAUUUCUUUUAUUAACAUCUCAUAACUAUGAGAAGUUUUAUAUUUUGAUAAAUGAUCAUACUCAAUUAUGUGCCUUAUUGGAUGAAAGACGGAGAAGGAAUGCCUUACCGGAUUCAAUUCAAUAUACACUUUUUGUUCCCAGGUCUAGCCUUUCGCGGGUACCUCAACAAAAAACUGAAGAGUAAUGGCAACAAGUGAUUGAGUUAAGUAGUUCCUCAUGUAAAAUUAUUGACUCUAGAGAUAUAGUAAUAUGGAGAAGACUAAACUAUUUCGUAUUGAUGAAUUAUAGUAACAAUUUAUUAAAAUAUUGAUUUUGAUUCUAAUUUUAAUAAGGAAGAACACCAAGAACGUUAUCCCUCUAAAUAUGUACUAUAUACAAAAAAUAAUUGUAAAAAAAGGGUAGAAAAAUAAAAGACAACUCAGAAAAUACUAUUUUUUUUAAUUAUAGAAUAUGACAUUGCAACCUAUAAUUACAUGUAAUUAUAUAAAGAUUAAAAAAUCAAUUAAGAAUUUCAAAUUAAAAUAGAUCAAUACAUGUAAUUACAAUCAAUUAAAAAUUGCAAGUAAAACUUUUGAAGUGGAAUACUAAAUUACCCGACUUAAUAAAUUAAACAAUUAAAAUUUAUUCAUCCUUUCAAAUUGUAAAAGUAUUAUUAGUCAAAAGUUUCAAUAAUAAACUAAACUCAAUUCAGCAAAAAGGUAUUUGAGUGCAAUUGUUUCUUUGUUAGGCGCUUUGCCUCUCUUUAAAGAACUAGAUGUUAAUUAUUCUUCUAUCAAAAAAUCCUUAAAAUAAUUAAAUUUUAUUUUCUAACUUGUUCUCUUAGUUUUUUUGAAACUAACAAAUAAAAUCUGAAAAUUCACAUAAAAAUUUUAUGAAAAUAUUGAUAAUUAUUACUAUAUGUUGUUCUGUAAGUACUUUUAAUACUAACAACGAUGUUAUAUUAUAUUGAUAGAUUUUUUUUUCAAUUAGAAGUUUUUAAAAUAAAUUAAAGCAAUAAUAAAAUUUUAGCUCCCUAAUUUUUCAAUCUAUUCAAUAAAUACGUAAUUUAAUCAUUUUAUAAAAUAAGUCACUAAUUGCAAUUGAAAAUAAUAUAAUUGAAUUAGGGACAUAUUUGUAAAUAAAAAAAACUAUUGUUAUAUAAAAUUGAUGAAAACAUAAGGAUAAUUGAGUUAAGGACAUAUUUGAAUAUAAAAUAUUGUUGUACUAAAUCGAUGAAAAUGUAAGGGUAAUUGAGUUAGGGACACAUUUAAAUAUAAAAUAAAAAAUCUAUUGUUAUACCAAAUUGAUAAAAACAUAAAAGUUAUUGAGUUAGGGACGUAUGUGAAAAUAAAAUAUAAACUCUAUUCUUUUACUAAAUUAAUGAAAAUGAAAAAAAGAGGUAUAAACGAUUUUUUCCCACAUGUAGGUCCGCCACUCGUGUUGUAUGAGAAUUGUAAUCCAAAAAUUUUCCCUACAAAACGAUUUUUAAUCGACAGCAAAUUUUCACUACAAAACGAUUUUAAACGAUUUUUGUUUUUUUUCGAUUAAUUUUGAAAUGUUGCAUACAUAACGAGCUGCCAUUGAAAUUAAUGUUAACAACCAAAGUAGAUGCAAAAGGAGAAACAAGCAUCAUGUGCAGUACCCACUGUGAACUACUCACAUUGGAAUAAGUUGUCGGCAGCUGGUCUGUUUGGCCAUUGAUAUUUUGACUAUUCAAUGUUGAUUUUGACCCCACUAAAUUAAGCCAUCAAAAAUUGCUGGGAAGGGAGUAAUAUCUAUUCAUAACUGGAAAUUACUCGCCGUACAAUGAUGAUUGGAGCUGCAUGUAUCAUUUAUUAUUAACAACUAACUUAUGAAAUGCUUUGAAUGUACCUCCUAGGUCGUAUUUACUAUACUGGUUAGGAGAAACUACAAUAUUAAAUUAUUUGAUAAAUACUUAUUAUAAUUUAAAAAAUAUAUUAAUUUUGUCCUCCACUUUAUGAUAAAAAAAUUAUAAUAUAUAUAAAUCAUUCAUUCUAUAAUCUUGAACUUUAUUAAAGUUCCAAAAACUAUUACUCUAUAUGAUAUACUCGGGUGAUGUUAUUACACUAUUAUACAGUACAAAAUAUAUUUGUUUUCUUAAAUUUUAAUAAAGUCUAGGUCUUGGAGAGAAGCGCUUUAUAUAUAUGUAUAUAUAAUGAUUCUCUAGUGACGACAUCCUCAUUUUAACAAAGUGAUGAUAUCACUAACAAACUAAAUAACACACAUUUCAAUACACCAAUUGAUAAAAAAAUCCAGUUUUUAAUGUGUUAAAAUAUAUGUCUUUUGUAUAUUAUUGAUAUUUUCAUUUUAACAAAGUGAAGGUCUCCUCACUAUAGAAGUGCUUUAUAAAUAUUUUCUGUAUUUUUGUAAAAAUUAUUAUUUAAAAGUCAUAUCUUACCAAAGACUAAUAGUUUUUAUUUUAUCACUAUACUGUACUUUUCAAGAUAGAACACCUCAAUACCAUGACCUUAAUUUUGAACUCUCUUGUACAAAGUUGUUGGCGGGUCUAUUUAGUUUAGUCUUUCAACUAUUUGUCGUUUGAACUAAGAUGAUCCGAAUAAAGAUAUAUAUCAAUAAUUUCCUAGUGAAACUUCGGAAAAAUAUAAAAAUCCUCUCAUAUAGUAGCAUUAUUUUAAUUCUCAGCUUGAUUAUGUUUUGAGUUAACUUAUAAAUUAUUUGAAAUAAAAAGAAUAUAAUUUAUUUUUUCCAACGGAAUUUUUUAAAUAAUUUUAUUAGUUUAAUGAGUAAUUAUACACUUACAAAGUUAUGAUAUAAAAUUAUAUCCCUAAAUCCCAAUAAUAUGACACCAAUGAACUACUGCUAUGUGUUUCUUAGUAAUUAACUUUUUAUACUAUUAUUAAUGAGAUAAUUAACUUCAACACCAAUAUAAAAAUUUUAUAUUAAUACAUCCUCUAGCUUUAGACGUUACAGACUCUGUAUGUAACGCAGCAAAUGAGGAGCAUCCACGCGUUGCAGGAGAGAGGAAAAGUUGUUGGAAUUUAGCUGAUACAAGACUAAUUUCCAUUGAGCUGUUACAUACAGAGUCUGUAAGGUAGUUUUAUUAUCAAAUAAUCAUAUGUCAUAAUCGAACCAAGCUACCAGAGCCUACCACUAAAAGAGUGAUUGAAGGGUUUUCCAAGUUUGAAAAUGUUAGUAGCAUUGGCAAAUGGCAACUUCCAGGAAUCUUCCUGCUACAAUCAAGUUGAAUCAACUAUUCAGUGAAAUACGCAAACGGCACAUAGGACCCCGCCACCCGUAAAGUCACAAUCAUUUGUUUAUUUGUCAAUCAAGUUGAAUCAACUUGAAUAAAGCCUAAAAUCUAAUUUUUUAUUUCGUUCACUUCAAAUAGACCCCCCCCCCCCAAAAAAAGAGAUGUUGAAUAAAGCAUAAAAUCUAAUUUGAUUUUUAAUCUGAUUUAGCUAAGAUGUCGAAUUUAAGACUAAGAGCAAUGUUAAGGAUCCCAAUAAUUGAGUCCCAAGUGAUAUGGUAGUCAUUUAUUCUAUGAUCGAAAUAUUAAUUUUACUAAUUAUGAAAUUUAUUAUCUAAUGAAAAAAUCACACAUAUCAAUUGGGUCUCAAGUUAGAUUUCUACUAUUGAAAUUCCUAACAUUUUUCCAAUAUUUAAAAAUUCAUCAAAAUAAUAUCUAUUAUCUAAAAAAAUAAAAUAAAAAUCUAAAACCAUAUAUUUACUUUUCAAUCUUUGGCUGAUUUUUUUUUAAAGUUUUGGUUUCUUUAGAAGUGCAAAGAGAAAUAGUAAUAAGAUUAAAAAAGCAAUGAAGUAAAACUUUAAAAUUUUUAUUUCUUUAUAUUUUCAUCGGUCAUUUUACCGGUACUGGUUUGAUUUUCUGACUAAGCUACUGUUUAGUUCUAAGUCUUGGCAAUUACCCGGACUGCUCUGUUUUGUGUAUCUUCGACACAAUAAGGCUUAGCAUUUAAAAGUCGGCAGCCACGCAACUUCUUGGAAUCUUCGCGCAAGUGUUGGAUAUCGACUGUUCGAUAAUGAUGGCAGCAUUGGACUGGAGUGUAAUUGACGCAGUGGAAUAAGGAUCACAUGUCUCAAACUUCUGGCGAAGAUACUGUCAGAUAUUUUAUUGAUCAAGUAAGGAUCACAAAUAAUUGACGCAGUGUAAUUUGCUUUUUUUGCUACUGAUGUAAGUCUUGCAAUUAUUUUUAAAUAAUGAUAUUAUAAUUAAAAAUCAAGAAAUAUUUAUAAUACUUAAAGACUGAUUCAGAUUAUUAAUUCUUUUAUAUGACUUAAUUAUUAGCUGACAAAUAAUUAAAAAGUCAUGGAACAAUACUUUUAUUCUAAUAUGACACAACUUGUACUUUCAUUCCUAUGCUAAAAUAUAUCUAACUUAUUAAUAGUCAAGAAAUAUAUCUAUUCAACAUAUAUUUGUUAGAAAGAUUAUCUACUAAUUAAUCAUUCAGACAAGAUUACGAGUCUCAACAUAAAGAGUAAUGAUAUAAUCAUAAAUUUUUGUAUAAAUUUAUUUUGUAUAAAUUAAUAUGUCAUAAUAAGAUUGGUUAAAUUAAAUAUCACUUGACUCAUAUAAUUUAUUUUUAUUAUUUUAUAUUUUCAUUCAACUAAUGAAUUAAUGUCAUGUUAAUUUAUACAAAAAUAUUUAUACAAAAAUUUAUAGUUAAUUUAUACUCCAAAUUAAGAUAAAAAUUAAUACAUUGAAAUUCAGAACCCUUUUUUAUUUUUUUUUUCCUUCUGCAGUUUAAAAAGGAGUCGCCCACGAUUAUUGAAAUAAUUUUAUCAGAUUCGCUUGAAAGUAGUUUUACGAGCAAGCGGUUUUUCCCUCUUGAUCCCCGUAUUCGUCAGCUCCUACUCUUUGCCUUCAAUUCUCAGUCAAGAAAACCUCUCCUGAUUUUCGUCUUUUGAUCUCAUACACACUUUGCUUCUGUUCAUCGUGGUCGCUGCUCGUGCUAGCCGUUUUCUUAUUUAGCUUUGUUCCCUUUUGCCAUCAGCUCUUUGCUUUUUCAUUGGAUCAAGCAACCCUUUUCUUGAUUCAAUUUUCUGAUCUCAAAAACACUUUGAUUCUCUUCUGUUACACUGAUUUCCCCCUUGUUUUGUACAAAUAUAAUUUCUUUUUCCAAUUUUGCCUUGUUUUGCUUCUACUUGAUUAUCAAUUGCGCGGUCGUUGACCCUGUUCUAUUUCUAGUUCGUUCCCUUCCCCCCCCCCCCAACCCAAAAAAAAUGGACAUUUUGAAAAGCAUUGUAAACUGCUUGUCUCCUCACGCACAACGCGAAUUUAGUUAUUGGCAUAACUCCGCUGCCAACUUUGAGAAUCUCAAGGCAGAACUCGAUGGGCUCAAGGAUGAAAGAGAAAGCAUUCAGCGCAGAGUUUCUGAGGCUGAAAGAAAAAGUGAAAAGAUUGAAGAGAAGGUUGAGAAAUGGCUGGUUAAUGCGAACAAGAGCAUUGAGCAGGCAGCCAAAUUCAUUCAAGACGAAGAGAAAGCAAAUGAACGAUGUCUCAUGGGGCUGUUUCCUAAUUGGAUUACUCGCUAUCAGCAUGGAAAGAAAGCAGAAACAGAGAAGGAGGCCCUUUUUAAACUCCGAGAAGAAGCUGGGAGAUUUGAUAGAAUUUCCUACCCUACCAUUCCGGAGGAGAUUUGGCUCAAGUCUCACAAAGGCUACGAGGCCUUCGAAUCAAGACUUCCUACUUUGGAGGAUAUAAAAAACGCAUUAAUCAAUGUUAAUGUCAGCAUCAUUGGGGUGUACGGCAUGGGCGGCAUUGGAAAGACGACACUGGUGAAGGAGUUUGCAAGGCGAGCCAUUGAAGACAAGCUUUACGAUAUGGUGGCUUUUUCGGAGGUUACCCAAAGUCCAGACAUAAAAAAGAUCCAAGAGGAAAUUGCGGAAACGUUAGGCCUACAGUUGUCCGAGGAAGCUGAGUCUAGAAGAGCUGGUAGACUAUAUGAAAGAUUGAAGAAUGAGAAGAAGAUCCUUGUGAUUCUGGAUAACAUCUGGAAACCUCUUGAUUUGGGGACUAUUGGAAUUCCUUUUGGAGUUGAGCACAGAGGAUGCAAAUUAUUAUUCACAACAAGAGAUCUUGAUGUGCUGUUAAGGAUGGGAUCUGAAAAAAACUUGUCGAUUGGCAUUUUAAAUGAACAAGAAGCCUGGAGAUUGUUCAAGAUAAUGGCUGGUGAUUAUGUUGAAAAUCGUGAGUUAAAAUCUGCAGCAACAAGUGUAGCCAAGGCAUGCGGAGGUUUGCCUAUUGCCCUAACCACAGUAGCAAAGGCACUGAGAAAAAAAGAGCUGCCUGUGUGGAAGAAUGCCUUGCAAGAGCUCCAAACGCCUUCAGAGGCGAGCGUCGACGAAGGAGUACCAGCAGAGGCAUACUCAACAAUUGAGCUGAGUUACAAGUACUUAAGAGGUGAGCAACUCAAGAAAACUUUUUUACUGUGUAGUCUUAUUACGCCAGCACCAAUUAUGGACUUGUUCAAAUAUAGCAUGGGCUGGGGUGUAUUUAAAAGUGUCCACAAGCUAGAAGAUGCACAUAACAAAUUAGAUGCAUGGGUCCAUCAACUAAGAGACUCUUGUUUGCUGCUUGAGGAUGGUGGCAGUAAAUACUUUUCUAUGCACGACGUUGUUCGCGAUGUUGCCAUUUCAAUUGCAUGUCGUGACAAAAUUGGAUUUGUGGUGAGAAAUGGCCAAAUGCAGAUGAAUUAAAAAAAUAUCUUGCAAUUUCUUUAAAAGAUAGUAUUAUUAAUGACAUUCCUGAAGGGUCCGAAUCUCUACAACUUGAACUUCUACUCAUGUCUCCCAAGAACUCUUUUGCUGUGCCUAAUAUUCCUGAGAACUUCUUCAAAAGGACGAAAAAGCUUCGGGUUUUGGAUUUGACUAGAAUGCGGUUAUUGUCAUUGCCAUCUUCAAUUGGUCUUCUAGUAAAUCUUCAGACACUUUGUCUUAAUCAAACCAUUUUGGGAGGCAUAGACAUAGCCAUUAUUGGAAAGUUGGAAAAUCUAGAAAUCCUCAGCUUCGUGCGGUCUGAUAUGGUGCAAUUGCCCAAAGCACUUGGUCAACUGACUAAGCUAAGGCAGUUAGAUUUAACUGACUGUUUCCGUCUAAAAGUUAUUGCUCCAAAUGUCAUAUCAAGCUUAAUCCGAUUAGAAGAAUUGUAUAUGGGUAAUUGCUCCAUUGAAUGGGAGGUUGAAAGAGCGAACAGCAAAAGAAGUAAUGCUAGCCUUGAUGAAUUGAUGCAUUUACCUCGGCUAACCACUCUAGAAAUUGAUGUUAAAAAUGAGAGUAUGUUACCAGAAGGCUUUUUGGCCAGAAAGCUCGAAAGGUUCAAAAUACAUAUUGGAAAUGGGUUAUUCACACAUCCCAUGCUUUUUAGACAACAGUGGUUUAAAAGUCGGCAGCACUUUUGGAUCAACAGUAAACGCAAGAGUUUAAGAGCAUUGAAGCUCAAGCUUGAUUUUAUGGACAUUUGCUCCAUGAAAUUGCAGGGCAUCAAUAACGUUGAAUACUUAUGGUUGGACAAGCUGCAAGGCAUCGAGAAUGUUCUUUUCAAUUUGGACACGGAGGGCUUUUCACAAUUGAAGCUUCUCUGGGUUCAAAAUAAUCCUGACUUCUUUUGUAUCGUCGAUUCAAGGGAGAUGGUCGCUUGUGAUGCCUUUCCUCUUUUGGAGUCACUUAUCCUUCACAACUUGAUCAACAUGGAGAGGAUAUGUAUUGAUCGGCUCAAAGUAGAGUCUUUCAACGAACUCAAAAACAUAGAAGCAUAUAAUUGUGAUAAAUUGAGUAAUAUCUUUUGGCUCUCUACUACAAAAUGCCUUCCAAGACUUGAGAGAAUUGCAGUUAUUAAUUGCAGCAAGAUGAAAGAGAUUUUUGCAAUUGGGGAAGAAGUUGAUAAUGCAAUUGAGAAGAUAGAGUUUGCUCAAUUAAGAUCUUUGAGUCUGGGGAAUCUUCCAGAGGUUACAAGUUUUUGCCGCGAGGUGGAGACUCCUUCAGCAUCACCAAACAGACAAGUGUCGCAAGAGGAAUCGACGACUAUGUAUAGCUCCAGCGAAAUCACUUUGGAUAUUUCAACUCUGCUUUUCAACGAGAAGGUGCGUAGGCUAACAGAUUUUAUUCUAUCAUGCGUUCUGUUUUGAUGUCAUACGUGGAAAAUAAUUAAAUCAUUUAAAGAAUUGAAAGAAAAUGGAAAAAAGGAUAAAAAGAAUCUCACGCGCUCACUAAUUGAGCUCUUAACAAGUAGUAUGAAUUAGAAUGCAUACUCAGCUGUCAGUUGGAAAUUGAUUCUGACUUGCAUUAAUUUGUAAUCAAAGAAGAAAAUUUCAACAAGUGCUUCCCAUAUGGAUAUUGGAUCUAACGAGAAAUUCUUAUUUUUUUAGGUAGUGUUGCCUAACUUGGAGGCUUUGGAGAUAUCUACAAUUAAUGUCGACAAGAUUUGGCACUACAAUCAUCUUCCGGUCAUGUUUCCUCGCUUUCAAAAUUUAACACGAUUGAUUGUAUACUGCUGUAUCAAAUUAAAAUACAUAUUUUCAGCGUCUAUGAUCGGAAGCCUGAAGCAGCUCCAACACCUAGAAGUAUGCUUAUGUGAGGAUUUACAGGAGAUCAUUUCUGAAAACAGAGCAGAUCAAGUGAUCCCUUAUUUUGUCUUUCCACAGCUCACCACUCUGAGACUCCAAGAUCUACCAAAACUUAGAUGUUUGUACCCUGGAAUGAAUACUUUGGAAUGGCCCGUGCUAGAAAUUCUUUUUGUGUAUGGUUGUGACAAAUUAAAGAUAUUCGCUGCAGAUUUAUCGCAGAAUAAUGAGAAUGAUCAACUUGGUAUUCCUGCACAACAGCCCCUAUUGCCGUUGGAAAAGGUAUGAAGUCAUUUUCUAGAUUUUUUAUCAAUAGCUUAUUUUUAACUUUGAAAAAUAUGACAAAGUAUCGAUAAAUUAAUACUCAAUAAAUUAAAAACUUUUAUUAUACAAUAAUCUUUGCUAGUCUAGACUAAGGGAUCAAUGUCGUAGAUUAAUAAUUAUAUGAACUGUUUUAGGUAUAGCAUUUAUAAAAGAAUCCUUAGUCUUUCCAUAUAGAAGAACUUACAAAAUAAAUUAGUAAUUUAUUAUUGUGCAAUAAAAUAAUUUCGAGCCAGUAUAAAUCAACCUUUUUUCCCUAAUUUCUUUUUUACCUCUAAAAUUAACAUAUAAAAUAAAUUUUAUCAAUAAUUCAAUUUUUUUUAAAAAUAUAAUAUAAAACAAAUACUAUAAAGUCACUGCAUGUGACCGUAGAUCAUCAAUUGACCUCAUUAGUUAUUAUGAUUGAUGAUGAUCAGAUCGUACCCAACUUGAAGAAACUAUCACUAAGUGGAAAAGAUGUGAAGAUGAUUUUGCAGGCCGAUUUUCCACAACACCUUUUUGGCAGUCUUAAACAACUAGAGAUUGUUGGAGAUGACUCAGCUUGUUUUCCAAUCUGGAACGUACUGGAGAGAUUUCACAAUCUUGAAAUGCUCAUACUGCGUUAUUUUUCAUUCAACGAAGAGGAAUUUUCGAAGGAAGGAUGCUUAGAGAAACAUGUGGGGAAGUUGGCAAUGAUAAAAGAAUUACAGCUGCACGGGCACGAUCAUCUUGAGCAGCUGUGCAAACAAGACUCCAAACUUGGCCCCAUUUUUCAGUAUCUUGAAAUUCUAGGAGUAUAUUAUUGUCAAAGUGUGUUAAUUCUAUUGCCAUCAUCAUCGGUAUCUUUUCGGAACCUAACAGAACUUGUAGCUUUCGGUUGCAAGGAAUUGAUACACUUGGUAACAUCCUCCACAGCAAAAACUCUAGUGCAACUCGUCACAGUGAGUAUACAUGGAUGCAGAGCAAUGACAGAGGUGGUAAUAAAUGACAAAGAUGGAGUUGAAAAAGAAGAGAUUGUUUGCUGCAAAUUGAAGAUGUUGGGACUGUUUGAUUUAGAUAGCCUCACAAGUUUCUGCUCUGCCAAUUACACCUUCAAAUUCCCAUCUUUACAAGAUUUGAAUGUGAUUGGUUGUCCCAAGAUGAAGAUUUUCACUACAGGAGAAUCAAUCACGCCUCCAAGAGUAAAUGUCUGGUAUGGAGAGACAGGGGAUCGAUUGCUUUGGACCAAUAAUGAUCUCAACACAACCAUACAACAAUUACAUGCUGAAAAGGUACGGAUAUACAUAGUACUCUCUAUCUCCCAUGGAAACAUUUUACAAAAUUUUUAUUUUAAUAAAAUAUAGAUAAGAUAUUUGUUAUAAAGUAAAAGUUUAAAUUGAUGAAUAAGAAUUUUAUUUUCAGCUGUUGGCGGUGCAGUCGGCGAUCUCUACCCAUUACUAAUUUCAUAGGCUUCUUAUGACUUGGGAGUUGUGAAUUUUUAGAAGAAAGCCUCAGCUGGUAAUUAAUUUUUAUUUCAUUUAUUUGAUCUCAUGGCUUGUUUCGCAAUUUCAUCUGAAUUAUUUAGAAUGGGUCAAUCGGCUUACUGUUAAAUUUGGAAUGCAAUUUUAAUGAUUCGUUCAGACUUUUGUGGACAGAUUUUGCAUCAUUGAAUGUCUUCUAGUCUAGUUUAAUUUGAGUAUUUUUUUCUUUUUUUCUAAAAUUUUAUAAUUCCUUGCAUACUUUGUAUGAUAAAAUUUCAUAAAAAGCCUUCAUAUUUUAUAAUUCCUUGAAAACAUCAUUGUUGUUCUGUUAUUUUAGUUUGUUCAUUUGGUUUGGUUUGCUUCACCCCUAUCUUUCUUUGGAAACUUUUUGUUUUUUUUUUUAUGAUCUUUCCAAAUGCUCUUUCCUAUGAACACAUAAUUAAGAACAGCUGAAAAUCAUUCAUCGGAUAAAAAAUUAAAAAUAAACAAAAUCUAAUCAGAGCAUUAUGCCUAGAACAAAUCCUUAGACCAUCAAAGCCAAACUCUUCGCUAUGAAAAACUAUAUUGUGGAAAUAUUGUUUGAAAACGUUGGACACCAAGAAAGGGACUAAUUUGGUCUAGUUUUAUGAGAAGUAUAGAAGAACGUUGUUUUCUCUGUUUUUCCUGUUAGAACUCUUUACUCUAUGAUUGUAGAAUGUCUGGAUACUGAUGAAGAUUCAGGUAACUCUUCUCCUGUGCAUCAUUUGAAAUAAGUUUUUUUUUUUUUUUUUGGUAAUAUCUCCUACUGGGUUAUAGUUCAUACAAAGAGAAAUUCUUAAAUCAAGCCGGAUACUGGUAGAAACAAGUGGGGAAGUAGGCACUGAUAAAAUGGUUAAUCCUGUCCAGACUUAAUCAUUGAAGCAACUCCAAAUUGGACUCCAUUUUAAAUAUUUUGACAUUCUAAGACUAUUUUACAAGCAUUUAAUGAAUGAAAGUCUAGUGCAGCUCGUAACAAUGAAGGUAGCUGGAUGCAGGGCAAUGACAGAGGUGGUAAUAGGUGACGGAGAAGAAGAUGGAGCACCAAAUUUACUUUAAAUUAAUGAAUGAAAGAAUUUAUUUUCUGCUGUUGGAGGAGUCGUCAUCUCUCUCGACAUAGUAUACGAUAUGUUUUGAUCCCAUAGGCUUUUUAAUAUAUUACCUUGUGUUGUUUGAUCUCUAGGUUUAUUUUAUCGUUUCAUCUUAUUAUUUGCAAUGCGUCAGUUGGUUUAUUUGUUAAUUUUGGAAUGAAGUUGAGCGGGUAUCUAUUCGGCAAGAAAUUCUGUUUAUUUCCUAGUUAUUUUACAAAGUUUAAGAGAUUUUCUUAUUUUUCUUAUUAUUUUCAAUAUUUUUAUAUUUUUUCUCUAAAUAUAAGAUUUUAAGUAUGAUUUAUUUUAUUUUUCUUAUUUCAGUUAGGAGAACGUUAUUAUGUAAUAAUAUUUUAAGUUUGCCUAUUUUGAUAAAUACAUAAUACUUAGAAUUUGUGUAAAAAGGGUCCAAUACCCUAAUUUUGUUAUUCAAACUUCUAUUAAUAAAAUUUCAGACUUUUUAAAAAAAAUUCUCUAUAUUUUCAAUCUCAACAUCUAUGUUUCCCUUUCAUCAUAAGUUUUAAUGUCUGGUUCUGAGCUAGCUUUAUGUGCAUAUUAAACAUCAUUGAAGGUCUUUUGAUCUAAGUUGUGAUCAAAAAAUUAUGCUCGCUUCUGUCUGGUCGUAUGAAAAUUGUGCAAAAUAAUAUUCUUAUAUAAUUUUUAUCCUCCAUUGUUACAAAAUCCCAAGCUUCGAAUUUGUAAACUUUGAAAGCAUGGCAGAAAACUUAGUACUUAAUAAGGCUCUGGAAUAAGACUCUUUAUGGCUUCAAUAUUUUAUUUAACAUGAAAAUUUCUUUCUAACUAGCAUCAUUGCGAAGAUAAAUUGUGGUAGUUCUGACAAGUACUGCACAAUUAAUGUUACCAGCAAUCAAUUGUUGUGAGCACCGACAACCAUUUUCAUAUUUAAGCCUUAAGAACAGUAACUCAAAAUAUGGCAAGUGGCAACCACAUCAAAUAAUCAAAUUGUUGAUAGAUUUAGAGAGCUUUAAUUUGCUUGAUAUAUAUUUGAAUAUUUCAACAGAUGCAUCUUUUCUCUACUCACGGGGCACGUUGAGUUAGAAACGGUUUGAAUGUCAAUAUUACUCCAAGUGCCUCAACCAAAUUCAGAAUGAAAAAAACCAUCUGGUUACCUGCACUUUAGUUUAAGCAGCUGAUUAAGUUAGUUAGCACCAAGUAAUUCACAUACUGGUGAGAAAUUUCAUUAGUAAAUCAUCAUACCGGGGAGGAAACCAGCAUCUUGACGCUUUUGUGACCAAGAAAAUCUGCACAACCCGAUUAAUCAAGUUGUUACCAAACAAAUGAUCAAUUUAAUCAUGCCUUAAUUUUUUCUUUUUUUUUUUUUGUGCCGGGGGGGGGGGGGGGGGGGGGGGGGGGAAUAAAAAUCGUAACUUCAUUUACAUAUAAUUUUACAAAAUCAAUAGGACACUUACGGAGCACCUCCUACAGUCAUAGCAAGUCCAUUGGCAGCUCCUCUUUGAUGCUGUUCCCGUUAUUGUGGCAUAAACCAACAAAUUAAAUUUAAACUUUGACACAUACAAAAUUUGAUAAGGCUGAAAUCAUGGAAAUGUACUAAACAAAUAAAAGAAAAAAAUAUUUACCACUGCUCUGUUUUGAAGAAGGAAUAAUCCAGUUAUUAUAGCCACCUGAUGUUACAAUUCAGGAAAAGUAAAAAAGAAUUACAAGAAUUCUAAUAAAAAAGACAUAAAAUAAUUUUAUACAUACUUGCUGAUGGAUAAUAUAACCUACGUAUAUGGAUCAAUGAUUAGGAUAUCCACUUACAGAUAAAACAUUCUUCAUCACAGAAGCACAGUUUAUCAAUAAGGCAAGGCUGAACCCAGAUAACAUUGCUAUAAAAGUGUAACUUGUCAAAAGCGCCAUCGAUAAAACCUGUACACACAUAGAAAAUUAUGGGACCAAAACCAUGAAGAAAAGUGUUUUAUAAACAAAUAUGUUUGAAACAAACUAUCAAAUGGUCUAAAUGCCACAUGGUGUGUUCAAAAUUUUACCCCUGCAAUGCGUGUUAUGAUUAUUGGCCCAAUGAUCCUCUCGACGUAAGGGUAUAGAGUGAGUUGAAAAAUAAGGAGGCUGAAUCUUGUAGUAAGUUCAAAAUGAGGACAAUCAUCAAGCAUGUGAUGGUGUCAAUGUAGUCAUUAUAAGAGAAGCGAAAGUUAUAUUUUAUAGUCUCACCAAUAAGAAAAUUUGAAGUUAUGGGAGAGUUGCUAUUACAUGUACAAUUCAGCCUGAAAAGAGAGCUAAAGGCUACGUACCGGAAUCCAGCAAGAAGCAAUAGUUACCGCAAAAGCAAAGAGUGACAUACAGAGACAGGGCAGAGAUGAAUUCAGUCAGCUGAAUCAAUUGAAGAGUGAAGUGCCAGCUCAGCUGAAGUUAGUUAGACACGUUUAGAUCAUAUUCAGUUAGUUUCUUCAUUUUCUGUUAAGCUGUAAACAGCUGAGUAUAAAUACAAGCAUCUUGUAAUCAUUGAAGUUUUAAGCAAAAUAAAAUAAAGCAUUUGAUUUCAUAAGUCUUUUACAAUUUUCUCAGCACUUGAAAAUACAUUUUCUCAGUAACCAAACAGUCUAUUCAUUCAAGCUUUUAAGCUUUCAAACAUGGUAUCAGAGCCAUACAGAGCUAGUUCCAGUAAUCAACAGUCAAGCUUUCGUAAUCAAACAACAAACAACACAAAUCAACCUACUCAAAUCAACUUCUCUUUUACUAAUCCUAUCAAGCUAGAUCGAUCAAAUUACUUACUCUGGCGUUCUCAAGUUCUAGCUUCAAUAAGAGGCAAUCGUUUGGAAGAUUUCGUCAUAGGAGACAGAUCAGUACCUGAUAAGUGUCUUCUGUUAACUGAAGCAGAUGGAUCUAUACAACAAAUUGAAAAUCUAGAAUAUCAGAUCUGGAGAUCACAGGAUUAGACACUUCUUGAUUGGCUACUGUCGUCAUUAAGUGAAGGUAUCUUAAGUCUUGUUAUCAAUUCUGAGAGUUCUUUUGAUAUAUGGAAAACUUUGGAAAAGAAAUUUGGAGUUCAAUCUAAAGCUCGACUGCUUCAGCUCAUAUAUGAACUAAACACUAUUAAAAAGGAAGCUCUUAGUGUUGAAGAUUAUUGUAUUAAAAUGAAAGCAAUAGCUGAUAAGCUGGCCAGUGCUGGUAGUUCCAUUACAGAGAAGGAUCUUAUGUUAACUAUUCUUAAUGGAUUAGGACCAGGAUAUCGUGAUAUUGCUACAUUUAUAACUGGUUCACAAAUGGAAUUUGAUGAUGUUUAUGCACUGUUACUCACUCAUGAGACUAGAUUAGAGCAGGAGCAAGGUGACAAAAGUAUGUUUAAUGCAAACUAUGCAUAUACGAAUGCAUAUUAUCCUAGAGCUUAUUUUGCACAGCCUAGAGGAAGUUUUAAACGAGGAGGUUAUUCUGGUGGUAGAACUCCUUUCUUUGGCAGAGGAAAUAUGAAUUACUCUCCAAGAAUGUUUAAUGGAGGUUUUAAAAAUGGAUAUGGCAGAGGAUUUUUUUCCUGGAAACAACUGAUUUCAAUCAUUUUCCAGCUCCUAGGAAUCCAGUACCUAGGAACUCAUCUUUUCUAACUAGAAAUGGAUCUGCUAACAUGAGUGGAUCACAAGGAAGUUUUAAUAAUGCUGGGGAGCUGGUAUGUCAGAUUUGCUUUAAGAGUGGUCAUACUGCUGAUGUCUGUUGGCAUAGAUUUGUUGAAGACUUUGUACCUGUUCCAAGAGGUUUUGGCAGGGGAAAAACACCAAGAGCAGCAUAUUUCUCAAACUUUGAUGGCUCUACUUCUAAUCCAGAUUUUGGCUAUGAAAAUCUUAAUAAUAUGUUUCCAGGUUAUGAUUCUAUGUCUGGCAAUAGUUAUUAUUAUGGAAUGGAUAGAUACACUUCUGGAGCAGCUGGAACAGCCUUUAUGGCUAAUUUUGAAGGAACUGCUGAUGAUGGAUGGUAUCUGGAUAGUGGGGCAACUCACCAUUUAACCAACAACAUGGAGAAUUUGCAGAUCAAUGAAGAGUUUAAAGGUACUGAUCAGCUUAUCAUUGGAAAUGAUCAAGGUUUGUCUAUUACUCAUGUUGGACAUGCAUUUCUGGUGUUAAGAGCUUCUAAAUCCUUAUCUACACAUGCUAGAAUAACACUUAAAGAUAUGUUACUUGUUCCUUCAAUUACCAAAAAUCUAUUAAGUAUUUCCAAACUCACAUCUGAUAAUCCUGUAUAUGUUGAAUUCUGUGGAAAUGUUUGUUUUGUGAAGGACAUGAAAGGUCAAGUUCUUCUGCAGGGUAUUGCUGAAAAAGGCCUUUACAAGCUGCUGCUGAACUCCAAUUCUCUUUCUUCAUCACCUACAUCCUAUCUUUGUAAAUCCCAGCCAAAUAAACCAGUUUCUAUGUUAUCUGCUUUCAAACACUGUGAUAAUGGUACUCGAGCUUGCUAUCAGUCUGUUUUAAAUAAGUGUAAUGCCAAACCUGAUAUAAUAACUUUGUUACAUAGAAAGUUUGGUCAUCCAAGCUCAAUGACAUUGGUGCAUUUGCUUAAAUCAUGUAAACAAUUUAAAGUCUCUUCAAAAGACAUGUUAUCUUCUGCAAAUACUUUAUGUGAAGCAUGUCAGCUAGGCAAAGUCCAUAAGCAACAUUUCUCAAUAACCGAAACAAAAACAAAAGGGGUAUUAGAAUUGAUCCAUACUGAUCUUUGGGGGCCUUCACCCACUAUGUCUAGAGAUGGAUACCAAUACUACAUUAGUUUUGUGGAUGAUUAUACUAGGUACUCUUGGAUCUAUCCUCUUAAGCUCAAAUCACAAGCAUUUGAAGUUUUUAAAUUGUUCAAAACUCAAGUUGAGAAUCAAUUUGAUACCAAAAUUAAGAUGCUACAAUCUGAUCUUGGGGGAGAGUUUAGAGUGUUUACUGAUUUUCUUAAUCAAAAUCGAAUAAUUUUUAGACACUCAUGUCCUUACACCCAUCACCAGAAUGGUCUUGUUGAGAGGAAACACAGGCAUAUAGUUGAGCUAGGCUUAACUCUCAUGGCUCAAGCAAACCUUCCUCUUCAAUUCUGGUGGGAAGCUGUUCAUACAGCAGUGUAUCAUAUUAACAGAUUGCCUACCCCUGUUAUGAAAUUCUUAUCUCCUUAUGAGAAACUUUUCAAACACAAACCAGAUUACACAUUCCUGAAGUGUUUUGGUUGUCUUUGCUAUCCAUACUUGGGAGAUUUUAACAAACAUAAGUUUGAUUUUCACACUUCUAAAUGCAUCUUUAUUGGAUACAAUCCCUCUUACAAAGGAUACAAGUGCUUAGCAAGUUCUGGUAAAGUCUAUGUUCUUAGACAUGUUAUUUUUUAUGAAAACACAUUCCCUUAUCCAAUAAACACUACAUCUCACUCAUCAGAAAACCCCAUAUCUUCUUAAACCUCAGUGUCUAAUUUCUCUCAACAACAUAUCUAUCAUCUUUCUACAAUGGCCUUACCCAACAGCAGCUUUGAAGGUCUUCAGUCAGCAGGCUCAGCAAGAAAUGAACAAAUUCCCUUUGUUCCCACACAUACAAAUAUUCUGAAUCAACAAGAACAUCCAUCACACACAUCUUUAGAGUUAUCAUCCUCAACCUCACCAUCACCAAACACAUUACCACUACAAUCAUCCAUUCUACAACCAGAGGAAAUUUCUAUUCCACAGAACACAGACCAAAUUCAAACCAGAAGUCAUUCUCAACCAUCUUCUCAUCCAAUGAUUACAAGAUCAAAAUCUGGAAUCUUCAAACCAAAGGUUUAUACAGUCACCUUAGCCAACAAAGAACUAAUACAGUUCAAGAAGCUCUUAGCAGUCAGAAUUGGCAUCAGGCCAUGGUAGAUGAGUAUGAAGCUUUGAUAAAGAAUGAGACUUGGUCACUAGUACCAUUUUCAAAUGCAUACAAAGUAGUUGACAACAAAUGGGUGUUUAGACUCAAGCAAAAUACUGAUGGAAGCAUAGCCAAACACAAGGCCAGGUUGGUUGCCAAAGGUUUUCAGCAAAUUGAAGGUGUAGAUUACUUUGAGACUUUUAGCCCAGUUGUAAAAGCUUCAACAGUAAGGAUUGUUUUGAGUUUAGCUGUGAUGCAUAAAUGGAAAAUAAGGCAAGUGGAUGUGAAUAAUGCCUUUUUGAAUGGAGAAUUGACAGAAGAUUUCUAUAUGGAUCAGCUUGAAGGUUUUAUUGAUCAACAAAAACCCAAUCAUAUAUGUAAGCUGAAGAAGGCCUUGUAUGGCUUGAAGCAAGCUCCUAGAGCUUGGUAUGACAAGCUUAAGAAUUGUCUGAUUGCUACUUGGAAAUUUCAGAAUUCAAAGGCUGAUACCUCUCUCUUUUUCAAAGAAGUGCAAGGCUCAAUGACACUUAUCGUAAUCUAUGUUGAUGACAUUCUAAUAACAGGACAUGUUAAUGAUGAGCUGGAAAAAUUCAUCUCAGAAUUCAGUAAGACUUUUGCCUUAAAAGACUUGGGAAUUCUAUCAUAUUUUCUGGGGAUAGAAGUUUCCUAUGUUGAAGACUGCAUCUAUCUAUCUCAGAAGAAAUAUAUCUUGGAUUUGUUAUCCAAAGCUGAUAUGCAGAAUUGUAAAGGCUGUGACACUCCCAUAGUUACUGGAUCAAAGCUUCAGAAAGAGGUCAAAGGCUGUUUGGCUCAAUAUAUUGAGGAUGCAACAAGCUAUAGAAGCUUAGUUGGAGGUUUACAAUAUCUGGUAUUAACCAGACCAGAGAUAACAUUUGUUGUGCAUAAGUUGAGCCAAUAUGUGACAGCUCCAACACUCCAGCAUGUUAUGGCUUGUAAAAGAGUUCUCAGAUACCUUAAGGAAACUAUAGAUUAUGGUUUGAAGUUUUCAGCAGGUGGGGAAAUGAAGAUCACAGGAUUUACAGAUGCAGAUUGGGCAUGUGAUGUUGAUGACAGAAAAUCAAUAGGAGCAUAUUGCAUCUAUUUUGGAAACAAUCUAAUUUUAUGGUCAUCCAAGAAGCAGGCUGUGGUUACACGAUCCAGUGCAAAGAGUGAAUAUCGUGCUCUGGCUUCUGCAAGUGCAGAGAUAACAUGGAUCCAGUCAUUAUUCAGUGAACUUAGCAUUAAGUGUACUUCAUUACCAACUAUCUGGUGUGAUAAUAUAAGUGCAACAGAGUUAGCUAAGAAUCCAGUUUAUCAUUCAAGGACUAAACACAUUGAACUAGACAUGCACUUUAUUAGAGACAAAGUUUUGGCAAAGGAGUUGGAGAUUAACUAUAUUCCCAACGAGGAGCAAAUUGUUGAUGCUUUGACAAAGCCUCUGACAUUCAUUCACUUCAAUUAUUUCAGGGCCAAACUCAAUGUGCAACCAUGCCCUUGAGUUUGAGGGGGGCUGUCAAGGAAGCUCAUAAUGCAUGGAAGGAUGCAGCACACGUGUGAGAUGAAUGCAGUCAGCUGAAUCAAUUGAAGAGUGAAGUGCCAGCUCAGCUGAAGUUAAUUAGACACGUUUAGAUCAUAUUCAGUUAGUUUCUUCAUUUUCUGUUAAGCUGUAAACAACUGAGUAUAAAUACAAGCAUCUUGUAAUCAUUGAAGUUUUAAGCAAAAUAAAAUAAAGCAUUUGAUUUCAGAAGUCUUUUACAAUUUUCUCAGCACUUGAAAAUACAUUUUUUCAGUAACCAAACAAUUUGUUCAUUCAAGCUUUUAAGCUUUCAAACGGGCAGGAAGUAAGGAAACCUGCAUAAAUUUGUUUUUCAGAAUACCAUCAUUUUGAAAGUACUACAGAAAAAGAAAAGGCUAAUGGCAGUAAAAAUUCACUUACUUUCCAAACAUAGAUUCUUUGGAAAAUGCCUUUGGAUAUUUCUCUGCUGGCUAGAUUGCAAAAUUAUCCACGAAUAUAUAUAAGAACAAUAUUUAUCAAGCCAAACUACUAAAAAUUCAAAAAAAAAUGCCCAUAAUAAUCAAGUAAAAAUUGCAGAACCCGGGCCAGAAAGCCACCCACUGCAGGGCCAAUAAUCAAUCCUGUGCCCCAUGCUGUACUGAGCUGAAAUUAUAUUGUACCUAAAAAUGUAACUUUUAGAGUCUCUAGCCACUGAUGAGGACACGUCUUUUGUCUGCUAGCGGAAAGCGCGUGACGGCAUGUUUUUUGUCAGAGCCUAGAGACGAAGAGGGAAGGAAAAAAAAAUAUCAUUAAUUUUUUUUCCUCUCUCGGUGGGCCCCACGUAAGGUGGGGCUUUGGUUUUUGUCGCAUUCUGUGGAGGGUGUAUAUCUAAAUCAACCCCUUGAAUACGGACACGUGUCGAUCUCAGAGAAACUCACGUUUUGUUGUUGGGACCCAUUAAUUCCCGUAAAAGUCCUAUUCUUAAAACAAGUCGAUACGAUGAUCAAUACUCCGCCUGUGGGUCCCGGCGACGACCCCCUACGCUGGGCAGUACAACACUCAAAAAUCGCCACGUGUUAUAUUUUAAAAAGCUUUGGGGGAGCGAAUCGAUAGAUUUUUUCUUUUCGUGACAAAGCACGCGGGGGGGGGGGCCUCCCUGGUGGAUUUGCCCGCCGUUGAUCAAUUUGUUUGAUGAUAAAGAUUCAAGCAAUCAUACACGAACUUGAUUCAAUGGAGCUUCAAAAGAUUGGCAUUGCAGUGAAGUCCUGAGUCUUCUACUCAUCUUUUAACAACCUUUGCAGAAGCACAACAACAGGGACAAAUUCUGCAUAAUCGGGAAAAGAAAAAUCAGAAGACGUCAUAUUGAAAUGCAUUCAUAUUAAUUUGACAAGAAGAGAAUCAAACGCAGACCUCGUUAAAAAUCUUGUAUGCAUACGCAUAUAAGAGAAGUUCAAUAAUUGCGACGCAGGAUCAUUGCCGAAGCAUUAAACAAAUACGAGGCAGAGAAAGAGGAGCUCUGAGGAAGAGCGUGUUAGUGUGGUAAUACAAUAUCCUCGAUGCUUGCUGAAUGGUGGACAGUGGCGUUGGAAUAUCAUCUAAUAAAAGGAGAGAAAGAGGUGGCAACUGGCAAAGUGGGUGAGUGAAAGUUCAAGGCUGAAGCGGUUGGCUAAACUUUGUUAAAAAGAUGCACAUAUUGAUAAUAAUAUACGACCGUACGUUGUCUGUUAACUUGGAACUCUUUAGCAUUUAAGCGAGUCUCUCUCUCUCUCUCUCUCUCUCUCUCUCUACGAUUGGGAAUUGGGAUUUCGGAUCGGGAUCUACCGUAUUCUCCGUCUAUCCUAUGCAUGUCAUCAUACAUCAGUAAGCGUGCGUGCCUCUGCGUCUCCCCCUCUCCUUUUUACACAACUAUUUACCGUUACUAUUUCUUUGUCAAUUCCCUUAUUUCGUGGUACUUGUAAUAAGACGAAAUUAACAAAGGAAGAAAAUGCUAAGGUACUUCAUUAGGCACAUUUCUCAUGCGUACUUGAAAGUAAUCAGAACCGUUGAUCUUUCCCCGAUGGGCCACCCACUGCAGGGCCAGUAAAAUUUUCUCAAGACCUUUGCAAUCAUACACGAACUUUGCAAUCAUACAUUCCUAAAGUUUGGUGUUUAUGGCGCAAUAUUUCACAUGCAUAUGCCUGGUGUAAGAGAAGUUUGAGCACAAAUAUUUGCAAGAAUUAAAUUGGAAUUAUCAACAAAUACCCCAAUCAAUACCUUUAUUGCUCCAAGUAAACCAUUCAAAGCCCCAAGGAGAAACCUUGUAGCUAUGGCCAUCCAGAAAUUCACACUAAGCCCAAAGAGAGUGUUAAAAAUAACCCUGUGAGCAUUUUAAGACAAAUAAGAAACCCAGAAAUUGCCAACGUAUCAUCAAUUUCAAGCUUAAUCAUUUGAAAAUAGAGGUCACUAACAAUGUGAUGCAUCCUAUUAUUAUUACAGGCUUUCGACCGAAGCGGUCAGCUCCCAUUCCCCACAAAAAAGAUGUUAAAGCUCUGCCAAGCAUGUAUGAAGACCCUUCAAUUUCAUCAAGGUAUUAAGAGGUUUGUCAGGAUGGCUUCUUGAGGAAUUUGAAAUGUUACAUACAUAUAUGUUAAUUAUUUGUCAGGAUGGCUUCAAUUUCAUCAAGGUAUAAAGGCGCAAGUCUGCAGUGUAAAACCCUUGUACAGUACCUUUACAGUGUCGUAAAGCCCUCGGUAGAAUGUUUUUACAGAGUUGUAAAGGCGCGAGUCUGCACAUUUGUACCAAAAAAGGACUCCAUACCAUGUGUCAUUUAUUAAACACAAUAAAAUUAUAAAAAUACAUAAAUUAACUCACCCACGUAACCAGCAUAGAAUCCAAUAUCUUCCUCCCUUUUUGCAAUGUGAAAAUCCCUAAUCUGAAAAGAAAUCAUAACAUACUGUUGUGAAAAAGCAAUGAAUUGUUUGAUAGAUAAAACUUGUCUUUUCUUAUAUUUCUAAGAAAAUCAGCAAGCAUGAUAGAAAAAUAUAAAUUUUCUCACUAGUAACUACUCUGGUGAAGGCAACAACAGUCCACUCACCAUAAAAUAAAGAAAGGGAAAGAGAGAUGCGACCGGCAGAACUGAAAAAAAAAAAAUCACCAAAGAAUUAAGGACAAAACUAGAAGAGCACAAUAGGCCAAAAUCAUUGUAAAUGGUUCUCUCAAAAAUCAUUAUAUCGAGUUGAAGUUGAAAAAUUUACCAGUUGCAAGCACAACAAUCUAAAUUAUAAAAAGCUUGCGAAUUGGUAAGCCUCGUUCCGACUCUUUAAGCUUAUCAACCUUACAGCCUGAGCAGUUCUCAUAAUAUUUCUUCUUCAGCAGCGGCUCUCUCACUUUCGCCUCCGCCAUACUUGAAAAAUUUUCAGCUCAAGUAAUCGUCUUAGUCUAUGCAAUCCAAUUUCAAUGCCUAAAUAUAAGUACUAGAAAAUAAGUAACAAAAUCAAUAUGCUUAAGGAUAUAGUAGAACUAUAUAAGUGAUCAUUUAAAGAAUUUUCAAUAGAAUUGUAAAAUCAGUUGAUUUUGCAGCUGGGUCUGUCACCACCAUGGUAAUUAAAAUUAUUGGAUCCCAUGUAAAACAAAAUUUUUUCAUUACAUGCCCUCAUUGCUGACGUCCAAUUAAUCAUUACUCUUGUGAGAAUAAUUUUUGGUGACAAGAACGGCGGCAUCCUAGGACGUGACAAAAUAGUCACAAAAAUCCCUUAUUUUAAAAAAUGAUCAUGAAAAUUUAUCCACGGACACACAAAUUCAGGAUCUAUGUAACUAUUUUUAAAUACAAAAAGAGGUCUAUAUAUAUAUUUGAAAAUAAGGGAUAUUCAUGAUUACCAUGUUAAGCCACGAGAUGUCGUGCUGUUUUUUUAUUUUUCAUUAAAUCGUUGUUACACAAUUCGACAUGUAAAAGUAAUUUUUUUUUUUUGAGAGAUGGUAACAAACAUAGUGACAAAACUAUCAAAGUACCGUCUAAUGAUGAAACUAAUUGUUAAUUAAUUAAUAAAAAUACUAAGGUGACGUUUGUUUUUUAACUUAAUGACUUAAAGUGACUUAACUUAAUUAAUUAAGUUAAUUAGAGGUGUUUGUUUUUAUAACUUAAUGAGACUUUUUAGAUAAUUUUGACUUAAUAAAAUAAGCCAAUUUUUUUAGUUUUUUACUUAAUGGAGAAAUUUGAAUUAAGUCAAUUACUUACUAAUGUCAAAAAUAUCCAUGUUUUAUAAUUUAUUUUUCAUGUCUAUCCCAAAACUCACCCAUAGACAUUUAUCCCACAUAAAAAUAUCCUUGUUUUUUCUUUCUUAUAUUAUAUAUGAUAAAAUUUAAAAUUUAUGGUAUUUUAUAUAUAUAAAUUCCAAAAUAAUUAUGUAUUCACUUGAAUAUAGUUUUACUUAUAAAUGUUAAAAUAUUGUGGUAUUUAAUAUAUUAUUUAUUUGACUUUCAAAUUUAAUAAGGAUACAAAAGUAAAAGUACAUAUUUUCAGUUGAAAAAAACAAACAACUUAAUACUUAUUUUCUGAGAUUCAGACGAAAAAACAAACAUGUUAUUUAGAUUCAGACAUUCAGAUCUAUUCAGAAUUCAGACUAAUUCAGGUCUAUUCAGAUUUCAGACAAAAAAACAAACGCCACCUAAGUGAUUGUAGCAGUUCCGGUCACAGUCACAGUCAAAUACAAUUAGGAUAAUUUAAUUUAAAUAAUGUGUAAUUUAGCGUUAGCCCCAAUUGUUUUGACAUUUUGCAUUGUGCCCCCCAAUCUUCCGACCAUGUCCACCACCCUCAUUUCUUUCAAAUCUAAUGUUAACGGAAAGAGGGGUAGAAUGGUAAUUAACACAAAAUUAAAAUAAUAUAUAUAAUUAAAAAAAAAACCCUUUUUUCCUUCGCCGCCUCUAUAAUUUAAUUUUGGGUUUGAUAUCUUUAGUUUUAAGAUUUUUGAUUAUUGAGUUUCUUUUUAUCGAAUUUUCUUAGUAUGAAUUUAUUUUGUAAUAGAAUUUUACAAUGAAAUUUGCUCUCAGGGAUUUUGGUAUCAUUAGUUUAGGGUUUCUUUCUAUUGGGUUUUAUUUAUUUUGGUGGGAUUAUUGGACUUAUUUUGUAAUGUACUGAUGAAUGUGUGUUUGAUUUUUUUCUUUCACAUUGGAAUCAUGCUUUGCCUCUGAUUUUGUAAUUUACUAGGUUAUAAUCUUGGGUUCGUAAUCCGGAAAAAAAUUGUUUCCAUAUAAUUUUAAAAAUAUUAUAAUAAAUUUUUACUUUUUGAUUUAAAUUUUAUUAGUUGUAAGGGUAUUUUAGUACUUAUAUACCCAAUUCAUUUCAAAACAGGGGGUAGUAUAGUCUUUUAAAUUUAUAACAGCCUAAAUAGUUAGAUUAGUUGAUUUUUUAAUAGAAAUAGGGGGAGGUGCACAUGGUCAAAAGAUGUGGGUGCGCUGUGUGAAAUACUGAACAAUUGGGGGCUGAUACUUAAUUAUCCUUAAAUAAAUUAUUAGUUUAAUGGAAGGAACAAAAUUCAGGAAAAGAGGAAUCAAACUGCAAAAGGAAUUAGGAUACCUGAAAAGAAAGAAUGAAAAUAACUUUUUUUUAAAAUUAUUUAUUUGGACAUUGUGACAAACAAGUGAUGUGCAUUGUUAAUUCUGAUUACCCCAAAAUGUCGAGUCUUUAAAAACGACAACAUUACAUGAUUCAUGAGAAUCCUAUCACUUUGAGAUUAAUUUAAUUAAAAAAAAGUUCCGUUUGCUUAAUACUAAAAUGUCACACUGAUCCAUAGUUGAGCCAAUUAUCUAGUUAAAAGCUACCUCCAUAUUUUUUAUUUUUACCCUAAUGCAUGUUUGAUUCUUUUAAAAUUUUACGUUAUAUAUAUUAAACAAAAAUUAUAAUUUUAAUCAUUGGAAAAUUAAUGACAGACAUCUUUUGAAUAAUUUUUUUUUUUGAAAAAUACAGAGCUAGAGAUAAUGCUAUAAUUGAUUGAAUAAGAAGGCUACAACUUGAUGAUAACCUUAUUGCAAUGUUGCGUGAUCUCAAUAUAUUAUUGGCUUUUGUGUGAGUAAAAGUUGCUGGCUCGUGUUUUACUAAUUUGCCUUUGUAUUUGACUGGCUCGACAAAGAAUCGAUUUACCUCAUACUCAAAUUACAAACAUCAAAACCGGAUCUGUCAUUACGUUAAUUGGCCUCCUAAAAUAAUCAAUCACUUUCUCUUUAGUCUACCAUCCACUCUUUCCAGUCGUUAAUUAUUCUGUACCCAUCAGCUCUUUUAGCUCUUUACGUCGUGAUAGAAACCCUUUUCUUGUUUCCUUCAUCUCAUCUGAAAAACACAAUUGCUUGUCCUAUCGCUGUCUCUUUGUUUUUACUUUCGUUUGGCCUUCUUCGCUUCUACGUUUUUGUCAGGCUUCGAGAUGCUGGAAAUCAUUGUGACUAUCGUCUUGGAACUUGUAAAAUGCUUGGCUCCUCCAACUGCACGCCAACUUGUUUAUUUGCGAAAACGGAACUACAAUGCCAACUUUGAGAAUAUCAAGGCGGAAAUGGAGAAGUUGAAGGUUGAACGUACGAGCAUUCAGCGCAGGGUUUCAGAGGCGAAAGAAAAAGGGAAAGAGAUUGAAGAGAAGGUUGAAAAGUGGCUGGUUAGUGCGAAGUGCGAACGGCAUCAUUGACCGGGCAGCCAAAUUCAUUGAAGAUGAGGAGUCAACGAAUAAGCGCUGUGUGAAGGGCUUGAGUCCUAUUUGGAAGAGUCGCUAUCAGCUUAGCAAGAAAGCAAAGACGGAGGUGAAGGCCAUUAUUGAACUUGGAGAAGAAGUUAAGAAGUUUGAUACUGUUUCCCACCGUACCAUUCGGGAGGAGAUAUGGUUACGAGGCCUUCGAAUCAAGACUUCCUACUUUGCAGUCUAUAAAAAAUGCAUUGACGGAGGCGAAUGUCAGCAUUAUUGGGGUGUACGGCAUAGGCGGCAUUGGAAAGACCACACUGGUGAAGGAGUUUGCUAGGCAAGCCAGGGAAAAGAAGCUGUUGUAUCGGGUGGUUUUAUCAGAGGUUUCAUAAACUCCAGAGAUAAAAAAGAUUCAAGGGGAAAUUGCAGAGAAGUUAGGUCUGGAGUUGUCCGAUGAAGCUGAAUAUAGAAGAGCUAGCAAGCUGUAUGACCGAUUGAAGAGUGAGAAUAAGAUUCUUGUGAUUCUAGAUAAUAUCUGGAAACAUCUUGAAUUGGAGACGGUUGGAAUUCCUUUUGGAAAUAAUCAUAAAGGAUGUAGAUUGUUGCUGACAGCACGAGAUAAUACUGUGCUUUUAAGUAUGGGCUCCAAAGAUAACUUUUUGAUUGGCAAUCUAACUGAACAAGAAGCCUGGAGAUUGUUUAAGAUAAUGAAUGGUGAAGAUGUUGAAAAUUGUAAGUUCAAGUCUACAGCAAUUAAUGUAGUUAAGGCAUGUGGAGGUUUGCCCAUUGCGUUGAGGGCACUGAGAAACAAGAGUCUCCAUGAAUGGAAGAAUGCCUUGCGAGAGCUCCGAACGCCUUCAAUGGUAAACUUCGAAGGUGUGUCUGCAGAGACUUAUUCAAGUAUUGAGCUGAGUUUCAAUUAUUUAAGGGAAAUUAUCAUUUGUAUACCCUUAGUUUACUCCAUUAUCAAAAAUACUACAAUACUUUGAGGGUGUAUCAAUUGUCCACCCUAAGUUGACAAAAUGUAUCAGCUGACCACCAAACCGUUAGUUGCCGUUUAAGUAUGAUGACGUCAGAAGGGUAAUUUGGUCUUUUCAUAUGAUACAAGUGAUAAUUUAAGGGUAUAUAAGUGAUAAAAAGAGAAUUUAAGGGUAUACAAGUGAUAAUUUUCAAGGGUAAGAUUGUCAAUUCACUGUAACUCCGUUAACUUUCAAACGGCAACUAACGGUUUGGUGGUCGGCUGAUACAUUUUGUCAACUAAGGGUGGACGAUUGAUACACCCUCAAAGUGUUGUAAUAUUUUUGAUAAUAGAGCAAAUAUAGGGUAUAUGAAUGAUAAUUUCCCAUUAUUUAAAAGGUGAGCAAGUCAAGAAAAAUUUUCUGCUUUGUCGUCUAGUAGGUAACAGUGUUUGGUUUUCAGACUUAUUUAGAUACUCCAUGGGUUUGGGCAUAUUUCAAGGAGUCAACAUUCCCUUCAUAUUUACCAAAGGUAAGUGAUAAAUCCUACAUAUCCCACUCAAGAAUGCAUAAGUUUCUUCAAUCUCAAGUACCUAAAGUUUUCUUCUACGUUUAUAAAAAUUUCAGCACCAUCUCCCUAUAAUUCUCCAAGCUCACGACAUAGCUAUAUAAGUGUUUAUGUGUUAUGCCAAAACAACACAUGACACCCGUUCACCUAGAACGUACCCAGAGAACACGAGGAGCAGCUACUGAAAAAGCCAUAUUUAUGUGGAAAGAAAACUUCAGCUACUAGCUACCAGAGAGAACUAUGCAUUCCCAAACUGUCCAAGCCUGGACAAUUCAAGAAUUAUUAAUAGACAUAUGAUCCUCACUAUCAUCCAAAGAUGACACUAAUACAACAUGUGUCUAUUAAUAAUUUCUUAAACAAGUCUAAGCUUUCAAUGCACGUAUCAAAAGUUUAAAAUUGAAUCUGAAAUUUGAAUAACACAUAAAUAUCAUAAAUCUCUUCAAUUUAUUCCUGAAACAAUGUAGCAUUAUUUCACACGUCAUUUCUUAAGCAAAACCAUAAAAAAUACAAACGAUAAAUACAUUUUCCCACUGAUGCAGAUUAUGUUUACUGAGUAAUAAGUUUUAUGUCAUUCAUGUUGAAAUACUUCUGCCUAUUCUUUCAACAUAUAACUAGUACGUACACACAAUUAAUAAAUUUAAAAAAAAAAACUGGUGGUGAAUCUUGCAAAAUCUUCCUUUUUUCUUUUUUUUUUCUUUUUCUUCUUUUUUUUGGGGGGGGGGGGUGUGUUGGGGGAACUAUGAAUCUUGCAAAUCCUCAAGAAGCCAUGUUAAGACAAGGCCAGCUUACUAUUAGGGUAUGAAAGAUAAAACCUUUUAUUUCCUUUUCAGAAUAAAAAGGACAUUGACAGUGUUAAAAAAAAUCUAGAGGAUUUCAGGCCUCCAGAUCCUUACAAAUCAAGGAUAUUAAAAAAAAUUACUUAAGAGGAGAAAGGUUAUGCUCAUUUGUAUCUUGUUAGAAGAAAUUGAUCCAAAGCCUCAGUUUUAAUUUGCUUCAUAUAGCCAAUGACUAGGUGUUUAAAAACCAAUGAAUAUUUUUAUAAGAAAUCAACAAUAUUAUUGAAAGAAAAACCAAAUAAAAAUAAUAAAGCCAAUGAAUAGAUCAAGGCUCUUUGUGGUCUAAAACUAAUCAAACUAAGUUGUGGGCAAAGGCGAAUAUGUUUGUUUGGUCAAUAAUAAGCUCAACAAAUCACUAAUAAUCACCUAAUCACUAUUCCUUAUGCUAUGCAAUAUAAUGGCCUGGGUAAUGGCGCCAAGGCAGACAAUAAGUAGCUAGCCAGUUAUGAUAGUUGAUUAACUUAACCUACUGGAAAUCUGAAGACCAAAACGAAGAAGCUUUGUCUAGAACUAGAAUAGGAACGUUCGUACCCAAAACUAAUAUACACAAUUAAGAAACUUGAUUAUAUGUAUAUUUCUGUUGGCCACACUUAAAGAGAAUUUCCAAAAGAUGCUAAGGUACACCAAAUCCCACUAUUUCAUACUCAUAAACACAAAAAACCAUGGUAAAAAUUAAUGACUAUAUCAAAUAAAAUCGGUGAUAGGACGUUGAGAUUAGGACAACUUGAUUUGUAUACCGUAAAAUAACUAUAUCUGCAUGGUGAACUAUAUUUCUGUUAGAACUCUGAAGUUUUCUAUUAAAUUUUUUUCUCUGUUAGGUAAACCACUUAACUGAAGUGCUUAAGCCAAUUUUGACAAUCAUAGACAUAAAAGUAUUAAUAGGCUCAUUCAAGUGAAAUGAGCAUUAUUUCACACAUCCUUUAGGUUUUUAAGUCAUUUAGAAGUCAUUCAUGUUAAAAAAAAAAAAUUCAUAUACUUUCAAUAUAAUUAGAACAUACACAAUUAAUUAAUUAAAUAAAUCUGUUUCAGCUAGUAUAGGAACUUAAUUAAUCAAAGCUAGUAGUUAUAGCUAGGACUUGAACGAGGCACCUUUCAAAGUUCAAGAAGAGCAUCUGAACAUAAUGAAAGCACUUUCUAGAUAUGGUAAUGAUGCUUUACAUCUACAUGCUCUUACACAAUAUGAACUUUCAUUUACUCCAAGCUCUUAUUCUACAAGUCAAUUCAGUUUGUAGAUGCAAGCCAUUGUAAAAACUUUUGUAUUAUAAUUUCUGAAAAUAGAACGUAACAUUAUUAAUAUAGAAUCAGCAAUGUAUAUAACUUAUCAGACAAUAUAACAAGCACUUGGUGAGCAUACAAGAUAAACUAAAAUUUAAUAAUAUGUGGAAUUAAAGAUAAACUAAAAUUUAUGUUUAAACAUAAAUUUAAAGCAAAUCGAAUUGCAAAACAUUAGAAUGGAUGUUGGAAUUAAAGCUAAAUUCAAUAGUAAUUCAAAUGAAUCCAUUUGAACUUUGUAAAUUCCGCAGAACAAAAUUAAUUUGAGUGAGCAAACUCACCAAUGGAACAAGAACACAGGGGCUUCAACUUGUAGGAAUAAAAAAAUAUUGCUGGCGGGACAAAAAUUGACAAUAACGGCUACAAUACGAAUUAAAAAAAAAAUCAAAAUCUAUAAUUACAAGCUAAGUAAGAGAAGAAACUCAUAAUCACAAGCUUACCUCAAAAGAUGAAGGGAGAAUACGAUGAAGAAGAAGAUGCCCGGUGUUUUACGCCGUUCGCCGGCAACCAGUUAGGUUUACGAUGGUGGCUAGUCCAGCGAAUAGUUUUCUAACUGGAAAUAAAUUUAAAUUUCUAAAAUAGUACUAUACCGAACGGCUCUUCACCGUCACGUGGUUAGCAACACAUGUGACAGCAGUGUGGCCGUCACAUAAAGGGUAACAAAAGCAACUCGGGGUUACAAAGUUAGAAGUUAGUGGCAUGCGUAAUGGCUGCUUUUGCAUUCACAUUAGGGGUCACAUAUACCCUAUUUUCUUGUAGUACAUGGUAAUUUCUAUUUGAAAAUUGCUAAGUAUUUUAGAUUUGUACGAAUUCAUUUUUGUGUGCUCGUUGGAUAAUAAUAUAUAGUAAAUUAAAUUUUUGGUGUAAUUUUUACAAUAUUGUAUUAGAAAUAUGUCUCGUUGAAAGGUUUUGAAAUCGUUUUGAUUGAUCAUAAUUGAUAUUUCGACAGUUGCAAAAGAUGCCAGAGAAAAUUUGAUUAUCUUAAGAAAUGAGUGCAUGAGAUAUGAAAUCAACCAUACCAUAAAAUCAAAUUUUAUCAUGUCAUCCUUCCUGGUUCAAAUUUAUGGAAACAAUAAUCAAAUGCAUCCAUGAACUAGUAUAUUCCGACAUAUGUACCAUCAAAUUUUUGCUAUAUCAUACUUAUAUAUGUAUAUUGAAAUUUUAAUAACAACAAUUGGGCCAAGCAUAUGUUGGUACUUGAAUAUUUAUAAGCUCCAUCCUUGAAAAAAUAAGGCUUGACUGUUCUAAAUCUAAUUCUUUUUGUUUUAAGUUCUUAAUUAAGCUUUCUUGCUUGUUUUCAAGAGCCAGUUUUGUAAUGAUCCAUAAACAUGAUUUGCAUAUACAGUAUUGCACUUGGCAUAUACAGUAUUGCACUUGGCAUUUAUGUAUCACUUAUUAAUUAGAUUUAAAUUUUAUAAAUUAAUUAAGCUGAUUAAUAUUUUAUAUGUGCACUAAAUGAUAGAUACUACAUAAAUUGGGACACUAUAAGUACGUAUCCCAACUAUGUAAUAUUUGUUUGUCACAAACCCAAUCAUGACCUGAUAUUCUGAAUAUUAUUUAGGAUACCAUUUCAAGCCCCAUGAGGGCUCUUUCCAUUAAAAAAAAGUAUGAAAUAGAUGUAGAUUUUUCUUUAGAUAUUAUUAGUGAGAGUACCUUUGGUGGCAGUGGUCCGGGAUGAUUUGGGAUUUGACAAUUCUACUCUCAUCUUAAUUAUCAAAUGAAAUGUAAGUAGAGAUAAACUCGUCUUGUUUAUAUAUUUGUGAUCAAAAUUAGGACCAAUAUCUAACCACUCACAAUCAUGUCCCAUCCUAACUAUCCUGAAUGUCUCGAUUGCCUCCCUUAAUUAUCUUUUUAAUUCUCAUUAACAUAUUAGCAAAAUUUUCAUAUAUUAAAAAUAUUAGGGUCCGACCAUCUAUACUUUAAAAAUCAUUAUGAACACUCAAUUAUUUAUGCACUCAGCUAAUAAAUUUAAAAAAUUAAGUUUUACUUUCUACGCUUUUUUUUAGGAGUACUUUCUACACUUUUUAAAAUAACAAAAACAUCUUUACAUGAACCUAAUAAGCUUAUUUAAAAAAAUUAAAUCAACUAUUUUUAUUUAUUCAAAAUACUAAUAAAAAUAUUUAGCAAACCGUGAAAGAAAUUUUUUAAGAAAUUUAACACGAUUUUAGUUAUUACUUAUUGUUUAUUAAAGAAUGUGUUCACUAUUGUUUUUAAUUUUGUUAGUAAAAAAAAAAGAAGAAGAAGAAGUUUGGGUUUAAGAUACAUUUAAUUUUUAGUGUAACAGUUGUAAUAUAUAGCUUUAUUUACCCAAGUGGGCAAUACAUUUAAUUUUUAGUGUAACAAUUUUAUUCAUACGAUGCUUUUAAAACUAAAAGUACUUUUAAAAAUAAAUUUUACUAAAUGUUCAGCUGAUUCUCUUGACAAUUGAUCAAUUUCUACAGCAUAGCUAAUUGUAAUUAUUUUAAAAGCUACAGGAUUACCAAAUUGACCCUAAAUCAAACCAAUAAAAAUGUUUAAAAGUAAUAAUUAUAAACCAAAGUAAACGUACAAAAAUUCAUGCAUAAAUUGAUAAUCAACAAAAACAUCCACAAGUUUAACUCCAAGUUUUCUAUUCAAUUGACAUAACCCUUAAAUUUCAAAAGGCAUAAUCAAUUUUGUGUCUAAUCCUAUAAAAUUAGAAAAUUAAAGAAUAUUAUAUACUGAUAAUUAAAUAAUAUGCAAUUAAUAACGUUAAAAAAUAAUGUUAAACAUAUUGUCAACUAAAAUAAUUGGGAGAAUUGGAGUUCCAAGAUAAAUUCUUAUCUAGUCCCAAAUCAGCAAUUGGGAUUAACGAGCUACUAUUGAAAUUAAUGUUAACAACAAAAAUAGAUGCAAAAGGAGAAACAAGCAUCGUGUACAGUACCCACUGUGAACUGCUCACAUUGGAAUAAGUUGUUGGCAGCUGGUCAAAAAUUCAAUGUUGAUUUUGAUCCCACUAAAUUAAGUCAUCAAAAAUUACUUUCCGUACAAUGAUGAUUGGGCUGCAUAUAUCAUUUAUUAUUAACUAACUUAUGAAAUGCUUUAAAUGUACCUCCUAGGUCGUAUUAUUUACUAUACUAGUUAGGAUAAAUUGCAAUGUUAAAUUAUUUGAUAAAUACUUAUUAUAAUUUAAUAAAUAUGUUAAUUUUGUCCUCCACUUUAUGAUAAAAAAAUUUAUAAUAUAUAUAAAUCAUUUAUUCUAUAAUCUUAAACUUUAUUAAAGUUCGAAAAACUAUUACUCUAUAUGAUAUAAUAGUGUGAUGUAAUUACACUAUUAUACCAUAUAAAAUAUAUUUGCUUUCUUAAAUUUUAAUAAAGUCUAGGUCUUGGACAGAAACACUUUAUAUAUGUAUGUAUAAUGAUUCUCUAGCAACGACAUUCUCAUUUUAACAAAGUAAUAAUAUCACUAACAAACUAAAUAACACAUAUUUCAAUACACCAAUAAAUAAAAAAAUAAUUUUUAAUGUGUUAAAAUAUGUCUUUUGUAUAUUAUUGAUAUUUUCACUUUAACAUAGUGAGGAUCUCCUCACUAUAGAAGUACUUUAUAAAUAUUCUUUGUAUUUUAGUUCUAAGCUCUGUUUCGUGUAUCAUCGACACAAUGAGGCAUAGCAUCUAAAAGUCGGCAGCCAUGCAACUUCUUGGAAUCUUCAUGCAAGUGUUGGAUAUCGACUGUUCGAUAACGAUGGCAGCAUUGGACUGGACUGUAAUUGACGCAGAUAUUGUCAGAUAUUUCAUUGAUUAAGGAUCACAAAUAAUGGCUAUUGGAUGAGGAUCACAUGUUUUAUGACAGUGGUAAUGGCAUGCUACUAAUGUAAGUCAAGCAUUACUUUUAAAUAAUGAUAUUAUAAUUAAAAAUCUAAAAAUAUUUAUAAUACCUAAAGACUAAUUCAGAUUAUUAAUUUGUUUAUAUGACUUAAUUAUUAGCUGACAAAUAAUUAAAAAGUCAUGGAACAAUAUUUAAUUGACGCAGUGGAAUAAGGAUCACAAAUAAUGGAUAUUGGAUGAGGAUCACAUUGGAGUGUUGUGAUACAACACAUAUUCACAAAAGCGUUGUUGAUGAAGUCUAGUACUCUAAUGCUACUUUAUUAUGUGGGGGCAGAGCAGUAAAUUUCAAAGCGAAAUUAUAGAUGUGUUUUAUAAUGGGAUUCAUAAGAUUUUAUUUUUAAAAAAUUAGUAAGGUUUAUUGAGAGUCUCACUAUAGCACAUGAGAAAAUAUCAUUAGAGAAGUUCAUCAUGACCUAUCUCGUGUAAAUUUCUCUUCUAGCAAUUGUGAAUUUGAGUUUAGUUUUAGGGCUCAUUUAAACUAUGGUACCAUAGUGGUGCCAUAUUAUAAUUGGGUCUAACCAUUGACAACUCUGAUGACUACCGUAGAGUGGAUUCAAUGGUACCACUUUAUCAGGUAUUAUUAAUUUUUAUUUCAAAAAUUGAAACUUUCAGUUUAUUACAACUGACAGCUGACCCCACACAUUUCGAUGAUUAUAAUUUAGGCCAAAACUACAUUGCGUCGGGGGUUUGGUACCCCACUCCUUUGUCUGUUAGCAAGGUCAGCGUUGGAUUUGAUCUGACGGCUGCAGAAGGGACACAAAUAUAAAGAGGAGUAACCUGAGGUAAAGGUAAUAAGCCGGUCACCUGCAGAAAAUAAGUGUAUGAUAAAAUAACACAUGCAAUAAAUUUUGUUUGUUUUUUUUUUUUUUUUUUGAGAAGACACAUGUAAUGAACUUGCUGGAAGCGUAUAUGCAAGUAAUGGUUGGAAACAACUUGCUGGAACCGUGCAAGUAUUGGUUGGGCUAAGACUGACAUGAAAUUUCCCCAAUAGUGUCCAAAACAUUUGCAAAUAGUUAAUUCAAAGCGUAAAUAAAUGCUGGAAAAAAUACGUAUUUUUUAUUUUAUUAUUAAGAAUACAUCUUUUGAUAAAAAAAGAUAAAUGAUUAAUGGUACAUAUUAGUAACAAAUAUACUAAAAAAAUUAUCCAUAUAUUUGAAAAAAAAUUGUUAACAAUACAUAUUUUUUAGAAGUACACAUAUUAUACCAUACAAAAAUUGAGUUGUAUCAUGGACAGCCAUAAACUAUGAACAAAGAUUACGAUCGAAACUCCACAUGCAUAUUUAAUUUGUACAUUUUUUUCAGAAUGCGUUUCCCACCAUGGGAAUAACCAAGGUUCUUCAGGCAAAACACUACGGUAAUUCAUUAUCAUAGACAGGAAAAAGACAAUGGCAAAGAUCAAUAAUUUAACACAUAAGAAUGAGUGAAUGACAACAUCAAGUGAGAACCAUGCACAAUCCUUUUUAUUAGAGAUCCUUUCUUAAAUCUUAAAUAAGAACAUUAAAUAAGCUUGAAAAAUAUUGGUAACUGACCCAAUACACAUCCAUCUAACGGAAAACAGCGGACAAUUUGAUGCAUGUGUGGAGCACUUGAGGAAACAGAGCAUCCACAGAAUGCCUAAAUUUGAAAAAAAAAAAAGAAAAUAUUUGCAUUUGACGAAAAGGACUUUGAGCGUUCAAAUACAAAGUGUCAAUUAACCUUACAAGAUACAUCAACCAUCAGAUAUGCUCAACAUGCAAUACCAAAUUAAAUUACCUAUCUCCAGGGUUGGAUUUGUCUUCAAUCAGAUGAAUGUUGGAGAGAAUAUAAUUGAAAGAAUGGCAUCAUCUACCAUGCAAGGUAAGGCUCCUUACAGGUGCUCAAUAUGACACCACAAAAGAAAAUACAAUAUCAUAGACACAUCACCAACAUAUAUGCAAACAACCAAUUCUCACAGCAUGUAGUGCAACAACUCACAAAAUAUGAAAUUUAACAUCAUCUAAGCAUUUUUCUCAUUAAAGAACCUAACUGAAAGUAGUAAACAUAGAGACAUAUAACAGCUUUAUAAGUACAGACCACAAAGUAGAACUUUGUUCGAAUGAUAACGAUCAUAAUCCACAUUAUAAACGCAGUGAAAUCAUCAAAUGAAAAUAAGAACACAGUACAUAAUUACACAGAUAUUAGGCUUAAUUAAUUAUUUAGAUUAAAACACCACUUCACACAGCUUCCUUAGCUGGAAUCUUCUCAUAUCUCAUCUUCUUAGGGCUCAAAUCAUCAUCAUGAUCAUCAACAUCAGUGAAUUCCUCAUACGAAUUGCGAGAAUCGUGACGAUUAGCAAAAAGGCUCCACACCAAAUACAUGGUAAUGUCAGUAAGCGAACUGCACCCAACGCCGAAAAGAAAAGCGACUGGUUUGGUCGCAUAGAGAGGAGAAGUCGUGCUCGAAGGGCAAAAUGCGACGUUUUGGCUCGUGGAUGAGGUGCUGCUCCCAAUCAUCGAUUGAAGGGAGAAUCAGACAGUCGAGGAAGAUUAAGGGACGAUGGGGGCUGAAUUGGCAAAUUUCGGUGAAGAUUGUGACAAAUCUAAUGGGGUUUUCGGAGUUAGAGUUAGGGCAGCGGGAAUUGAAAUGGAUCAAUUAAGAGGAAAUGAAGAGGGUUUUGCAUGGCCUUUUGGAGGCUGAAAUUGAGAGGACACCAUGAAUAUUGUGAGAGCUAGGAGGAGACGCUGAGUCGAUGACGCCAUUGAUUCGUACCACACAGCUUCGAUUGGAAAUGGAGCCUCUAAUUGCUUUAGCCGGUUACCCAUUUUUCAAGUGUUAAAUCUCAGCCGUUGACUACCUUUCUUUACGAUCUAAAGGGUCAUUCGCAAAAGGACAAGCGACUGGGGUACCAAACCCCUGAUGCAAUGUAGCUGGAUCCUAUCUUUCAUUCACAAUAUGCCAGCAAAUGUUAAUUACGAAUAAUUUAUGUCCUUCACCCCUGACAUUGAUAUUAGCAAUUUUCAGUUAAAAGUUAAAUCAUCCCAGCAUUAGCAUUUUUUCUUAAUUAGAGUUGAAUAAUUAUGCCCAAUUGUAUAACAUCAUUUUAAUUAAUAGAUUAGAAACGUGAUUCACGUUUGACAAUAAUUUUCUCUUUUGCUGUUUUGUCGUUAUAGUUUACUGAGACGAGAAGAAAUAAUUGCUCGUUUGGAUACUCUCUGUAUUCACAUUUGACAAAAUAAAUAAAUAAUUUCUUUUUACUGUUUUGUUCCUUUUACUGUAUGAUAUUGAACAAAAUAAUUUUUUUCAGAUCGCUCAAUAGAAUUGCUUCAAAUCAGUUUUACCAGUUAUAAUUCAUCAGCUCCUACUCUUUGCGUUCAAUUCUCAGUCAAGAAAACCUCUCCUGAUUUUCGUCUUUUGAUCUCAUACACACUCUGCUUCUGUUCAUCGUGGUCGCUGCUCGUGCUAGCCGUUUUCUUAUUUAGCUUUGCUCCCUUCUGCCAUCACCUCUCUGUAUACUCAUUGGAUCAAGAAACCCUUUUCUUGUUUCAAUUUUCUGAUCUCAACAACACUUUGAUUCUCAUCCAUUACACUGAUUUUUUUCCUUAUUUUGCUCAAAUACAAUUUCUCUUCCUAAUUUAGUCCCGUUCCCUUUCACCGUCAUCUGUUUUUUCUUCGGCUUCUUCAUUGAUUAACAAUUGUCCAGUCGUUUCCCCUGUUCUUUUUCUGUUUCUUUCACUUCAGAUCAAUCCAUCCUCCCACAACACACCCCCCCCCCACAAAAAAAAGAAAAGAAAAAGUAUUGAAGGUGAUGGAAUCCAUUGUUACUGUCGUUUUAGAGGUUGUAAAAUGCUUGGCUCCUCCAGCACAACACCAACUUCGUUACUUGCGUAGCUCCAAUGACAACUUUGAGAAUCUGAAGGCUGAAACCGAGAAGCUCAAGGAUAAAAGUAGGAGCAUUCAACGCAGAGUUUCAGAGGAUGAAAGAAAAGGAGAAAAGAUUGAAGAGGAGGUUGAGAAAUGGCUGGUUAAUGCGAACAAGAUCAUUGACCAUGCAGACAAAUUCAUUCACGACGAGGAGGCAACAAAUAAGCGAUGUCUCAAGGGUCUAUGCCCUAAUCUGAAGACCCGCUAUCAGCUUAGCAAGAAAGCAGAGGCAGAGGUGAAGGCACUUGGCAAAAUCCGAGAAGAAGCUGCAAGAUUUGAUGAUAGAAUUUCCUACAGUACCAUUCCGGAGGAGAUAUGGCUCAAGUCUCACAAAGGCUACGAGGCCUUCGAGUCAAGACUUUCUUCUUUGAAGGCCAUACAAAAUGCAUUGAACGAUGUUAAUGUUAGUGUCGUUGGGGUGUACGGCAUGGGCGGCAUUGGAAAGACGACACUGGUGAAGAAGGUCGCCAGGCAAGCUAUGGAAGACAAGCUCUUUGAUAUGGUGGUCUUUUCAGAGGUUUCGCAAACUCCAGACAUAAAAAAGAUUCAACAGGAAAUUGCCGAGAAGUUGGGCCUGGAGUUGCACGAGGAAGUUGAAUCUAGAAGAGCAAGUAGACUAUUUGAGCGAUUGAGAAAUCACAAGAAGAUCCUUGUGGUUUUAGAUAACAUUUGGAAACACCUUGAUUUGGAGACAGUUGGAAUUCCUUUUGGAGAAGAUCAUAAAGGCUGCAAACUACUGCUGACGGCAAGAGAUCGUAGUGUCCUCUUAAAAAUGGGUUCUAAAGACAACUUUUUGAUAAACAAUUUAAAUGAAGAAGAAGCCUGGAGAUUGUUUAAGAUGAUGGCCGGUGAUGAUGUUGAAAAUCGUGAGUUGAAAUCUACAGCAAUAGACGUCGCCAGGGCAUGUGGAGGUUUGCCCAUUGCCUUGACCACAGUAGCAAAGGCACUGAGAAGCAAGAGUCUGCAUGAAUGGAAGAAUUCCUUGCGAGAACUCCGAACGCCUUCAAUGGUGAACUUCGAAGGAGUAUCUGCAGAGACUUAUUCAAGUAUUGAGCUGAGUUUCAACCAUUUAAAAGGUGAGCAACUCAAGAAAAUUUUUCUCCUCUGUAGUCUAAUGGAGGGCCAUAUUACUUUGGACUUGUUUAAGUACUCCAUGGGUUUGGGUAUAUUUAAAGGAGUCAAUAAGAUGGAAGAUGCACGAGACAAAUUAUAUGCAUCGGUCCAUGAACUUAGAGACUCUUGUUUGUUGCUUGAGGGUGACAGCAAUGAAGAAUUUUCAAUGCAUGAUGUCGUUCGCGAUGUCGCAAUAUCAAUUGCAUGCCGCCACCAACAUGUGUUUUCGGUGAGAAAUGAUGAGGAUGUGUGGGACUGGCCAGAUGAGGAUGCACUUCGAAAAUGCAAUGCUAUCUCUUUAAUAAAUAAUAGUAAUCGUGAAUUUCCUGAAGGAUUAGAAUGCCCAAACCUUGAAUUUUUAGGUGUCUUUCUCAAAGAUUUUUCUCUUGAAAUCAAUAUUCCUGAGAACUUUUUUGUAGGGAUGAAAAAGCUUAGAGUUCUAGAUUUUACUCGAAUGCAGUUUUCUUCUUUUCCAUUUUCAAUUGAUCUUCUAGUAAAUCUUCACACACUAUGUCUGAAUCAAAGUGCGUUGGGCGACAUAGCAAUCAUUGGGAAGUUGAAGAGUCUAGAAGUCCUUAGCUUUGUGAGGUCUGAUAUUAAGAAGUUGCCCGAAGAGCUAGGUCAACUGUCUAAGCUAAGGCUGUUAGAUUUAACAGACUGUUUCCUUCUGAAAGUUAUUGCCCCAAAUGUCAUAUCAAGCUUAAUCCGAUUAGAAGAGCUGUAUAUGGGUAAUUGCUGCAUUGAAUGGGAGGUUGAAAGAGACAACAGGGAAAGAAGUAAUGCUAGCCUUGACGAAUUGAUGCAUUUACCUCGGCUAACCACUCUAGAAAUUGACGUUAAAAAUGACAGUAUUUUACCAGAAGGUUUUUUGGCCAGAAAGCUCGAAAGGUUCAAAAUAUCCAUUGGAAAUGAGUCAUUCAUGCCUCCCAAGAGUAUUACAAGAGAAUGGUUUCAAAGCCGGCCGCACUUUUUGAUCAACAGUAAUCGUGAGAGUUUAAGAGAAUUGAAGCUCAAGCUUGAUUUUAUGGACAUUUGCUCCAUGAAAUUGCAGGGCAUCAAUAACGUUGAAUACCUAUGGUUUGACAAGCUGCAAGGUGUCAAGAAUGUUCUUUUUGAUUUGGACACAGAAGGCUUUUCACAAUUGAAGCAUCUCCAUGUUCAAAAUAAUCCUAACUUCCUGUGUAUCGUGGACUCAAUGGAGAUGGUAGCUUGUGAAGCCUUUCCUCUUUUGGAGUCACUUAUCCUUCACAAUUUGAUCAACAUGGAGAGGAUAUGUAUUGAUCAGCUCAAAGUAGAGUCUUUCAACGAACUCAAAAUCAUAGAAGCAUAUAAUUGUGAUAAAUUGAGUAAUAUCUUUUGGCUCUCUACUACAAAAUGCCUUCCAAGACUUGAGAGAAUUGCAGUUAUUAAUUGCAGCAAGAUGAAAGAGAUUUUUGCAAUUGGGGAAGAAGUUGAUAAUGCAAUUGAGAAGAUAGAGUUUGCUCAAUUAAGAUCUUUGAGUCUGGGGAAUCUUCCAGAGGUUACAAGUUUUUGCCGCGAGGUGGAGACUCCUUCAGCAUCACCAAACAGACAAGUGUCGCAAGAGGAAUCGACGACUAUGUAUAGCUCCAGCGAAAUCACUUUGGAUAUUUCAACUCUGCUUUUCAACGAGAAGGUGCGUAGGCUAACAGAUUUUAUUCUAUCAUGCGUUCUGUUUUGAUGUCAUACGUGGAAAAUAAUUAAAUCAUUUAAAGAAUUGAAAGAAAAUGGAAAAAAGGAUAAAAAGAAUCUCACGCGCUCACUAAUUGAGCUCUUAACAAGUAGUAUGAAUUAGAAUGCAUACUCAGCUGUCAGUUGGAAAUUGAUUCUGACUUGCAUUAAUUUGUAAUCAAAGAAGAAAAUUUCAACAAGUGCUUCCCAUAUGGAUAUUGGAUCUAAUAAGAAAUUCUUAUUUUUUUAGGUUGCGUUGCCUAACUUGGAGGCUCUGGAGAUAUCUGAAAUUAAUGUCGACAAGAUUUGGCACUACAAUCAAAUUCCGGCGGCCGUGUUUCCUCGCUUUCAAAAUUUAACACGAUUGAUCGCGUGGCGUUGUCACAAAUUAAAAUACAUAUUUUCAGCGUCUAUGAUCGGAAGCCUUAAGCAGCUCCAACACCUAGAAGUAUGGUUCUGUGAGAAUUUACAGGAGAUCAUUUCUGAAAACAGAGCAGAUCAAGUGAUCCCUUAUUUUGUCUUUCCACAGCUCACCACUCUGAUACUCCAAAAUCUACCAAAACUUAGAUGUUUGUACCCUGGAAAGCAUACUUCGGUAUGGCCCGCGCUAGAAAUUCUUGUAGUGUAUCGUUGUGACAAAUUAAAGAUAUUCGCUGCAGAUUUAUCGCAGAAUAAUGAGAAUGAUCAACUUGGUAUUCCUGCACAACAGCUCCCAUUGCCAUUGGAAAAGGUAUGAAGCCAUUUUCUAGAUUUUUUAUCAAUAGCUUAUUUUUAACUUUGAAAAAUAUGACAAAGCAUCGAUAAAUUAAUACUCAAUAAAUUGAAAACUUUUAUUAUACAAUAAUCUUUGCUAGUCUAGACUAAGGGAUCAAUGUGAUAGAUUAAUAAUUAUAUGAACUGUUUUAGGUAUAGCAUUUAUAAAAGAAUCCUUAGUCUUUCCAUAUAGAAGAACUUACAAAAUAAAUUAGUAAUUUAUUAUUGUGCAAUAAAAUAAUUUCGAGCCAGUAUAAAUCAACCUUUUUUCCCUAAUUUCUUUUUUACCUCUAAAAUUAACAUAUAAAAUAAAUUUUAUCACUAAUUCAUUUUUUUUAAAAAUAUAAUAUAAAACAAAUACUAUAAAGUCACUGCAUGUGACCGUAGAUCAUCAAUUGACCUCAUUAGUUAUUAUGAUUGAUGAUGAUCAGAUCGUACCCAACUUGAAGGAACUAUCACUAAGUGGAAAAGAUGUGAAGAUGAUUUUGCAGGCCGAUUUCCCACAACACCUUUUUGGCAGUCUUAAACAACUAGAGAUUAUUGGAGAUGACUCAGCUUGUUUUCCAAUCUGGAACGUACUGGAGAGAUUUCACAAUAUCGAAAUACUCACUCUGUUUAAUUUUUCAUCCCACGAAGAGCUAUUUUCGAUGGAAGGAUGCUUAGAGAAACAUGUGGGGAAGUUGGCAAUGAUAAAAGCAUUAGAGCUGCGCUGGCACUAUCAUCUGAAGCAGCUGUGCAAACAAGACUCCAAACUUGGCCCCAUUUUUCAGUAUCUUGAAAUUCUAGGAGUACAUCAUUGUCAAAGUCUGUUAAUUCUAUUGCCAUCAUCAUCGGUAUCUUUUCGGAACCUAACAAAACUUUUAGCUUUCGGUUGCAAGGGAUUGAUGCACUUGGUAACAUCCUCCACAGCAAAAACUCUAGUGCGAC